rnacentral:lncRNA from 1 species
ACUUUUGCCUGUUAUCCAUGAUGAUUUGCAUCUGAUGAAUCCGUGACAAUCUGUUAUGUUCCUUGCCUUUCAGACUGACAUUGCUUGCGAGAAGGUGUAGACAGUUUCUGGGGAGAUACAUCGUCUUCUGGUAUCCUGUAUCUGAAGUCCACUUUCAGUGGAACAAUUUUGAUAUCACAGGUGAAGAACAUGAGCGGACUUAGCGAUGGCUUCGACAUAGUCAGGCUUUCUCAAGUAAUGACGUUGAAUGUCGAUCUUCACGUUCUCCAGAUUCUGUGUAGUAGUCAUAGACAAGUGGGGAAUUUGGUAGAUCUACUAAAACAGUAAUUCAAUUGGACUUGAAAUUGAACAUAUUGAGAAGUUUGUGAUCCUUAAUUUGAUGCAAGAGAAAAUCCGGCAGCUGUCAAUUGAAUAAGUGAGCAAAUUGGGUCGACUGCAUUGAAGAGCCUGGACUUAAACUGGCUUAAACUAUAGGGACAGGACUAAAUUUUUCAUGAUCUAUAGUUUGAAUAGUUUACAUGUUACGAAAGAGAAGACGUUGAUCAUAACUGUACAUUUUAUAAACAACAAUUUUACUUAAAAUAAAAUUUACAAUUUUAAGUUGUUGGGGUAGUGAAAAAGUUCAAAAUAAUAUCCUCAUGGAAAAAUUGAAGUAUAUCUAAAGUCUAUGCAAAAGUUUUUGAAAGCUUGAGAAAUGACAGUCACAGUAGCUAUUAUUUACCUAAAAACAUGGGGUUUAGAUGCUGCAAUGGUCAGCUCUUUAUAAUUAUUCUGUGCCCUUCUAUGUUGUACUCCAGUAAUUCUUCGGUAACAUAACCAACAUACUAUAUUGAUGGAGUAUAUUGACAACACAGUUAGCUCAAUAAGUGGCAAAUGGAUAAAAGAUAAUGUUGUAAUCUAUGUAUUCUUAUUGUUGUCUUUAUCCUGUUACCAAUUACCUAGGGUAUGCAUGGUAACGUUUCUACUUUGGGGACCAAUUUCUUUUCAAAAAUGGUUCUUUUAUAUUUGUAUUCCCUAAAACAAUUUCUGAGUAAAAUAAUGUGUUUGGUAACUAUAUAAAAAUUUUAUUCUCGAAAUAGAAAAAAAAAAAAAAAGGAAUGUGUUUGGUAUGAUACAUAAUUUUUUGUAUUUUUCGUUUUUUCUUCUUGCUUGCCAACUGCCAUCACUGACCAGCCGCCGCCACUAGCCACCUGCUGAUCGCCGUUGACCAACGAUGGCUGGCGGGGGAGCAAUGGUGGGUGACCGACUACCAACGGUCGACGGCCGACUAGCGGUGACAAUUUGCGGCGAUCGGCAGGUGGCAAGUGGCGGUGGGUUGCAGUGGUGGGCGGUGGCAAGCGCAAGCAAGAAGAAGAAAAGAAAGAAAGAAAAGAAAAAAUUGACUUUAUUUCUAGAAAUUGUUCUUGAAAACAAGAAGCUACUUUUUUCGACUUCUUAUUUUUGUUCCAAAUCUAUUCCCUAGCUACUUUUCUCUUCCGGGAAAUAGAAAAAUUAAUUGAUAUUACUAAAUGGAUUUAUUUUAUUUUUUUGUUCUAAGAAACAAUAAAAUAAAUCGGAAAAAAUAAAAAAGUUACCAUAUAGGUCCCUAGUUUCUCAUGUUCAUAGUUAGAGUUAUCUAUCUACCGUCAUCGCAACUUACUUGCCUCUCUCACCAAGCACCAUGAUUGGUCGAGGUGUUGUUGAAUUUUGUGAUGAAACAUCUUUAGUGAGAAAAAGUUCUAAAAAGAGUGAAUUACACAGCUUCGUGUCAUGCAUUCUUUCUUUUCAAUAUUGAGGUGAAAACAUGUAGAGAUUCAUUAUAAACAGUUCAUAGAUUUUAUUCCCCUUUUUCCUUUCACAAGUCAUAAUAUUCUUCAUUGUACUACCAACCAACUUUUGAGAUAAUGCACAGAAGUUCUCUUUGUUGUCUAUUGUUUCUUUACAGAUGUUGAUUCAUAAAACUUUUAGUCCGCAAAGAAAACAUGAUUCCACAUUGUAGAAUAAUGACAAUUUGUUAAGCCAUGCCACCAUUGUGUAAAUUUCUGCAACUACUACUUUGAUCCUAGAAGUGAUGCUUGACUGCAGUAGUGGGCCUUUUAACAGCAAUCUCUUCCUAUAACAUUGUGUCGGUGCUAGUAAUGCUGUGGGCCUGGACUAAGAAUCUUGACUACGUUGGCAUAACUCAUCUGAAGCUACUUUUUUAAAGCAUAAUAUAGAGGUAAGAGUAUAUAGAAAGAAGAGGAACAAUAUCUUAACAAUAUCUCGACAAGUGUCUAAAGAGGAAUCAUUGAUUGGAAUGAUUUCCAUGAUGUAAAAGAUUAACUUCCUCAUAGGGGAAUUUCAAGUUUUAAGGAUGAGGCAAUAAAUUGUUGAUCACAAGCCUUUUGAUGUUUACUUUAAAUUUGUGUAUUUCAAAGGGUGUGUAGUACAUUGCUGCGCUAAUUCCCCAUCUCCAACUAGCUAGCUAGAUAUUCUGGAGAACUUUGGAUGGAACUUGGUACUUAUCUCAUUUUUCCAUCUUUACUAGUCGGAUAUCUCAAUGAUUCAUAAUAUGUAUUUUCCUGCACUGCAGACGUGAAAUAACAUACUAUAACAAAUUAAAUCAACUACAAAGCUUCGUAAGUCUUUCUUGCUACAACCAUACCUAAUGUAAUUGAUAGAUCUGCUGACCUACCUUCUUGAUUGUGGUCCUUUUUGCUAUUAUUGGCAAAGGAAUAUUACUUAACCAGCAAAAAGAGCCACAUUAUUUUUCACUCUUUCAGCAAAAUUGAAAUUUACGUUUUGUUUCAUGAAAAGAAGUGCAGACGAUAAAAGACAAAGGGAGUUGUGAUAGGACGAUAUCAUAUCAUGUCACAUUUAGAAUUUUUUAUGGAAAGUGAAAAAUUAGUAGACCAUAGAAAAGAAGUGUCAGUCUAAGUAAAGACAGUAAAAAGGAAAAGUAAACUAGGAUGAAAGAAAAGAAUAAAGUUAUCUAUGCUUUCCAUUUGUGUGUGGGGCUUUUUUUUUUUUUAAGUAAGUGGACAAUAGAGGAGGUUUGCUUCAAUGCUUCUUUUACUUGCCACAGACACCAACUAUCUAUUUAAAAAAUUUAAUUGUCGAGUCAUUCAAAUACCAAGCAGCAAGUCUCCUAAAUUCUUUGAUCCUUAUCACUCAAUUCAUUAGGAAUCUCAGUUACUUUCUGGAGUGCUUUUGUUAACUGUUCUAACUGACUAGGCUUGUUUCCCUAUUCACGGAAUAGGUGAACAACUUCAUAUUACUAGUAGAUAUCCAAGCUAAAAACCUUAUAAAUCUUGAUGACAAACGAGUUUAAAGUUUUUAGAGCACCUUAGCAAUAGUACCUCUGAAUGCAGUUUUCAAUGUCUUUAGCCACCAAUGUAGGAGAACCCGAUGUAACAAUGUUAUAUUAUAUAUUCUAAGGUGGCUUGUCGACGAGAUGAAGUUAGCAAUUAAAUUUUUAAACGUCAUGUAGAGAUUAUUUGCCCAAAUUAAGGAAUUGGAGCAAAUUCAAUGUGUUCUUGAAAAACCCUAACAAGCAUUUCUCAAAUUGGGGCAAAAUCAUCUUAUCAAAAUCUCCUUUUGAAAUCUUGCGCAAAGAAGAACAAAGUUGGGAAACGUUCAAAACUUGCCCACGAUACGAUUUCACUACAAGGCCUUAUUUUCAAUUCUCCACUCAUGGCCUCAUCUUCACUUCAAGGCCUCCUCUUCCUCCUCUAAGCUUGAAGAACCCGUCCCCCCUUCACCCAUUCUUCAAUUUCAUCGUCCCGAGCUGAAGCGAAGGAGAAUCGGCGCAUCAUGAAGACAAACGAGAGGUUACAGAGCCCUCUUUCUCCAUUGCGUUUGCUAUGUUUUCUCCUCACCGUAUGCAUACACAAACGCAAAGAACAUUGAGAUUUUUUUCAGUGUCACUAUUUUUCUUUUGCCCUUUCGCUCAUCACUUAUGCAAACACGAAACUGAGUUUAUCCAAAACAAACCUCCAACAUGCAAUAGUUCCUCUCAAAUCAAAACAAGACCGAACCAACCUCCCAAUUUCUUUUUCUUCAGAUCCACACCUCUUUUUACGUAAAACCAAAUUCUUUUUAUAAUUUUCUGUCCCAAAUUCGUGAGCUUCCGCUUCAUUUGUUUGGUCACUACAGUAUAUUCAUUUUGAAUCAGUUCUUGGUUGAAUGUCGCGAAGAUAUCAGAGAAAAGUCUUUAUUGGGGGGAGAGAGACGCCUUGUCGCUUUGUUCAUGUUGCCCUGUUGGAUGAAAAUAUUUCCCCGCUUGGACUUCUUAUUUAUAUGAAAAGCCAUGUGUGAAUAAAAUUUUUAUUAAACAAGCCUAAGAUGAAGCCUUGGAAUUUAUUUUGGGGGGCAUUUAAAUGAUUAUUUUUCCUCGACACUCAAAUGAUCACUCAAAAAGUUUUAGCCCUAAAUUAAGCAUAAAAAAUUAUGGCAUUUUUAUUGUCAUUUUUCCCCAUCUAUCCUUUUUGAAAUAGAAGCUGAUAAGCACUGGUAGAGUAUUUAAGCUAGAUUAGGAUAAGAUGUUCCCAUGGUUUAGAAAGCAUGCUUUCUCAAAGGUUCCAUUUUUUGAUAAUUAUUUCCUGUAACCAAAUUCCAAAAUUAACAAUUCACGUGAGAACUUGCACAGGCAUAGAUAUAUGAAAAACUAAGGAACUGGAAAUAUUUUUAAUUUCUGGUAACAUUGAUAUCGACUUGGAAUUAAUUGUUCUAUUUUUUUUUUUUAAGGUUUAUGCCAUUAAAAAUUCGAAACCUUUAUCCUCUUGGCACGUUUAUCCAAAUUAAUUUUUGUCUCAUAAAAAAAUGCAUGACACUUUUCUUUUAAACUAUUUUUUUUUUGGUAAGGUGUCUUUUAAACUAAUUUUUGUCUCUCAAAAAAUCCCAAAAUUGGUAACUUGACCGAAACUUACCCUCAACAUUAGAUUCUAAACUGUUAAAGGAUGUUAGAUUUGGGUUAGGUUAUCGGUUUGAGGUAAUUGUGUUUUGAGAAAUCAGUUUGAGAGAUGAAAAAUAUGUUAUAAAAAAUCAAUUUGAAAUUUUUAAUGGUUGUAAUCCUAUUUUAAUUGCAUCUUGUAUGGCGAACCAAGACAUGCACGGAAUUGAAACAUUUUCUAAGCUUUAUAUACGGAUGAUUAACCAUGUUGAAUGUACAAUAAAUAAAUAAAUAAGUAAAACCAUGUUGAAUGUAAUACUGAGGAUUACGGAAAUCAUCAUCUUUACCGAGCUUCCUACCCUACAAUCUUAUGGUGAACAAAUAGCAAGAAGAACCAACACAAUAAAUAGGUAAACAAACAAUAUAUAUAUAUAUAUAUAUAUAUAAGGGGUCUAAUUUGGUCUUGAUCUAUAUUCUAUAUAGCCCACAAGAGGAGUUUUGUUGGAUUCGCUAGACAGGUCAGCUUCAGCCCGGAUCAGUUCGCACGGCCCAUGUCCAAAUUCGUUGAUCCCGCGAGAGAAAAAGAAUAGGAAAAUUGCUCUGGAAGAGAAGCUCCGCUCGAGACGCUUGUGUAUUCUUCCCCCGCCACCUUUGGACGUCGCCUUCCUCCUCUGGCCGUCGGACGGUGCUCGCCUCCUCCGGCCAUCGUCGAUCAUCAGUCUCAGGCAGACACUGAUGGGAGAGGGAACCAUUUUUGAGGCACGCAGGCACACCUGAGAGAAAACACACGGGCUAGGACGAUCGGUUAUUUCUUCUGAAUCCUUUCCUGCCUCUUUGUUGCCGAUUGUAUCUGAAGCAAUUUGCGUUUGUCUUAAACUUCAUUACCGGUGCUCAUCCUCACCAGCGACGUUUUCCAAAUCCUCCUGGUGCGAACUCGACCAGUAAUCGCGACCAAGAACUCCUUAUCGGCAAGGUAAUCUCUCUUCCCUACCAUACUCUGUUUUUUUAUGAAUAAAAGUAACCAAAAUGGCAUGUCCUAAAUUAGGAUAGAAUCGGCUCAAAUUCGUAUUCAUAUUGACGAUUGCGUACUUGGACUGAUUUCGUUUGAACCUGAUCCCUAACCCGAUAAACUGAUUUUGUCUGAAUCUGAUCUCUAAUCUGAAGUCAUCGUGCUUGCUUUCACUUCUCCACCGAAUGCACAUAACGUGUUUGAUAAAAUGACUCCGAAGUGUAUCAGUGAGUUUCUGCUAAAUCUGAAGAUAUACUAGUUUAGUUUGCACACUAAUGAUUGAUUCGUUGGUCAUUGAGCAUGAUUUUGUAGAAUUUUACACAUUGACCGAGACUGACACGCCUAUUCUUGUUCUAUUCCCAUGUAUGUUUGUCUCUGAGGUGAUGGGUGGUGGUCGAUGGCCAGAGCGUCGAUCCAUUGAAGCAUUCGUGUCGGUUUGUUUCUCCAAUCUUAUGUUCUGUCCAUUUCCUUUACUGUUGCGAUUGUGGAGGAUUGAGUUGAUGGUGACGGAGGAUGGCCGUAGUCACUGAAUUGUACUGAUUUAGGUGAAUAUCUGUUGAUAAUUUUACUGUUUCAGCUCUUGAACUUCGACGAGAAAUGGAUCUGGGAAUGGUGGACUCGGCGUCAAGGAUGAACACCGAUCAUCAAAAGAGAGGAGAAUAACAAAAAAAAAAAAAGUAGCCCUUUUCAAUGGAAAAUAAGUUUAAUGUGGACUUGGUGUGUAUUUGUCAUGGGGAUGGGUUUAGUGUAGUAAUGUUCAGGAAUGGGUUUAAGAUGCGAUUGGGCUGAAUCUGGUUCUAGCAAAUUUGUAUUGAGUAAAAUGUAUUGAAAAUCUUGAAAUUUGUCACGAAAAUACAGUUGAGUUUUAAAAUUUUCAAAAAUGCAAUUAAGUCACAAAACUUAUCACAAAGUGCAAUUAAGUCUUAAAAUUUUCAAAAAGUGCAAUAAAAUCCAUCUUUUCCUAGACGUAUCAGGAGGGAUGGACCACUCUGGAAAAGAUAGUUUUAGAGGUAAUGAAUUUAUUACAAAAGUAAAAUCAAGUCUUAAAAUUAUUGUUAUUGACUAAGUGCAGGAUUGAAUUUUUAUAGGUUGAUAUGGUGAUACAUCCUUGGCCUCGUGUACCUAAAUAUUUGCUGGUGCUACUCCCGGGAUUGAUUUGAAAGUUCUGAGAUUACAGAGAACGAUGACAUGACUACUUCUAUGAAGGCCUAUGAAGCUUUUAAAAUAAUUGGAAGCAUCACCCAUGACUCUUGCUCUUAAUAGAUGCAGAAAAAGUUACUUCCUGCGGUUUUUGCGCGCCACGAAAGAGAGAUGCAUAGAAGUCGAAGGCAAGUGCCGAUUCAAUGGCAAGUCAACUAUAUGCUAGUAAACAUCAGUCUUUGACAAACCUUCAGCAGAGUACAAACCAACAGUCGAUAACGGCGGUUUUAAAUUGGACAGCUGACUUAAAAGUGCUGGAACUUCAUGGCCGACAAAGCCAUAAGGAAAAUUUACCGUGCACAAGGUCACCGGACUACAGAAGGCUCAACUAAUUAGAUUUCCUAGCGACCAGAAUGGAGCCUCAGGGUCAGGGAAAUCAAAAGAUACGGUGUAUCCCGCAAUCAAGCAAGAACUUUCGCAUAUAUCCUUUGCCAGACCUACGUAGCAACCAAGAAUGAGCCUCGGGGUCAGAUAAUUCAUAUGAGAAGCACACAGCGAAGAGAAAUCCAUACGCAACACAAACACGGACUCCUUCCUCGAUACUCUCGAGGAGCCUCUCCCGUGCUAGAUUCAGCCCCACAUAAAAGGCUACGAACAGCCCGAGCAUCGCAAUUUGAAUGCGACCUUCCACAGUGGGGACAUAUUUCGGCUCUUGACCAUAGCGGAACGUUAAACUUGCAUAAUGUAAGAAAAUUGCCAUGACGGAGAAAAGGAACGCAAAACUGUUAGACAUCACAAAGGUUUUAAAAAAUGGCCUGCCAGCAUGAACUGCCAUUCCAUCGUCAUUAUAACCUCCCAGAACUGUGAAGGCCACAGCGAAGCUUACGGUGGCUAUCAGCCCUGCCACUAGUAGUUGAGCAUCCAUAAUGCCUCUUUUUGACAAAGUGAAAUCAUCUCUUCUCUCCAAAAAAAAAGAAAAAAAAAAUAAUCUCUAUUGGCAAUAUUACUUCCUGUAGUUAUCGAUAUAGAGGGUUUACCCUAAGCAAAUUGAUUGUCUAAUCUCUUCUUGCCAUGUUCAACAAACCAGCCUUGAAAGCCUGCGAGUCCAUGAGAUCCUUCCAACAGGUAAGAAACUUUCGUAGCGUAGAAGCUAAGAAACUUUCAUAGCGUAGUAGCCGAUCUAAAAAUGUAGAUAAUAUAUCAAUUAACGUGUGAAAGUUUUCCAACAAAAUAAUUCAAGAGCCUCAAUUUACACACUCAAAAUCCAUAUAUAACAAAUAAGACUCCUGACAAUUAUUAAAAUGUCAUGGAGAAUUCAUUCAUAUAAUCUCUUUUAGAUAAAUAGAGUUCCCUAAAGUAAACAUUAUAGUUACAAGUGUGCUAUCCUAGUCCUGAUUUAUUCUCAAUUUUUCUUCUUUUCUUUUCUUUCUUUUUUCUCUUUAUGGUAUCCCCUUGUUGAAACCUAAUUUUUAGUCAACGCGUCAUUAAAAGGUAAAAAAAAUUGAGAUUUGGGUUUCUGAUUGCAAUGGAAUCCUGUAUCCGACCAAAAAGUGUCGUUUCUCAUUUCUUUGUUUUGCAUUAUUUUUUAAAAGUAAUUUCUAACUCAUUUUCAAGAAAAAUCCAAAAAGUCAAACGGUUGACUUUUAAACGAUCCCAAGUCAAAAAUUGACUUUUUACUCAAAAAGAUUCAAUUUAACUUUAAUUUAACUUUUGUCAAAUCAAUUUCUUGAAAAUUCAAAGAUUUGACCAAAAAAAUCGACAUUUUAGGAAAAAUAAACUAAAUGACUGAUUUUUUAUCAAACCUUUGACCCAAAAAAAUAAAAUAAAAAAUAAAAAAUGCAUAAAUUCAUUUUUUUUAAUGCUAAAUUGACUUUUGUGCCAAAAAUUUCACAAGAUUCUAUUAAGAACUUUGAUUUCUGAAUUUUUCAAUUUUAGAUUCUAAAUUGACUAAAAAUAAUAUUAUUUUUAUUCUAGUCAUAAUUAGGCAUAGUUACUUCUUUGACAUAUAAUUUAUGGACUAUUUGAAAUUUUCUUGUGCAUUUUUAAUUUCGUGAUUUAUUGAGUCAAAAUGCUAAUUGUCGUUUUGAGCCCUAAUUGGGGGAUCAAAAUUGAUGUUUCAUAACUUACGAAUGGACGAUUGUUUCUCACUCAUUUCCUUAACAUAAGUCCAAUUUUGAAAUUGAUUUUGUGAAAUUCACACUAGGACUUAUCAAUUUGAAGAAUUUUAUCCUCCCAGGCGUUAUAAAAUCAAGCAAUUAAGCUUCAAUUGACAAAAAUCAAAUUGACCCAUUCAUGGCUAUGAUUUAAUUUCAUGAAUUUAGGUCUAAUUUUAAUAUUAGACUUAGAUCCAUUUUUGACCUAAGCUUGAGCGCUUCAAUUCAAGAUCAAUUUGAAUAUGAUAAGUGAUCUUACAUAGGUAGCUCAUUAGAUAGGAUAAUUGUGACACUAAUUGAGUUUAAUUUUAGUUAAUUUACAAUUUUGCCAAUUGAAUUGCAAAUUUUAUCAUUUUAGCCCUUUAAGCCCAAUUCGAAACACCCAUGAUUUCGACUCAUUGUUUUUCACAAUAAUCAUUCAAUUAGGUCAAUAAAAAAACCCUAGAUAAUGUUCAUAAGGCUUGAUUAAGUUAAUUGUAUCUUAAUUGACCAAUUUCUUCUUAAAAAUGAUAAAAUUCCUUUUUAAUUUGGUCAUUUAGGGACCAAAUUGCAUAAAUUUUAGACCCACGGGGGUUUAAGAGUGUUCAAGGAGAUUACGGAAAUUGAAGUAAUGGCAAUCGACCGGUAUAAAUAUAUAAAACUCGUUAAUGCUAUGAAGAGCAUUUUGUUUAAUUAAAAUACACACAAAAUCCAACACUUUCCUUGCAACCUUCAGAUAAUCACCAAACAAAUACCAAACUUGGCAGUUCAACCACAAUAGCACAGCAACUGCUAACCCUCUUGGCUUUCAUUUGGUUAACCGGAAAAGUCUUCACUUGGUGGCCUCGGCUGCGCUCCAGAUACUGGAGCACGGCAAAUUUUGCUGGCACUCGAUCAAACAGGUUGACGUUGACAGGUUUUAAAUCGGACAGUUGACAUAGAAAAGCUCGAACUUGACGACUGACAAAGCAAAAAGAAAAUUUCCCGUGCACAACCUCACGGGACUAUAAAGCCAACCCAACUCUUAACAGCUCUCUUAGCGUAUCCCAUAAGCACGCUCUCCCUCUGGAAGCAAUAUAUCGGGAUUUAGAUAUACAAUCGAAAAACGAUGUCGGAAGUCCCCGUAUGAACCGAUGAUGUAAUAACUCCCGACACAUCCACACACAACCCAAGGAACAAUCGCGAGCCCAAUGGUUCUGGUCAACACCACAUACGUCCCAGAAGCAAAGGCUAGCACCAUCGCAAGCGCCGCAAAGUAAAUGUAUCUUGCGGCCCUUUGCGUGAAUUUCACCUUUGUACGAUCGCUCAACGCAGAAGUAUCAAAUUGUAUGAACAAUGCCAAGGUGGAGAAACUGAAUGCCAGAGCGUUAGCUAUCACAAAGGUUAUGAAAGCUGCCCUGCCAGCAAGAGUUGCCAUUCCUUGGUUGGGUCCAUCACUAUAAUAACCUCCGGGCAUCGUGAAGGUUGCAGCAAAGGUCGCUGUAACUAUGAACGCUGCCACUACUUGUUCAAGUUCGAUAACGCUUUUCAGUGACGAAUUGAAAUUUUCUUGGUUGGGAGUAUUACUUCCUGUGAUUUCAGACCCAACUGGUUGGCCCUCAACAAAUUGCUUGUCUAAUCUCUUUUUAACAUGUUCCGAAACCCACUCUUGCAUAACCAGGAAUCCGGAUUUUCUUCUCAGCGCACCAUAAACAAUAGAUCUGCAUUUGACCUGAAAAUGUACAGAGAGUAUUAAUUAACGCUUGGUCUUUAUCAGCAAAAUACUUCACGACCCUCCUUUAUUCACUCAAAAUCCAUCUAUAACAAACAGAAUUCCCAGCUGAGUCCGUAAACAUUAUUAAUCAAUCAAUUCAUCUCCUUUAGAUGAUGUAGUGAGUAAAUGAAACAGGUAAAUAGAGUUUCCUGGGUAAACAAUUACACAUUCGGGUAUGCCGUAUGUGAAUGAUAUUGUCUAGGGAUUUUUGAAGUCCUUUUUCUCAAAUUGGGCAGAGUGCAGGUUAUCUCUUUUAUCUCAAAACUUAUUUGAAAAGGGGCAGAAAAAAACAGAAGGAUUUGGGGUAAACAUUGUAUAAGACGUUCUGCUUCUCUUAUAUUAAUAUGGCAGAAUAGUUGUUUCAAAGUCAGAAGGCGCAUAUAAACUUUUGAAUUGAGGUCCUCUAAAGUUACGGUUGACUAUACGAGAUAUAGGGUGCGUUUGGGAACUAUUUUUGGGGAAAGUCCUUGGGAAAAUGCAAAGACCUUAGAGUAGGUGUUUUUUAAAAUGCAACUGUGUUUGGUAAAUUGUACUUUGAAAGCCCCUUUGUGAAGUACUUUGAACAAAAUAGUGUUUGGGGAAUUGCAUUUACAAAGAUCUUUGUGAUAAAAAAAAAAAUUGGCAAAAGAAAAAUUAAAAAAAAUUGACCGGCAAGGGCAGCGACCGCCGGCGACCGCCGGCGACCUCCGGCGACCUCCGACUACCUCCGACUACCUUCGGCGACCUCGAAUAUGAGGCGGUGAGGUCGCGCGACGCCGUCGCGACCUCCGGCGACCCCGGAUCUGGGGCGGCGAGGUCGCGGGAGGUCGCACGGCGCCACCGCGACCCAGAUCCGUGGGCGGCGAGGCGCGACCCAGAUCUGGUCGCCGCUCGAGCCUCCGGCACCAGAUCUGGUCGCGACCAGACCUGCAACUAGGUGGGUCGCGCGGCCCCGGUGAGCUCCGUGCGGAGGUCGCGGUGCGGCAGGCGACGGUCGCCGGCGACCGCGUGCCUUUUGGCCACCAGAUCUGCGACUUGCGGAGGUCGCCCGAAGCUCCGACGAAGAUCGCGUAGGUUGCGGCGUCUCUCUACACCUGGAGAAGAUGAACAGUGCUCGACAAGGGCACGCAUCCGGAAAAUCCAAAAAUUCGUGAGGAUAAUUUUGGAAAAAAAAAAGUAUGAACAGUGCGGGCGUGGCAUGCCGAAAAUGCCGAAAGCUUUCAGCCUUCACAAGGCUGGCAUUUUGAGAAGGUGGGUUCAAAGUUUUUUGCCAAACGGGCUGGCAUUUGCCCAAGUAUCUUUAGCCCUCCAAAGGGCUUUGGGAAGUGGUUCCCAAACGCACCCAUAGUGGCUGACAUCUCAGCACAAGGUCCAUUAAGCAGUCCAUAUAUAAGAAAGAAAAGAAAAAGGGAGAAUAAAUCAAGUAUUAUAGACACAUAGGGUUAAGGUGAAGUGGGAAAAAGAGAGAAAAAAGGGAGAACAAAUCUGGACUGUUAUGUAAUGUUUGCAUGUUUUGCAGGUAUAUUGCUGGGAUUCUUUUCAUCUCUUUUAAUUUUUUCUUGAGUAUCCCCCAGAACUUUCCCUUUUAACUAAGCAAAUACAAAGAUUAUUAGGUGCUCUUGGAAGAUCAGGUGGCCGUCCACCUAAUGCAAGUUUUGGAGCAUCGAGAUCUAUGAACUUCUUCAUAAAUAGCUGGGCAGUAAAAUUGGUUUAUACUAUUUUUAUUAUAUGCAGUUAACUGUUGGCUAUUAAUACAAUAUUUGCUUUCCUUUAUGUAAUCUGUUUUUAGCGGGGCUUUUACUUUCAAACUAAUAAAUAUUUUCUAGAAUCAAAUGAAAUAUUUGAAUACAACUUAUGUAGCUACAUAUUUUGUGUUACUUUUGCAAUACUCAUAUACGUGGCUUAAGCAANNNNNNNNNNNNNNNNNNNNNNNNNNNNNNNNNNNNNNNNNNNNNNNNNNNNNNNNNNNNNNNNNNNNNNNNNNNNNNNNNNNNNNNNNNNNNNNNNNNNCACGAUCAAGUUUUCUUUGUGAAGCACAGCCAAAUGCAAAGCCGUGUUUCCAUCAGUAUCUUGUCGGUCAAUAACAUCCUCUAGGUUUGGCGUCUUUAGUAUGUGCUUGACUACCUUUGCUCGUCCACCGAUGACAGCUGAAUGAAGAGCCGUUUGCUCUUUGUUGUUUAUCAUGUCAUAAGCAUCGGGACAAGAUGUAACGAGCUUUUCAAUGAUAUUGACAUGGCCUCGACAUGCUGCAAUGUGAAGAGCCGGAUUCCCCCCCCCCCCCUUUGUCUAAGUCGUAUACCACAGAAGUAUCAUGUUUCAAAAGCCGUCGAACUGCUUUGACAUUGCCAAAGCAAGCAGCAUAAUGAAGAGGAGUCCACCCGAUGUCGUCAACUUCUCUGAUCACUUCUGGUCUUUUCUCUAGGAUUUUCUCCCAACCUUUGCAAAUGCAAUACGAAUAUUUCAUGAUUUAGACUGUUUUUAGCAUACUGUCAUAGAUAUAUAACAUUGUAUUUCAUCCUAUUUAACUUUCCCCUUUUUCUCUGUAAUAGGAGGAAUAUGUCAUGGUUAUUCUAAAAUUUCUCUAGUGAUCUUGUGUAACACAUGUAAAACCUAACUACCUUCAAUAAAGCAUAAUGUAGGAACUUGUAAAAAUUUUCAUUUUGAUCAGUGAAUUCGUCAGAAAUUCGUCAAUUUGAUUGAGAAGAAGCUUCUUUUCUACUCAGCAAGGCAUCUGCUCUGUCAUCACUAGAAUAAAAGACUAAGAUUGUUUACUCUGAUGCCAAUCAUUCUACAGGAAUAUCGUGCUCAACUCAAUUUUAUAAAAAAAUUAAAUUAAUAGCACCUUUUACAUUUUUCCAAUUGUAAAGUUAUUGCACCCCCGUUUUUUCAAGUCAUCAUAAAUUUCUCCUAGGGGUUGAAAAUUUUUCCAUUGAUUUUUUUGGAAAUAUAUCGCAAUGUUCCCUAUCAUCAAUUAUACAAUGAUUGGUCCUUAGCAAAACCCUAAAAGGCUAUAACCACUGAGAAAGUCCAGGUAGAGCCAGGAAGGGGGCCCACCAAGGGGCCCUUUGGAGCUACCUCACCCCCCAACUGGAUGAGCAAGUCCCUCGUGGGGGUAAAACCCCACUGGAAUCCUACUCAAAUGAAGGUUCCUGGACCUCAGAAGGGUCCCGGGUGGCGGGCUAUCAUCAAUUGAUUUUUUUGGAAAUAUAUCACAAUGUGCCCUAUCAUCAAUUAUACAAUGACGAAAAAAAAAAAAAGAAUACCCAAACCCCCCUCCCCCCUCCCCCAAAAAAAAAAAAAAGACAAAGAAAAGGCGAACUGGAUGAGAGAGAAAAGGGAAGACGUUGGGGUAUGAUGGUGAUGGUGGUUGAUGAUGGUACCAGGGGAACAAGAUGUAGAAAAAUUCUGUCUUAAUAACAAUGAAUUUUUUUUCCCAACGGGGUUGAACGCGUAAUCCCAAAUGUAGUGUGUUCCAUGGGAAAUUCUGUCUUAUGAUACUACUGCGUGCAAACUCUAAUCUUCUUCUUUUGGACAGCAAACUAAGGGUCUGUUCAUUUCACGGAAAAUUGGCCAUCUCCAGAAAACAUUUUCCGAGAAGUCAUUUUCCAGGAAAAUGACUAUAUUUUCCGGUGUUCGGCUGAAACUUAAAUUUUGAGUGGAAAAUAUUUUUCACCGUUUGUUAAUGACUCCUAACAAAUUUUUAAUUUUUUCUUUCUUUUUCUUUUUCUUUUUUCCUUUUCUUUUCCUUCUCCUUCCUCCUUCCUCCUUCCUCCUCCUUCUUCCUCCUCCUUCCUCCUUCCUCCGCCGCCGCACGCCUAACGAUGGCUGACUGCCCGGCGGCCGACCAAGAUACGGUCGCCAGAUCCGGCGAGCUCGAGGCUCUGGCGAGCCACGAGCUCGCCGGAUCUGACAGCAGAGCUCGGGCUCCCGAUCCAGGCAAGCCCGAGCUCCGCCGCCAAAUCCGAUGAGCUCGAGCGAGGCCCGAGCCCCGCCUAGCUCGCCGGAUCUGGCGAGGCCAGAGCUCCGCCCCAGGCCGGCGAGGCUCCGCCUCGUCGGCCUGGGGCGGAGUUGGAGCUGGCUCGCAGCCGCGGUCAGUCGCCGGUCACCGGCCGCCGUCAGGGCCGGCCACCGGCCAAGCUAAGGAAGAAAGAUGAAAAGAAAAGAAAGAAAAGAAAAGCAUAAAAAUAAAACAAAAAUGUGUUAGUAAAAGGAUAUAGGGUGGAAGAAGUUAUGGAAAAUGUUUUCCAUUUUUCAAAAUUGGAAAACAUUUUCCUUAUCUUUGAAGGUAGUAUUUUCCAUUGAGAAAAAUAUUUUCCUUGAGUAAUUGGUUUUCCGUGAAACGAACACCGGAAAAUCCGGAAAACAUUUUCCUGUAAGUUAUUUUCCGUGAAACGAACGGAGCCUAAGAGAAGACGAACGAGUUGGAACUUAUUUAAUUGUCAAUGAACAAAACAAUAAAGAGAAUGUAAAGGGAAUAACAACUCGAAUACUUUCAAAACAUAAUUCUCACACAUAAGUGGUCAAGAGGCAUGUCCUUGGGAAAAGCAUGACCUUUCACCAAUAUGAAAGUAAUAACAAAUAAAUAAUGGCUGCGGUUUUUCCACUCUUCUUUUUUCUUCCUUUUCUUUCCUGGUGGGUAUUAUCACAAUCUUUGAUUUCCUGGGCCGUCAAAUGUUCUGCCCCUCCAGAAAAAGGGAGUACAGAGGGAUGCUAAAAGCGUGGAAAGAUAUUAAAAAGGAAAGUGGAAUCCUUGAGGAAAGAAAAGAAAGAAAGAAGAAAAGGGAACCAUAUUUAACCAUAUAUAAAAUAAAUAAAUAAAUAAGAGAUUAAUGCAUGGUCAAAUAUUGUGAUAAGGAGUGUAUAAACCAAAAGAAUGGAAAAAAGUGUGGCCCAUCAGUAAAUAUUUUUUUAUUAAAAUAUUUAUAGGAUACUAUUGUAGAUGAGGGCCAUCACUGGUACCACCAGCAAUCUCACUAAGGAGAAGCCUUGCAUUAGAGAGAGAACAUCGGUUGAAAUUUAUGUAUCACUAGGUUUAUGAUCUUGUGAUACUUACUUGGUAGUGAGUAGUGCACUGCGGCAUGCAGAGCUGUCAAUCCCUUAGGGCCUCUAUGAAAGCAUGGCGACGAGGAAGCAUGUAAAAUCGGCUCAAUAAUAUCCGAAAGUCUUCGAUGUGCUACGAAAUAAAGCGGGUGCUCACCAACAGCAUUACCAAUAUCACAUAGUUGAGGAUCUUCUUCAAUCAACAACUUCACAACCGACUCGUGACCUCCUCUUAGUGCAUAGUGUAGCGAGGUAUCCUUGUUAUUAUUUGGUCUCCUAAGUAGCUCUUUGCAUGCAUCAGGUUGAUCUAGUGAUUUUGCCAAAUCUGUGAAGACUCGAACUGCAUGGUCAUUUCCCACUUUAGCAGCAACAUGUAAAGGAGUGUCUCCUUUGUAGUUACCUUGCCAAGGAAGGGACGAUCCUGAUUGAUGUCGUAGAAUAUCUCAAAUGAAAUCUACCUGCUCGCCUUGAGCCACAACGUGAAGAAUGUUAUUCCCCUUUGGUGUUGUUUGGUGGAAAAGAUCCUCUCCAUUUUCUGAAAUUGUUGUCAUCAAGGAACGAAAGUCUCUUGACUUUGCUGCUUUAUAUAAUUUAGGAUGCAUACUCAGUCUCUCUUUCAUUCUUGGGACACGUAGUAGUGGCAAGUGAACGUAUCAAUAUAAGUAAUAAGUUCAAAUAGAAGGAAUUUCUUUGGGUUUUCUAAUAGGAGUGAUGUCAAAAACGAGGAGAUGUUGAAGAGGAAAUAUGAGCUUCCCAGGAGUACUAGAAAGGAGAUAUUUAUACACAUAUGGUGGUUCUUCAAUUGUUCCUAUUAAAUCAAAAUAAGUUUAUCAGGUUUAGAAAAUAGUUUCCAAAAAGUCUAAUUAGUAUGCAUUUUAGACUUCCUGUUUUUACACACACAAUGACAAGUGGGGCAACUCUUGUUUGAAGGAAAGAGGACAAGUACAAACAAAAAGUAAUAAUGAUAAAUAAAUUAUAUAAGCAUGAAAUUGAGCUAACAGGACUACUUUCCACUUUUCAUUAAAAUCAGGACCAUCAUACAUACAUAAUUCAAAAAUUCUUCUAGAAGAAUCGAAUCUGAUUGAACUUAUUUAUUAAAGUAAUGGCAUUCGUGGGCCCACUUGUAGCUGUAGUUCUUUUCUCUUUUUUUUUUUCCUAUUUUUGACCGACAAGCCCUUUAUUCUUUUCAGUCUUCAUGGUCAUUGUUCUUCGUGAGUCAUGCAUUCUCACCAUGCUACACAUGAUGGAAGAUUUAUAUAUGUAAACUUUUACGGUGCACGAACAUAGGUAAAAAUUAGUUGAUGCCCAAUUCGAGGAUCAACUCUGCUUCUAUGAUCCAUUGGCAAAACUUGGAUCGCAUAAAAAAAAUUUCUAUUGUAAUGUUUGCAUAAUAUACCAUAACAGAUAGAAAUCUAAAAAAGUUUAUAAUAGUUCAAUGCCUGUCUAUCAUAUUUACUAUGUGGAAGAGAGACGUGACAAAAGCUAAAAUAAAAAAUUAAAGAGAGAGAGAGAGAGAGAGAGAGAGAGAGAAGGCAAGACUAAAGGUGUUUUGCAUUGUUGGUGGGGGCUAAAAACAAAUGCUUUUGAAAGCUUAAAAAAUGAAAGUUAUCCUGUGCCCUUCUAUGUUGUACUCCAGUAAUUCUUGGGUCACGUAAACAACAUACUGUAUUAAUUGAGUGUAUCGACAACACAGUUAGCUAUAUAAGUGGCGAAUGGAUAAAAGAUAAUGUUGUAAUCUAUGUAUUCUUAUUGCUGUCUUUGUCCUGUUGCCGGUUACCUAGUUUUUCAUGAUCAUGGUUAGAGUUAUCUAUCUACCAUUAUUGCAACUUACUUGCCUAUCUCACCGAACACCAUGAUUGGUCGAGGCAUUGUUAAAUUUUGUGAUGGAGGAUCUCUGGUGAGAAAAAGUUCUACAGAGUGGAUUAUACAGUUUUUUGUUAUGUAUUCUUUCUUUUCAAUACUGAGGCAAAAACAUGCACAGAUUCAUUACAAAGAGUUUGUAGAUUUUAUUCCUCUUUUUCCUUUCACAAGUGUUACCAUAUUCUUAUUGUAGUACCAACCAACUUUUGAGAUAAUGCACAGAAGCUCUCUUUCUUGUCUAUUGUUUCUUCACAGAUGUUGAAGUAUAGAACUUUGAGUCUGCAGAGAAAAUGUGAGUCCACAUUGUAGAAUGACACUCUGUUAAGCCAUGCCACCAUGGUGUACAUUUCUGCAACUACUAGAUGGACCCUAGAAGUAAUCCGUGAUUGUAGUAGUGGGCCUUUUAACAGCAAUCUCUUUCUAUAACAUUGUGCCGGUGCUAGCAAUGCUAUGGGCCUAGACUAAGAAUCUCGACUACGUUGGCAUAACUCAUCUAAGCUACUUCAAUCUCUCAUCGUUUUUCAUGCAUGGUAUGGAGGGAAGAGUAUAUAGAGAGAAGAGGAACAACAUCUUGACGAAAGUUGAAAGAGAAAUUAUUGAUUAGAAUGAUUUCCAUGGUGUAAAAGAUUAACUUCCUCAUAGUGGAAUUUCAGGUUUUAAGGAUGGUGCAAUAAACUGUCGAUCACAAGCCUUUUGAUGUUUACUUUACGUCCCAGUACAUUGCUGCGCUAACUCCCCAUCUCCAACCAGCUUGCUAGAUAUUCUGGAGAACUUUGGAUGGAACUCGGUAUUUAUCUCAUGUUUCCAUCUUUACUAGUCGGAAAUUUUAAUGAUUCAUGUCAAAUAUUUUCCUACAUUGCAGACAUGAAACAACAUAAUGUCCUAAAUUAAAUCAAUUGCAGAUCUUGCUAAGUUCUUUCUUGCUACAGUCGUACCUAAUAAAAUUGAUAGAUCUACCGACCUUCCUUCUUGAUAUUGUUGUCCUUUUUGCUGUUAUUGGCAAAGGAAUAAAGUAUCCUACUGCUUAAACAGCAAAGAGAGACACGUUACUUUAUACUCUUUCCCUUGAAUUGAAUUUUACAUUUCACUUGAUGAAAGGAAGUGUGGAUAAUAAAGGAGAAAGGGGGUUGUGAUAAGACAGUAUCAUAUCAUGUCACAUUUAGAAUUUUUUUACGGAAAGUGAAAAAUUAAUGGACCCACAGAAAAGAAAACCCAUUCUCUUCUUUUUCAAAUAAAGACACUUCAGUCCAAGUAAAUGCAUUUAAAAAGAAAAGUAAACGAGGAUGAAAGAAAAGAAUAAAGCUAUGUAUGCUUUCCAUUGGUGUAAUUUUUUUUAUGAUAAGUGGACAAUAAAGGAGGUUUGUUUCCAUGCUUCGUUUACUGGCUAAAUGACACUAACUACCGAUCUGAAAAAUUUCAAAACUGUUGUGUCAUUCAAAUACCAAGUAGUAAGUCAUCGUCCUAUAUACUUUGAUUCUUAUCACUCAAUUCAUUAGAAAUCUAAAACGUACUCUCAAGAGUACUUUUUGUUAACUAUUCUAACCGAUAGGGUUUUUUUCUCUGUUUGUGGAAUAGGUGAAGAACUUCAUAUCACUAGCAGAUAUCCACAUCGAAAACUUUUUAAAUCUUGAUGACAAAUGAGUUUAAAGUUUUAGAGAACCUUACCAAUAGUACCUUGGAAUGUAGUUUCUAGUGUCUUCAGCUGUCAAUGCUUGAAAAUUCAAAUUGACAAUAUUAUACUAUAUAAACUCCAAUUUGACUUGUCGACCAAAUGAAAUAAGUGAUUAAACCUCUAAAAGAGGUUCAUGUAGAGAUUGCUUACCCCAAAUAAAGGAAUUGGGGCAAAAUUCAAUGUGUUCUUGAAAAUCCCUAGCCUGCAUUCCUCAAAUUGGGGCAAAAUCGUCUUAUCGAAAUCUCCUGUCAAAUUUUGCUCUAAGAAUAACAAAGUUGGGAAACGUUCAAAACUUGCCCACGAUACGAUUUUACUACAAGGCCAGGUAUGAAUAAAAGUUCUAUUAAACAAUCCAUCUAAGAUGAAAGGUUGGAAUUUAUUGCGGGACGCAAUUAAGCAAUUGUUUUUGUAUUGAUAUGACACUCAAAUAAUCACUCAAAAAGUUUUAGCCCUAAAUUAAGCACUGAAAAUUAUGAUAUUUUUACUGUCAUUUUUCCCCAUCAAUCCUUUAUGAAAUAGAAACUAAUAAGCACUGCUAAAGUAUUUAAGUUAGAUCGAGAUAGAUGUCCUUGUGGUUUUGAAAGCAUGCAUUUUGAAAGGUUCCAUUCUUUUGAUAAUUAUUUCCUGUGCUUAAAUUCCAAAAUUAAUAAUUCACUUGAGAACUUGCACGGGCAUAGAUAUAUGCAAAAUCAAGGAAUUGGAAUAUUUUUAACUUCUAGUAACAUUGAUAUUGUGACUUGGAAUUAAUUGCUCUAUUUUUUAUUUUUUUUAGGUUAAUGCCAUAAAAAAUUCGAAACAUUUUUUCCACUUAACACAUUUAUCCAAAUUAAUUUUUAUCUCGUAAAAAAUCCACAACACAUUUAUUUGAAGCUAAUUUUUGUCUCUAAAAAAUUCCCAGAAUUGCUAACUUGACUGAAAUUUACCCCCAGCAUUAAAGGAUGUUAUAUUUCGGUCAAACUAUCAAUUUGCAGUAAAUAUGUUAUGAGAAAUCAGUUUGAGAGAUGAAAAUAUAGUAUGGGAAAAAUAUGUUAUAAUGUAUUAAUUUGAAAUUUUUAAUGGUUUUCGACCUAUUUUAAUUGCAUCUUGUAUGGUGAACCAAGACAUAGAACAUAAUUGAAACAUUUUUCUAAGCUAUAUAUACGAAUAAAUAGGUAAACAAAUACUAAGCAAAUCAACAAAUUAUUAAAAAAAAAAAAAGAAGAAAAAUUGCUCUGGAAGAGAAGCUCUCCGUUUGGGAAGCUUCCGGAUUCUUCACCCCACCUCCGUUGGACGUCGCCUACCUUCUCCGGCCGUCGGACGGUACUCGCCUACUCAGCCGUCGUCGAUCGUCAGUCCCUGAGCGUGCUUCUUUGGAAUUUCUUUUGUUCGGUCGUCCUCAUCCGCCAGCAAUCGCCAUCGUUUACCAUUGCCGUCCAUCGACUACCGCAAGUACUGAAGGAGAACUAGAAUAGAAGGCACCGCGGGAAAUCACUCGGCCAAAAUCGACCAUUAAUCGCGACCAAGAAUUCCUCGUCGACAAGGUAAUCUCUCUUCCCUACUAUACUCUGUUUUUUGACGAACAAAAGUUAUCGAAAUGGCAUGUUCUAGAUUAGGAUAGAAUCGGUUCAAAUUCGUAUUCAUAUUGACGAUUUCGUACUUGGGACUGCUUUUUUUGAACCUGAUCUCUAAUCCGAAAUCACAGCACUUAGUUUUGCUUCUCCGUCGAAUGCAUACGACCAGUUCGAUAAAAUGACUUCUUAGUGUAUCUGUGAGUUUCUGUUAAAUCCGAAGACAUACUAGUGGAGUUUGCAUAUUAUUGAUUGAUCGGUUGGUCACUAAGAAUGAUUUAGUAGAAUUUUACUCAUCGACCGAGACUGAUACACCUACUCCCGUUCUAUUCCUAUGUUUGUCUCGGUGGUGAUGGAUGGCAGUCGAUGGCGAGUAAACGGAUUCGAGUUAAUGGCCGGAGCGUUGAUCCAUUGAAGCAUUCGGGUCGGUCUGUUUCUCCAAUCUUAUGUUCUGUCCAUUUCCUUUACCGUUGCGAUUGUGGAGGAUUGGUUGAUGGUGACGGAGGACGGCCGUAGUCACUGAAUUGUACUGAUUUAGGUGAAUAUCUGUUGAUAAUUUUAGUGUUUCAGCUCUUGAACUUCGACAAGAAAUGGAUCUGGGAAUGGUGGACUCGGCGUCAAGGAUGAACAACGAUCAUAAAAAGAGAGGAGAAUAACAAAAAAAAAAACAAAAAAGAAAAUAGGCCCUUUUCAAUGGAAAAUAAGUUUAAUGUGGGCUUAGUAUGUAUUUGUCAUGGGAAUGGGUUUAGUGCGGUAAUGUUCAGGAAUGGGUUUAAGAUAUGAUUGGGCUGAAUCCAGUUCUAGCAAAUUUGUAUUGAUAUAAAUGCAUUGAAAAUCCUAAAACUUACCAUAAAAAAUAUAAUUGAAUUCUAAAAAUUUCAAAAAAAUGUAAUUAAGUCAUGAAAUUUUUUAUAAAGUAUAAUUAAGUCUCAAAACUUUCAAAAAGAGUUAUCAAAUCUAUCUUUUCCCAAACAUCUCAGGAGUGAUGGACCUCUCUAGAAAAGAUAGGUUUAGAGGUAAUGAAUUUGUUACGAAAGUAAAAUCAAGUCUUAAAAUUAUUGUUAUUGGGGUGAGUGCAGGAUUGAAUUCUUAUAUGUUGAUAUGGUGAUACAUCUUUGGCCUCAUGUGCCUAAAUAUUUGCUGGUGUUACUCACCGGAUUGAUUUGAAAGUUAUGAGACUACAGAGAAAGAUGACAUCACUACUUCUAUGAAGGCCUAUGAAGCUUUUGAAAUAACUGCAAGCAUCACCCAUGACUCUUGCUCUUGAUAGAUGCAGAAUAUGUUACUUCCUGCGGUUUUUGCGCAACCAUGCCACGAAAGAGAGAUGCAUAGAAGUCGAACGCAAGUUCCAAUUCAACGGCAAAGUCAACUAUAUGCUAGUAAACAUCACAUUCUUCAACAAACCUUCAGCGGAGUACAAACCAACAGUCGAUAACGGCAAGUUUUAAAUUGGACAACUGACAUAAAAGUGCUCGAACUUGAAGGCUGACAAAGCAAAAAGAAAAUUUCCCGUGCACAAGGUCAACUUAUUAGAUUUCCUAGCGACCAGAAUGGAGCCUCGGCGUCAGGGAAAUCAAAAGAUACGGUGUAUCCCGCAAUCAAGCAAGAACUUUCGUAUAUAUCCUUUGCCAGACGUAUGUAGCAACCACGCAUGAGCCUCGUGGUCAGGUAAAUCAGACAAGAAGCACACGGCAAAGAGAAGUCCAUACGUAACACAAACAUCGACUCCGUCCUCGAUACUCUCGGGGAAUCUCUCCGAUGCCAGAUUCAGCGCCACAUGAAAGGCUACGAACAGCCCGAGCAUAGCAAUUAUAAUGCAACCUUCCACGGUCGGAAUAUAUUUCGACUUUUGACCAUAGCUGUACGUUUANNNNNNNNNNNNNNNNNNNNNNNNNNNNNNNNNNNNNNNNNNNNNNNNNNNNNNNNNNNNNNNNNNNNNNNNNNNNNNNNNNNNNNNNNNNNNNNNNNNNNNNNNNNNNNNNNNNNNNNNNNNNNNNNNNNNNNNNNNNNNNNNNNNNNNNNNNNNNNNNNNNNNNNNNNNNNNNNNNNNNNNNNNNNNNNNNNNNNNNNNNNNNNNNNNNNNNNNNNNNNNNNNNNNNNNNNNNNNNNNNNNNNNNNNNNNNNNNNNNNNNNNNNNNNNNNNNNNNNNNNNNNNNNNNNNNNNNNNNNNNNNNNNNNNNNNNNNNNNNNNNNNNNNNNNNNNNNNNNNNNNNNNNNNNNNNNNNNNNNNNNNNNNNNNNNNNNNNNNNNNNNNNNNNNNNNNNNNNNNNNNNNNNNNNNNNNNNNNNNNNNNNNNNNNNNNNNNNNNNNNNNNNNNNNNNNNNNNNNNNNNNNNNNNNNNNNNNNNNNNNNNNNNNNNNNNNNNNNNNNNNNNNNNNNNNNNNNNNNNNNNNNNNNNNNNNNNNNNNNNNNNNNNNNNNNNNNNNNNNNNNNNNNNNNNNNNNNNNNNNNNNNNNNNNNNNNNNNNNNNNNNNNNNNNNNNNNNNNNNNNNNNNNNNNNNNNNNNNNNNNNNNNNNNNNNNNNNNNNNNNNNNNNNNNNNNNNNNNNNNNNNNNNNNNNNNNNNNNNNNNNNNNNNNNNNNNNNNNNNNNNNNNNNNNNNNNNNNNNNNNNNNNNNNNNNNNNNNNNNNNNNNNNNNNNNNNNNNNNNNNNNNNNNNNNNNNNNNNNNNNNNNNNNNNNNNNNNNNNNNNNNNNNNNNNNNNNNNNNNNNNNNNNNNNNNNNNNNNNNNNNNNNNNNNNNNNNNNNNNNNNNNNNNNNNNNNNNNNNNNNNNNNNNNNNNNNNNNNNNNNNNNNNNNNNNNNNNNNNNNNNNNNNNNNNNNNNNNNNNNNNNNNNNNNNNNNNNNNNNNNNNNNNNNNNNNNNNNNNNNNNNNNNNNNNNNNNNNNNNNNNNNNNNNNNNNNNNNNNNNNNNNNNNNNNNNNNNNNNNNNNNNNNNNNNNNNNNNNNNNNNNNNNNNNNNNNNNNNNNNNNNNNNNNNNNNNNNNNNNNNNNNNNNNNNNNNNNNNNNNNNNNNNNNNNNNNNNNNNNNNNNNNNNNNNNNNNNNNNNNNNNNNNNNNNNNNNNNNNNNNNNNNNNNNNNNNNNNNNNNNNNNNNNNNNNNNNNNNNNNNNNNNNNNNNNNNNNNNNNNNNNNNNNNNNNNNNNNNNNNNNNNNNNNNNNNNNNNNNNNNNNNNNNNNNNNNNNNNNNNNNNNNNNNNNNNNNNNNNNNNNNNNNNNNNNNNNNNNNNNNNNNNNNNNNNNNNNNNNNNNNNNNNNNNNNNNNNNNNNNNNNNNNNNNNNNNNNNNNNNNNNNNNNNNNNNNNNNNNNNNNNNNNNNNNNNNNNNNNNNNNNNNNNNNNNNNNNNNNNNNNNNNNNNNNNNNNNNNNNNNNNNNNNNNNNNNNNNNNNNNNNNNNNNNNNNNNNNNNNNNNNNNNNNNNNNNNNNNNNNNNNNNNNNNNNNNNNNNNNNNNNNNNNNNNNNNNNNNNNNNNNNNNNNNNNNNNNNNNNNNNNNNNNNNNNNNNNNNNNNNNNNNNNNNNNNNNNNNNNNNNNNNNNNNNNNNNNNNNNNNNNNNNNNNNNNNNNNNNNNNNNNNNNNNNNNNNNNNNNNNNNNNNNNNNNNNNNNNNNNNNNNNNNNNNNNNNNNNNNNNNNNNNNNNNNNNNNNNNNNNNNNNNNNNNNNNNNNNNNNNNNNNNNNNNNNNNNNNNNNNNNNNNNNNNNNNNNNNNNNNNNNNNNNNNNNNNNNNNNNNNNNNNNNNNNNNNNNNNNNNNNNNNNNNNNNNNNNNNNNNNNNNNNNNNNNNNNNNNNNNNNNNNNNNNNNNNNNNNNNNNNNNNNNNNNNNNNNNNNNNNNNNNNNNNNNNNNNNNNNNNNNNNNNNNNNNNNNNNNNNNNNNNNNNNNNNNNNNNNNNNNNNNNNNNNNNNNNNNNNNNNNNNNNNNNNNNNNNNNNNNNNNNNNNNNNNNNNNNNNNNNNNNNNNNNNNNNNNNNNNNNNNNNNNNNNNNNNNNNNNNNNNNNNNNNNNNNNNNNNNNNNNNNNNNNNNNNNNNNNNNNNNNNNNNNNNNNNNNNNNNNNNNNNNNNNNNNNNNNNNNNNNNNNNNNNNNNNNNNNNNNNNNNNNNNNNNNNNNNNNNNNNNNNNNNNNNNNNNNNNNNNNNNNNNNNNNNNNNNNNNNNNNNNNNNNNNNNNNNNNNNNNNNNNNNNNNNNNNNNNNNNNNNNNNNNNNNNNNNNNNNNNNNNNNNNNNNNNNNNNNNNNNNNNNNNNNNNNNNNNNNNNNNNNNNNNNNNNNNNNNNNNNNNNNNNNNNNNNNNNNNNNNNNNNNNNNNNNNNNNNNNNNNNNNNNNNNNNNNNNNNNNNNNNNNNNNNNNNNNNNNNNNNNNNNNNNNNNNNNNNNNNNNNNNNNNNNNNNNNNNNNNNNNNNNNNNNNNNNNNNNNNNNNNNNNNNNNNNNNNNNNNNNNNNNNNNNNNNNNNNNNNNNNNNNNNNNNNNNNNNNNNNNNNNNNNNNNNNNNNNNNNNNNNAUCAAUUCCACAGAUAAAAAAAAAAGGGAUCUAAUUUGGUCUUGAUCUAUUUUCUAAAGCCCAGAAGUGGAGUCUUGUUCGCUUUGCCAAACGUGUCGACUUCACCCCGGAUCAGUUCGCAAGGCCUAUGUCCAAAUUCUCUGAUCCCACGAGAAAACGAAUAAACGAAAGAUUGCUCCGGACAAGAAGCUGCGUUCGAGAAGCUUCCGGAUUCUUCCCCCACCACCGUUGGAGGUCGCCUACCUCCUCCGGCCGUCGGACGGUGCUCGCCUCCUCCAGCUGUCGUCGAUCCUCAGUCUCGGGAAGACACUGAUCGGAGAGAAAACCAUUCUCGAGGCACGCAUGCACACCUGAGAGAAAACGCAUAGGCAAGGACGAUCGAGAAAAGGGAAAAGCUCGCACUCCCUCAGCGCGCGUCUUUGGAGUUUGUUUUUCUUCGGUCAUCCUCAUCCGCCGAUAAUCGCCAUCGGUUCACCACCGCCGGCCGUCAACUAACGUACGUACUGGAAAGAGAACUUGAACUGGCGAGGUUUUUGAGCCUCCAGAAGUCGCUCUCUCGGUUAUUUCUUCUGAAUCCUUUCCUGCCUCUUCGUUGCCAAUUGUGUUUGAAGCAAUUUGCGUUUGUCUUAAACUUCGUUACCGGUGCUCAUCGUCACCAGCGACCUUUUCCAAAUCCUCCUGGUGCGAACUGGACCAGCAAUCACGACCGAGAACACCUCAUCGGCAAGGUAAUCUCUCUCGCCUUCUAUACUCUGUUUUUUUUUUUAUGAAUAAAAGUAACCGAAAUGGCAUGUCCUUUAUUAGGAUAGAAUCGGCUCGAAUUCGUAUUCAUAUUGUCGAUUGCGUACUUGGAUUGAUUUUGUUUGAACCUGAUCUCUAACCCGAUAAACUGAUUUUGUCUGAAUCUGAUCUCUAACCUCAAGUCACCACGCUUGCUUUCACUUCUCCACCGAAUGCACAUAACGUGUUUGAUAAAAUGACUCCGAAGCGUAUCAGUGAGUUUCUGCUAAAUCUGAAGAUCUACUAGUUUAGUUUGUACAUUAUUGAUUGAUUCGUUGGUCAUUUUAAGCAUGAUUUUGUAGAUUUUACACAUUGACCGAGACUGACAUGCCUAUUCUCGUUCUAUUCCCAUGUGUGUUUGUCUCUGGGGUGAUGGGUGCUGGUCGAUGGCGAGUAAAUGGAUUUGAGUCAAUGGCCGGAGCAUCGAUCCAUCGAAGCAUUCGUGUCGGUUUGUUUCUCCAAUCUUAUGUUCUGUCCAUUUCCUUUACUGUUGCGAUUGUGGAGGAUUGAGUUGAUGGUGACCGAGGAUGGCCGUAGUCACUGAAUUGUACUGAUUUAGAUGAAUAUCUGUUGAUAAUUUUAGAGGUAAUGAAUUUGUUACGAAAGUAAAAUCAAGUCUUAAAAUUAUUGUUAAUUAGUGUGAGUGCAGGAUUGAAUUUUUAUAGGUUGAUAUGGUGAUACAUCUUUGGCCUCGUGUGCCUAAAUAUUUGCUGGUGUUACUCAGCGGAUUGAUUUGAAAGUUCUGAGACUACAAUGAAAGAUGACAUCACUACUUCUAUGAAGGCCCGUGAAGCUUUUGAAAUAAUUGGAAGCAUCACCAAUGACUUCCUGCGGUUUUUGUGCAACCAUGCCACGAAAGAGAGAUGCAUAGAAGUCGAAGGCAAGUUCCAAUUCAACGGCAACGUCAACUAUGUGCUAGUAAACAUCACAUUCUUCAAUAAACCUUCAGCGGAGUACAAACCAACAGUCGAUAACGGCAGGUUUUAAAUUGGACAACUGACAUAAAAGUGCUCGAACUUGAAGGCUGACAAAGCAAAAAGAAAAUUUCCCGUGCACAAGAUACGGUGUAUCCCGCAAUCAAGCAAGAACUUUCGCAUAUAUCCUAGGGGUACCCUACGUAGCAACCACGCAUGAGCCUCGUGGUCAGAUAAAUCAUACAAGAAGCACACGGCAAAGAGAAGUCCAUACGUAACACAAAAAUGGACUCCUUCCUCGAUACUCUCGGGGGGUCUCACCAAUGCCAGAUUCAGCCCCACAUAAAAGGCUACGAACAGCCCGAGCAUAGCAAUUUGAAUGCAAACUUCCACCGUCGGGAUAUAUUUCGGCUUUGACCAUAGCUGAACGUUAACUUGCAUAAUGUAAGAAUAUUGCCACGGCGGAGAAAAGGAACGCCAAAUUGUUAGACAUCACAAAGGUUUUAAAAAAUGGCCUGCCAGCAUGAACUGCCAUUCCAUCGUCAUUAUAACCUCCCGGAACUGUGAAGGCCGCGGCGAAGCUUACGGUGGCUAUCAGCCCUGCCACUAGUAGUUGAGCAUCCAUAAUGCCUCUUUUUGACAAAGUGAAAUCAUCUCUAUCGGCAAUAUUACUUCCUGUAGUUGUCAAUAUAGAGGGUUGACCCCAAGCAAAUUGAUUGUCUAAUCUCUUCUUGCCAUGUUCAACAUACCAGCCUUGAAAACCCGGGAGUCCAUGAGAUCCUUUCAACAGGUAAUGAACUUUCGUAGUGCCGUAGCCGAUCUAAAAAAUGUACAGAAUAUAUCAAUUAACAUGUGAAAGUUUUCCAACGAAAUAAUUCAAGAGCCUCAAUUUACACACUCAAAAUUCAUAUAUAACAAAUAGAACUCCUGGCAAUUAUUAAAACGUCAUGGAGAAUUCAUUCAUAUCAUCUCUUUUAGAUAAAUAGAGUUUCCUAAAGUAAACAUUAUAGUUACAAGUGUGCUAUCCCGGUCCUGAUUUAUUCUCCAUUUUUCUUCUCUUUUUCCUUUUCUUUUCUUUCUUUUUUCUCUUUAUGGUAUCCCCUAAAUUUAGAGAAUUUCCAUACUAAAUGUUUACCAUGUUUUCAAGAUAACUAAGAUUUAGACAAUUACCUUUGAACUAGUUGAAGACCCCUGUGUUGCUCGGAUUUGAAACUUAUUGAAAUUUUUUGCUUAGAUGAUAUGAUAUGAUCAUACAACGUAAUAGUUACAUACAUACAUGUAUCUAUCAACUAAUCAACAAAGUUAACUUAUAUUCAAAUUGCUUUACUAAGUGAUUUGUCAUAAACUAUACCUUCCUAUUUGAAUAAUUUGUCACUGAAUAAUUUUAAUAAAGCAAAAUAUUCAAUCUUAAAAUUGUUUUAAACAACUUAUAUUUAAUGCAUUUAAUUUUUGGAUAUUAAUACGAUUUUUUUUUUCAUGAAAUCGGAUUGUAAGUUGGGCUUUAAUAUGUGGGAAUGGGUUAGAUGGUUAAAAACUAUAAGCAUUAAAUGGAUUAUAAAGACUUCUAUUUUGAAGAUUUUUGCAAUAAUAGCUACUGGCAAGAUAAUUAUUAUGCCAAUAAAAUUUCUAUACGACAAUGCAAAUUCCUAGCUAUGUUAUAGACUGGAAAUAAAAAUUCGAAUACAACUUUUCAACUACAAAUUUUUGUUAUUUUGCAAUACUCAUAAAUAUUGCCUAAUUAAUUUUUCCAUUAGUCUAUACAUAAUUCACAUUUUACUUUGUCAAUAAAUCGUUUUUGUCCACACAUCCAAUUUAUAGAUAAAUUAAUAUUUUUAAGAAGAAAAAGAAGAAGAAGAUGUGACAAUACACAUUUAGUUAAUGAUAAAAAAAAAAUACAAUAUAUACAUAAAAAAAAAACAUAAAGACUUCAAAUCAUGAGUUUAGGUUUGUUGACUAUUAUAUCAGAUCACUUCUAAAUUCAUAAGCUAUAUGAAUUGAUGUUGAUAUAAUGUUCCUUCAAAUCAUGAGUUUAGGUUUGUUGACUAUUAUAUCAGAUCACAUUUAAAUUCGUAAGCUAUAUGAAUUGAUGUUGAUAUUUUCUAGGAACAUUAAUGAUAAAGAAAGACUUUAUUUUUUGUCCAAUUAAAAAUAGUUCGUUUGCUAAUUAAUGUUAGGUGAGGUGGGAGGCCAUGAAGCCUUGUGAUAAUGAGGCUCAACCACAAAGUUCAAUUCUACCCAAUUUUCUUAUUCUUGAUUGUAAUUUAUGAAUUGUGAAAUCACUUUACUCCGAGGCCCUUUUUCAAAUGUGUGUCCAACUGAUUUGGAACGAGAAUUGAAAAUAUAGUUAAUAUGCUUAAACAUUCGAAUAAACAAAACAAAGUUGACGCGAAAAGACUUCAAUUGGGUAGUUUGUUUGUAAUGAAAUGAGUAUCACUCGGGCCACAGUUUCUAAAUGAUAUUGAAGAAAUUUCUCUAAAAGUGAACAAAUCGAGCUCUAUAAUGUUCAAGCAAGCAUACCUCCUUAUAAGUAUCAAAAAUGUCAAUUGCGGUCAAAUGAUCCUUAUUUUUAGCCAAAUGGUCCACCCUCUUGUCUUGUGCAAGUAUGGAUAUGAUGUUGUAACUUCUAUGAAGUGCAGCCAAAUGCAGAGCCGUGUUUCCAUCGGUGUCUUGUUCGUUGAUGAGAUACUUCAGGUUUGGCAUUCGUAGUAUGUAAUUAACUACAUUCACUCGUCCACCGACAACAGCUGCAUGAAGAGCCGUCUGCCCUUUGGUGUUUAUUAUGUCAAAAGCAUCAGGACAGGAUCUAACAAGCUCGUCAAUGACCUUGGCAUGGCCUUGAAAUGCUGCAAGGUGAAGAGCUGAUUCCCCCGCAUUGUCUAAAUCGUAUGUCACAGAAGUAUUAUGUUGGAGGAGUACUCUAACUGCUUCAACUUUGCCCAAGUAAGCAACGUAAUGAAGAGGAGUCCACCCCAUAUCAUCUCUUUCUCUGAUCGCUUCUGGUCUUUUCUCCAUGAUUUUCUCCCAAACUUUGCAUAUAAAAUAGGAAAAUGUUAUGAUUUAGUCUGUUUAUAGCAUCUAGACAUAGAUACUAAAACUGCGCUUCAUCGUGUUAAGUUUUUCCCAUUUUGUGUGUACUAGGAAGGACUAUGUCAUGGUAAUUUGAAGUUUUUUCCGGCGAUCUUGUGUAACACUUGUAGAACCUGACUGCUUUCAAUCUAGCAUAAUGCAGAAAUUCAUAAAGUUUAUCAAUUGAAAAGUUAAAUUGUUAUAAAUUCGUUAAGCAGUUUGAGAAGAAGUUUCUCAUAUUUUUAGCAAGACAUCUGCACUAUCAAGUCUAGAAUAAAAGGCUAAAAUUUACUUCAAUGCCAAUCAUUUUAUGGAAAAUAUCCUGUCCAACUCAACUUUAUAAGAGGAUUUAGAUAAUGAAAGAGGACUAGCACCUUCUACAUUUUCAAAAGUAAAAUCAUUGCAUCCCUUUCCUUUCAAGUCAUCAUAAUUUACCCUCAAGGAUUAAGAAAUUUAGCAUAUAUACCCUGAUCCUUUGUAUAUAUAUUGCCACGUGCCCCAUCAUCACUUGCAAGCUGAAAAUAUUGGUGUAAUUUAGGAAAUAAAAAGUAAGAGAACAAGAUCUAGAAAAACGUGUAGAAAGAAAUUAGCGUGUGCGAAAUGCUAUUACCAACACUGUAAAUAGCAAUUUUUCCGAAUCAAUGGAUAAUCUAAAAUGGAUACUAUUUUUUUUAGUCCGCGUUUCAAGAGAAGACGAAUCGGUUGGACUUAUUUUAUAGUCGAUAAGUAAAACAAUAAAGAAAAUGCAAUGAGAAUUACAACUGAAAUCUUUCCAAAACAUAACCCUCGUAUAUAACUAAUCAAAUAGCGUGUUCGACCUCUCCCCAAACUAAACAUAAUAAUAAAUAAAUAAGUUUUGGAUUUGCUAUCACUGGGCUUAGUAUCUUGUAAUACUUACUGGUCAAUGAGAGAGAGAUUCCGGCAUGCAAAGCUGUCAAACCCUUAGGGCCCUUAUGAGAGGAUGACCAUGAGAAAGCACCUAAAAUCAGCCCAAUGGCAUGAGAAAGUUGUCGAUCUGUUGCAAGAUAAAGUGGAGACUCAUCGGCAGCAUUAAUAAUAUCACACAGUUGAGAAUCUUCUUCAAUCAACAACUGCACCACCAAAUUAUGGCCUCCUCUUAUUGCAUGGUGCAGCGCUGUAUCCUUAUGCAAAUUUUGCUUUCGAAGUAGCUCUUUGCAUGCAUCAACUUGUCCGUUCUCAACAACCCAAUGAAGUAAUUUUGUGAAAUCAGUGAAGACUCGAACCACUUCGCAACUUCCCACUUUGGCAGCAAGAUGCAGGGGAGUGUCUCCUUUGUCGUUAACUUGCCAAAGAAGGGACGGUCCUGAUGGACAUUGAAGAAGACGUUCAAUGAAAUUUACUUGCCCGUAUUGAGCUGCAAGGUGAAGAAUGUUGUUCUCCUUUGGUGUUGUUUGGUGGAAAAGGUCCUCUCCAUUUCCUAAAAUUAUUGUCUCAAAGGAAUCAAAGUCUCCCGACUUUACAGCCUCAUACACUUUAGGAUGCAUUCUCAAGAGGAAUUGACUAAAGGAAGAAGAUUGGGGAGGAAAUGUUUUUAAGCUUCUCAAGAGCACCCAAAAGGAGACUAUUAUAUGUGUAUCUAUAAAAUGUGAAUAUAUCAGGCUUCUUGUUGUGAAAUUUUUGUUCUCUCGAGAGCAAAUUUAUAAUACCGAAGUGGUGGAAUCAAGACAAGUUUGGAAAAAAAAAAUCGACGUCUAGGUAGACAUGUGGUCUUCGUUGGCUAGGUAGCAAAGAUAACCUCCUUCGUUAAUCUUCAGCCAAGUGAAUAUUCUAAGGAAAAUGCUUGGCUAACAUUAGCUUGGAAAACGGACGGUGAAUCCUCGGCCACACAAUUUGGAUGAGAGAGAGGGAGACUUGUGUCUUGUUUGGAAACUUCCUAGUACUUGUGUUUCAGAAAGGAAAUUUUUGUGGACAUUCUUUGAUUAUCACACUUGAGACAAUGAUGAACCUUCAAGGAUGGUGUCAUCGAGAUAGGAAAAUCCUAACGAAUCCACAUUUAACGGUUAGGAUUUAUCCAAUUACUUGACUUGAUCAAUAUUGUCAUCCAAAGAUAGAUAAUUGAUGUACAAUGUCACUCUCUCUACCGUUCCCAAGACGAGUAGACAAAAGUAAAAUUAAAGUUCAAGUGCAAGAAAUGUCUUUGAGCUUAUCAAGAUGACUUGACUAACAGAUGGAUGUUAGAAAGGAAAUUUCUUAGAACUUUUCAAUAAAACUUUUUUGAACUUUCAACUAGACUAAAGAUAUUAUUGGGGAGGACAUUUCUUGAAACAUUUCAAAGGAAUUGACUAAAAAGAGGUUAUUGAGAAUAAAUUUCUUGAAUUUUUCAACAGGACAGGAUUAAAAGGAGGAUGUUGGGAGCAAAUUCAAUGGAGGAUGUUGCAUGGUGCAGCGCCGUAUCCUUAUGCAAAUUCUUCUUUCGAAGUAGCUCUCUACAUGCAUCAACUUGUCCAUUCUCAACAACCCAAUGAAGUAAUUUUGUGAAAUCAGUGAAGACUUGAACCACUUUGCAACUUCCCACUUUAGCAGCAAGAUGCAGGGGAGUGUCUCCUUUGUCGUUAACUUGCCAAAGAAGGGAUGGUCCUGAUGGACAUUGAAGAAGACCUUCAAUGAAAUUUACUUGCCCGUAUUGAGCCGCAACAUGAAGAAUGUUGUUCUCCUUUGGUGUUGUUUGGUGGAAAAGGUCCUCUCCAUUUCCUGAAAUUAUUGUCUCCAAGGAAUCAAAGUCUCCCGACUUUACAGCCUCAUACACUGUAGGAUGCAUUCUCACUGUCUCCCUACCUUUCUCGAGAUAUAGAGCAAUUGUGAGUGAACUUGUGUAUAUAAAGAAUGAGUUCAAGUGGGAGGAAUUUAUUUCAUAAUAUAAUUUUAAAAAAGCCAUAUUGCUCUAAUUCUUGGAAGUUUCCGUUCUCCCACACGCAAAUUAAAAAGGAAAGCACAGGUCUCCCUGUAGCUUCUUUUUUAUUUUUUUAAACUUCUAAGGCAUCUUGUCUUCUACUUCUCCAUAAGAAGCAAAACCAUUUCACAUCCAGGAUACUUCCUGGAACAUGGUAACUUUAGACUUCUACGCCUUCCCCAUGUGAGGUAGGUAGCAACGAGAACCACCCUCGAUAGUUCUUCAGCCAAGUGAAUGUCUAAGGAACCUUCAAGGAUGGAGUCAUCGGAUCGUCUCAUCAAGGCUGAAUCAACUGCUUAUGAAGUUACCAAUUACUAUCACAACCACCGUUGCCGUUACCAUGCACCAGCCCUACCCCUAUUUCUAACAUCCCACUAUCAUUCCAAAUCUAACAACAUGCCACCGUUGUCACUAAAUUUAACAUUGACACCUAAAUUAUAAUUUUAUCUAGUCAUUUAUUACACUAAAAAUUAGGGAUUGGGUUCAAUCCCUAAACAAAAAAUAUCAACAUAAAAUAGUUUGCAUAAUGGGGAGUGUGUACCAUGGAAUAUCACGCAGACAAUUUUUUCUUAUUGAGUGGUGCCACUAAAAAUUGAGGUGCCUUGGCUGAAAGUUCUGAGUUAAUUGCCAAUCUAUGAUUGUGGAGGCCCACUUAUGGAUUGUGGAGACUGAGAGAUGAUGAAGCUGUGAUUAUGGGGGCACACUCGAAAGGAUGAGGAGAAUUCGGUGGCUUCUUUUCCGUGAAUGACGGCCUCACAAAUUUAAGGAACGUGUCAUAGGAGACAUGACAAUUUUUUGGGAGCGUGAUUACCUCGGUCCUUGGCGAAAAGUCAAAGGAUUUGGGACAGGGGAACAUAUUGCGACUUAUCUUCUCCAAACGGAGCGUACUGAAGGCAAAAGCAAACUAACAGGGCAAAGUGUUGUAGAGGGCCGUUUACUUAACGAAGGAAAAGAGAAGAAUUCUUUCCAACAAGUGAAUGGCAAAAUCUCAGCAGUUAAGGCACAAAAUUCCACAAAAUCUCAGCAGUGAAGCCGCAACUAGGAAACAGACGCGGACGAGCAGGCGAACCAAAGUGCGCUCGCUGACGGUUUGCAACCUGAGCAACGGCCAACAAACUUUCUCCGUCGCAUCAGUUUAGCUGCCGACGCACGCCAGUAUCCUUGUUGUUGUGUCCAGCCUGUUAGAAAAAUAUUAUAUAACAUGAAAAAUAAGGAUUGUUAGGAAUCUAUUAAAAAUAAUGAGAAAAUAAGAUUAAUUAUCUAAGGCCUGUAAACAUUGUCCUUAAGGACAAUAUCCUUAUAAUUUAUUUUCAUCAUAUCAAUUGUGAUUAUUUACUUACCCUUAAUUAUACCCAUGGAUGGACAUUGUUUAGUGGUAUAGGAUACUCAAAUAAUUAAAAUAUCAAAUGAAUCUUAGGUAAUAAACCAAUCAAGUUAGGGUAUCGAGAGGAGAGUAGUUGGAUAAUUAGUGUAAUUAAGUUCCCAAUCUUAAAAUUUCCGUUGCGUAAAAGGUGAAAUAUUUCCCCUAUCUUACUUGGCUCCUAACCUGGCUUAAUAAGCUAACAUUAGCUCCUUUAUGUAGGGUAAGUCAUACUAUAAUAUUGAAAAUUCUAAUGUCACACUAGUUAAGGGUUUGGGAGGACCCGAACUAUUUGAGAACUGUCGGUCCACUUUUGGCAUUAUCUCUAAACUCAUCUUUCCCCAAAAGUGUUGGGAGGUUGCGACAAGGAGAUUUCUCUUGCCGGCAUGGAAAAGCACAUAGUCCCCUAAUUUACAGCUCCCAACACAGAUAAUGCAGCUUCAAUGAAGAACAUGGCGAUGGGAAUGGCUUCUUGUAGUUGGACCCCAACGGUUCACGGUUUGUAUUGAUGAAUGGUUAGGUUGUUUGAGGAUUGGCCACUGCUCCUCUCUAUGCAUUAGCGAGUGAUGCAUAUAUUCCACAAGCAAAUACAAAAGAUGAAGCGAAAUGAUUGUUUUUUGCAUGAGUGGGUGAUUGAAUUUUUAUAGGUUGAUAUGGAGAUACUUUUUUGGCGCUGCCAACCUAAUUAUUUAAUGAUGUUACUCACUCGAUUGACUUUGAACGCUCCGAGAUUACAUAGAAAGAUGACAUUCCCCACUUUUAUGAUGGCUAACGAAGCUGUUGACACUGACAGGUUUUAAAUUUUACAAAUGACAUAAAAGUGCUCGAAAUCGACGACUGGCUGACAAAGCAAAGAGAAAAUUUCCCGUGAGCAAGGUCACUGGUUUGCAGAACCGGCCCAACCGCCCAACCGAAAAUGACAGUAAAAAACUUUCGGAUGUAUCCUCCUCUGGGAGAGCUACCUAGCAGCCACGAAUGAGCCUCGGGGUCGGUGAACUCAUAAAUGAAGCACAAAGUGGACAAAAAUCCAUACGCAAUAUAAGGAGCGACUCUUUCCACGGUACUCCUGGUGGGCCUGAUCAAUACAGUGAACAUCCUGAAAAUAUAGGCGAGCCCCAUCGCGGCUAUCGCAACUUCAAUGCAACCUCCCACAGUCGGGAUGUAUUUCGGCUCUUGAUGAUAGCUGAACGCACAACUUUGACAAUGUAAGAUUAUUGCCAGGACAGAGAGAAGGAAAGCAACACUAUUGCAUAGGACAAAGGCUUGGAAAUCUGCCCUGCCAGCAAGAAUCGCCAUUCCCCGGUUGGGUCCGUCGUUGUUAUAACCUCCAGGCAUUUCGACGGCCGCAGUGAAGCUCACUGUGGCUAUGAGUGCCGCCACUAGUAGUUGAACGUCCACAAUGCUUUUUUUUGAUAAACCGAAAUUAUCUCGGUUGGCAAUGUUAUUUCCUAUGAUUGUAGACAAAGAUGGUUGACCCUGACGAAAUUGCUUUUCUAACCUCUUCUUACCAUGUUCAAUGAACCAGGCUUGAAAGCCCGAUAUUCCAUGAGAUUCUUCCAAUAGGUAAGAAACAUUUCUAGCACCGAAGCCGAUCUAAAGAUGUACAAGAUGUAUCAAUUAAUGAGUGAAAUUUUCUAGCCAAAUACUUCAAGAUCCUCACUUUACAAACUCAAAAUCUAUUUAUAACAAUCAGAAAUUGCAACGAGUGGUGAAACGUCAUGAAAAAUUCAUUGGAAAAAAUGUUCUGAAAGUCAUAAAUCUAUUGAACUUUUGUCAAUUUAGUCAUAAACCUUUUAAUUUUGCCAAUUGAGUCCUGAAAUUUUUCACAUUUUGCAAAUUGAAUCCAUUCGGCCAAAUUUUGUUGGAAGUCACUGACAUAGAUGUCGAUCAUCCUAUGUGACAUGACCAGCACUAAUAUGAACAUUUUAAUAUUUUAUUUUUAUUUUUUUUCUUUUUCCCUUCUCUAUUCAAUCGCUAGCCUUAGUGACCUCUAGUAAAGCUCCCCACCCUGCCCCACAACCUAGCCACUAGUGAGGCCAAGCCUUGCCGUCAUUAGGAGAGGUCAAGCCUUGGCAAGGGUAAGCAAGACUUGCCAAUGGCGGGCAAGGUCGACCUCACCCACCCCUAGUGAGGCUCACCCUCGCUAGUGGCUAGCAGGGGCAAGCUUUGCUCGAGGCUAACAAGGUCAACCUUACCAACCCUUGUCUCUGACUAGUUGUUGAGGCUUGGUGACCGGAUAAAGGAGGAAGAAAGGGAAAAAAAUAAAAUAAAAUAAAAAAGGAAAAAGAAAAAAAAAUUGAAAUAUAUUAAAAUAUCAAUUACAAAUUAUCCAUGUUACCAUUGGCCGUGCCAUGUAGGUUAACUGACAUCUUAGCAACUUUCAAUUAAAAUUGACUAGAUGGACUCAAUUAGUAAAAAGUAAAAAAGUUUAAGACUCAUUUAGUAAAAUUAAAAAGAUUUAUAACUGAAUUGCCAAAUAUGUGAUAGGUUUAGGACUCUUUGGAUAAUUUUCUCGAAAUCAUUCAAAUCAUAGCUGAUAAAAUAAAUGGUAGAUAACACUCGUUAAUAGAGUUUCCUAUAGCAAACAAUACAGUUACAAGUAUGCUAUCCCAGUCUUGAUUUAUUUUCUAACUUUCUUUUCUUUUCUUUUUCUUUUUAUGCUAUCCCCUGGUAACAAAGAUUUAGACAAUCACUUUUGAAGUAGUUGAAGGCCCUUGUUGCCCAAAUUUGAGCUUUAUACUUAUUGAAAAGUUUUGUUCUGAUGAUAUAAUAUGGUCAUACAACAUAUGAUUAACAAACGAAUAUGUAUUUAUCAACCAACCAACAAAUUUAAUCAAUACUCAAAUUACUUUACUACGUGAUUUGUUUUAAACUAUACCUUGUUAUUUGAAGACUUUGUCACUGAAUAAUCUUAAUAAAGCAAAAUAUUCAAACUUAAAUUGUUUUUUAACUAUGUGCAUUCAACUUUUGGCUAUUAAUCUGAUAUUUGGUUUUUUAUUUCAUGCAAUCUGUACCUGGAGCUUUUAUUUGGGAUAAUGAGUUAAAUGUUUUUAAAAUAUAAGCAUUAAUUGGAGCUAUAAAGACUUAUGUUUUAAAUACAACUUUUUAGCUACUGGCAAGAUAAUUAUUUUGUCAUAUGAAAUAUUUAUAGUACAAUGCAAAUUCCUGACUAUGUUAUAGUUUAAAAAUAAAAAUUUGACUACAACAUUUUAGCUACGAAUUUUGUUAUUUUUGCAAUACUCAUAAAUAUGGCUUAAUCAAAUUUUUAAUUAGUCAAAGAAUAUUUGACAUUUACUUUUCACAAAAUCGUUUCUAUCCAUACAUCUACUUUGUAGAUAAAUUAGCAAUUUUGAAAAAAAAAAAAAAGAGAUAUGACCAAACACUUUUAGUUAAUAACAAAAGAAAAAAAACAUUAUAUACCAACUCACAUCUUGAAAGAACCAUAAAGACUUCUAUAGUGAGUUUAGAUUUAUUGACUAUUAUAUCAAAUCACAUAAAAACUACUAAGCUACGUGAAUUGAUGUUGAUUUUGUUGUAGGAACAAUAAUGUUAGAGAGAGCCUUUUUAUUUUUACAACUAAUAAUAGUUAGUUUGCUAAUUAAUAUAAAGUCAGGGAGGCAAGGAAGGUUUGAUAAUGGCUCAUACUCUACCCCCAUUUUCUGGAAGAAGUACACUAGAAGUGCCUUAACUUGUGUACGACACAUACUUUAGUGCCACAACUUUUUGUAGGCUCACUUAAGUGCCACCUUUAAAAAAAAUAAAAUAUUUACUUAAGUGUUAACUCAAAUAUGAGUGGCCGAAAAUCUAACAUGAUCAUAUUUUAUUAAUUUUUCAAUCCUACCUGGCUUGCCGCAUGCCCAGUCAUUAUAUAAUCUCUAAAUGAUGUCAUUUAAUAAGUUAAAAAAGUGAUCACUUCAGUACUAGUCAUUAUAAAAAAAAAAUCAUUUCAGUGUCAAUCGUUAUUAAAAAGUGAUCACUUUAAUGUUGAAAAAAAAUCCUAAAUAGUGUUGUAUAAUAAGUUAAGAAGUGAUCACUUCAGUGCCAAUUUUAAUGAAAAAGUGAUCACUUUAGUAAAAAAAUUCCACCUCAUCUAAUAUAAAAAUUUUCAUUGGAAGCACUUAGUGAUCAUAGGUGAUCANNNNNNNNNNNNNNNNNNNNNNNNNNNNNNNNNNNNNNNNNNNNNNNNNNNNNNNNNNNNNNNNNNNNNNNNNNNNNNNNNNNNNNNNNNNNNNNNNNNNAUGAGCCGGCAAAUGGUGCCGCCUCUGCGGCUUUUGCAUCUCGUCACCCUUCCACUUCUUUUGGUUCUACAUUUGGAGUGCAAGUUACUGGUGACGAGAUCUUUUGUACAUUUGGCUUUUCUUAAUAUAUAUCUUACCUUUACCAAAAAAGAAAAAGAAAUCCAUGGUACUAUUUGCUACAAAAAUUGAAAAUAUCGUCAAUAGGCUUAAACAAUCAAAUAAGCAUGACAAAGUUGACGCAAAAAAGACUUCAAUCAGGUCGUAUGCAUGCACCUGAAAUGAGUAUUUCACUGGGGCCAUAGUUUCUAAAAGAUAAAAGAAGAAAUUACUCUGCCAGUGAACAAAUCGGGCUCUGCAGUAUUCAAACAAGCAUACCUCCUCAUGAGCAGAAAAAAUGUCAAGGGCGGUUAAAUGAUCUUUAUUUUUAGCCAAACGGUCCACCCUCUUGUCUCGUGCAAGUAUGUCUAUGAUGUCAUUUUCUUUGUGAAGUGCGGCCAAAUGCAGAGCCGUGUUCCCAUCAGUGUCUUGUUCGUUGAUAAGAUCCUCCUGAUUUGGCAUCCCUAGUAUGUACUUGACUACACUCACUUGUCCACCCAUAACAGCUACAUGUAGAGCCGUUUGUCCUUUGUUGUUUAUAAUGUCACAAGCAUCAGGACAGGAUGUAAUGAGCCCGUCAAUGACAUUGAUGUGGCCUCGAAAUGCUGCAAUGUGAAGAGCUGAUUGUCCCUCUUUGUCUAAAUCAUAUGUUGCAGAAUUAUCAUGUUGCAGGAGUAGUUGAACUGCUUUGACUUUGCCAAAAUAAGCGACAUAAUGAAGAGGUCUCCACCCCAUAUCAUCUCCUUCUCUGAUCGCUUCUGGCCUCUUCUCCAUGAUUUUCUCCCAAACUUUGCAUAUAAAAUAGGAAAAUGUCAUGAUUUAGUCCGUUUAUAGCAUCUUGACAUACAUAUUAAAGUUGCACUCCAUCCCUGCAAGUUUUCCCCAUUUUGUCCGUACUAGAAAGGACUAUGUCAUGGUAAUUCCGAAGAUUUUCUAGCGAUCUUGUGUAAUAUGCAUGGAACCUAACAGCCUUCAAUAUAGGACAAUGUAGAAAUUUGUUAAAUUUAUCAAUUGAUAAGUGAAAUUGUGAGAAAUUCGUGAAGUUGUUUGAGAAGAAGCUUCUCAUACUUUAAGCAAGGCAUCUGCACUCCCAAGGCUAGAAAAAAAGAACAAGACUCUUUACUUUGAUGCCAAUCAUUAUAUGGAUUAUGUAAGAGAAUAUAAAUAUUGAAUGAGGAUUAGCACCUUCUACAGUUUCAAAAGUAAAAUCAUUGUAUCCCUUUCCUUUGAAGUCGUCAUUUUUGGCCCCCGAGGGUUAAGAAAUUUAGUAUGCCCUGAUCUUUUGUAAUAUAGUGCCAGAUGCCCUGUCAUCACUUGCAAACUGAAAAAAGUGGUAUAAUUUAGGGAAAAAAGAGAGAGAAACAAUUAUCAAAAUAACGAUUUUUCUAAAUGAACGUACAAUCUAAAAUGGAUACUAUUUUUCUGUCCGCGUUUUAAGAGAAGACCAAUCGGUUGAAACUUAUUUUAUAGUCGAUAAAUAAAACAAUAAAGAGAAUACAAUGAGAAUAACAACUCAAAUCUUUCCAAAACAUAACCCCCCGUAUAUAACUAAUCAAGAGUUGUGUUCAAUCUUUCACAAAUAUAAACGUAAUAAUAUACAAAUUAAUUUUGAAUUUACUAUUUUAUUUAUUGAAAGCUAGGAUAGACGGCAACCCUCUUGCUAGCACCAGCACUCUCAUCUAAGAGAAGCAUUGCACAAGAGAGAUAACUUUCGUUAAAAAAAAAAAUCAUUGGGCUAAGUAUCUUGCGAUACUUACCAGUUAGUGAGAGAGAGAUUCCAGCAUGCAAAGCUGUCAAACCCUUAGGGCCCUUGUGAGACGAUGACAAUGAAAAAGUGCCUAAAAUCAGCUCGGUGGUACAAGAAAGUCCUCGAUCUGCUGCAAUAUAAAGUGGGGACUCAUCGGCGGCAUUAGUAAAACUGCAGAGUUGAGAAUCUUCUUUAAUCAUCAACUUCACCACCCAAUGAUGGCCUCCUCUUACAGCAUGGUGCAGUGCAGUAUCCUUAUGCAAAUUCUGCUUUCGAAGUAGCUCUUUGCACGCAUUAACUCGUCCGUUAUUAACAACCCAAUGAAGUGAUUUUGCUAGAUCAAUGAAGGCUCGAACUGCUCUAUAGCUUCCCACUUUAGUAGCUAGGUGUAGGGGAGUGUCCCCUUUGUAGUUACCCUGCCAAAGAAGGGACGGUCCUAAUGGACAAUGAAGAAGACCUUCAAUGAAAUUUACCUGCUUGUAUUGAACCGCAACAUGAAGAAUGUUGUUCUCCUUUGGUGUUGUUUGGUGGAAAAUUUCCUCUCCAUUUUCUGAUUUUAUUGUCUCAAAGGAAUCAAAGUCUCCCAACUUUGCAGCCUCAUACACUUUAGGAUGCAUUCUCACCGUUUCUCUACCUUUCCCCAGACAAAGAGUAGUUGCGAGUGAACUUGCAUAUAUAAGCAAUGAAUUCAAGCCGUAGGAAGUUCUUUCAGAAAAUAGUUUUCGAAAAGCCAAAUUGCUCUAUUUCUUUGAAGUUUCCGUUCUUCCACACGCAAAUUGGAAGGAAAAAGUCAAGCACGACAAAAAAUUAAACGGCCAGUCUCCCUGCAGCUUACAUUUUUCUUUUUUACUUUUGAACUAUCUUGUCUACCGCUCGUCAUCAAAAGCCAAACCAUUGCACGUCGUCGAUGCUUCCUAGAACAUCAUAACUUUAGACUUCCAUGCCUCCCCCCGGGGAGUACAUGGCAAUGCGAACCAUCUUCGAUAGUUCUGGCGAAUCAACCCUCAACGGCUUAUGAUGUUAUUAGUUGCUAUCACAACCACCCUUGCUGCUACUAAGCACCAGCCACUACCCCCAUUUCUAACAUCCUACCAUCAUCUCACAUCUAGCAAUAACUUGAGGCCGUUGUCACUAAAUUUAACGUGGCCAUAAAUAGUCUCUAACUCAUUUACCUAUGGUUGAUACCUAAAUAUUGAUUUUUCCCAAUCAUUUAUUGCAUGAAAAUUAGGGAUUGGGUUCAAUCCCUAAAAAAAAAAAAAUCAAAAGUACAAAGUUUGCAUAAUGGCCCGCGCUCCAUGAAGUAUCACCCAUGGAGCCAUUUAAAAAUGACAUAUUUUGGCCAAAAGUUCACGGUUAAUUGUCAAUUCAUAUUGCAAUUCAAAAUUGAAAUUUCGUACUAAAUUUUGCAGAGGAAACAGAGAGAUGACCGAGCCAUGAUUGUGGGGGCAUGCUCAAAAGAAGGAGGACUAUAUGUGUAUUCUUUUUAGACUCACAAAUUUAAGAAAUGCAUCAUUGGACACAAUUAAUUGUCAAUUCACAUCGCAAUUCGAAACUGAAAUUUCGUAUUAAAUUUUGCAUAGGAAACGGAGAGAUGACCGAGCCAUGAUUGUGGGGCCAUGCUCAAAAGAAGGAGGACUAUUGGAUUCUUUUUAGACUCACAAAUUUAAGAAAGGCAUCAUUGGACACAAAUAUUUUUCUUGAGAAUAUUGGCUAAAUUUGUGGGCAUAUAAUUACCUCAAUCCUUGGUGAAAGUCAAGGAUUUGGGCAUUAUUGCGUCGAAUCUUCUUCAGACGAUCGAGCGUACAUGAGAAGGCUUCAGUAUUGAUUAAGGCAAAAGCAAAUUAACAAGGCAGGUGUGUACUGUGCAGGGGGCCGAAGAAAGGCAACUGUGUACCGUGUAGGGGCCAUUUAAUCAAUGAAGGAAAGGAAAGGCAAGGCAAGUAAAGAGGAAUAUGUUAGAGUUUUUCUAAUUGUGGACUACAUUAAUUGAUAUUGUAAUUUACCGUUUAACGUUUAUCGUUUUACGGGGUUUGGUCUAAGAUGAGAUAGAAGGUUUCUUAAUUAGUCUAAUAUGGGCUGGCUAGUGUGGGCCGAGUUGAGCCUGGCCCGUAAUGAGAGGGACUGGCUGGAAACUCUAUAAAUAGUGCUCAAGUCUCUCCUCUAACCCUAAUUCUCACAUGUAUCCUCACCUAAUGGCGUUUACCUAACGCUAAACGUGAGGGGGCCGCCUCAUUGAGCCAGUGAUACGGAGGGCAAUAGAGGAGAAGGACUUGUUGCGUGGAUCCCCUUGAUAACAUGUGGGUAAUCCUUUUCUGCUUCCGCUUUAUGUUCUAUGGAUCCCAAAACAGGUGUGUUAAUCUUUCUACUCAAUUAUGCAUGUUCUUGUUCUGGUUAUGGAGAUCUUGGGGUUGCGCAAUAUGCGUCUAACAGAAUAUUCUUUCCAACUUUUGAAAGGCAACAUCUCAGCAAUUAAGGCACAAAAUUCCAAAACAUAAGGAGAAGAUAUCGCCAAUAUUGGACGUUCACUAUGACCAGUUGUUACCGCGUUAAGCCUUGACGGUCAUUGCCCCUGCCCCGACGGCAUCACCGCUCCUCCCAACCAAGCCAAGUCGGCAUCAUUUCCUUCGGUGCCACGCCAAACAUAGAUUUCCAGCAGAACCGUAGAGACCCGCCAGUCAAGCCAACUCCUGCAGCUGCUGUUCGCUACCAACAUCAGUUAACCAGCACCUCCGGCGAGCAUCAAUUCUUCCCUGCGGCCGCGCCACGAAGCUGCAACUAGGAAGCAGACGCGGACGAGCCAGCGAACCAAAGCGCCCUCGCUGACGGUCUGCAACCUGAGCAACGGCGAACAAACUUUCUCCAUCCCAUCCGUUUAGCUGCAGCUUCCAGGCCCCACUCAUAGCAAUCACUAGCCUUGCCUAGGCGUCCCAGUAUCCCCGUUGUUGUCGUGUCAGUCGUUNNNNNNNNNNNNNNNNNNNNNNNNNNNNNNNNNNNNNNNNNNNNNNNNNNNNNNNNNNNNNNNNNNNNNNNNNNNNNNNNNNNNNNNNNNNNNNNNNNNNNNNNNNNNNNNNNNNNNNNNNNNNNNNNNNNNNNNNNNNNNNNNNNNNNNNNNNNNNNNNNNNNNNNNNNNNNNNNNNNNNNNNNNNNNNNNNNNNNNNNNNNNNNNNNNNNNNNNNNNNNNNNNNNNNNNNNNNNNNNNNNNNNNNNNNNNNNNNNNNNNNNNNNNNNNNNNNNNNNNNNNNNNNNNNNNNNNNNNNNNNNNNNNNNNNNNNNNNNNNNNNNNNNNNNNNNNNNNNNNNNNNNNNNNNNNNNNNNNNNNNNNNNNNNNNNNNNNNNNNNNNNNNNNNNNNNNNCCGUUAAAAAGGUAGUUAUAUAACCGUUAAUAUAAUGAUGAUUUCAUACGGUGAUAAUGUCUAUAAAAGUCAUUACUUUAAAAUAUUUCAAAAAUUGUUGCAAUGGCCUUUUUGCACGACAUCACCCUAUAGUCCACGCAGCUUCCACAUUUUCCCAGUGGGCAAUCAGCGAGCUUUGAGCACGCCCAAGUGGCAUGGUUCUUCUCCAGACCAGUUCAAGCAAACCCCACCGAGCUCUUGAUGCCUCAACUGAGUCCAGUAGCCUCAGUCAAGCUUCGGCUGCGCCUAUAAUUUUCUUGCAGUGUCCAAAGCUAUUCCCGGUGGACCAGCAAAUUUCAGCAAGCCCUGACCUUCAGCCCUGCCUUCUUCGACUUGCUGAGUUCCCUGCGGUCAACUCUAGGUGUCUCCACCAAUCUUCGGCCACUCCUGCUCAGCCCCGCUGCAUCCCCAGCUACAUUUGGACUUGCUGGCUUUGCUUGGAACCUCUUCCUUGAGUCAACCCAGCUUUUUGGACAUCCCUGCAGCAGCUUCACGAGCGUUGAUUACCUUUGUCGACGAUACUUCUAUCACUUAGUUGCCAUUUGGAUUCUACGUAAGCUAAGCCUUAGGAUAUCUAAUUCUGCUUUAAAUAUUUUCCUGCAUUAGUCAAGGAAUAUUAGGGCGCCGGACCUUUGGGCCUAGAGGUCAGGUGCUUAGUAUCGCCCCUUCAUUAUUCGUGACUAUAACAUAUCUUUUUAUGCGUGAUUGGUUGGAAAAUUUUUACAUGCAUCACAAUAAUGUCUUUGAUUUUUAAUGGUAAACUUUGGUAAAAUAUAUACUUUGAUGCUUGACGAUCAUCAUGUAUAAAUUGCAUAUCAUAAUCUCUUAUACAUAUUUAGAGCUUAGGGUGCACUCAUAAUUUCAUAUUUGGGGCAAUGCACGUAAUCUUAAAAUGAACAUAAAUUUAGGAUAACGCCUAGUUUUCAUUAUAAUAAAAUGUCAUUAUUAUAUGUAGAUUGCAUGUAAGUUUCGAGUUAAUCAGUCCCAUAGCAUGCGUAUCAUAGAAUACAAGGCUUUUAGAAUUAAUCAUAUGGAUAACGUUAACUAUUAAUGGCAUUACUGCAUCAUCCAUCGCAUACAAUUCCAUAAUCACUAAAUGUUCGUUAGGUCUCGGAUUUUUAAUAUAAAAAUUGCACUCCAUAUGGUCUUCAUAUAGAAUAGAUUCAUGAUUUCCAUAGACCACUCAUUUUUGCUAAUUAACUAAGAAUAGGGCAUACAUUAUUAAAAAUGUUCCAUAUUGCAUAUAUAAUAGAAAUUGCAUGCUCAUUUAAUUUAUAGACUUUAGGGUCAUCUGUCUUGUUGUUAAUUUAUAAAAGAAAAAAUAAUAAAAAAGUCAAAUUAGAGAGUCUCACGUAGAUUGCAUUAAUUAGGCUAACUUUUUCUAAAAUUCAUAUCGCCCACUAUUCAGUAGAUCAUUUAGGAUUAAUCUGACUAAUGUCCCACAUAGAUAGUUUUCGGAAUUAAUUCCAUCAUUUGUCAUUUAAAACUAAUCAUGCAUAUCACGUAGCUGCAUCAUUCUUGCAUGUCAUUUAGUUAUUUUAUUAGGUCCUUGGCAUAUCGGUAAAUUUAUUUUAACAUAGAACUCUAGGGUUUAUUUGUGUUUUUCUUAAAUCAUUGUGUUGGAUAAAUAAUAAUAAAAAAUUAAAAAUUUAGAAUAUAUUGCAUAUUAGUUAGUCAUUAACUCAUGCUAAAUCAUAGACACCAUUCAUGCAUUAUGUAUGCAUAAAUGGUGAGAUCCGAGAGAGGCCAGCCAAUCCGAAGGUGGGUGAGAUCCCCCCCGCCUUCCCCUCCCACCGGAUCUCUGCCGCGUCGACGCCUUCCCCGAUCCCUGCUGUGCCUUGCGUCGCCGCCGUGUCAGGUGGGAACGCUGCCAGCUGCCCCUUUUCUUCUUCUUUACAUCUUGUUCGGCCUCACUGCGUCCAGGGUUUCCCGGUGCCGCCGUCACCGUAGCUCAGAAGACGCCGGAGCUUGCGCCAACCCCUGUUCGUAUCGCUCCAACCACCAAGCCCCCCACCAUCUGCUGUUGCGGCCUCACCGUCGCACCUGCUGGCGUAAGCUACGGCUGCCCCCGUUAGGGUUCGAGGGUGAGGAGUAGAGAUCCCGCGGCCGGCUUCGUUGACUGGCGACGACAGUCAGCGACGACGGCGACUGGCCCUAUUGUAGGUCGGGUCAUCGAUAGGCCGGCGCAGCAUAGUCGGAAUCCAAUGGCCGAGCGUGGAGGGGUGGCGUCGUCCGUCGCGGCCACUGGACCACAAAGGCAGUUGCGGCUGUAGAGCCAGGUCAGCUGGGUUGGGCGCGUGACCCGGGUCGCCCUAGGGUUUGGUUGCAUGGGUCGAGCGUGGGUGGCAAACCGGGUAGGGUUGGUUUUGGACGAUCCAGGCCAAGUAUACCAGAGCCGGGUCCGGGUUGGUUAAAAUGUGGGCUUGUGGGCCAUUUUUUUUUUUAAAGAGGAACGAGGCCCGAACUGGGCCGUGUUUCGGCCCAUCCGGGUCAGUCCCAACUCGGGAAUCCAACCCGAGUUGUUUUUUUAAUAAUAUUAUUAUUAUAUUAUAAUUAAAAAUAAUAGUUUAAUAAGUAAAAUAAUUAAUAAAAUAAUUUAUUUUAAAAAAAUCAGAACAAAUCCAGAAAUACCCCACGUUUUCCUAAUUUACCAAAAAAACCAAAAAUGAUUAAUAUUUUCAAAAAGAGAUAAAAAAUCCAAAAAUGCUUUUUAUGUUCAAAAAAUAGAAAAAGACCCAAAAAAUGUUUUUCCUCUGCAAAUGUAUGGAAAACCCCUCAAAAUUCCAAAAAGCUUUAGGAUUUAAACAAGAUUAGGUACCAGAAUGGCAUUAAUGAUUAACUAGUAUAAUCAAGUUUCCAAACUUGGUUUCUCUGGUUGCGCAGGAGCAUAUAUUCCUCCCAAUAUUCACAAAUAUAUAUAUAUAUAUAUAUAUAUAUAUAUAUUCCUCUCAAUAUUUGUCUUGGAUUUCUCCAAAUUAAUUAGUGGCGACUCCUUAACUUAUAGGUAAAAAAAUAUCAAACCAUUAAGUUGUGAAUUGGUGGGCUUGGGAGAGCCCGAGUUAAGUCUGAUAAACCUAGUCAAACCAUUAGCUUCUGCAAGCGCCUGCCUUGAUCGAGUGCCGAAAAAAGCGGUCAUGACACACUUUGAUCUCUACUAUAACCCUAUUUUUGUUGUUGAAUAUUAAAGUAGAAAAAUUGUGGAAUCAUGACUAGCCGCAUGGAAAAAUUAAAAUGUUAAAGUAUAAUGUUUGAUAGUAUUAUAAUGCAUGUGUGAAUUGUGCUAGAAAAAUUUUACAUUGGAGAAUUGAUCUGUUAUUGAAUAGUUAAUAAUCUUAGUUGACCUAUAGCUUAUUAACUUAAGUUUUUUAGUGAAUAUAGGUAUAACUGAAUAUAUUCACGAGUUUAGACUUUGAUUCUCUCUUAGCGAUCUUUCCAAAUGAAGUUAUCAAUUUUGACUGAAGGUUGAUCCAACUAAAUAUAUUGAUAAACUUAGACUUAUUCUCGUCAUUGCUAAUCUCCCCUAGAUAAAGGCAUCAUAUGGUGAUUUUAGUGCAAAGAGAGUUUACAUCCAAUUGAGGCAUUUUCUUCUUGGAGACAUGAGUUUUUCAAGCUAUGAGAUAAUUCUCGGUGAUUUCUUUUAUCAAGUUUUAUAGAGUAAUUACAUGAAACUAAAUACUGCAUGUUUGAGUGUAAUCUAGAGUUGGAAAACACUCAAGCGUAGGAGUAAUUAUAACUCUAUAAUUAUGUAAUUGAUUAAUGGAUUAUUUGCUAUUAACUCUCUCUUGGAGUAGAAUUAGACACUUGGAUUGGAUCGUGUGAAUUUCUCAUUUACUUUUUUGUUCCUCAUUCAUUUCACCGGUAAUUUGAUUCUCUUGUAUUGAUUUAAUUGCAAGAUCCAUUAUCUUUAGCAUAAUUUUACAAUAGAUAGCUUAACAUUAUCGUUGUAUACACCAUAUGAAGAUCUCUUAAUUACUUGUUGAAUAACAUUUCUAAUAAAGUAAGAAUAUAGAUUUAUUCGUAGAUUGAAACCACUCAACUAAGUGAUAUUUUCUUCUUGGUUGUGGAAUAUGAAAUGCUUCGAACUCCGAAGGUAUUUUUUAGUACACUAAAAUAAGGUUAAUCGGAUGAGACCAAAGAAAGCUCUUUUUCCUCCAAAAAAACCUUCUUAGUAGAAAUAUAUCAUUCAAAGUGGAUUUUUUUUUUUUUUAACCUUGGGGUACGGAUGUGAGAUCUAGUUAUUCUGAGGCUCAUAAAAUAUCUCGUAGUCGGUGAGAUUUUAAUAUUUAGUUUCUGAUCUGGAAAUCUCUGUUGCCAUAGCUUUACGCUGCUAUUGACAAUAUCUCCUCUAGUUGAUCAAUUAUGAGACAAGAAAUAGUUGAAAAAAAAACGCUUUCUCCCCAUCAUAUCAUAUCUCUUUAUGUGUGCCAAUCGAUUUCAUUGAUCAAUUUGUUAGAGACUUGAUCAAGAUACCAACUCGAAUAUAAUAUUUAGUUUCUAAACUGGAAAUCUCUGUUGCCAUAGCAACGUUGCGUGGUAGACAAUUAGGGGUACUUUCUAAUCAGUUUUAAUUUUUCAUAUGCAACUAUUAAUGGACAAUGAAGAUAUUAAACUUCAUUUAAAUAGUAUAUGCUUUGUCAAGACGCUACUCCAGUUACCACUCCCCCGCUUGUUAAAUUUCGUGGAUAGACAAAUGUAAUGUGUUGACCCAAUAGGUCAUGAGUUUUAAUUUAGAUAUGUAGUGUGCUAGAUAUGCCUAUGAUCUCACAUUGCCAUAUAUGAGUUGUAGUUGGUAGAUAAAUCUCACGAAUUCUCAAAUUAAUAUGGUAGGCUCUUCCAUCUUGUCGGCAUAAGUGAGCUAGAGCGAGAGCUAGAACUUUAUGUGUUGGUGUGGCGGGCUUGUGUGUCAUUUCCUACAAUGGUAUAGGCAAGUUAGUCAAGAUAGAGAUGUUAGUGAUUGUUUUUAAUUUCACAAUCCCACACAUUUAAGACAUGUUGUAUUGGUUAGGAGUGUGCAACAAGAACAGCCUAAACUGGGAACCACCUAAACCGGAUUGGAUCAGCCAGUUUUGUGUAGUUCCCAGAGAGGGCGGUCCGGUUCCUGGUUCUAAGGUGGGAAUCAUAUCGAUGGGACCGAUUGAUAUAAAAAAAAAUCGAGAAAAACCAUUUUUCCCAUUUUAGUUUUGCUUUCCCCUCCUUCCCUUUUUGCUUACUGCUUUCCCCUCCCUUCCACUUUUUGCUUUCCCCUCCCUUCUGAUUAACACAAGCUGAUAAAAACCCACUGAAAAAACCGAAGCUUUAAGCUUGAUUCUUGAAGACAGAAUCGGUCGUUGUGGUCGCAGUUCUCCUGAGGCUGGGCGAAGGACCGUCGUGCAAUCAAAAGACACGCCGAAUUACACCAGUUUAGGCGUGGGAUACAUGGACGUGGGAGAAGGAAAAAGGAGAAAUCAUAAGUAAAGGGAGCAAAAGGGAGGAGCAUUUGGAGGUGCGCGUCGUAGUCGGAAGGAUUGUUGUAGAGCUGGGACUCCAGGGCUUCAAUCCGGAGCUUGUCCUCAGCCUUGGAGUCGAAGUCGGAGUUGGAAUCGGAAUCAGAAUCGAAGGCAGAAGGGGAAGAAUCGGCAAGGACACCCAAGGGCUCGUCUGGAGGUGAAGGCAUGGCUGAAUCUUGACCUUCGCCGGCCAUCUCCUUCUGGUCUGCCUCUCCGACCAUCUCCAUCUCCGUCUUUCUUUCUCCUUCUUCUGGAUUGACGAUGGCGGACGCUUUUUGGAUCAGAGAACACCUCGCUAGUCAUUAGUCACUGCUCUACCGGCGACAAACUGAGAAACGUUGCGACGGAAUCUAUGAAAGGCAAGUUUAUUAGCAUCACACCAGCUCCUUUGCAAUUAUGCUGCGGUUUAUGAAUUGACAACAAGGCCAUGCAGCCACUGAACAAAAUUCUUUCUGGAUGAUCUACAGAAAAAGACAGAGCAAUCAACAAAACAGUCACUCUCAUCAGCCCAUCGACAAGACGGGGUCACUAAAAAAGGACCGAUCCAACUGAAACAACUACUUAUCUCCUCAUCCUUCACUGUAUAAUCGGAAGAUCCUUAAGCCACAAGCACCAACUCAUCCAACACGGUGACAAACAAAUAACAAAUUAUCAAUUCCACCGGACCAAACUGGACCAAUCAGUCAGUUCGAUUACCAGUUCUAGGACCGGUUGGUCUCAUUUCCCGAUCCUAGAGUCUGGGAAUUGGUCCUCCUGCUCUGAUUCCCAAUUCCACCUCGCAAUAGGAUCGACUCGGGAACCGAUCAGUCCUAGUACUGGUAUAUAACUCUAGCGCAAUGAAAUUAGAAUGAUGCAUUUUAAUGCCACGUAGAGGUAGAUGAGUCGCAGUUAGAAAGGGCAAUAUCAUGUUGAUGGUAAAGUCGCAAUAUAUAUUGUUUUGGCUCGAAAAUAAAGCAUGCUUACUGGAAGACAUCCUUGCAGACACCGCCAAUAAACCCAUUUACAACUUUGUCCUCUCUCACUUCACUUUACUAAUCAAAAGAAAUUCUUGCAAACACUAACGUGUUAAAAUUAAUCAAUUUGUAACUUUUCUCUUUAUAUAAUCUAGGGCUACGAAAGUGAGAAGACCCGGUUAUCUGGAGAUUCACAAUAAUCUCUCCAUAAAUUAACCUCAAAAAGAUAAAAAAGAAAGUAAAACCAGCAACUUUUUAGAAUCUUCUUAGUCACUAGAAGCUAAUGUUAUUGCGUAUAUUUUACUGCUUAAUGAUAAGCAACUGGUAUAUAGUAUUAGGCCUUAAUUUUCUUUUAGUUGAAAGGUAACAUUUUAUUCAUCUCGACAAUAAGACAAUGCAUCCAACCGCAAACCAAAAUAAACCCCAGAUAGUUUUAAAGCAAAACAAGUUCCAAAUAAUAAGAUGAAUCAUUAGAACAAAGUUAAGAGCCACACAUUCAAAGAGCGUAUCUGUGAUUUUUUCAAAUCAAAAUCGUCAAUCAAUUACUGAAUCCAUCUUCAAUAAUGAGCACACAUUGAGAACUCCAUAAAUUACUAUGGCUUUGUCUUUCAGCAGUGUGCAUCUAGGUUUGAUAUCCCCAGCAAUCGCCAUUCAAAAUAAAAAGGUUGUCCGAGCACAGAUUUGAUUGAACGAAGCCUUCACAAAACUGCUACAAUGUCUUGCAACUCUAGACUUGUACACCAACUAAACCCAAGAGAAACAAACCUUGAAAACAUAAAUGCAAAAAUCCUCAAAUCUAAACUAAAUUGGAAUAUAAACCUCUCCAAAUUGGGAGAGAGAAGCUUUCAGAUUUAGAUUAGAUCAGAAGAGAAAAGCCCCCCAAAUGAGAAGGAAACAAGCCAAAAAAAAAAAAAAACCGAAUUAAUCAAAGAAAAAGGGAGCAUAGAGAGAUCUAGUUCAAGCCCUUCCCUCCAUGGAGGUUCAAGAAGAAAGUUGCAUGGAGAUGAGAGGGAGAGGAGAAGAGGAGGCCGGCAGCUAGGGCUUGAUACAAUCUCAUAUUAGGCCUUAAUAAAAUGGUGAUAUAAGUAUGUGGUGACCUAUAGGAUAAGCAAUUGCUUUUAAUUUGAGUGAUUCAAACUUUAGAAUUUAUUGUCCCAUCUUUACAGUAGGUAUACUCAGUCGAUUAGGCGUGCCACUGGGUUGAACGGAUUAUUUGAUAAUAAAACUUGCACCUUUCGGAGCAAUAUUUUUUGUUAGUUUUUUUUUCUCAUUUUUAUUACUUGGAAAAUGAUAAGAAAAAUCAGAAAAUAUUAAUUCACUAGGGAAACUACUUCCCAUGUGGCAUUUGCAGUCUCGGAUUUAUAGGAAAAAAGAUUUUAGUGUAAGAGUGGUUUGUAGGCGGAAUUGUCGUGGAAGUUUUCAAUCAAUUAACCUGUCCCAUGCUACCGUCAUCAAAAUCUUUUGGAGCUAAUUCACAUUGUUAUUACUAAAUAUUUUUCUGCCAUUCAGCAAAAGAGACCGUGCGUGUAUCGCGGAGGAAUUUCUUUGGGCUUUCGAAGAGGAAAGGCCAAAAUAGUUGAGUGGGAAUUGGUGCACUGCAGAGAAGUUUCUUCGAGAUUUCCUAGUGGAUCGGACAGCAUAGUUAGUACAUGAAGAAAUUUCCUUGAGUUUUCGAAGAGGACCGGGAAGGAGGUUAUGACACAAGACUGCUGUACGGACGGUCCCCCCUUGGACGGUUGGUGACGCUUUCCUGAUUCUUCGCUGCGGUGAACCGGCGCGAUCUCUCCCUACCUCCAGUGUGAGUGCGCGCCUUUCUGGAUUCAACUGCAUCGUCCAUGCAGCAUGAGGUUUCGGUGUAACUUCUCAAUAUUUAUGGAGCCACUCUCCUUGUUCAUUUCGAUGGGGAUGUUUGCAUGGUGGAUUAAGAGCACAUUGAAUUUUCUCCGAACAAAAGCUAGGAUCAAAGUGAACGUCAAAAUUAACCCAAAAAAAAAAUCAUAAAUCUGUUGUACGAAUAUCAAUUUAACCUUACCAAAAAAAAAAAAAUUGCCUUAUAAAAAAAAUAUUAAUUCAAUAUUAAAGCUUUCAAUUUGAUUAAUCUAGCUUUAUUGUAGUCAUUCCGGCCAAAGGUAAUGUGGAUGACAACUAUCCUAUGUAACAUAACCAGCACUAAUGUAGAUAAUUUUUACAAAUUUUUUUUAUAAUUUUUCCGGAUUUUAUUUUUUCUUUCUUGUUUUAUUUUCCCUUUUACUUCUUUUAUUUUCUUUCUCCAUUUUAUCAAACUCUAACCCGGCAACCCUUGCCAGCCAUUGGGUGAGGAGUGUGAAGCCCUUGGUUGCCCAUGCCACGUAGGAAAGCAGCAUCCAUGUCAAUAGUUGUUGACCAAAUUGGUGGAACAGAUAUACUAAUAAAUUGCCAAAGGUUUAGAACAUGAUUUGUCAAAUUAAAAUAUUUAAAACUGAAUUGACCGUGUACAAUAGGUUUAUGAUAAUUAUCCCCAAUUAUAACUAUUGGGGUUUCCAAGAAAUUUUUUUGAUCCUUAUUGUUUUGUGGAUGAAAAUGUAAUUGGUAUAAGCGAUCAAAAUGAUAUAGAAUAUAUCCACAUAUCUAUUCCCACGUAUGUGGAUAUAUUCAAAUGUAUUUAGGCAAUUAGGAACAGCUCCUUUUGGAUCUCGCACCAGAUACCCAGAGAACUCAUGCAAUGAGAGCUGGUGUUUUGCCUGAUCACUUCUGUCCAUUUAUCUCUCGAUCUACAUGCUUCUUUGGCAGACCUUUCAACAAAGAAAUCAACAUACAUGAUCAAGGAAGGGAUUCUCAUCCCAAAGCCAAUGUAUUAAUCAUGAAGCAUACCUUGUGCAUCAGCUUGAAAGCAUCAUGCACGAUCGUCCUUACAAAUUCAACAUGCUACUUUCACACAUCAAAAGAAAAGGGAAAAGCAAAAAGCUUUGGGCCCAUUUUCAUCUCCAUGGGUCUUCAAACUACACCUGAGCCUUUCCAGGGCCAAGGGGAAAAAAAACCAGGAUUUUAAUUUUUAGGGUUCUUGGUGAGUUGGGCUUUUUAGUGAUCGUCGUUGGCACAUCUUUUUUUAGGGUCAAAAUCGUCGUUGUCACUUCAAUUGGCAAAUUGUCUCCGCAGUCUCUUUUUCGCUUUUGAUAAAUGGCUCGUGCCCUCACCCUUUCAAACCUUUCGGUGGUCUUCUACACGGUGGUCUCUCAUACGAUCUGCUUAUAUCCUGCAGCCGAGGCCCUUUCAGCUCUUUUUUUUUUUUUUGAUUUUUUUAUGAUCGAGGGACCGCUGGAGAUCACCCUUCGAGAAUCACAUGACCCUCCGGUGUUCGGUAGCACCAAUGGGAUCUCGCCACAAGCUGUUAUUUAGACGUAAACCCUUGAGAAGCUGGCCAAUAAAUUACCCCUAGGACCCCCACUUAAGUCGCGAGUAUCCGGAGAUUCGAAUUUUUUGUUUCUUUGGUGAUGAGGUAGUAAAGUCUAACCAUCACGGUUACCUACGAGUAGGUCUCUUUCAGCUUCUUUUAUAUAUCUGCAGUCGUUUAAUGUCCUCAGAGGCAUAUCCAUAUCUUUUUGUCUAUAGAUGACUUGCUAUUUUGUUUCGAGCCUACUAGCAGGGCCAUUAACAUUGUCUAAAGCAACAUUAUUGUGGCCUCGCAAAGAAGUUACCAAUUUCAUAAUAGAUGAGCUGUUUUUCAACAGUUUACAACGAUUCAAUGUCUAUGAUGAUGUUGAAUUACUGGAGUCAACGGGAGAAUAAAAUUAAGGAUAGGAGGUUGGUAACCCCAAAAUCACAUUUAGAUAUGUAAAAGAAGAAGGAAGAAGAAAAAAGAGUUUGAUGAAGUCAGUGUGGGGCCCAGUGUGCACACAUGGCAACUAAUGAAUGGACUACUGUAAAUCCUAUAUGAUACUACUCGAGCACUCAAUAUUUUCUUGACCGGAGAGUGGAGACUGUCCUCCCACAAUGGAUAAUUAUGGAAAAGUUCUAGUAAGUCUGCAACAGAUUUUCAUAUAUGGGACACUUGAAUUUCCUAAUGACCACAAUCAUGAUCAUGACCAUUGGAAAACGGAGAACUUUGGAUGGAACUCGGUAGUUCUGUGAAUUUUCCUUCUUUGCUUGUCGAUAUCUCAAUGAUUUGUAGCAAAUAUUUUCCGACAUUGCAGACGUGAAGCAACGUGACGUCACAAAUUAGAUCAGCUGCAGAGCUUGCUAAGUUCUUCUUGCUGCAACUGUACCCAAUAUAAUUUAUCAAUUUGCUAACCAACCUUCUCGACAUCGUGGUCCUUUUUGCUGUUAUUGGCAAAGGAAAAGAGUAUCCUAUUGCUUAACCCGCUAAGAGAGCCAUGUAAAUUCAUACUAUUUCGCUUGGAUUGAAAUUUGCAAUUCGAUGGAUGAAAGGAAGAGCAUAUGGUAAAAGAGAAACAGGGUUGUGAUGGUACAGCAUCAUACCACGUCUCAUUUAGAAUUUCUGAUGUAAAGUGAAAAAUUAGUGGACUUGUGGAAAAGAAAUUCAGUCUCUUAUAUUUUGGAUAAUCCUCCGAUCCAUGUAAAUGGGGGGAAGAAGGAAAAGAACAAAAGAAAACAACAAAGUUAUGUGUGCUCCACUUGUCUUUUUUUUUUGGAUUGAAUAGAGGAGGUUUGCCAUGGUUCAGUUUCUUUGCUUUGACAUCAACUACCUAUUUAGUUUUUGUAUUGCCGUUUUAGUCAAAUACCAAGCAGCGAGUCAUUCUCUUAAAUUUUUUUUAUCCUUAUCACUCAAUUCAUAAGGAAGCAAAAUUACUCUUCCAGAUUGCUUUUGUUAAUGGUCCUAACAGAGGAGGCUUGCUUCUCUGUUUGUGGAAUACGUGAAGAACUUCAUGACUAUGGCAGGUAUCCACGCUGGAAUUGCAUCUAUACCGUUUUGUGGAGUAAGUACUUCAUUCCUUUCCCGUUUGAUCCAUUCCUUUCACCAAUUAUUAGAAGAUAAAAGGAAGCUUGUUAUAUUUGUGAUCUCAUAAGCGAGAAAGUUAAAUAGCCUUUCACAAAAUGCAAAAGACUUCUUGGUAAGUUGAUAUAUUUGAUGAAGAGAUAAUCUGUUUGGCUAUUCUAGAGUAGUUCUCUCUGGUAGAAUCGGACAUGACAAAGGCAAGAAGAAAUUGUCUUCUCAAGUCUUUCCCAGAUUUAUUUCCAAAUAUCACUAAUUGCAUUUGUAGCGAGGUUUUAGAUUGAUUUGGCAUUAGGAUGCACCAUUCUCUAGUGGUCUCUUGGUUGAGGAUUUGUAGCGAGGUUUUAGAUUGAUUUGGCAUUAGGAUGCACCAUUCUCUAGUGGUCUCUUGGUUGAGGUCAGACUGGGAUUGGAGUUUGCUUUUAUCACUGCAGUUCAAUUUUUUUGCCUUCUUUUACAGUCUGUUAUCUUCCGCAUUCUUAUGGACUAUUUGAUCGGGCUACGAAGGGUCUCCUCUGAAUAUGUCCAGAUUUUGCUCAGUCUUCCUAGUCAUUUUCUAAUUUACAUUACCCUUUUGCUAUAUCCAGGCUACUUUUUCUACAGCAUCAACAACUAGCUUCUUUGUAUGUCCACAUGCAGAAACACUGCGCCAAACUAAUUGAGUCUCUUCGUUCAUACUUCACUGUGUAACCGUGUCUUCUUGUUUUGUUCGGGGACCUUCGUACAAGCACAGGAGCACUUGGCACCCGCUGGUUAUAUGAAAAUUCUGACUGCUGUGUUAAGAUAGCAUAUAUUUAGAUAGGAUGAUUUUUGUUUAUAUCUUCUUGAGGGUCCUAAUCUUCUACAUCUUACCAUAUUAUCCAGUCAGGAAAUUGUAUAACCAUCCCAAAAUAGGUGUGGCCCACGAUACUCUUCGUAUAAGAUAGGAGCUAUGCAUGUGUUCAUAAUUUCCUGUUUUUAGCUUCAUGUGUUUGAUUUGCCAGUGAUUUUUCUCAAUGCGAAAACUCAUUUCACUUGCUAUUGUGUCACAAGGUCUACAUGUUCUUUCAAUUAAGCAUGGCGUGAAUUGCUUUUUGUUUCUGCUGGACCUUGCUAACUAUCUAAAAGAUUGUAGAUUUCUCCCAGAAUUAAAACAAUGAGAACGUCCAUCACAGAAUCUCAACCUACAAGGGAAGAUUUGCUAGUUCGCAGAACCUAGUCCUUAUUAUGGUGAUUUUUUUUUUUUUUUUUUUUUUUUUUUGCACUUUGCACGGUAGGAAUAGAGAACAAGUUGAAACAUUUUCUAAGCCUUAUAUAUGAAUGAUUGACCAUGUUGAAAGUAAUAACAUAAUUAGGAAAGCAAUAUCUUUAGCGAGCUCUUCCUCUACAAUCUUAUGGUGUAGGAGGUGUAUAUCCACGACAUGGUCUGCAAUUACGUUUUGUAGUGAUUUAUGAUUUUCAUUUGAUCACUGAGCAUUCAACUUUGAAAAUUCGAUAAUCUAAGCAAUAUUACAUUUACAUGAGACAAAUGAACUGAACAGAAUGGGCAAGAGAACAUAUUGUAAGGUGGUAUUGUCGUUGUGGGGUAAGAUUGUCUUCACAUGCUUUUGCCCUUACUCGAUGCUACAAUUUGCAACCUCUCACCAUUAAUCCAAUGGAAAAAAAAGAAGAUGAAUGUGCCUUACCGAUCCAUUUCCUGUAGAAUGAACUUUACAUCUAGGACUGGAUUGGAUUGGGGACUUUGGAUGAAGCUGGGAAAGUCAAAUUCAUCAACUACCCUGGGAACCAUCUCCAGAUUUCUCUCGCUGACAUGCAAAGUACCUUACUUGGUGGAUGAUGCAGCCUCACCGAAGAAUGUGGCAACAGGAACGGCAAGUAGUUGGACCCCAUGGGUUCAGGGUUAGUAUCGAAGAAUGGUUAGGCUGUUCGAGGAUCAGCCACUGCUCCUCUCCGCGCAUUAGCGAGUGAUGCAUGUAUUCCAUGCAUGAACGCGAAAGAUGAGGCGAAAUGAUUGUUUAUAGCGUGAGUGGGCGAUUGAAUUUUUUUAUAUUGAUUUGAUGAUACAUUCCUGGCCUUGUAUCUGAUUAUUUGAUGAUAUUACUCACUAGAUUGACUUGAAAGUUCUAAUAUUACCUUAUCAGAAAUGAAGAAUCUUGCAUCAGCCAUGACUCUUGCUCUUAGUAGAUGUUGAAAAUGUUAUGGUUCUCUCUGCAGCUUUGCGCAACUAUGCCAUUGAAGGGCGACACAUAGAAGUCGAAGGCAAGUCCCACUUCCAUGGCAACUUCAACUCCACGAUAGUAAACAUCGCAUUUAGCCACCCAGAAACUAGUACACGUGAUAAAUUUAUCAUGAACUAUUUUUUUUUAUCACCAAAAAUCUCAAAUUGAUACAUCUUUGACAAAUUUACCAUAUACUAGUACACUUGCAAUAAAUUUACCAUCUAUUAGUUUUCGUUAAAUUUUACUAUCAAAUUACUAGUUUGAUAACACGUAACAAUUGACUAAUGUACUAAUUUAAGAUUUUACUCUUUGUAUAUCACGGUUGUAUAAUUUUUGUAGUUUUUAUGGUAUUAAUUCAAUUUAACGAAAGGUAUAUUUGUCACUUAUAUACCAUUUUAGGGUUUUUGGCUGUCGAACAAAUUAAUUUGAGAUAAAUUUAUCAUAAAUGUAUCAAUUUGGGGUUUUUUGUAGUAAUUUUGGAUACAUUUGUCACAUGUGUACUAGUUUGGAGUUUUGCAUGAUCAAAAAAUUAAUUUGAGGUAAAUUCGUUACACGUGUACCAGUUUAGAGGUUUUUUAGGAUAUUAACCCAAUUAAUUAUCACAUCCGCAACUUACUAACCUCUUACCCAAUCAACUUCUAAAAUUUAGAAGUUGUUAACUUACCAAACAAUUUGACAUGGGUAAGUUUAUUACAAUGUCGGCAACUUAUUAACCUUUAUCCGAUCCACCUGUAAAAUUUAGAAAGAAGUUAGUAAUUUACAAAUCAGUUUGGUUUUAGUAAAUUUUUUAAAAUGUGGUUGACUUACUAACCAGUAGCUUGAUUUUGCGAAUUUACAUCAUAAAUUUCUUCAAACGUCCACUGAGGUCGAAGAAUGUUGAAGGAAUUUAUGGAAAUUGAAGUAAUGGCAAUCGACAGGUAGAAACAUAUAAAACUCAUUAAUGCUACGAAGAGCAUUUUGUUUAAUUAAAAUACACACAAAAUCCAACACUUUCCUUGCAACCUCAAGAUAAUCACCAAACAAAUACCAACUUGGCAGUUCAACCGCAAUAGCUCCGCAACUGCUAAUAACAUUUAGUUAACCGGGACGCAGUCGAGAUGAACGUCCUCCACAGUCCACAUACACGAAAGGUCUCGACUUGUUGGCCUCGGUUGCGCUCAUAUCAUCUGGAGCACAGCAAAUUCUGCUGGCGCUCAAUCCAACGGGUCGACGUUGACAGGUUUUAAAUCGGACAGCUGACGACUGACAAAGCAAAAAGAAGAUUUCCUGUGCACAAGUUCACGGUACUAUUAAACCUGCCCAGCUAGUAGCAGCUUUCUUAGGGUAUCCGACGAUCAGGCCGUGGAUUUUGGGAGGAGAUCACCGGGACCUGCCCAGAGCAAUGUAAGACAACGGUCGGGGUCCCAGAAAACACCUAUGAGGUAAUAAAUCCCGAGACAUCCACAUAUAACCCAAGGAACGGUUGCGAGCCCAAUGGUUCUGGUCAACACUACAAACGUACCAGACGCAAAGGCUAGCACCAUCCCCAACAUCGCAAUGUAAAUGCAAUUUGCGGCGUUGAGGGUGAAAUUUGCCUUUGCACGAUCGCUUAACACAAAAGUAUCAAAUUGUAAGAACAAUGCCAUGGUGGAGAAACUGAACGCCACAGUGUUGGUUAUCACAAAGGUUUUGAAAGCUACCCUGCCAGCAAGAGUCGCCAUUCCUUGGUUGGGUCCGUCAUUGCUAUAACCUCCUGGCAUCGUGAAGGCUGCGGCAAAGGUCGCUGUAGCUAUGAGCGCUGCCACUAGUAGUUCAAGCUCAAUAAAGCUUUUCAAUGACGAAUCGCUUCCUGUGGUUGGAGACGCAGCUGGUUGAUCCUCAAAAUGUUGCUUGUCUAACCUCUUUUUAAUUUCACCUUCAGCCCAAUGUUGAAUAGUCGGGAAUCCAUGAGAUCCGUGCAAUGCAUGAAUAGCUCGAAGUCUUGAGAGAUUGUUCUGAAAAAUGUACAGAAAGAAUCAAUUAACCCGUGGUUUUCCUGGCGAAAUACUUCAAGACCCUCACUUUAUUCGCUCAAAAUCCAUCUAUAACAAAUAGAAUUUCUGGCCAAGUCCUAAAUUAUUAUUUUUCAAUUCAAUUCAUCUCCUUUGGAUGAGGUAGCUGGUAAAUGAAACCAGCGAAUAGAGUUUUUCAGGAGUAAACAAUUACAUCUUGGGCUAUGCCAUAGCUAAAUGAAAUUAUCUAGGAAUUGUUUGAAGCCCUUUUCUCAAAUUGGGCAGAGUGCAGGUUGUCUCUUUUAUCUCAAAACUUAUUUGAAGGGGGGCAGAAAUAAAACAGAAGGAUUUUGGCUGACAUUGUACAAAUCAUUCUGCUUCUCUUAUAUGAAUGGGGCAGAAUAGUUGUUUCAAAGUCAGAAGGUGCAAAUAAACUUUUCGAUUGAUGUCCUCUCGAGUUCCGGCUCACUAUACGAGAUAGUGGUUGACAUCUCGGCACAAGGGCCAUUAAACAGGCCGGAUUUAUUCUCCAUUUUUCUUUUAUUUCUUUUUCCCCCUUUACCUUAUCCCCUACAUAAGAAGCUCCCAAUCCUUAAAGUUUUGCAUAGGUUUCAAGAUAAACAGGUCCCACAUUCUGCAUACUUUUUAAUAAAACAAAAUAUUCGACCUUAAAAUUGCUUUAAAAUAUUUUUAUUGUAAGCAGUUAUUUGUUGACUAUCGAUACCAUAUAAAUAUUUUUUUUUAUUAGUUUGUUUGUUUGCACUUGAAAUGAGUAUCAAUUGAGCCGCAAUUUCUUAACGAUAUUGAAGAAAUUACUCUACGAGUGAACAAAUUGGGCUCUUAUAGUGUGCAAGCAAGCAUACCUUAUCGUUAGCAUGUAUAAUGUCAAGAGCGGUCAAAUCAUUCUUAUUUGUGGCAAAGCGGUCCACCUUCUUGUCUCUUGCAAGUAUCAGAGUGCUUUUGUAUUUUCUAAGAUUCACAGACAAAUGCAAAGCCGUGUUUCCAUGAAUGUCUUUUUCGUUGAUAAUAUUCUUCAGGUUUGGCAUCUCUAAUAUGUACUUGACUACCUUUACAUCUCCUCCGAGAACAGCUGCAUGAAGAGCGGUUUGCCUUUUAAAGUUUAUUAUGUCCCAAGCAUCAGGAUGGGAUGUAACGAGCUUGUCAAUGACCUCGAUGUGGCCUUGAAACGCUGCAAUGUGAAGAGCUGAAUUCCCCUCUCUAUCUAACUCAUAUGCAACGGAGGUAUCAUGUUGCAAGAGCAGUUGAACUGCAUCAACUUUGCCAAAGUGAGCGACAUAAUGAAGAGGAGUCCACCCUCUACACUCAUCCUUUUCUCUGAUCAGUUCUGGUAUCUUCUCCAAGAUUUUCUUGCAACCUUUACAAAUACAAUAGGAAUAUGUCAUGAUUUAGAUCGGUUUUAGCAUUUUGACAUUGAUAUCUUAACAUUGCAUUUCAUCCCAUUUAGCUUUCCCCCCUUUUUCUCCGUACUAGGGAGGAAUAUGUCAUGGUUAUUAUGAAGUUUCUCUAUUGAUCUUGUGUAACACAUGUAGAAUCUCACUACCUUGAAUCUAGCAUAAUGCAGGAAUUCCUAAAGUUUUUCAUUUUUAUAAGUGAAUUUGUCAGAAAUUCGUGAAGUUGACUAAGAAGAAACUUCUUUUCUAUUCAGCAAGGCAUCUGCUCUGUCUAAGGCUAGAAUAAAAGAGUAGGGUUUUCUACUAUGAUGCCAAUCAUUUUACAAGAAUAUCGUGUCCAACUCAAUUUUAUAAGAAUUUAAACUAAAUGAGGACUUAGCACCUUCUACAUUUUCCAAUGGUAAAGUCAUUUUACCCCGCUUUUUCCAAGUCAUCAUAAUUUUUCCCUGGGGAGUUAAAAAAGUUUUGAAUCGAUUUUUUGGAAAUAUAUUGCAAUGUGCCCUAUCAUCAAUUGUAAACUGAAAAGCAAGUAAUCAUAAGGAGAAAAUGACGAAAAAAAAGAAGAAUACCAAAAAUAAAUAAAUAAAUAAAUAAAGGAACUGGAUGAGAGAGAAAAGGGAAGACGUUGGGGUAUGAUGGUGAUGGUGGUUGCCACCACUGCCACCACGGGAGACAGGAGGGUUUGAUGAUGGUCGUGCCUGGAGAACAAGAUCCAGAAAAAUUUGAAGAAAGAAAUUAAGUACAAGCGAAAUAUGCACUCCGUGUCACAGUGUUUUUAAUCAUAACGUCCCGUAUGUGGCCGGUCAAAUGUGCUGUCCUUUUUGUUUUUAAUCUUUUCUUUCCCGGCGGGUGUCACUCUCCUUCUACCUCUUUAUCUUUCCAAGCCUCUAGUGUCCCUCUCUAUUCCCUCUUUUCCAUUUUUGGCUUCCGACACGCCAUUGGAGCAAGUAUAGACUCUAGAAGGAGCAUUGAUGGAAGAGAGAUUGGGCCAAAGGUGCCAGAACUUUGAUGAGAAGUCGAGGUAGAGAAGGCGUUGCACUCUAGCUGGCAAAGGCAUUCACGGGAGCAAGGGAAAAGGGCCACCAAACAGCAUUUGUCAUUUGCUAGUCCCUAUGAUCAGAUAACUGAGGAAUCGGCCACUGAAGCAGCUCGCAAACGCAGAGUUGAACGACCAUGAGGCAGAUCGAACUUGCAGGACACUGACUGACCGUCCUCAAACAAGACGAUGUCUACAAUUUGAUCACCGGUCGUCCCCUCACUGGAUCUUGGCUCCAGGACUCCUCACUCGUCCUCUCCGAUUGGCUCUCCAUCGAAAGUCACUUCCUAUUGUUCCCUCUAACCGGCAAGAGCGUCAUCGAGUUCAGCCCUGAAUCCGCGGGCAUCCUGGGGUUCACAGCGGCUUGGCUUGGGGGCCAGCCGUGUUGUCCUCAAUGACGUCGCGCCAACGUCGGUGAGAGAAAAUUGGGAGAGAAAAACAAAACAUGAGACAUGAAAGGCAUGUCUGAAGAAGAAAAAAAUGGAAAAAAGGAGUAGAGAGGGGCACCGUAGGUGGUAAGACACUAAUAAAGGCCGAAAAGAUACGAAGAAGGAAAGCGGGACCUACGGGGAAAGAAAAAGAGGGACUCCGCAUUUGACCAUAUAAAAAAUUAAACAAAGGAGAGUAAUGCUAAAAGGUGAGUCACAUCAGGGACGAUAUGAUGAAAACACUAUAAUAAGGAGUAAAAAAUCGCAGCCCAUUAGUGAAUAUAUUUACUAUUAUAUUUACAAAGUACUAGUGUAGAAGGGGGCAUCGCUGCUACCACCAGCAGUCUCGCCCAAGGGAAGUCUCGCGCUAGGGAGAGAACUUCGGUUACUUGGGUUAUCAUUUGUUUAAAGUGGGUUUAGAAUCUUGUGAUACUUACUUGAUAGUGGGAGGAGCCCUGCAGCAUUCAGAGCUGUCAGUCCAUUAGGGCCCUUACGAGAGGAUGGCGACGAGGAAGCACAUAAAAUCGGCUCAAUGAUAUCCUGAAAUCUUCGAUGUAUUGCGAGAUAAAGCGGGGAUUCACCAGCAGCAUUAACAAUAUCACAUAGGUGAGGAUCUUCUUCAAUAAGCAACUCCACGACCCCCUUGCAAUGUCCUCUUAUUGCAGAGUGCAACAAGGUAUCUUCAUCUGAAUUUGAUAUCCUAAGUAGCUCUUUGUAUUCGUCAGGUUGAUGUAUUGCUUUCGCCCGAUCAAUAAAUACUCGAACCAUUUCAUAGCUUCCUAGUUGAGUAGCAACAUGUAAGGGAGUGUCUCCUUUGCAAUUACAUUUCCAAAGAAGGGAUGAUCUUGGUAGAUCUUGAAGAAACUCUUGGAUGAAAUUUGCCCGCUCGAAUUGAGCCGCAACGUGAAGAACAUUGUUUCCCUUUGGCGUUGUUUGGUGGAAAAGGUUCUCUCCAUUUUCCAAACUUAUUGUCAUCAGGGAAUGAAAUUCUCCCGACUUUGCAGCCCUAUACACUUCAGGAUGCAUACGCAGUAUCUCUUUCAUUCUCAAGACACGCAGUAGUUGCAAGUGAACUUAUCAAUAUAAGCAAUGAGUUCAAAUGGGAGGAAUUUCUUUGAGUUUUUCAAGAGGAUUGGUGAAAAGGGAAAAUGCUGGAGAGGAAAUUGAAUUGAGCUUCCUAGGAACUAAAAUGGGGACAUUUAUAUGCAUAUGGUGGUUCUUCAAUUGUUUCGAUGAAAUUGAAAUAAAUUUAGCAGGUUUAGAGAAUAGUUUCCAAAAAGUCUGAUUGGUAUGCGUUUUGGACUUCCUGCUUUCUACUUUUUAUCAAAAUCAGAACAUCCUUCUAGAAGAAGAAUCGGAUAUGAUUAACUUGUUUAUUAAAGCAAUAAUAUCCGUUCACUUUGAGCUGUAAUUUUUUUUUUUUUAUGAAUUGAAUCGGAUCUGAUUUAACUUAUUUAUUAAAGAAAUGAUUUCGUGGGCCCACUUUUAGACGUAGUCUUCUUUUUUUUUUUUAUUUGUUCAUCGAAAAGUCCUUUGCUCUUUUUAGUCUUCACGGUCCAAGUUUGUCGUGAGCAUGCAUUCUCAUCAUGGUGCACAUGGUGGACCCUACCCAAGCUUGGUCCCACUCGAAGAUUUACAUAUGUAAUUAUUAUGGAGCACGAACUUAGGUAAAAUUCAACCGAUAAAAAACUUAGGUAAAAAUGAGUUGACGACCAAUUUGAGCUCAUCCAAUAAUCACCUCUACUUCUAUAAUCCAUUGACAAAAGUUGGAGCUCAUAAUGAUAUGUUUUCUAUUGUAAUGUUUGCACAAUAUUCUAUAACAAAUAAAAAUCUAUCAAAAAUUUAUGAUCGUUCAAUGACUAUCUAUCAUUUUUAAUAUGUGGAAGAGAUACACGACAAAAGGGUAAAUUUAAAUAAAUAAAAAAGAGAAGGCAAGGCUGAAGUUGUUCUACUUUUUUAGCAAGGGCCAAUGAACCUUGUCGAGGUCUCAGUGAGGGCCAACAACCCUUGCAGGUCUGUCCAUGGGCAAGGGCUCGCAGGCCCUCAUCUGCGUCACACACAGUGGUCUUCAUUGUGAAAUAAUAUGUAGAACUAAAUUCUUAAGACUAUUUUCUCAUAUUUGACCUUCAUAGAACAUUAACCUUAAUUAUGUCUGCAAAUUGGCAAUUAGUGUCCUACCAGAAACCCAUCAACAUUAUGUGUAUGUAGAUCUGAAUUCUUUGUUAACAGCAAAACUGCACUGGCAAUGGGUUAUUUUUUCCUUUUUUUAACUCAACCCGUUCUUAUGUAUGUUGGCCUAGGCUCUGCUCCCACAUUGGUGCCAUGAAUAAUUUUUUAUUAGUUCAUUAGAAAGUGGACUUAUUUUUGUUGAUGGACUCUUUACACCGUCUCUGACUUUGAAGAGAAAUAGGAAACGGCUCAUGGGACUCAUGGACUAUGUCACUUCUAGAGCAGGUAAUUUCUCAUACGACUAUUGCUUGUUAUUUUUAAUGAUUUGCAUCUGAUGUCCGUGACGAUCUGUUAUGUUCCUUGCCUUCCAAACUGCCGUUGCUUGUGCGAAGGUGUUGACAGUUGCUGGUGAGAUAUAUAGUCUUGUGGUACCUGAAGUGUAUCUAUAAGUCUACACAAAUGCUUUUGAAAGCUUAAAAAAUGAAAGUUAUAGUAGCCAUUAUUUACCUAAAAACAUGGGGUUUAGAUGCUGCAAUGGUCAGCUCUUUAUAAUUAUUCUGUGCCCUUCCAUGUUAUACUCCAGUCUUGGGUAAUAUAACCAGCAUACUAAAUUAAUGUAGUACAUCGACAAAACAUUUAGCUCAAUAAGUGGCGAAUGGAUAAAUGGCAAUGCUGUAAUCCAUGUAUUCUUACCGUUGUUUUUGUCCUGUUGCCGUUUACCUAGUUUCUCAUGUUCAUGGUUAGAGUUAUCUGUCGACCAUCAUUGCAACUUACCUGCCUAUCUCAGCAAGCACCGUGAUUGGUCGAGGUGUUGUUGAAUUUCGUGAUAGAGGACCACUAGUGAGAAAAAGUGCUGCAAUGAGUGAGUUACACAUUUCCGUGUCAUGCCUUCUUUCUUUUCGAUAUUGAGGUGAAAACAUGUGACGAAUCACUUUAUACCGUUCGGAGAUUUUGUUCCCCUUUUUCCUUUCACAAGUCUUAUAGUAUUCUUCUUUAUUAUAUUACCGACCAACUUUUGAGACACACACAUAAAAUUCUCUUUCUUGUUUGUUCGUUCCCUAAACAUGUGGUUGAAGUAUAAUACUUUGAGUCUGCAGAGAAAAUGUGAUUCCGCUUUGCAGCAUGACACUUUGCCAAGCCAUGCUACUAUGGUGUAAAUUUCUGCAACUUCUAGGAAAAAAAAAAGAAAAGAUAUCAUAAAUGCUAUAACUUUCGUACGGCAUUCUCUCUUUUUUUUUUUAUCAUUUAAAUGUUAUCACUUAUGUAUGGCACUCUUUUAAGUACCAUAAUUUUUUUUCACAAUCACUUGAGUGCUAUAUAACUUUUUAAUCAAUUACUUGAUUGUUAUAAUUUUUUUUAAACGUUCACUAUAAGCGCUAAACUACAUCAAAUUUCUGGUAUUUGAGUGAACGCUCUAAAAAAUUUUUUGACACUUAACUGAUCAACUAAACAUACUUUUUUAGAAAUAAUGGCAAUUAAGUGAUAGGAAAAAAAAAGUUAUAGCACUUUAGCAAAUGCCGUAUAAAAUUUAUGAUAUUUAUAGUGUCUUUUAUCCAUAACUUCUAGUAUAAUCCCAAAGGUGACACUUGAUUGUAGUCGUGGGCCUUUUAACAGCAAGUCUCUUCCUAGAACAUUGUGCCUAUGCUAGUACUGCUAUGGGCCUAGACUAUGAACCUUGACUACGUUGGCAUAACCCAUUUGAAGCUUUUCAAUGUGGCUUCUUUUUUUAAGCAAGAUAUCGAGGAAAGAGUAUCUAGAGAGAAGAGGAACGGUAUCUUAUUCUUGGUGAAUGAUUAAGUAGUAAUUAUUGACAGGAAUGAUUUCCAUGCUACAAAGGAUUAAAUUCCUCAUAGAGGAAUGUCGGGUUUUAAGGAUGAUGCAACAAAUCGUCGAUCAUAACCCUUUUGAUGUUUGCUUUACAUUUGUGUAAACAAUCUCCAAAGGAUCUGUGGCACCUUGCUGCACUAAUUUCCAAUCUCCAACCAAUUUGCGAGAUAUUUUGGAGAGUUUUGGAUGGGACUUAGUAGGUAUGUCUUUUUCCUUCUUUAAUAGUCAGAAAUCUAAAUGGUUCAUAUUAAAUAUUUCUCUACACUGUGAACAUCAAAUAACAUAAUGUCACAAAUUAAAUCAACUGUAGAGCUUGCUAAGUUCUUUCUUGCUAAAACUGUACCUAAUAUGAUUGAUAGAUCUAUUGACCUACCUUCUUGAUGUUUUGGUCCUUUUUGUUGUUAUCUGCAAAGGAAUAAAGUGUGCUACUACUUAAUCGGCAAAGAGAGUUACUUUAUUUUAUACUCUUUCACUUGAAUUGAAAUUCACAAUUCAUUUUAUGAAAGAAGCACAAAUAGUAAAAGAGAAAGGGGGUUGUCAUAGGACAGUGCCAUAUAAUGUCACAUUUAGAAAUUCUUAUGAAAAGUGAAAAAUUAGUGGGCCCACAGAAAAGAAACCCAGUCUCUCCUGUCUUGAAUAAUGACACUUCAGUGCCAAGUAAAGGCAUAAAGAAGAAAAAGAAAAGAAUAAUGAAAGAAAAGAAUAAAGUUAUGUGUGCUUUUCAUUUGUGUAUUAUUUUUUUAAUAAAUGGACAAUAGGGGAGGUUUGUUUCCAUGCUUCUUUUACUUGCCAUAGACACCAACUACCUAUUUGGAAAAUUUCAAACUAUCGUGUCAUUCAAAUAUUUAAGCAACAAACCAUUCUCCUAAAUUCUUUGAUUCUUAUUACUCAAUUCAUUAGGAAUCUAAAAUACCUCUCCAUAGUACUUUAGUUAGCUAUUUUAAUUGACCGUACUUGUUUCUGUCCUAAAUUCGUGAUCUUCCGAUUCGUUAAUUUGGUUACUACAGUAAAAUCAUUUUGAAUCAGUUAUUGGUUAAAUGCCACAAAGAUGACGGAGAAUUUUUUUUUUUUUUUGGAGGGGGUGUGGGGUUGGAGAGAGAAGCCCUGUUGUAUUGUUCACGUUGCCAUGUUAGACGAAAAAAGUUCUGCAUUGGACUCAUUUUUUAUAAGAAAAGCCAUGUAUUAAUAAAAAUUUCAUAUACAAAACAUAGAAUAUGUUGGAAUUUACAACUAGAAGCACUUGAGUAAUCGUUUUUCCACCAAUAUAACACUUGAGUAAUUACUCAAAAAAUUUUGGCACUAAAAAGAUAUGACAUUUAGUGUUAUUUUCCUACCAAUGCUCUUUGAAAUAGAGAUUGAUAAUGAUUGGUAAAGUAUUUAAGCUAGAUCAUGGUAGAAUGUCCUAAUGGUUUAGAAAGCAUGCAUUUUGAAUGGUUCCAUUCUUUUGAGAAUUAUUUUCUGCACUCAAACCAAUUCCAAAAUUAAGAAUUCACUUGAGAAGUUGCACGCGCAUAGAUAAAUGAGAAAUUAGGGGAUUGGAAUAUUUUUAACAUUAACAUUGACUUGGACUUAACUGUUCUAUUUUUUAUUUUGGGUCUAUGUCAUUAAAAAUUCGAAACUUGUAUUCACAUAAUAAAUUUAUCCAAACUAGUUUUCGUAUCACAUAAAAACCUUCAACACAUUUUACCCCAAACUAAUUUUUGUCUUAUGAAAAAUCUCAAAAUUGAUAACCUGACCAAAGAUUACCUUGACCGUUUGAUCCUAAACUAUUAAUGGAUGAUAUAUUUGACUUAGGAUUCUGCCUUGGGCCAAAUAUGUUAUGAGGAAUUAGUUCAAGAUUGUUUGCAAGAUGAAAAUAGAGUUUAGGAUAAAUGUAUUAUGAGGUAUUGAUUUGAGAUUUUGAUGGUAAUAAACCUAUUUUUGUUGCAUCUUGUAUGGCCAACAAGAUAUAACAUAGAAGUAUUUGAAACGUGUUCUAAGCCUUAUAUAUGAAAUUUAACCAUGUUGAAUUUAAGGCUGAGGAUUACGAAAUCGAGUUUGCCGAGCUUCCUCCUCUACAAUCUUAUGGUGCAAGACUUGUAAAUCCAUGACAUGGUCCGCGAUUACAUUGUGCAGUGACUUAUGAUUGUCAUUUGAUCAUGGGGCACCCAAGUUUGUAAAGUCAGUGAUCUAAUGAAAAUUGCAUUUACACGAGAAAAAUGGAUGUAACAUAACCGAUGAAAGAGCAUAUAAUGAUAUGGUGUCGUCAUUGUGGUGUAAUAUUGUUGUACCAUGCUUUUGCGACUUACUCAAUGCUACCAUUUGCAUCCUUUUUAACCUUUGAUCUAUUGGGAAAAAUAAUAUGAAUGAAUCUAACUGAUGGAUUUCUCGCAAACCAAGCUUUACAUCGAGGAUAGGAUUAGAUUGUGAGAGUGCUAAUAUGAACACCUUGAGGAGGUGAAUAGGUGUAUAAAAUAAACCUUGGCAAGAAUAUGCGGAAUAAAAUAAACUUCGAGUAAAACAAAAGAGUUAAGGAAGAGAAUAAAAAUACAAGAUUUAUAGUGGUUUGGCUUAAUCCAAGCCUACGUCCACUCUCCCACGCUAACAGCCUUCUUGGCUGGAUUCCACUAUGCAAUCAACAAGAGAUUACAACUUCGAGUGCAAACACUUAAUAGUAGAUCACACUAUCUCACUAAGUCACUCUUUUGGUAUUUCUCUCACGAUCACAAAAGUUUAAGCUCAACAAAGACAAAUGUAUGAUCGAAAGUCGCUCAGACUUUGGAAUUAUAAAUUCUACGCUCCGUCUCUUACUUGCUCAUCAGUCCUUCAUCUCCUUAAAUACUCCUCCACUUCCAAACUACACGUUGGACAGUAUCCCGGAGAAUCGUCUUCCAAUAUACCCAUUGGACAGCUCUGUAUCUAGAAGAUUUGGUAGCCGUUAAGUGACAAAGGUAGAAUCCCAAAUUGAUUCCGAUUGCCCAUACAAACGAAAUCUUGGUUUCCAUAAGUAAAGCUUCUUCGUAUAGAAAGUUCUUGUCUUCAAGAUCCAAUCGUCAAUCAAAUGGAUUGAAUCAAUCAAAUCAAUCUUCAUGUGGAAUCCAAACCAGAUCACUAACCGUUGUAUGAUUGGGCUUGAGUUACGUUCUGUCGAAUCUGGAUGUAAAGUCUGAUAGCCAUAGACUUUACAAGCUGAGUCUGAGUGCAAUAGACUUUACAAUCUAGGUAUGAACAUAUCUGCUUCUGAAUAGAUUUAGCUUUAAGAUCUGUACCUAGUUCAGCUUCAGCAUAGAGUCUGUCUUCUGGUUCAUCAUUCACGUUCAGUCUAGAAUUAGUUAGAGUUGACAAACUUUUAAUGUAGAACAGACUUUGACACUAAAGUCUGGCAGUCUUCAGACUUUGAGUCUUGAGUCUGGCAGUCUUCAGACUUUGAUACAAAAGUCUGGAAAUCUUCAAAAUAUACUCUGGACAUAUGUUACGUUCAGUCUUCUAGCCGUCUUCUGACUUUGAUAAUAUCCUUUACAUUUUCUAUCAUCUGCAUGGUCUAUUACUCAACCAUCAAACAUAUUAGUAGCCUUUGAUUUAUUUUGUCAUCUUCAAAACAUCAUAAGGGAUUUCCCUAACAGAUUGAAGAACUUGGGUGAAGCUAGGAAAGUCAAAUUCAUCGUCUCUGUGUUGACCCCUCAUUUGAGUCAAUAGUUUAAGUAUUUAUUCUUGUAAAAGUACCCCCAAAAAAACAAAAAAGCAAGGGAAUAGUAAAAAGAACUAAAACGAUAAAUAGGCAAACAAAUAAUAGUCAAAUCAACAAAUAAAAAAGGGAUCUAAUAUGGUCUUGGUCUAUUUUCUAUAGCCCCGAUCAGCUGGCCCGGCCCAUGUCCAAAUUCGUUGAUCACAAGAGAAAAAAGAAUAGAAGAAAAAUUGCCCUCGAAGAGAAGCUCCGUUCAAGAAGCUUCCGGAUUCUUCCCCCACCACCGUCGUACGUCGCCCACCUCCUCCGGCCGUCGGACGGCGCCCGCCACGUCCAGCCUUCGUCGAUCCUCAGUCUCGGGAAGACACUGAUCAGAGAGAAAACCAUUUUUGAGGCACGCAUGCACACCUGAGAGAAAAACACCCGGGCAAGGACGAUCGAGCAAAGGGGGAAAAACUUGCACCCCCUCAGCACGUGUCUUUGGAGUUUCUUUCUCUUCGGUCAUCCUCAUCCACCGGUGAUCAACAUGGUUUACCAUCGCCGGCCAUCAACUCACGUACGAACUGUAAGAGAACUAGAACAUAAGGCGACGGUUGAAAUCACUCUAGAGGUUUUGGAAGCAUCCAGAAGACUCUCUUCCAGUGAUUUCUUCUGAAUCCUCUCCCGCCUCUUCGUUUUCAAUCGUGUUUUUGACCGUGAAGACUUGAAGCAAUUCGUGUUCGUCUGAAAACUUCAUUACCGGUGCUCAUCCUCACCAGCGACGUUUUCCGGAUCCUCCUUAACUAAAAAUCCCAAAUGACUUUUAGGGCCUGGACCCCCAAAGUACAAGUUUGACCCAUAUGCGAACCGGAUUCAUAGGCCUAGCCCACACCCCUUUGGCGAGGGCUGGAUGAGGCCGCCCCUCAUCAAAUCAGGCUAGGGGCCCUUACCAGCGGCUAGCGAAGGAAAGAGAAAAAGAAAAGAAGCAAAAGAGAAGGAAAAGAACGAGAAAAAAUUCAAAAAAAAAUUCAAAAAAAAUUUAAAAUUUUAAAAAUAUUCACGUCAGCGCCAAUUGUGUCACAUAAGAUGGUUGACAUUUAUGCCAACAAUUUUUUUAUUAUUAAAAUUGACUAGGUUGACUCAAUUAGUACCAAAGUGAAAAAGUUUAGGAUUAAAUUGGUCAAUUGAUAUGUUUAAGACUCAAUUGACAUCAAUGCUAUAAUCUUUUUUUUUUUUUGGGUACUUUUCUCGUUCACAGUUUGUAUUGAUCAAUGGCUAGGCUGUUCAAGGGCCGCUGCUCCUCUCAUUGCAUUAUAUUCCACACACAAACACGAAAGACAGAGAAAUAAUUGUUUUCAGCAUAAGUGGAUGACUGAAUUUUUAUAGGUUGAUAUGAUGACACGCCUUUGGCGUCGUGUGCCUAAUUAUUUGAUGAUGUUGCUUGCUCACUGGAUUGACAUUCAAAGUUCUAAGAUUACCUAGAAAGACGACAUUCUCAUUUCUAUGAAUGCCUUACGAAGCUUUUGAAAUAAUCAGACAGGAAGGAUCUCACAUCACCCAUGACUCUUGCUCUUAACAGAUGCUGAAAAUGUUACGGCGCUUUCUGUGGUUUUGCAGAACUAUGCCAAGAAAGAGAGAUGCAUAAAAGUUAGAAGACAAAGUCCCAAUUCAGCGGCAACUUCAAGUAAAAAACUAAACAUCACAUUCUUUGACAAAACUCCAGGGGCGUGCAAACCUUCAUCUUGAGUAUGGCAAUCGAGCAGGUGAUCAAUCCAACGAUGGAAGUUGACAGGUUUUACAUCGGACAGAUGACAUGAAAGUGCUCGAAAUCGAUGGCUGACAAAGCAAACACGAAAAUGUCCCUGUGCACAAGGUCACGGGAAGCCGGCCCAACUCAUUAGCUUGUCUAGCGACCAAUCAAUAAGCCUCCGAAGGAAAUCAGUCCAUCGUGUCGUACACUUAAUCAUAAGCCUUCGGAUGUACCUUUUGGGAGAGCCACGUAGCGCCCACGAAUGAGCCUCGUGGUCGGGGAGUUCAUAGGCGAAGAACAAAGCCAAGAAACCUCCACAAAAAAAAACAAAUAUCCAUUCCUUCCUCGGUAGUCUUGGUGGGUCUGACCGAUAUGGUGGCCGCCCCGAGAAGAUAGGCUAGCAUGAUCCCGCCUGACGCAACAUAAAUGCAACAUCCCACGGUCGGGAUGUGUUUCGGCUCUUGACGAUAGCUGUGCGUAAAACUUAGACAAAGAAGGAGUAUUGCCCCCAUGGAUAAAGCGAACGCUAUACCGUUCCAUAGCAUAAAGCCUUUGAAAGAUCCCUUGCCAGCAUGAAUCGCAACCCCAUCAUUGUUAUAACCUCCGGGCACUGUGAGAAGGCUGGUGAAGCUUAAUGUAGCUACGAGUCCUCCCACCAGUAGUGGAACAUCCAUAAUUCUUUUUUUAGACAAAUUAAAGUUAUCUCAGUUGGCAAUAUUACUUCCUGUGGUUAUAGAGACAGAUGAUUGUCCCUCAACAAAUUGCUUGUCUAACCUCUUCUUACCAUAUUCAAAAAACCAGCCUUGAAAGCCCGGAAUUCCAUGAGAACCUUCCAGCGGCGACCAAGCAUUCCAACUGUUGUCCCUCUAAAAAAGCACAUAAUAGAAUGUAUCAAUUAACGAGUGAAAGUUUUCCAAUAAAAUACUUCAAGACCCUCACACCCUCAAAAUCCAUUUAUAACACAUAAAACUUCUGGCAAGUGCUAAGAGGUCAUGGAGAAUUCAUUCAAGUAACAUCUUUUGGAUAAAGGUAAAUGGUAAAUAACACCCGUAAAGAUUUUCUGAGAGUAAACAAUUACAGUUACUAGGAAUGUGCAAAAUACCCGGGAAUCGCCCGAACCGCCCAGAACCGGACCGGAACCGCCAAAAACCGGCGGUUCUUGAGGGAACCGGUCCGGUUCCCGGUUCCAAUUUAUGGGAACAGGUAGGUACUGGUCCAGUUUCCGGUUCCAUAGGCGGAUCCGGCCGCCCGCCCGCCCACCCACCUGAACUGGACUAAUUAAUUUUUAAUAUUAAAAAAAAUAUUACUUAAACAAACCCCAGAUCUCUCUCACUGUCUCUUGCUCUUCGUCUUCGGUUCUGUUCUGUUCUCUCUCUCUCUCUCUCUCUCUUCCUCAGUUCCUCCUAUCGCCCUUCCUCCCCGAGCAUUGAUGCCGCCGCUGCUGCUCCUACGCCACUGCUAUCUACCCCCUCGCGCCGGCUGCCACCUGCCACAGCCUGUGCUUCGCCCAGCAGUGACCCGCGACGCCAUAGCUCACCUCCGCGCCGACCACCGCACCAACAGUCGCGAGCGCCCUUCACCCGCUCGCCCGUCACCGUGAUCGCCUUCACUUCUGUUGCUUUCCGUCUGAGUACCAACUCCAUUGCUUCUGCUUCGGGCCCCCUCUACCAGCAAUUUGACGUCGUUGUAGCCCCUACAGCCUCGACGACCAAUGCCAGCAAAUCCCAAACUGGUCGCUGUGUCUUCGUCACUGCUCCGCCACCCCUCCGUGCGAUCCCUGCAACCCCUACGACUUUGGUUUCCCUGUCUGUUGCUGGUUUGUCUUGCUAUUGACGCCACACCUCCGUCGAUUUGUAAGUGUCCCCCCAAUCUCGCACCUUUCCUUGUUUUUUUUUUCCUUUCGUCUCCUCGUUCGAGGUUUGUUGCACAAGGAAUUUGAUCUCUUGCCACCAUUAGAAUUUGCCGAUAGCUUGUAGAAUUUCGGUGGUAUGAGUUGCAAUUCAUGAGCUCUGUUGAAUGUUAGGCAAAGUGAAGCUUAAAGGAGGGAGCUUUAUCACUGGGUGGGUAGCUUUUCUCCUACAUAAGUUGGGGAUUGCAGCUGGGGGCUUCUUACUGGAGUUGAUAGCUCUUGUAGCUAAAGUUUCUUCCGCGUGUUGUUUGAGGCAGCAAUUAUGUAUAUGAAGCCCAAUCCAAAGCUGCAAUUUUGGUGGUUCUUUGGUCCAUUGUGACUUUUUCAUAGAUUGUGUGUAAAACAUAGAAGCUUUGUUGUCCCUAACAUUAUCAUCGAAUUUCUAAGAUGAUUUGGGCAGAAUUUUGACAUAAAAGAAUUCAUUGUUGCAUCUUAUUCAUAACUUCCAACACAUCCUCUAGUAGGCUUGGCAAAAUGCAGUUAAGGAAAGUGGCAAUGGGAAAUCCUGUCUUAUAAAUUUUUCCUUACUUUUACCUAUUGAGAUCUAUGAAUUACUAGAAGUAUAGCAAAUAUUCCUAGUCUCUGCAGAUUGCGUGGAAAUUGUCCCCUUCCAUAUUUUGCAAGUUUUCUAGGUGCCAAUCUUGUUCCUUCCCUUGUGCUCAUUGGUUCUAAUCAUCUGGUACUCACAAGAUUGCACUUUUGGUUGUUGUUUAUUUAACUUGUGUUGGCUUGAACACAGGGACAUGGAGCUUGUGCUUUCUUUCAAUGGGCAGAUUCUCUGGCAGAAAAUGUGGCCUCCAAAGAUGUUGCGACUUCUGUUGUUGCAUCUCUGGAAGUCAUGGAAAUUGAGUCAACAAUGGCAUAUGCUACUAAAGAUUACGAGGUAGAUCCAUUAUCGAUGAUGGAUAGUGAAGAGAUUCAAGGAGUCAUUUGUAGAUUCUCUGCACCGGAACGUGAUGUGAGGGGUUUGGAGAGUGAGAGUUUAACUCCCGAGGGCGAUUUGAAUACUCAAGAAUUGACUGUGGAGGAUGUGGAUUUGGGGGAGUCUACUCCAGAGCAGCUUGUUUCCUGUCUAACAUCUCUAGCUAGUCUUAGACAACAAGAAUACUUGAGGCGGAUACAGUUGCUGGUGGCAUGCUUGAUGGAAGUAGAGUUACCCUAUGAGUCAUCUUGAGGGUUUUUUCCCCCACCGCACUUGGUUUUUUUUGUCAUUUACGUGUAGCUGACUGUUAUUUAAUGUUGAGCAAUCAUCUAUUAAUCAGCUGCUGGUGGCAUGCUUACUGUCCACAUCUCCACGUACUUAAAUUUGGUUUUUCUUUCUUUGGCUUGCUUUGAUGUCAUGUAGUCGUUCUAUGUUGAAAACCAAAAUUGUUUCGUGUCAAGAUCGGUUCCAUGGAUUCACUCGGGAAUCGGAUCACGGUGAUCCGGUUCCUGGGUGGAUCCAUGCAACAAAUAGGUGGAUCUCAGUUCCAAUUUUUCGGAACUGAUCCUCAGCGAACGGUUCUCGGUUCUAGGUCAGGAACUGCCCGCCCGGACCAUGCACACCCCUAACAGUUACGGGUAUGCUAUCCCAAUCCUAAUGCAUUCUCCAUUUCUUUCCUUUUAUUUUCUUUCUUUUUUCCCCUUUUGGCAUCGCCUAAUUUUAGAGAAUCCCAACAAAAAAUGUUUUGCAAUGUUUUCGAAUUAACUAAGAUUUAGACAAUUACUUUUGAACUAGUUGAAGACCCGCGUGUUGUCCAGAUUUGAAACUUAUACUUACUGAAAAUUUUUGUUUUGAUAUGAUAAUAUGAUAAUAAAACAUAAUAUUAACAAAAGCAUAUGUAUUUAUUUAUCGACCAAUCAACAAAAUUAACUAAUUUGAAACGUCGUAAAGUAAUAAACAGAAGCAUUGUAUAUCGACACACAUAUUGGAACAACCAUAAUGACUCCUAUAAUGAGUUUAGAUUUAUUGACUAUUAUAUCCUAUAACAUCCAAGACAUUGAUAUUGAUCGACCCAAAAAAAUAUAUUGAUAUUUUGUUGUAGGAAAGAUUAAUGAUAGAGAAAGCCCUCUUGUUUUUGUCCAAUUAGUAAUGGCUAGUUUGAAGCAGCUACAAAUAGAAGUCAAUAGAAUAAAUAAUUCUCAUAAUGGAUAGUGCUUUCAUUUUUUUUUUUGUGAGUAGAUAUUUUAUUUGAUGAAAAUUGGGAAGUCAAUGGAAUUAUGAUGAAUCGAAUAUAUUCAUUGGAUAAUUUCAUCUCUCCCAAUAUCACAUGAGAAUGCUUCCUUCUUUCACUAGAUCUAGAUCGGUAUCCUCCAUUUGAAACAGUUAUAAUGCAAUCGAUGGAAAGAAUUUUUCUUAGGGACUACAUUGAAAAAAAUUUAAGAAAGUCGAGUCAAUUUUAGGAUUUCUUAUUCUCCGAAGGACCACUUGAGAAAAGACAAUUUGAAGGACAAAACAAAAUUUUGAUGGAAUAAUCUUGACUUUAACUCCAUUAAUGGAUUGAUUUUUCGAUCAAAAGUAAUGUGUUAGUGAAAUCUUCCUUUUUUUUCCUCUUUCUCUAUCCCCAUUCCUAUCGUGUAGGUACAACCUUUGAAUUAAUAGAAAACAUUUUCUUCUAUGUCUGUAUGAAUCGAUAUUUAUAAGGUAGAUAUGUUCCAAGUGCACUAGUUCAAGGGCUUUUAAGGUGUAUUGGAAAGCUUAAGGUGGCCUAUUUAAGAGAGCAUGGUUUAGAAUUUUUCGUAGAUAUUUCCAAAUAUUAUCUAACUAGCUUGACUUUUUGUUUAAGGUGGCUUAUUGCUGAAGGUCUUGAUCUAUUUUCUAUAGCCAAGAAAAGGAGUUUUGUUCGAUUCGCCAAACAUGUAAGCUUCAGCUCGGAAGCCUUGGAUCUGUUCGCACAGCCCAUGUCCAAUCUCAUUGAUCACAAGAGAAAAAGAACAGAAAAAUUGCUUUGGAAGGAAGCUCCGUUCCAUAAGCUUCUGGAUUCUUCCCCCACCACCAUUAGACGUCGCCUACCUUCUCCAGCCGUAAGACGGUACUCAUCCCCUCUAGUCGUCAUCGAUCAUCAUGUAAGAGUUUUUCUAAUGUGGGCCACAUUAAUUAAGAUUGUGAUUUACCGUUUUUAUGAAAUUGAUAUAAUAAAGUAAGAUAUAAAGUUUCUUAAUAAUCGAAUAUGGCUUGGCUUGUGUGUAUCGAAUUAAGCUCAGCCAGUGAUGAGAGGGUCCACCAAAACCCUAUAAAUAGCCUAGGGUCCCUUCUCUAAACCUCACUUUGGCCAUUCUAAAAUGUAUACACCCGCUACCUCACAUAAGGAACGUUUGUGAGGGACAGUCUCAUCAAGCCAAGGUAUCAAGAGAGAGUAUCGAGAGUGAUAGAGGAGAAAUUUUUAGCGUCGAAGGUUCGGAUUGCUGCCAUUUCACUCCAAGAAUCAUGAAUUCCAAAUCAGAUAUGCAAAUCUUCAUCUUCUCCUCCAAUGCGUUCGAGUUUCUAACAAUGUCGAUCUUGGAAACUGUAUCGACGGCCAACACAUCAGUCUCAAGGAGACACUGAUCGGAGAGAAAACCAUUUUUGAGGCACGCAUGCGCACCUGACAGAAAACAGACGGGCAAGGACAAUCGAAAAAGAGGGAAAACUUGCACUCCCUUAGCGCGCUUCUUUUGAAUUUCUUUUUCUUUGUCAUCCUCAUCUGCUGGUAAUCGCCAUCGGUUUACCAUCACCGGGCACCGACUAACGUAUGUACUGGAAAGAGAACUAGAACAGAAGGCACCGGAUGAAAUCAUUCGUCUUUUGAGAUAUCAGAAGUUACUCUAUCAGAGAUUUCUUUUGAAUCCUUUCAUGCCUCUUCAUCUUCAAUAGUGUUUGAAGCCAUUCGCAUUUGUCUGAAACUUCACUAUCGGUGCUCAUUCACCCAAGCACGUUUUCCAGAUCUUCCUCGUGCAAAAUCGACCAGUAAUUGUGACCAAGAAUUCCUCGUCAACAAGGCUAUCUCUCUUCCCUACUAUCCUCUGCUUUCGAUGAAUAAAAGUAACUGAAAUGGCACGUUCUAGAUUAGGAUAGAAUCGGCUUAACUGCAUAUUCAUACUGAUGAUUGCAUCCUUGGACUAAUUUUGUUUGAACCUGAUCUCUAAUCCAAAGUUAUUGCGCUUUGUUUUGCUUCUCCGCCAAAUACGCAUAACGUGUGCAUCAGUGAGUUUCUGCUAAAUCCAAAGACAAACCAGUUUAGCGUGCACAUUAUUGAUUGAUUGGUUGGUCGGUAAGCAUGAUUUAGUAGAAUUUUACGCAUUGACCGAGACUGACACACCUAUUCUUGUUCUAUUCCCGUGUAUGUUUGUCAAUGGCGAGUAAAUGGAUUCGAGUUAAGGACUGGAGUGUCGAUCCAUUGAAGCAUUCGUUUCGGUUUGUUUCUCCAUUCUUAUGUUCUGUCCGUUUCCUUUACUGUUGCGAUUGCGGAGGAUCGAGUUGAUGGUGACAGAGGACGGCCGUAGGCAGGGAGUCUAUGAAUGGUACUGUUUCACGGAUGUUCUUGAUUUUAGUGUUUCGGGUCUUGAACUUGACAAGAAACGAUUGGGCUGAAUCUGGUUCAGGUGAAUUCGGAUUUGAUGAGUUCUUUUAGGGAAUUUGGGCUUAAUUCGACUAGUUAAGUCCAAUUCGAUUUUUUAGGGGAAGAAUCUAGAUAGAUAUAUAGCCCAAAGGACUUUUACGGCCCCGACCUCAAAAGUAUAAGUUUGACCCAUACACGAACUGGGCCCAAGGGCCCAGCCAGCGUCCCCUUAUAUAAAAAAUAAUAAUAAUAAAUUUUAAAAAAAAUUUGAAAAAAAAUAGAAAAAUAUAGAAAAUAAGAAAAAUGGUUAGAAAUAGGGGCCUUGACUAGGCCGUUAAUUUCCAGCACUAGAUUUGGCUUAGUUUCAUUUAGUUAGCAUAUAUAUAGUUUAAAGAAUUUAGUAACUUUGAUAUAGUUUAGUUUUCGCGUAUUGAUCUUUUGGACAAGGAAUUGGAUUCAACUCUUAUUUAGCGCAUGGGGAUUGCUGUAUGAGGGACUUAAUGAUGAUCCUUUGCUUGAUACUUUAUUGAGUUUACUUCUUUUUACUUUACUUUAUCAUAUCGAUUGUGAUUGUUUAUUUGCUCUUGAUUUUGCACUUAUGGAUGGAUAUCGUUUAGUGGCAUAGGGUACUAAAAUGGUUAAAAGAUUGCAUGAACAUCUUAGGUACCAAACCAAUCUAGCUAAGGUAUUGAAAAAGCAUUAGGUAGGCAAUUAGUGUAAUCAAAUCACCAAUUUUAGAAUAUCUAGUUGCGUAGAAAGUGAGAUAUUUUUCCAUAUCUCAAUUGGGCUAGUGGCAGCUCCUUCUUUUAGGUUAAAUUGCACCAAAACAUUGAAAAUUCUAGAGUCGCGUGAGAUAAGGGUUAGGGAGAACUCGAGCUAUCAGGUAACCAUUGGUCCACUGUUGGCAUUAUGUCUAAAUCCGUCUUUCUCUGAACAUGUCGGGAGGGUCACAACACUCUGGAAGCCAUCUUUAGAUCUCUCUCUCACAUGCAAAAACAUAUAGUACCGUACUUGGUGGAUGAUGCAACUUUAGCAAAUGCAUGGCAACAGAGACGGUUUCUAGUAGUUGGACCCCUAGGCUUCAGGGUUUGUAUUGAAGAAUGGUUAGGUUGUUCGAGGAUUAGCCGCUACUCCUCUUUGUGCAUUGGCGAGCGAUGUAUGUGUUCUACGUACGAACACGAAAGAAAAAGCGAGAUGAUUGUUUUUGGCAUCACUAUAUGAUUAAAUUUUCAUAGGUUGAUAUGGUGAUACAUUCUUAACUUUGUGUACCUAAUUAUUUGAUGUUGUUACUUACUGGAUUGACUAGUAAGUUCUAAGGUUACACUGAAAGAUGACAUUCCCAUUUCUCUGAAAACUUAUGAAACUUUUGAAAUAAUCGAAAGGGAAGGAUCUUGCGUCAGCCAUGACUUUUGCUCUCGACAGAUGCUGAGAAUAUUAUGAUAUUUCCUGCAGCUUUGCUCAACCAUGCCAUUAAAAAGCAGUGUAUAGAAGUCAAAACCAAGUCCCAAUUAACGGCAACUUAAAAAUAUAUGGUAGUAAAUAUCACAUUUUUCGGCAAGCCUUCAGCUGUAUACUAACCUUUAUCCGAGCCGACUUGUAAAACUUAAAGAAGAAAUUUGGCGUUGGUAAAUGCAUUACAAUAGUGCUAUCUUACUAACUUUUAACUGCGCUCACUUGUAAAAAUUAAAUGGUUUGGUAACUUAAUUCAUUUGACAUUGAUGUCUUCAUUACCAUGUCAGGAACUUAUUAACCUAUUACUCGAUCUGCUCAUAAAUUUAAAAGUUGUUAACUUCCUUACGAUGUCGAUAAUUUAUUAAUCUCUAUCAUGUCCACCUGUAAAAUUUAAAAGAAGUUUGUAACUUACAUAUCAACUUGGUGUUAGUAAAUUCAUUACAAUAUACUGGAAAUUUGCUAACCAGUAACUUGAUUUGGCCAAUCUACCACCGUUGAAGAAUGUUCAAGAAAUUCAUAGAAAUUAUAGUAAUUGUAAUCGACAGUAAAGACAAAUAAAACUCAAUAUAUGCCAUGGAAAUCUUUUUUUUUUAAUUGAAAUUCUGCAAAAUCCGAUACCCUUGCAACCAAACAUCUAUCAACAAACAUUAGACAAUACCAAUUUGGCAGUUCAACCGCAAUCGCUCAGCAGCUGCUAACCCUCUUGGCUUUCAUUUGGUCAACUGAGAAGCCGUCGAGUUGUAUAUCCUUCACAUACACGAAAAGCCUCAACUUGUUGGCCUUUGCUGCUCUCCAGACAUCUUUGAUAGGGUUUAAAUCAGACGGCUGACAUAAAAGUGCUCGAACUGACAAGGCCAGAAGAAAAUCUCCUGGGCACAAAGACAUGGGACUGUAGAACCGGCUCAAUUUAUUAGCAGCUUCCCUAGAGUAUUUUAUAUUUAAACAAUAAGUUUCGGACAUAUCUUCCCGGAUAGUGAGGUGGCCGAUUUACUAUAGGGUCAAGUGAAUUACCGAUAAUGUACAUAAUCAUGAUACAUCCGCCAAUGAUAAAAGGAGAGAUUCCAAGCUUGAUGGUUCCGGUCAAUACCACAUACGUACCACAAGCAAAGGCUAGCACCAUUGCCCAUAUCGCAAUGAAAAUGCAAAGUCCCACGGGGUAGGUGUAUCUCACCUCGUAGCGAGGGCCCGGGACCCAAGGAUCAAAUUGUAUGAAUAAUGCCACGACUGAGAAAUUGAACGCUGUAAUGUUUAAUACCACAAAUGCUUGGAAAGCUGCCCUGUCAGCAAGAAUCGCCAUCCCUCGGUUGGGUCCAUCGUUGUUAUAUCCUCCGGGCAUGGUGAAGGUUGCAGCAAAGGUCACCGUGGCUAUGAGCGUUGCCAUUAAUUGUUGAAGGUUGAUCAAGUUUUUUGUUGAUGAAUCGGAAUUUUCUCGGUUGGCGAUAUUACUUCCGGUGAUUAUAGAUGCACCUGGUUGACCCUCAACAAAUUGCUUGUCCAACAUCUUUUUUAUUUUUUCAAUAACCCCACCUUGGAAAUCCGACAUUCCGCAAGAUUCUUUUAAUAGAUAAUUAACUUUGGCAGCACUGCAGCCGACCUAAAAAAUUUACAACAUGUAUUAAUUAAAGGGUGAACUCUUCCGGCGAAAUACCUUUACGCACUCAAAUUUCAUUUAUAAACAACAGAAAUCCCGGCGAGUCAUAAAAUAUUAUGAGGCAGAGGGUAGGUUAUCUCUUUUAUCUCAAGAAUUGUUUGAAUGGGGGCAGAAAAAAAAAAAAAAACAGAAGGAUUAUAGCUAAUUAUUGUUAAACUAUUCCGAUAUUUUCAUGUGAAUGUGACAGAAUAGUUGUUUCAAAGUCAGAAGGUGCAGAUAAACUUUUUAAAUUGAGAUCCUCUAAAGCUACAUCUAAUCUAACAUUUAAAGUCACCGCUGUAUGGUUGACAUCCUAGCACAUAGGGGUCAUUAGACGGCACAUAUUUAUUCUCCAUUUUUCUUUUGUUCUUUUUUUCCUCCCUCUAGCUUAUCCCUUAACUUUGGAGGGUCCCAACCCUAAUGUUUUGCAUUGUUUUCAAGAUAAAUAAGAUGACAACUAUUUGUGAACUCUUUGAUGACCCGAUUGUCGCACGCAUUUGAAAUUUUAUGCUCAAUGAAAGUUUUUUAUUUGAUGAGAUAAUAUGAUUAUAAAAUCCAUAUUUACCAACUUCAUACAUUAUAUUGUGCACAAAUAAUAUACAUUUAUCAACCAAACAACAUAAUUAAUUACUAUUGAAUUUUACUUUAUUGAAUUCUUUGUUACUGAGGUCCGCUCUUCCCACAUGGAAAGAGACAGGUGGGGAGUUUAUUCUCCAACUUCUCAUAUGGAUAAAAGGUAAGAAGAUUCAGUUUUAAGUGUGGGGUUUGACUCUCACACUUUACAAAGAAAUAGGACAAAAGUCUGAAAAUGAUUCAAGAGUUAAACUAAGUCUGAAAAGGAGUAAAGAGUUAAACUAAGAUAGGCAACUAUAUAUAUAAUCAAAAAAAAUUCAGACAUAUAUUUGUUUUAAACUAUUUAUUUUAUAGUGUGCAGUUCAUUGUUGGCUAUUAAUUCAAUAUUUGGCCUUUUUUUUAUGCAAUUAGAUAUUAAAUAGGGCUUUUACAUGUGCAAAUGAGUUAGAUGAUUUCAGACUAUAAGUAUUAAUUAAAUUAUGAGGACUUCAAUUUUAAAUUUUACAGUAAUAACUACUGGCAAGAUAAUUAUCUUGUAAGACAUAAUUUCUAUAUGAUGAUGCAAAUUCAUCACCAUGUUAUAGAUCAAAACUAAAAAAUUGAAGACAACUUCUUUAGCUACUGCUUUCUGUUAAUCUUGCAAUACUCAUUAAUAUAGUUUAACCAAUUUUUUUCAAUAGUGUAAAAUAGUUAUGCUUUACUUUGUCACUAAAUCGUUUGUGUGCUCAUAUCCAAAUUAUAGAUUAAAUGGUUGUUUGAAAGAAAGAAAUUAUAUCCCUCCACAUUUAGUUUAUAAUAAGUGGAUAUAUGAAAGAACCAUAAAUACUUUAAAUCACGAAUAUAGAUUUAUUGGCUAUUGGACCAAAUUACAUUCAAGUUGUAAGCUAUGGGAAUUGAUGUCGAUAUUUUGCUGUAGGAACAUUAAUGAUAGAUUAGGUGGACAAAAAAGCCUUUCAAUUUUUGCCUAAUUGAUGUAAUAAUUAGUGUAUCGAUUAAUGUCAAGUGAAGCGGGAGGGAAUGAUUGUAAAUGGCUUAACCAUAAAAUUCAAUGCUACCCAAAUUUCUUAUUUAUGGUUCGAUAUGACAUCACUUCACUCCAAGUCCCUUUUUCAAAUGCGUCACGCUUACUAGAGCUAUCUAUGCUACUAUCAACUCAAACAAUCGACUAAGCAAAACAAAGUUGACACACUAAAACUCCAAUUGGGCUGUUUGUUUGCACCGACUAUCACCUGAGCCACCGUUUCUAAACAAUACUGAAGAGAUUACUCUACAAGUGAACAAAUCGAGCUCUAUAGGGUUCAAGCAAGAAAGCAUUCCUCAUCAUGAGCCAAAAAAAUGUCAAGGGCAGUCAUAUGAUCAUUGUUUGUGAUGAAACGGUCUAUCCUCUUGUCUCGUGCAAGUAUAUCUAUGAUGGUGUAGUCCUUAUGAAGUGCUGCCAAAUGCAGAGCCGUGUUUCCGUCAGUAUCUUGUUCCUUGAUAAGAUACUCCAAGUUCAGUUUCCGGAGUAUGUCCUUGACUACAUCCGCUUCUCCACCCAUCACAGCUGCGUGAAGAGCUGUUUGCCCGUUGAUGUUUAUGAUGUCCCAGGCACUAGGACAAAAUUUAACAAUCUCAUCAAUGACAAGAGAGUAGCCUAAAAACGCUGCAAUGUGAAGAGCUGAUUGUAUGACUCGAAAAAUCUGGAUGUCACAAAUAUCGUGCUGUAGUAGUUGUUGAACCGCUUUGAAUUUGCCCUUGGAAGCAACAUAAUGAAGAGGAGUCCAACCCAUUUCAUCUCUUUCUCUGAUCAAUUCCGGUCUGCUAUUCAGGAUUUUCUGCCAGCCUUUGCAAAUACAAUAUGAAUAUGUCAUGAUUCAGACUGUUUUUAGCAUCUUGACAUAGAUAUUAGAAUUGCAUUGUCUCCCGUGAAGUUUUCCCCUUUUUCUCCUUACUAGGAACGAAUAUGUCAUGGUUAUUACGAAGUUUCUCUAGUUAUCUCAUGUUAACGCACGUAGAAUCUGACCACCUUCAAUUCAGUAUAAUACAGAAAUCUGUAAAGGUUUUCUUUUUGAUAAGUGAAAUUGUUAAUAGUUGGUCAAGUUGAUCGACAAGAAGCUUUUCCUUUUUUCAGGAGGGAAUCUGCUCCGUCAGGGCUAGGAUAAAAGACCAGUGUUUUUUUCUCUGGUGCCAAUCAUAUUGCAGACCAAUCGUGCCCAACUCAAUUUCAUAGAAAUUUCAAUAUCGAAUUAGGACUUAGCGCCUUGUGCAUUUUCAAUGAUCGUUGCACUCCCAUUUUUUCAAGUCAUCAUGAUUUGCCUUCAAGAAUUAAAAAAAUUUACAUGCAUACCUUGAUCUUUCGGAAAUAUAAAGGGUUAACAUCACAAAAAAUCCAAACUAAUUCACAUAUAACAAAUUCACCAUAAAUUAAUUUUUUGACUAUAAAAAAUUCCAAAUUGAUAUACUUGUGACAAAUUUAUUCUAAAUUAAAUUUUUUACUACAAAAAACCCACAUUCUGAUAUAUCCGUAACCAUUUUAUCCCCCGUUAGUUUCUACUAAAUUGAUUUGAUAUCACAAAAGAAUAUCCAAAGUGGUACACCUAUCCACUAUCACAUGUCAUACAACUAAUUAAUUUGUAAUAGAUGUACUAGUUUGGAGUCAAAAAAAUUAGAUUUGGAUAGAUUUUUCACAAAUUAUAUAUAUUGCAUGCCAUGCCAUGCCAUUUAUUGUAAAAUGAAAGACAAUUAAUCAUAAACACAAAAUGUCGAAACAAAGAAGGACACAAGAAAAGAUAAUUAAAAAGAAGAAGAAGGUAAAACAACCGAACUGGAGAAGAGAGGAGAGGGAAGAGGCAGUGGUGCUAUGGUAGUGAUGGUGGCUGCUGCCGCUGCCACCGAAGGAGUCGAGUAAGAGUACAAGAUCUAGAAAAACACUUAGAAAGAAAUUAAGUGCGUGUACAAAGUACUUUCUUAAAAUAAAAUGAUUUUCCUGAAUCGAUACGUAAACCAGAAUGUAGUUGAAUCCUUUGAAAAACUCUACUCUUUUUUCCUUAGUCCGUAUGCUAAGACAGGACAAACCAGUUUGAACUUAAUUAAUAGUCAAUGAAUAUCCGGCCACAAAAAAAAAAAUUAAUGAAUAAAACAAUAAAGUCAAAUGCAACGAGAAUAACAAGUUAAAAUUUUAUUCAAAUUAUAACCCCCAUAUAUAAUUGCUCAAGAGCCAUGUCCUUGGGAAAAUGUAUGGCCUUUCAACACAAUAAAAGUAGCAAUCAAGAAAUAAAUAAAUAGCGUUGGCGGCCAUCACUGCUAACAUCAUCACGUCUCACCUAAAUGAAGCCUUGCACGAGAGAGAGAACUUUAGUUAAAAUUUGUUUCGGUGGAAAAAACCUGUGAUACUUACCAGCAGUGGGCGAUGGAUGGCAACAUGCAAAGCUGUCAAUCCCUUAGGGCCCUUAUGAGAGGAUGGCAACACAGAAGCACGUAAAAUCAGGUCCAUGAUAUACAAAUGCCCUCUAUCUGUUGCAAGAUAAAGUGGGGACUCAUCAGCAGCAUUAGUAACACCACCCAAUUGAGGAUCCUCUUCAAUCAGCAAUUUCACCACUGAUUCAUGGCCUCCUCUUACUGCAUAGUGCAGUGCAGUAUCCUUAUGCAAAUUUGGCUUUCUAAGUAGUUCUCUACAUGCAUCAACUUGUCCGUUUUCAACAAUGCUGUGCAGUUUCACCAUAUUAAUAAGGACUCGAACAGAUUUCCAGCUUCCCAUGGUGGCAGCAAUAUGUAGUGGAGUAUCUUCUUUGGAGUUACCCUGCCAAAGAAGAGGCGGUCCCGAUGGAUGUUGAAGAAGAUUUUCGAUGAAAUUUACUUGCUCGUGCUGAGUUGCAACAUGAAGAAUGUUGUUCCCAUUUGGCGUUGUUUGGUGAAAAAGAUCCUCUCCGUUUUCCGAAAUUGCUGUGAUUAGGGACUGAAACUCAGGAGAUUGAAAGUCUCCUGACUUUGCAGCCCUAUACACAUUAGGAUGCAUACUUAGGCUCUCUUUCAUUCUCGGAGUAAGCGGUAGUUGCAAGUGAACUUAUCAAUAAAAGAAAUGAGUUCAAAUAUAAUGAACUUCUUUGAGCUUUCUAAGAGGAUUGAUGUAAAUGGAGGAUGUUGGAAAGGAAAUUUAGUUGAGCUUCCCAGGAGUAGUAGAAAGGAGAUAUUUAUAUGCAUAUGGUGGUUCUUCAAUUGUUCCUAUGAAAUUGAAAUAAAUUUAUCAGGUUUAGAGAAUAGUUUCCAGAAAGUCUAAUUAGUAUGCGUUUUGGACUUCAUAUUUUACACAUAAGCAAAUAAUAAGGAAGUGGGGCAACUCUUGUUUAAAGGAAGGAGGACGAGUACAAAUAAAAAAUAAUAAUGAUAAAUAAAUUAUAUAAGCAUGAAAUUGAAUUAGCGGCUGCUUUCCACUUUUCAUCAAAAUCAGGACCAUCGAAACAUGCAUGAUUCAAACAUUCUUACUGAAGAAUCGAAUCUGAUUGAACUUAUUUAUUAAAGCAAAGACAUUCGUGGGCCCACGUUUAGCUGUAGAUUUCCUUUUGCUCCUUUCCUAUUUUUUAACAACAAGUCCUUAACUCUUUUUAGUCUUUAUGGUCUUAGUCCGUCGUGAGUCGUGCGUUCUCAUCAUGCUCCACGUGAUGGAAGAUUUACAUACGUAAUUUUUCCCCACUCGAAGAUUUAUAUAUGUAAAAUUUUAUGGGGAUCGAACUUAGGUAAAAAUUAGUUGACGCUCAAUUUGAGGAUCACCUCUACUCCAAGGACCAGACCAACCCAGUGGGUUCGGUCCGAUUCCAGGGUCAACCCGGGUUUUCAUAAUAUACUAUAACGAAUAAAAAUCUAAAAAAAUUCAUGAUAGAUCAAGGACUAUCUAUUAUUUUUACUAUGUGGAAGAGAGAUGUAAAAGCUUAAUUUUUUUUAAAAAAGAGAAGGCAACACCGAAGCUGUUCUGCUUUGUCAGCAAGGGCCAGUGAUCCUUGUUGGUGUGUUGAUGAGGGCCAUCGACCCUUGUUGGAGUGUCCAUGAACGAGGGUUUGCAGGAUCUCGUUUGUGCCACAUAGUAAAGACAACUGUGAAUUUAUAUGUAGAACUGAAUUCGUAAGACUAUUCUUGUGAUGUUCUGAACUUGUAUCUCUAUGGAACAUUAGCUACAAUUAUGUUUGUUUAUGGAAUUGGCAAUUAGUAUCCUAUCUGAACCCCAGUGACAUUAUGUGUAUGUAGAACUGAAUACUCUGUUAACGGCAAAACUGCAUUGGCAAGGGGUUAUUUUGUUUAACUUAACUUCUUCUUCUUUUUCCCAUUUAUGUUGGUCUAGACUUUGCUCCCAAAUAGGUGCCAUCAUUAAUCUUUUUUCAUUCAUUAGAAAAUGAAAUUAUUUUUGUUGAUUUACACUUUCCACUGUCUCUUGCUGUGUAGAGAAAUAGGAGACGGCUCAUGGGACUCGUGGACUGUGCCAUUUCUAGAGCGGGCAAGCUGUCGACUCUUGCCUGUUAUCCAUGAUGAUUUGUAUAUAAUGAAUCCGUGACAAUCUGUUAUGUUCCUUGCCUUUCAGACUGACAUUGCUUGCGAGAAGGUGUAGACAGUUUCUGGUGAGAUACAUCGUCUUCUGGUAUCCUGCAUCUGAAGUUCACUUUCAGUGGAACAAUUUUGAUAUCACAGGUGAAGAACAUGAGCGGACUUAGCGAUGGCUUCGACAUAGUCGGGCUUUCUCAAGUAAUGACGUUGAAUGUCGAUCUUCACGUUCUCCAGAUUCUGUGUAGUAGUCAUAGACAAGUGGGGAAUUUGGUAGAUCUACUAAAACAGUAAUUCAAUUGGACUUGAAAUUGAACAUAUGGAGAAGUUUGUGAUCCUUAAUUUGAUGCAAGAGAAAAUCCGGCAGCUGUCAAUUGAAUAAGUGAGCAAAUUGGGUCGACUGCAUCGAAGAGCCUGGACUUAAACUGGCUUAAACUAUAGGGACAGGACUAAAUUUUUCAUGAUCUAUAGUUUGAAUAGUUUACAUGUUACGAAAGAGAAGACGUUGAUCAUAACUGCACAUUUUAUAAACAACAAUUUUACUUAAAAUAGAAUUUACAAUUUUAAGUUGUUGGGGUAGUGAAAAAGUUCAAAAUAAUAUCCUCAUGGAAAACUUGAAGUAUAUCUAAAGUCUAUGCAAAAGCUUUUGAAAGCUUGAGAAAUGACACUCACAGUAGCUAUUAUUUACCCAAAAACAUGGGGUUUAGAUGCUGCAAUGGUCAGCUCUUUAUAAUUAUUCUGUGCCCUUCUAUGUUGUACUCCAGUAAUUCUUCGGUAACAUAACCAACAUACUAUAUUGAUGGAGUAUAUUGACAACACAGUUAGCUCAAUAAGUGGCAAAUGGAUAAAAGAUAAUGUUGUGUAUUCUUAUUGUCGUCUUUAUCCUGUUACCGAUUACCUAGGGUAUGCAUGGUAACGUUUGGGGACCAAUUUCUUUUCAAAAAUGGUUCUUUUCUAUUUUUAUUCCCUAAAACAAUUUCUGAGUAAAAUAAUGCGUUUGGUAACUAAAUAAAAUUUUUAUUCUUGAAAUAAAAAAAAAAAAAGGAAUAUGUUUGGUAUGAUACAUAAUUUUUUGUAUUUUUUGUUUUUUCUUCUUGCUCACCAGCUGCCAUCAUCGACUAGCCGCCGCCACUGGCCACCUGUUGAUCGCCGUUGACCAACGAUGGCCGGUGGGGGAGCAGUGGUGGGUGACUGCCUGCCAACGGUCGACGGCCGACUAGCAGCGACAAUUUGCGGCGAUCGGCAGGUGGCAAUUGGCGGUGGGUUGCAGUGGUGGGCGGUGGCAAGCGGCAAGCAAGAAGAAGAAAAGAAAGAAAGAAAAGAAAAAAUUGACUUUAUUUCUAGAAAUUGUUCUUGAAAACAAGAAGCUACUUUUUUCAACUUAUUAUUUUUGUUCCAAAUCUAUUCCCUGACUACUUUUCUCUUCUGGGAAAUAGAAAAAUUAAUUGACAUUACUAAAUGGAUUUAUUUUAUUUUUUUGUUCUAAGAAACAAAAAAUAAAUAAAUCGAAAAAAAUAAAAAAGUUACCAUAUAGGUCCCUAGUUUCUCAUGUUCAUAGUUAGAGUUGUCUAUCUACCGUCAUCGCAACUUACUUGCCUCUCUCACCAAGCACCAUGAUUGGUCAAGGUGUUGUUGAAUUUUGUGAUGGAGCAUCUUUAGUGAGAAAAAGUUCUAAAAAGAGUGAAUUACACAGCUUCGUGUCAUGCAUUCUUUCUUUUCAAUAUUGAGGUGAAAACAUAUAGAGAUUCAUUAUAAACAGUUCAUAGAUUUUAUUCCCCUUUUUCCUUUCACAAGUCAUAAUAUUCUUUAUUGUACUACCGACCAACUUUUGAGAUAAUGCACAGAAGUUCUCUUUGUUGUCUGUUGUUUCUUUACAGAUGUUGAUUCAUAAAACUUUUAGUCCACAAAGAAAACAUGAUUCCAUGUUGUAGAAUGACAAUUUGUUAAGCCAUGCCACCAUUGUGUAAAUUUCUGCAACUACUACUUUGAUCCUAGAAGUGAUGCUUGACUGCAGUAGUGGGCCUUUUAACAGCAAUCUCUUCCUAUAACAUUUUGUCGGUGCUAGUAAUGCUGUGGGCCUGGACUAAGAAUCUUGACUACGUUGGCAUAACUCAUCUGAAGCUACUUUUUUAAAGCAUAAUAUAGAGGUAAGAGUAUAUAGAAAGAAGAGGAACAAUAUCUGAACAAUAUCUUGACAAAUGUCUAAAGAGGAAUCAUUGAUUGGAAUGAUUUCCAUGGUGUAAAAGAUUAACUUCCUCAUAGGGGAAUUUCAAGUUUUAAGGAUGAGGCAAUUAACUGUUGAUCACAAGCCUUUUGAUGUUUACUUUAAAUUCGUGUAUUUCAAAGGGUGUGUAGUACAUUGCUGCGCUAAUUCCCCAUCUCCAACUAGCUUGCUAGAUAUUCUGGAGAAUUUUGGAUGGAACUUGGUGCUUAUCUCAUUUUUCCAUCUUUACUAGUCGGAUAUCUCAAUGAUUCAUAACAUGUAUUUUCCUGCACUGCAGACGUGAAAUAACAUACUAUAACAAAUUAAAUCAACUGCAGAGCUUGGUAAGUCUUUCUUGCUACAACCAUACCUGAUGUAAUUGAUAGAUAUGCUGACCUACCUUCUUGAUUGUGGUCCUUUUUGCUAUUAUUGGCAAAGGAAUAUUACUUAACCAGCAAAAAGAGCCACAUUAUUUUUCACUCUUUCAGCAAAAUUGAAAUUUACGUUUUGUUUCAUGAAAGGAAGUGCGGACGAUAAAAGACAAAGGGAGUUGUGAUAGGACGAUAUCAUAUCAUGUCACAUUUAGAAUUUUUUAUGGAAAGUGAAAAAUUAGUAGACCAUAGAAAAGAAGUGUCAGUCUAAGUAAAGACAGUAAAAAGGAAAAGUAAAGUAGGAUGAAAGAAAAGAAUAAAGUUAUCUAUGCUUUCCAUUUGUGUGUGGGUUUUUUUUUUUUUAAUUAAGUGGACAAUAGAGGAGUGAUCAAUAAAAAAUUAAAGGUUUUUAAAAAAAAAAAGUAAUUUAGCCCUAAAUUAAGCAUAAAAAAUAUUGCAGUUCCUUGGUAUUAAUUGUUCUUUUUUUUUUUUUUUUGAGGUUUAUGCCAUUAAAAAUUUGAAAUCUUUAUCCUCUUGGUACGUUUAUCCAAAUUAAUUUUUGUCUCAUAAAAAUGCAUGACACUUUUCUUUUAAACUAUAUAUAUAUAUAUAUUUUGGUAAGGUGUCUUUUAAACUAAUUUUUAUCUCUCAAAAAAUCCCAAAAUUGGUAACUUGACCGAAACUUACCCUCAACAUUAGAUUCUAAACUGUUAAAGGAUGUUAGAUUUGGGUUAGGUUAUCGGUUUGAGGUAAUUGUGUUUUGAGAAAUCAGUUUGAGAGAUGAAAAUAUAGUAUGGGAAAAAUAUGUUAUAAAAAAUCAAUUUGAAAUUUUUGAUGAUUGUAAUCCUAUUUUAAUUGCAUCUUGUAUGGUGAACCAAGACAUGCACAGAAUUGAAACAUUUUCUAAGCAUUAUAUACGGAUGAUUAACCAUGUUGAAUGUAAUACUGAGGAUUACGGAAAUCAUCAUCUUUACCGAGCUUCCUCCCCUACAAUCUUAUGGUAAACAAAUAGCAAGAAGAACCAACACAAUAAAUAGGUAAACAAACAAUAUAUAUGUAUAAGGGGUCUAAUUUGGUCUUGAUCUAUAUUCUAUAUAGCCCACAAGAGGAGUUUUGUUGGAUUCGCUAGACAGGUCAGCUUCAGCCCGGAUCAGUUCGCACGGCCCAUGUCCAAAUUCGUUGAUCCCGCGAGAGAAAAAGAAUAGAAAAAUUGCUCUGGAAGAGAAGCUCCGCUCGAGACGCUUGUGUAUUCUUCCCCCCGCCACCGUUGGACGUCGCCUUCUUCCUUUGGCCGUCGGACGGUGCUUGCCUCCUCCGGCAGUCGUUAAUCAUCAGUCUCAGGCAGACACUGAUCGGAGAGGGAACCAUUUUUGAGGUACGCAGGCACACCUGAGAGAAAACACACGGGCUAGGACGAUCGAGAAAAAGGAAAAGCUCGCACUCCCUCUGCACGUCUUUGGAAUUUCUUCUUCUUCGGUCAUCCUCAUCCACCGGUAAUCGCCAUCGGUUUACCAUCACUGGACAUCAACUAACGUGCGUACUAAAAGAGGACUUGAACUGGCGAGGUUUUUGGGCGUCCACAAGUCACUCUCUCGGUUAUUUCUUCUGAAUCCUUUCCUGCCUCUUCGUUGCCGAUUGUAUUUGAAGCAAUUUGCGUUUGUCUUAAACUUCAUUACCGGUGCUCAUCCUCACCAGCGACGUUUUCCAAAUCCUCCUUGUGCGAACUCGACCGGUAAUCACGACCGAGAACACCUCAUCGGCAAGGUAAUCUCUCUUCCCUACUAUGAAUAAAAGUAACCGAAAUGGCGUGUCCUAGAUUACGAUAGAAUCGGCUCAAAUUCGUAUUCAUAUUGACGAUUGCGUACUUGGACUGAUUUCGUUUGAACCUGAUCUCUAACCCGAUAAACUGAUUUUGUCUGAAUCUGAUCUCUAACCUGAAGUCAUCGCGCUUGCUUUCACUUCUCCACCGAAUGCACAUAACGUGUUUGAUAAAAUGACUCGGAAGUGUAUCAGUGAGUUUCUGCUAAAUCCGAAGACAUACUAGUUUAGUUUGCACAUUAUUGAUUGAUUCGUUGGUCAUUAAGCACGAUUUUGUAGAAUUUUACACAUUGACCAAGACUGACACACCUAUUCUUGUUCUAUUCCCAUGUAUGUUUGUCUCUGAGGUGAUGGGUGGUGGUGAAUGGCGAGUAAAUGGAUUUGAGUCAAUGGCCGGAGUGUCGAUCCAUUGAAGCAUUCGUGUCGGUUUGUUUCUCCAAUCUUAUGUUCUGUCCAUUUCCUUUACUAUUGCGAUUGUGGAGGAUUGAGUUGAUGGUGACGGAGGAUAGCCGUAGUCACUGAAUUGUACUGAUUUAGGUGAAUACCUGUUGAUAAUUUUACUGUCUGAGCUCUUGAACUUCGACAAGAAAUGGAUCUGGGAAUGGUGGACUCGGCGUCAAGGAUGAACAACGAUCGUAAAAAGAGAGGAGAAUAACAAAAAAAAGAAAAUAGGCCCUUUUCAAUGGAAAAUAAGUUUAAUGCGGACUUGGUGUGUAUUUGUCAUGGGGAUGGGUUUAGUGUAGUAAUGUUCAGGAAUGGAUUUAAGAUGCGAUUGGGCUGAAUCUGGUUCUAGCAAAUUUGUAUUGAGAAAAUGUAUUGAAAAUCCUAAAAUUUAUCACAAAAUGCAAUUGAGUUCUAAAACUUUUAAAAAGUGUAAUUAAGUCAUAAAACUUAUCAUAAAGUGCAAUUGAGUCCUAAAUUUUUUUAAAAAAGUGCAAUUAAAUCUAUCUUUUCCUGAACGUAUGAGGAGGGAUGGACCACUCUGAAAAAGAUAGUUUUAGAGGUAAUUAAUAUAUUAUAAAAGUAAAGUCAAGUUUUAAAAUUAUUGUUAAUUAGUGUGAGUGCCGGAUCAAACUUUUACAGCUUGAUAUGGUGAUACAUCUUUGGCCUCGUGUGCCUAAAUAUUUGCCGGUGUUAAUUGCCGGAUUGAUUUGAAAGUUCUGAGACUAUAGAGAAAGAUGACUUCACUACUUCUAUGAAGGUCUAUGAAGCUUUUGAAAUAAUCGCAAGCAUCACCCAUGACUCUUGCUCUUGAUAGAUGCAGAAAAUGUUACUUCCUGCGGUUUUUGCGCAUCUAUGCCACGAAAGAGAGAUGCAUAGAAGUCGAACACAAGUUCCAAUUCAAUGGCAAAGUCAACUAUAUGCUAGUAAACAUCACAUUCUUCAACAAACCUUCAGCGGAGUACAAACCAACAGUCGAUAAUGUGAUGAUAACAACAAUCGGUCCCAAUUGUCAUGUAGGUGCUUUAAAAUUAAGCAAAAAUUAGGAUAUGUCGCUAAUGUGAUGAUAACAUAAAACAAGCGAUUUCAACCAUCCUUGAAUUGAGAGUUUUUAACUUCUCAUUCUCUCACUAAUCAUCAUUUCAAGAAUGGAUAAUACUAUCUUUAGAAAAAAAUAUUUAUAUUGGUAAUGCAUUGUAUAACUACUAUAUAAUUAAGUAAUGAUUCUGAUUGCUUUGCUUAAGUAAUUUACUUCAAAAGUUCCUAAUUCUCGACACUCGGCCAAAGCUGAAUUAGUAAAAAGGGACCUUAGAGCAUCACCUAUAUUUUUUCACCGCACAUUCAUCCGCUCCUCCACAGUAUGAGAAGUUAAGAGAUCCUUCUUCAUCAUUGGCAUUAGGGCACCAUUUUCUCCACUCUCUUGAUAGAGGCUUGAUGAUCAUCGCGGAUACUUAGCCAAGCAGUGGAAGCACUGUAGCCAAGUGGACACGUUCAUAAGUUGAUGGACCCGAGUUGUAACAUCCUCGAUUUUAACCACUAUUUUGGCCUUGACUAGUAGGUCAAAGCCCGAUAUGUCAAGAGCGAGACUUGGCCAUGAGUUGGCCCGAAGCCCGGUCAUGAGUCAAUUGGCCAUUCAAGGAUUGGUAACCCAAGGUUGAGUUAUAGAGUAUUUGACCAUAAGAAUUGGUUGUGAGACGAUCACGUACCAUCAUGGAUUGACGGACGGUCAUGGUUUGAUUCCGCUCAAUCAUUAUGCUGGUCAUGGACGACCAUGAACUAAUCCCAUGAUACCAUGAGUUGAUACGAAUGGAUCGAUUCCACAUGAUUAUAUGACAAUCAAUAAUCGACUAUGGAUUGAAUAAACUCAAUGUGGUUCAAUUUCAAAUUCAUCAUGAGUUGUGGUGUAGAACCUUGGACUAGUCAUAGGACCGGCUAUAGAACUAGUCGAUUGGCCCAAGGAUUGAGCACAAUUUUGGUCAAGUAGAACUGACCCACAAACUGACUAGAGGACCAACCGACCGGGCCAGGACCUAGCUAGUAAACCCAACUGUGACCCAUUUUCUCAAUAAAGGGGAUUUUGAAUUCUGUUUGGCCAAUCAAGCUGAGUUGUGUCUAGCUUUGUUUGGGCAUGGCUUAGGCAUGAACCUCAGGCUAAAUAAGGUUGUCGAUCGUGAUCAAACUCAAUUAAUCCCUACCCAGUGACAAAUCUUUUAAAACUUAGAUAUUUUCCUAAGGUGCAUUCAAUGCCUUUGGCUUGUAGUUAAUUAAUGCACAUUGACUAAGGGUGGACACUUGGCAUGAAAGACUUUUGCAUUUGAAGACAAGUUUGAAACUUGGACUUUGAAUCAUUAAUGAGGAGGACACCUAAGCCUAAUUAGGAGAUCUUGGAGGCCAAGAAAUGGACUACACAACCAUUAGAAGAAGGAGGAAGCAAGUCAAGCCUUCUUGGACAAGAUAAGAGUGGAUUAUAUACAUUUGGCUUCUAGUUAUAUAAUGUCAAGAUGAAAUGUCCAAGCUAACCUAAGAUCUAGUUGGAAACUUGGAAGACAAGGAUGCCCAACAAUUAAUGCUUCUUGACCAAGUGGGCCAACUAAGAUUGCUACCUUUGACUUUUGAAAUUACUGGACCUCCACUAUUUUCCAAUUUUACACAGAUUUUUGUGGUCAAAUUUAAAGAAACUUCCUCAUGAAAGUUGUUCUAAAUAUCUUUAUCUAAAACAUACUUAAAUUUCAUGUUUUUUCUGAGGUGAAAUGAUAGGGACGAAGGCCCAAUCAUUCACCGUCUGGAACCUGUCCCGUGUAGUGAAACGGUGACCAGGUUGCCUUCUCAAAUUUUUAUAAAAUUUUCUCUUUCAAAUCUAACCAUGAUUCCUUCAUGAAAGUUUUAAAGGACAUCUAUUUCCACAACAUAUAAAAAUUUCAAAUAGUUUUGUGAAGAUUUAGAUUUCAGAAUGAGUCUCUCUCUGAUUGUUGAAUCUGCUUGACGAACAAAUAUUUAUGUUGUGUUCAAUGAUAUUUUGCUCUUUGCACAGCACGAAUUUGACUUGACUUCCUUCAUGAAAAAUGUUAUUUAAGGUCUUCUCCACAAUAUAUUAAAAUUUCAUAAUCUUUCAAUUCCGUUUGAUAAGGUAAAGACAUUAAUAUAGGAAAUUAUUCAAAACUGUUUUUCUCAGUCAGGAGGUGUGAGUCAUGCCCAAGCUUGGAUUCAAGUCCUUAAAUGCAAUGUUGAGGUGUCCCAAGCUAUCAAGCUAAAGCCGUAUUCUACCUUGAGACUUGGUGACCAAGUUACCUUGCAUUUAAUGCUUCUUGAUUUAGAGAGGAAGUCUUGACUUUUAAGGCUUCAAGAAUAAGUUAGAAUUGCCUAUAAAUAUGAGGCAUCCCUCCCUCAUUCCCACAACACACCACCUUCCUCCUUCACUCUCUCAACCUCACCCUCACCAUCGCCCUCUCUCUCUCUUUUUCGUGGCCGUGCCCCUCUUGUCCAUUUGCUCGCUCGCACGUUGCUCCGUCACCUAGGCCGUUCCUUGAAGUGUGGUAUGUAGAACUUACUAAUAUUUGGCUAGGACGUUGUGUUAUGCUAUUCUGAGCGUGUGACAAGUCCUUGACUAAAGUUGAUUGAUUGUUUGUUGCUUGAAGUUUGGCCGUAUUUGCUUGGAUUAGUUUAGACCUUGUUCCUUGAUUGAGUUCGAUCCUUCUUUGAUGAGCUUUAGCUUAAGUUGCUUGGAAGAAGCUCGAUUUGUGUGUUUAUUUGAUAUGUUUUGGUUUUUUCUUUGAUACAAACCUACUUUAAAAGUGUUUUAUGAAAGCUUGCUAUUUCUUCACAAAACUAUUUCAAAUCAUUUUCACAAGUGCAUGUUCUAUUUCAUGCCCCAAGCUCCGAAAAAAGGUUUUGUCGGCCUUGACGUACAUGGGAUCACGAUGGAUUAGUCCUCCCUUAGUCUUGGUGCGAUAUCGAGGUAUAUCAUUCUCGAGCCAACUUUGGUACUAGGUCGGUGAACAUAUCACGAUGGGCUAGUCCUCUCAUGGUCUUGGUGUGGUAUUGAGGUGUAUCAUUCUCGAGCCAAGUUUGGUACUAGGUCGGUGAACAUGUCACGAUGGGCAUGUCCUAUCAUGGUCUAAGUGCCAUAUCGAGGUAUAUUGUUCCCGAGCCAAGUUGGUUACUAGACCGGUGCUCAAACGUGUUGGAUCAAGUCGUGAUCCUUGAUUCGUGCUUAGCAUGCUUAACUUCUCGGUUUCGGUAAGUCAUUUCACACACUUAUGCAUGGCACGCCUUCAAGUCCUUGAACUAAAAGAAAAAAUAAGAAUUGGAUUAUGAUGCUUGAUGCAUGGACACACGAUAGACUAAUUUAUGCCGUCGACCGAUAGAUUCGGUGACAAUGCCCCCUCACCAACGAGAUGCCCCCACACCAACGGGAUACCUCGUUAGAAGGACAGGAUGUUGCGAUAAUUCUAGCCGUCACCCUUCGAUUAGGGGACGUUGCCCGAUUAAGUUCGGAUGCUCGGUGGAUUUUGGAGGAGUCAAUGGAUUUUGACUGUUAAUAAAUGAAUAUUGUGUGCAUGAGCUCCUCACAUUAUGAAAUAGAUUUUGGUUAUGCUUACAUAUUAUUGAGUGAGGCGUGAGUUCCUCAUACUAUGAAAUGGAUCUUGUUUAUGCUUGUACAAUAUUGAGUCAGGCGUGAGUUCCUCAUGUUGUGGGUGAAUAUUGGUUUAUGCUUGCAUACCAUUGAUUGAGUAUUUCUCAUGAUUCAUCCAAGACAAAGCUUUUAUUUUGCUAUUGAUCUAUCAUCGACUAAUGUUUUGGAUGAGUUGUAUGCUUGUUGAUAGGCGAGACAUCCUCCUACCUGGAAAUUAGUGGGUUUUACUUGCUGAGUUUAUGACUUACCCCAUUGUUUUUCAUAAUUUUAAGCAUUGAGGCCUCCCACUAGUGUUGGAGUUGUAGUCUUGCUAGAGGAGCUAAGGUUUACUCGGCCUGUAGAGUUAGAAAAUGUAGUGGUUAUAAAUAUAACUGCCCAUGACAAAGGGGCCUGUAAAUGUAACUAAGGUAAUUGUAUGUUUUUAAAUGGGUGUUUUCCUAGCUGCUUGUUGUUGUCCGGGUGUUAUAUAUAUGCUUCCGUAUGUGCUUAAUGAAAAAGAUAAAAAGAAACGGGAUGGCGACUCGCUUGAGAUGUCGAGAAAAUAACCCUUGCUGCUCAUGACCCUGAGGAUGGAGUUGGGGUCGUGACAUAAGUGUUAAGAAUUCACGCUUUGUUAUUUGUCACUGCUUCAAUGUUAGUCUUUCUUGGGGUCUCUGGGUUGUUUAGGUGAUGCUGGGGCAACCAUGCAUUAGCAUUGGUCCCAUUCAGGGCCUAUUGCCUUUCACCUACCAUCAUCGUGUCCAUGCUUGGCCUUAUCCAAAGCGCAACUUUCUGGAGUUCACAUAUCCCCAUGUCGGAGGCUUAUCUAGUGGUGGUUCUCGGAAAUGCAAAUUCCUACACUAUGCACUGCAUUGAGAACAUUGAACAGUAGAAGUCAUUUAAUGCCAAUUGCGCUACUAAUUGUUUCAUGAGAAGUUGGACGAUUUCUUCAUACGUGACCUAGUCAAUGUCAACAUUGUGCACAGUCUUUCUUUCCAUCAUUUUAUUGGUGAAAGUCAAUGAAAGAGCAUGAGCUUUGAUGUUAGCAAGUAAUUCUGUGAUGGAGGACGAAAUACAAGUUAAUAGUAGACUAUAGAAGCACCGAACACCAACUCAGCAAUUCAAGUGAGAUCUGACCCCCAUGAAUCAAUCAACUAAAAAGGAGGUUUCUCUCAUUCUGAACUUUCUUGGAUGACUACUCUCAAAAGCUCUCUAGGGUAUUCACAAGUUGUGUACAUAAUAGACAUCAACAUAGAAUUAUAAUAACUAGUAAGUGCAAAAUCAAGGCCACAUUAGGGUGGGCCCCGACCAAGAUAGGUAGAUUUUAUCAAUUUGAUUCUUUUCUUUUUUUUUUCUUUUUCUUUUUUCCUCUUCUCAAAAGCCAUUUUGCUAUGAAGACUAAAGUUAUGGCAGACAAGAGAGGUUAUUUAAACACUUAUUGUUUGGUUUAGAAAUUGUUUAAUUAGAAUCUUUUAUCCUUUCGCUGAAAGAGAGUUGGAGGUAGAAGCUCCCUUUUUGCAAACAUCAAAAUUGUCAGUGAUAAGUUAGAUAAAUGAGGCAUAAGGCGUAAUUAUCACUUUGAUGUAGGAUGCCAAUGUCACAGGUCGGCGGUUCCUUGGCUAUGAAAUAACUUGAGCAGCGCCUGGUGAGCGGAAUUCGCCAAACCAACCUUCCUUCUAUAGUUGUUCCAGUGAACAAUAUGGUGAAUAGCUCUUUUAUAUGAGAUCGUACCUCGCCCAGCUUUGCUCGGGCGUCUAGCCCAUCGAGUAAGAGAUCAGAUCUCUUUAAGCUUAAUAAUUGGUUUCGGCCUGCUAUGGCCUCAUUAGGAGAGUAGCAUCAGGUCCUGACUAGUAUGUGUAUGGGUGGUGAACCUCGCCUUUAGAGCUCCUAAGUAAUAUAAUUUUUCUAUAUUAAAACUCCUAACACCAAUUGUCCUGAUGCCACUUCCAUGAAUCAGUUGAGUUCAUCUUCUCUACAUCCUCAUUCUUUACUCGAUAAUCCCAAGCUUCACUUUCAAAGGUUCACGGGUGUGGAAGAAUCAUAGACUGUGACACCGGCAUAGCAUUUAACAUCAUAUUCCUUUUUAACAGUUGGACUUUCUUUUUCUCCGUGCUGGAUUGGGAAACAAGUGACAAGGUUUGUCCUCCAUGCAAAACGUGUUAUCUUUACCCAUUCUUCACAACUUUGGUCUUUUCUUAUUCUUUGUUAGGAUAAUUAUUUUAAUGAUAAAGCUACCUAGCUUUAUCUUUGUUAGGUCAACUUUUUUAACAAAGCUUUCUAACGUGCUAGACAAAGACCAGAUUUAUGUGACUCUGAAUGAAAGGCACUGGAUUGAUUAGAUUCCUUAAGGUCUCCUUAUAUACUAGCUACACCCUCUCCACUGUGUUAUCUCCAUCUAAAACAUGUUAGCUAGCCUUUUUUUCUACACUUGGUCAUGCUUUUUCAAUGUCAAGUCAAAUUUUCACAUUAAGCUUUUUGACAUACAGGACAAAGUUUUUAGGACAAUGAGAGGAUUUAUGUGGUUGUAACUAAAGGGCAAUAGAUUGAUUGGAUUUCCAAAUUAGGUCCACUUAUAUACUAGCAAUACCCUAUUUAAUAUGUUAUUGCAUUGGGAUAAAUGGUCUGUAAAUUUCAAUUCAAUGUGUAAGGUGAUAUUUCAAUUUGGGCUAAAUAUAUAAUGUCAUAUCUAAACUUUUAAUUUGUUCAAUAUAAUUCUUGAACUUUUGGCCAUUUAAACUUUUUGAACUACCAUGUCUUGGCUGGAAUAACUAUAUCAAAAAAUCGUUAAAAGGUUUAGGAAUAAAUUGAAUAAAUUGAAAAAUUUAGGAUUGAAUUGGCCGCCAUGUAAUAGGUUUAAGACAUCGAGUAAGCUAGCCCUAGGAUGCCCUGGUUGAGCCAGGAUGCCUUGGUUGAGCCCGGAUGCCUUGGUGAGCUAGCGCCAGAAUGCCUUGGUUGAGCCAGGAUGCCCUAGUUAAGUCUGAAUGCUGAACUUGAAGCUGGAUGCCUUGGUUAAGCCAAGAGGGCUGGUUGAGUCAGGAUGACGGUAAAUGAAUUUGCAUGAGUGCUAGUAUAUGCAUGAGCAUGAUAUAUUGAUGUGUUCAUUGAUAUACUGAAAGUAAGCAUGUAUUGAAGUAUGCGAUGACGGACAUCUGCAUAUAGUCGAGGAUAGCAAUAAGUUUGCUAUUGAUUUGCCAUCAACAUUACAUUACGAGUGUUGUACCUAUUGGAUUUUGAUGAUGAGAUAUUCUCCUAGUAGAGAAUUAGGGAUUUUACUUACUGAGUCCAUGACUCACCCCAUUAUUUUUCAAAACUAGAGGUAUGGAGGAGUUGCAGUCUCAAUAGAGGAGUUAAGAUUUACUCCAACUUUUUUGAGCAUAGAGCAUAUAAUGAUUAUAAAUAUAAUGGCCUAUGACAAAAGAGCUUGUAAGUAUAACUAAUGUAAUUGUGUGUUUGCAAGUGGUUGUUUUCUUGAUUGCUAGUUGUUAUCUGGGUGUUAUAGGUACGCUACUGCAUAUGCUUAAUGAAAAGAUAAAAAGAAAUGGGAUGGCGAUACGCCUGGGAUGUUGCAAAAAUAACCCUUGUUGCUCGAGACCUUGAAGAUGGAGUCAAGGUCAUGACAACUCCUCUAUUGCAGCAUUACAGUCUCGUCGAAGAUCAUGUCUCUGCUGAUUAGAAAAUUGGUGCACCAUAACUAGUAGCCUUUCACUCCAUGUGCAUAACCCAAAAAUAUGCACUUAUUCACUCUCGAUUCAAACUUACCAUCAUUCGUAUAAGAAUUCGUAGGACAUCUAAAUAUAUAUAAUCCAGAGUAAUUAACAGGUUUCUCUAAGCAUACAUCCUUAGGAGUCUUCAACUCGAUAGUAGAUGAUAGAAAUCGAUUAAUCAAGUAACACACCAUGUUUACUAUUUUGGCCCAAAAUUUCUUGCUAAGUCCUGCAUGUGAAAGCAUGCAUCAAACUCACUCAAGCAAAGUUCUAUUAUUCUGUUUUGCCAUGCCAUUCUACUGUGGUGUCCCGGGUACUGUGCCGUGUCUCAUAUUCCUUUCUUUCUCACAUAACUCAGUAAAAUCUUUACCAUAGAACUCUCUACCAUUAUCGGUUCUCACGCGCUUGAUUUGUUUAUCUGACUACUUCUCAAUCAAUGUCUUAAAUUUCUUGAACUGAUUGAACACUUCAUAUUUGUGCUUCAAAAAGUUUACCAAUACAUUCCUCGAAUAAUUGUCAAUAAAUAUCAACAUAUAUUGGGCACCUCCUUUUGAAGGAACCAAAAACGGGCCCAAGACAUCUGAAUGAAUAUAUUUCAACUGGUCGUUUAGUCAAAUGAAUAAACUUAACUCGAUGUUGUUUCUCAAAGAUAUAGUACUCACAUAAGUUCAGCUUCCCUGUCUUUUGGCCCUUCAACAAUCUCCUUUCACUCAGCAUCAUCAUACCCGCCUCACUCAUAUGCCAUAAACGCACAUGUCAUAACUAAGUCAAGUUAGAGCCUGACUCACUUGAUGAAACUGUAGCGGUUUUGAUCAUAGUCUCUCCCAGUAGAUAAUAGAGAGAAUUCACUUUCUUCCCAUUUAUCACUAUCAUGACACCUCAAAAGAAUUUCAAUACUCCACCUUCAGUGGUGUAACUACACUCGAUGUCAUCCAGUGUCCUCAAAGAAAUAAGAUUCUUCUUGAGCUCUAGUACAUGCCUCACGUCUGUCAAUGUGUGCACCACCCAUUGUGCAGCCAAAUCCGAAUUGUCCCUAUCCCCAUAGCCUUGCAGGCUACAUUAUUUUCCAAAAAAACGCUACCACCAUCUAUAGUUUGGUAAGUAGUAAACUAGUUCUUAUGAAGCGUUAUAUAUAAAAACACCUGGAAUCUAGCAUCUGUUCGUCUUCUGACGAAGUAGUAUUCAUACAUAAAAUAACUUAUGCAUCACUAGUGUUCCCCCUGGCAACGUUCGCCACAUUGCUUGUGACAUUCUGCCUAUUAUCUUUAUUCUUCUGCUUUGCACAAUAUUUCCUAAUGUGCCCCUCCUCAUGACACUCAAAGCAUUUCACACAUCCCUUAGAUUUUGUAUGGUGUGAUUUCGAUUUGCUUUUAUCUCUGUUGCUACUAAGCUCUCAAUAUUGUUCUCUACCGCCGAAUCGUCAAUGCUUGCACUACUCCUUGCACCAAACCGUCAUCUUAUAACUUUCUCUAUCACUCCUUAGAGAACAAUGAGGACUUUAUCUCUUCUGAGGUAAUAUUAGUCCACCCCUGCAACAGUGAAUUAGUAAAGUGCUCCCAUGACUCUAAUAAAGAAAUUAACAACAUCAUGUCUUGUUCUUCAUCAUCAAGUAUUCUACUGAUGUUCUUCAAACCCAUCAUGAGUUUAUUGAAUUUAUCUAAGUGGAUUUUGAUAAACGUAUUUUCAGUAUAUCUAAAUUGAAACUUUCUUUUUAACACAUACAAGUGAUUGUUGAAACCUUUCUUCACAUAAAGUGCCUAAAGUUUUGCCUAUAAUACUACAACAUCAUUCUCCUUCAUAACCUCUAUUAAAACCUUAUCCAGCAAGUUCAAUAGAAUUGUGCUCUUUGCUCUUUCCAUUAGCUCUACCAUCUUAGAGGUUUUCAUUAUAAUCGGCAACUCAUCUUCAAUAUCCAAUGCCUUGGUCGAAUCUUAUGUUGUCAAUAAUGCAUGUAUCUUGAUGCUCCAUAAUCCAAAGUUGUUCCUCUUGUUAGACUUCUCAAUUUGAAAUUUCCUAUCAGACAUAAUUGCAAUAACAGAAUUUUCAAAUAAUAAUUAGACAAGCAAAAGCUCCGGAUUACAAUCAAGAAAUCCGAUCCUAAGCUCUUAUACCAAUUGUUGGAACAUAAUAUGUAAAAAUGACAGGAUCUUGCAAUUACAUCAACGUAAAAUCACCAAAGAAAUGAAUGAGAAAUAAUAAAGACACCAAAGAUUUAUGUGGUUCAAUCCGAGCAUCACUACCUACUUUCACGGGGAGAGCCAGUAGCAAAUAAUCAACUAUAAUCGGAGAAUUAGAGUUUAUAAUCACUCACAUGCUUGAGUGUUUCACACACUUAGAUUAAAACCCAAAUCCAAAGUAUUUAUAAAUAAACAACUCACUUAAACAUAAACUCACGACACAAAAUCACAGCACGUUCAAGCUCAAAAUAAAACGCUCUAUGUAUGCUGAAACCGAGAAUGCCGAUGUUCAUCUCUGCCCUGCGUGCAUGCGGCUUCACGUUCAUCUUUAUUUUGCGAUGCUCUUUUGGAUGUGCAACUCCUCAAGUUUAUUUUGUGCGGUGCUUACUUGCAGAAAGGGAAGAAAAAACCUAGGUGUUUUAUGUGUGCCCAAAGUAAAGAAUUAGACCUUGGGCCCCACUACUACAACAAAACCAACGCCUACAAUGAUUCUUCUUUUGUAAAAGGGAGUUUCCUUCUUUUUAUCUCUCCCGGCAAAGACAUCUUUGCCCCUAAAAGAUAAAUAGAUAAAUAAAAUAUAGUGUGCCCCCUUUUGUCUUGUAAUGGCAAAUCACAUCCUCCUUGCUUCCUUUUGUACGUCCAAAAGAAAGUCCGACAAUAUAAAAAAAAAAAAAACUUCUCUAUCCGAUUUGUAAUCCACUUAGAAAUCUUUCUCAACAAAUUCAAUGUAAUAAAUCAAUAUUUAAAUUCAAAUUCGAGACAUUAAUUUAACAUUUAUCUUUAGUCGCAAGUAUCACUAUCUCCUCGGAGGAUGUUUCUUGUAGGGUAAGGUCUCACACACGUUUCUGGGAUGAUUUUAGAUUAAUUUGGCACUAAGAUCCACCAUUCUCUAGUGGUCUGCUGGAUGAGUUCUCAAGGGGGUGAAGUUUCCAUAUAUCAACCUAGUUUUAUUUUAUUUAUUUAUUUUUAUUUUUAUUUUUUGCCUCGUUUCACAGUGUGGUACCUUCUACGUUCUUGUGGACGAUUUGAUCGAGCUAGUAGGGGUCUACUCUGACUACAUCCAGGUUUGUCUCGGUCUUCCUUGUCAUUUCUGAUUCACAUUACCCUUUUGCUAUAACGAUACUCGAUGAUAAGUUUGCUCAAAGUCUUAUCCAGGCUACUUUUUCUGCACCAUCAACAACUAACUCUUUACCGUUGUCUGUCUUCUUUCAUACUUCACUAUUAAACCGCAUAUUCUUGUUUUAUUUGCAAACCUUCAUACAAUAACGGGUUCACUUGGCGCUCAUCGGUUAGAAGUCUGGAACGAAAAAAUGGUGUCUAACUUUGCUAAGAAGAUUUUGAUCGAAACUGUAAUUCAAGCUGCCCCAAUACACCAUAUCUAAGUUUAAGAUUCUUAUCUUGAUUUGAAAAUCUGUCGAGCAGAAAAUUGCCUCAUUCUGGCGGAAACAAAAUAUGUCCAGUUCAGGAAUCCAUUAGGAAGAAAUGGGAUGUAUUAAAAACUAGGAAAGAUAACAGGGGACUUGCUUUCAAAGACCUUGUCACUUUUAACAAGGCAAUGUUGGGUAAAUGGGCUUAGAGAUUGUUACAUUUUCCUUCAUCCCUGUGAAGUUCAAGUUAGAUUUUAGAGUAAAUGGUGCAUCUCAAUUUCAAAUUUUAACAAGAAUACCAAAUAUUGACUUUUGAGUUGACUUUUUAAGGGUGUAAGCGGUCUUUAACACAACAUGCUGAGCCAUCUUGCAAUCCCAAUAUAUGACAUUGCGCCAGCAAUCUUGCCACUGGCACAUCUUUCUUUUGCAGGUGUACAGGCGUGUCUCCACCGGCCCCCUCACUGCCGGCCACUACCAGCCGAUUACAGCCUUCCUUAGCCGGUGACGCAUUGGACUUAACGGCCACCACCGUGCGCUGCUAUAUUACCUUUUCAUUCCUGUCAUCGUAUCAAGCUAGAGUCCAGCAGUCUGGGCGAGCCUUUGCAAUCCUUGUUAUUGUUCAUGAGCGCUAACAAUUUUUUUGCAGUCGUGUGGCUAGCAAGCUUCUUGACGAGAUUCCAAGCAAUGCCACAGUACUGAGGAACCUCUUAACAUGAUUACCUCACCCGCCGUCGUUGGAAAUUUCCCUUGCCGCUGGUCCACCUCUUGGAAACAAAUACGUUAAAAUAGGCAAUGCUUUCGACCGAUUCUAAUUCCAAUAUUUUAUUUUCGGAUUUGAAUUAUUUGAUUCUAAUCGUGAUUUGGUAAAAUUCUUAGGCAUUACCCAAUUAGGAGAGUUUCCAUAUAAAAUCGCAAUAAUCAUUAGUUUGAGCUGCGGUCGGAUAAUUUUUUUGAUUUUUUUAAUCUUGGUGAAUAUUUUAAUGUUUGUUAAACACCUCUUGCAGAUCUUGUCGCCGUUGACGGUUCACGAGACGGAGCUCAUGGUGGAGUACGAAUAGCUCGAGAGAGGAGAUGAAGUUGGGGAGAAAGAGACAAAGCGACACAUGAACUCCAAGUGGCCCCCUUGUCGGCCUAGACAACAGACGAUGGAGAGGCCUAGAUCGCUCUAUUUGUGGGGGCGAUGGCGGUUCAGCCGUGGCGUGGUUGGCAACAGAUGAGCCGGUGGAGAGAGACAGAGAGGGAAGAGAAGGAGGUGGGUGUUAGGUUUUGGUUAGGCUGGGACGGUUUGCCGUGAAGUAUAAUGCAAAUGCAUUUGACAUACAGCAGUCUAAUUGAUACUUAGAAAUACGAACAUCACCCACAUUUUAAUUAUGUUUGCAUGUCCAAUAAAUUCAUACUUAUAACCAAGUGAAUACUUGGUUGGAGGAAGUUUUCUUUAGCAUGGGGAAAGAAACAAAAACCUCACAUAUACUAAACGGAAGCAACUCGAAAACAAAGACCUCACACAUACUAAACGGAAGCAACUCGAAAACAAAGACCUCACACAUACUAAACGGAAGCAACUCCUUGUCUCAUUUUAUCACCCUUGGGCGUUGUCCGGCACUCCUUCCUGCUUGGUCCGAUUAUUGUGUGAUGCUCCUCACUGUUCGGUUCCUUUCGUGCGGCAGAACUUCCCAUACGCUUGGAAUACGCACCGACAUAUCACUGGCAGCGCCCCUGCGAGCAGCACAUAGCGGAACCUCACCGACUCAUGUGGCGUCACGGCAAAGAUUGCCGACGCAUAUGUCACCAUCAUCGAGGCCGUGGCCACCCAUAUCUCAGGGUGGAGUGGGAACUUGUAAGUGAGAUAGACAAUGACAAGUAGAGAAGUGGAGAGCGCGAAAGUGUUGGAGAUCAAGAACACAUAAAAGGCAAUUUGACGAGAUGCGUAGAUUGCCAUGCCGGCCGAGUGGCUAUCUUCAUUGUCUUGCCAUACCCCGCCAGGAGGGUUCACGCCUGCCUGGAAUGUGAUAGUCGCAAUCAGAGUAGCGAUGAUCAGCAGGAUGUUCCGCACAUCACCCGGAAGGUCAUUGUCGGGGUCGUACUGGAAGUAUCGGAACCAGUUUUCUGCUAUGUUUGUUGGCGGGGGACUCCUUUUUCUUCGAUAAUUAUUGUCAUUGCCAUUCUCCAUUUCAGGUGCCAUUUUUUUCUCUCUGAGAGAGAGAGAGAGAGAGAGAGACUUAAGACUGAAGAUGCUGGACUGUGUUUCGGUCGUGAAGAUGCUGGACUGUGUUUCGGUCGUCUUAGUUAUUAUAGGAAUGUAGAAAGAGAGAAAGAGAGAGAGAGAGAGUGAGGAUGCUCGACUGUGUAUUGUUUUGGUCGUUUUAGUUAAUAUAGGAAUGUGAAGAAUCAUAAAAUAAUUGAAGGAUGUGUCUGAACUUUUUCUUGAUGAAUCCAACCGUUCCGCCCAAAUUUCUUCUGGGACAAAAUAUCUUUUAUCGAAAAAUAUUUCUUUAGCUUUUAAUAAGAGGAUACAUAUUUCAUGACAAUUCCAAAAGGAAAUGUCAUAGAUAUACAAUGAAAUUGAAAGCUUUAUUAAAAACAUAAUUACAUAGACACAAAUUGGAAUUUAAUCGAUUACAAAGCUUGGAGAAUACAAUAACUUCAAUAAGGAUAAAGGUAAACAAACAAUGUCAGAAUUUAAUCAUUGACAAUGCUUGAGACUACGAAGAUAAUACAUCAGAAUUUAAUUGAUGACACAAUACUCAUAAUAAAAUACAUGCCAGAAUUUAAGUAACAAUGCGAAUCUAGAAAUUACAACUAAACAAUAUGUCGGAAUUUAAUUGACAAUGUGAGUAUGGAAAUUUAAAGUACAUUGUAUGAAAAUAAAAAUAAAUGAAAGAUAGUAGUUUUGUUUGAUUUGUGCCGGGGCUCUCGUGUCUGGUUGGUGGUAUUUAUAAUGGUUUUUGCCAUAACUUCUCUUGAGAGGUAUCCCAGCGGUUGUACUCAUGUUUCUUCAUAACCAAAAGUUCUAUGCCCAUAUUAUCAUAAUCCCAUAAUCGCCUCAUUGGCAAUGUUGAAACUAACGUUUUGCACUAAUGUGAGAUGAAUCAAACCCAAAGCUUGCUAAUCUAACAAUUCCCACUUUUCUUGCUUCAUAGAAUCUAGUUUCUCUCCAAACAAAGCCUGAUGCAAUUUUUUUUUUUUGAUACAACACAUCCUCGAUUUGCAUUUUCCAAAAACCAAAGUCGUUGCCAUCGAAUCGAUCAAUCUUCACAUUCCGCUCAUCUAUAUUUGUUCCAAUUGAUUCGCCAAAACCAAUAUCUAAUACCAAUUUUUAGGAACGUAAAUAUAUGAAGAGAAAAAUAGAGAAGAAAAACAAACGAGAAUUUUUACGUGGAAAAAACUUCCCAAAAUUAGAAAGGGAAAACCACGGUAUGCACUAGGCAAUCUUUCUACUAUUAGUAUUAGAGUUACAAGUUCAAGAGUUACAAGCUUCAACAUUAUAAUUAUAAAAGAUAUUGUCCUUAUAUAAAACAAGUCUAGGGCAUACACAAUUACGAUAGAAAGUACAUGCAUGCCAUUAGCAGUAGUAAAAGCCCUAUUAUUUGCUUUAACAUGACAAGAUGAGUGACUUCAUGGGAAGUGUCUACCCCCAACAAACUUUUUCUGUGAUUAAACAUUAUUUUCCUCUAUCAGACUCCAUAGCUCUAUCUACUUUUGCUGUUGUUCAAAGUUUAAUACAUGUCCAAGAACCUUUUUUGUGAGUGUACCCACGAUCCAAAAUUUUAUGAGACAUUGACUACGCAUCCAUAAUAUAUAUUAUAGAUUAUUUAUUUUGACCAUUUUUUUUUAAUGUUUGAGUCUUGAGUAGUGGUAGUAUCUCUUUGAUAUAGAAAUCAAGUACGUUCCUAUUUUCAAUUAGAGACAAACCUAUGUCUCCCAAAGCAAAUAUUUUUUUUCAUUCCUAUUUUCUCAUAUUUGACCUUCAUAGAACAUUAGCCUCAAUUAUGUCUGCGAAUUGGCAAUUAGUGUCCUACCAGAAUCCCAUCGACAUUAUGUGAAAGUAGAUCUGAAUUCUUUGUUAACAGCAAAACUGCAUUGGCAAUGGGUUAUUUUUUCUUUUUUUUUUAACUCAACCCUUUUUUAUGUAUGUUGGCCUAGGCUUUGUUCCCACAUUGGUGCUAUGAAUAAUUUUUUAUUAGUUCAUUAGAAAGCGGACUUAUUUUUGUUGAUAGACUCUUUCCACUCUCUGACUUUGUAAGAAAUAGGAAACGGCUCAUGGGACUCAUGGACCAUGUCACUUCUAGAGCAGGUAAUUUCUCAUACGACUAUUGCUUGUUAAUUUUAACGAUUUGCAUCUGAUGUCCGCGACAAUCUGUUAUGUUCCUUGCCUUCCAAACUGCCGUUGCUUGUGCGAAGGUGUUGACAGUUGCUGGUGAGAUAUAUAGUCUUGUGGUACCUGAAGUGUAUCUAUAAGUCUACACAAAUGCUUUUGAAAGCUUAAAAAAUGAAAGUUAUAGUAGCCAUUAUUUACCUAAAAACAUGGGGUUUAGAUGCUGCAAUGGUCAGCUCUUUAUAAUUAUUCUGUGCCCUUCCAUGUUAUACUCCAGUAAUUCUUGGGUAAUAUAACCAGCAUACUAAAUUAAUAUAGUACAUCGACAAAACAUUUAGCUCAAUAAGUGGCGAAUGGAUAAAUGACAAUGCUGUGAUCCAUGUAUUCUUACCGUUGUCUUUGUCCUGUUGCCGUUUACCUAGUUUCUCAUGUUCAUGGUUAGAGUUAUCUGUCUACCAUCAUUGCAACUUACCUGCCUAUCUCAGCAAGCACCGUGAUUGGUCGAGGUGUUGUUGAAUUUCGUGAUGGAGGACCUCUAGUGAGAAAAAGUGCUGCAAUGAGUGAGUUACACAUUUCCGUGUCAUGCCUUCUUUCUUUGCGAUAUUGAGGUGAAAACAUGUGACGAAUCACUUUAUACCGUUCGGAGAUUUUGUUCCCCUUUUUCCUUCCACAAGUCUUAUAGUAUUCUUCUUUAUUAUAUUACCAACCAACUUUUGAGACACGCACAUAAAAUUCUCUUUCUUGUCUGUUCUUUCCCUAAACAUGUGGUUGAAGUAUAAUACUUUGAGUCUGCAGAGAAAAUGUGAUUCUGCUUUGCAGCAUCUGCAGAGAAAAUGUGAUUCCGCUUCGCUGCAAGACUCUUUGCCAAGCCAUGCUAUUGUGGUGUAAAUUUCUGCAACUUCUAGGAAAAUAAAAGUAAAAGAUAUCAUAAAUGCUAUAACUUUCGUAUGGUACUCUUUUUUUUUUAAUCAUUUAAAUGUUAUCACUUAUGUAUGGCACUCUUUUGAGUACCAUAAUUCUUUUCACGAUCACUUGAGUGUUAUAUAAAUUUUUAAUCAAUUGCUUGAUUAUUAUAAUUUUUUUUUUUUUAAACGUUCACUAUAAGCACUAAACUACAUCAAAUUUCUGGUAUUUGAGUGAACAUUUUUAAAAAAUUUUGACACUUAAGUGAUCAACUAAACAUAAUAUUUUUUUAGAAAUAAUGGCAAUUAAGUGAUAAGAAAAAAAAAGUUAUAGCACUUAAGUAAACGCCCUAUAAAAGUUAUUCUUUUUUUUUUUUUUUAGUAAAGGUAAGAAUAUAUUGAUAAGCUAAGGACAAAUGUACACAAACGGCACCAAAACUUACACUCUCAAUGCGAACAAAAGAGUGGAAGGGAGUCGUGCAAAAGCCUCAAGAAGCAAGGACAGAAAGAGCGCAAACAACAGACACAACACGACCACCAGAUUCAGCCACCAGACCUCCAUGGACGCCUGGGAAUCCGUGAGCCAAAACAUCCGCACCGGAGACGACCGAGCAAGAUCAAAUGAUAAAAACCCAAAGGGUUACGUGAAGAUAAUAGGGUCGAGAUUCCAACCCCUCUGAAGACGCCGAUUCCUUGGAUUGUCAAGGACAUCCUUGUAGGUAAUUGCUUUAUCUUUAACCAUCUUUAUCAAAUGGUUCUUCAAAGCGGGAAUAUCAAGAGAUUCCCCUCGGAAAAUCAUAGCAUUUCUUUUCUUCCAAAUUAGAUAGCAAAGAGCUCCAAAGGAAUAGCGAGAAAGACUGUGAGAGAAGUCCUUACCAGCAAGGAAUUUCAUAGCCCAAGCAAGGUUUUCUGCCCAAGUGCCGUUCCUCCACGGCAAAUUGCACCUAGUUGCCCAAAAGUAGAUAAUGGUAUUUGAAAUAUUGCAAUCAAAGUACAAAUGGUUGGUCGAGUCCGGCUGAGUAUUACAAAAAGUGCAAGCCGAGUAAUCAAUCAUUCCAUAUGAGAGGAGAAGUGACUGCGUUGGCAAGCGGUUUUUAGUAAUAAGCCACAAAAGGAAUUGAAACCAAGGGGCUACAUCCUUAUCCCACACAAAAGGAGUCCAAGGUGCUUUGGCUUUAGAAGCUCUGAUGACGUUCCAAGCAGAAGCUACGGAGAAGGCCCCCGAAGAAUCAUGACGCCACACAAAACGAUCGCUAUCAACCGAAAGAGGAGGAAGCGAGAAGCCACAAUUCUCUAACCGGACUUUACAGGAUCUACCAGCAUAAGAAUAUAAAGAAGCCACAGUCGCCUUUGCAGGAACGUCGAGGUCCAACAAAAAAGAUUGAGGAACUUGUAGAUGAAGAGGGCCACAAGGCAACCAGCUAUCGAACCACAAUGAAGUAGACCGGCCGUCACCGACCUCCCAACCGAAGGAUUGUCUACAACAGCCCCGAAGAUGAAGGAUCUUCUUCCAACUCCAGGCACAAACUGAAGGCUGAGGGGCAACCCAGAAGUUAUGUUUCUUUAAAAAGUUGGAGUGUAUCCAACGGCAUCACAGAGAUUCCUUAUUCGUAAGAGGAUCCAAAUAAAUUUCAGCAUUGAGGCUUUGUUACAGUCCUUGAUAGACUGAAUACCUAGGCCCCCUUCCUCCUUAGGCAAACAAACAUCCGCCCAUGAGACUUUUGCACCUCCCUUAUCCAAGGAGGUGCCUUUCCAAAGAAAUCUACGAAGAAUGCUUUCAAUCCCCAAAAUAACCGAAGAGGGCAAAGUGAAGACACUAGCCCAAAAAGACUGAAUAGCGUGAAGCACUGACCUUAUGAGCUGAAGUCUUCCAGCAAAAGAGAGGAACCUGUGGGACCAAGAGCGGGCUCGCGCGGUAAUGCGGUCAAUUAACUUAGUACAGUCAACCUUAGUCAACCUCUUUGAGAUGAUCGGCACUCCAAGAUAUCGAAUUGGAAGUUUACCUUCUUGAAAGCCAAAUGCUAGGAGGAUUCUGUUGCACAAAGCAGGAUCGCCUCCUGAAAGAAAGAUGUCGCUCUUAUUUUUGUUGGGGAGAAGACCACUCCAUGAAGAGAAAAUGUCGAGGCUUCUUUUAAGGAUCAUAGCUAAUUUCCAAUCUGCUUGGCAAAAAAGGAACACAUCGUCUGCAAAAAACAGAUGAGUGAGCUUGGGAGACUUACAUCUCCAAUAACAUUUGAACUCUUUAGCCGAAGACCUUUGAUUCAAAAUUCCCGAGAAGAUUUCCAUGAUCAAUGUAAAUAGAUAAGGUGACAUUGGGUCGCCCUGCCUAAGGCCUCUGCCUCCUGGGAAGAAGCCAUGAAGCUCCCCAUUAAUAGAGAUAGAGAAUCAAGGUGUGCGUACACAAGCCAUAAUCCGGCGAAUAAUCCACAGAGGAAACCGGAAGGCAGUAAAGGUAAGCUCUAGGAAAUCCUAGUCCACAGUGUCAUAGGCCUUGCAAAAAUCCACUUUGACUGCACAUCUUGGGAGGUAUGGGUCUAAGUGGAAGCCUGCAAACAGCUCUUGAGCCAAUAAGAUAUUAUCCCUUAUCCUUCUACCCUUCACAAACGCAUUCUGGGACGGACUAACAAUAUCCUGAAAUACAGGCGCAAUUCUAUUGGCCAAGAUCUAGGUGAUAAGUUUAUAGAUAGUGUUGCAGCAAGCAAUCGGUAUGAAGUCGUUUACUUCACAAGCAUUCGGCACCUUGGGAAUUAAAUUUAGGAUAGUCGCAUUAACUUCUUUAAGAAGACAACCUACUGAGAAGAAAUCUUUCACAGCCUCUGUAACUAAAGAGCCCACAAUAUCCCAGUUACUUUUAAAGAAUUCUGCUGUAAAAUCAUUUGGACCGGGGGCUUUUCCCUUCACAAGCGAGAACAAGGUCUUCUUAACUUCUAAAUCAGAGACAGGCGAAGCUAGGGAACAUACCUGGCUAUUGGAUAGCGGCUUUCGAAUGAGAGAAGUAAGCUCUUGAAGAUCAGGCUUAGCUAAGCCAACUCGAGGAGCAAAUAGAUCCGAAAAGAAAGAUAGAAAAACUUGGGGCACCAAAUCAGGAUCCGAGAUCACCGUACCUGCAGUGUCUUUGACAGAGAGGAUACGGUUAUUGAGAUGUCUACUUUAACACAGUUGUGGAAGAAUCUCGUGUUGUGAUCUCCUUCCUUCAGCCAUCUAAUUCUUGAUUUUUGCUUAUAGAACGAUUCCUUUUGACCACGAAGGUCUAUAAAAGCACAGCGCUGCCCUCUUUCAAGUUCAGCUAGUGGAAUAUUUUCAGGAUCCAACUAAAGGAGAUGCUGAGUAGAACGCAAGGCUUCCCUCGCUUCAAGAGUUCUUAGAGAAAUAUCCGAGAAAGCCUCCAGAUUAAGAUCCUUGAGGCGAGAUUUCAACAAUUUCAGCUUCGAGACUAAUUUAAACAUGGGAACUCCCCAAACUUGACUAUCCCACACCUGCAAAACCGUAGAAUGAAAAUCCGGGUGAUCAACCCAGAAAUCAAAGUACUUAAAUGGCUUCCUCCUUGGACGCGGAUCCACAACCCUGACAACCAUAGGAGUAUGGUCAGAAAUUCCAGGAUUGAGAAAAGACGCCUCCGAGUAUGAAAAGUCCAUUCUCCAUUUAGAGUUGACAAGAACUCUGUCAAUUUUUCGCAUCUUCCUAUUUGCACCCGCCGAAGUUGACCAGGUAAAUCGAAGGCCAGAGUACCUGAGAUCCUCAAGUUCUGUUUGGUCCAGACAAAGCUUGAAUUCAUCAAAACAGGGGAUCCAGGCAUUAGAGGUACCAACGCGAUCAGAAGGGUCCUUGAUUGCAUUGAAAUCUCCCGCUACUAUCCAGGCAUAGUCUUGAAAAAGAUCGUCACAAUGGAUAAAAUUAGACCAAAGAGGCCUCCUCCGCACAAAGGAAUGCUCUCCAUAAAUAGCAGAAACACAGCAGGUAAAAUUAGAAGAUAACCCCUUCACGCACCCAUGGAUGGCUUGGUCAUUUGAAGAGAUCAACUCAAAAUUGACGGUAGCUGGAUCCCAUCCAAUCCAGACUCUACCGCGAGGAGCAAAAUCAUAGUUCGCAAUCCAAUUCCAACCUCUCAAAAUAUUGGAAGAAAUGGAACCAAACAAAGGCACUGGGACUUUAGUUUCAAAACGCCCCAUAAGGCAAAGCUUAUUAGCAACAGCAAACUUCCUAAUCUCCGCCCUUCUGACAGGGUUCAUAAUACCUCUAACAUUCCAAAAGCCAAAAAACAUAGAAGCAAAAGGAUAGAAUUAUUUCCGCUUGGCGUUCCUACGCCUACCUCUAUUUGGUUUCGAGUCCUCCGCAGGCGAAGGUCCCGGCGAGUCAGGCAGCAAAAGGAGAAGCUGAUCUUGGCUUGAACCAACCCCAGUAGGUUUCGAAGGACCACUCAAAGGAGCGGGUCUAGGCGUGUGGCCACCGUCUUCAUUAGAUGAAUUGCUGGUAUCAUCUUCCUAGUCUCCAGACGGCAUUAUGGAAUCCGGUGCCAAGUCAGAAGCCUGAGUGUUUUUUUCAAGUAGUUUAGCAGGGACUUUAGGAGGUUUUUGGCCAGGCACAGCUUCCUUCAGGUUGCGAGACAGCCCCUCCUUCGAGUAUGGUAUCAGAGAAGCAUUCAGAUUCUACGGCUUAUGCUCCUUUUCUUUGUCUUUGACCUGAUUCCCAUGCUGAGUAAGGUCACUUUGGUGCGAUGGAAGAGGUUCCUCCAGAUCCACAACCAGCUGAACGAGAGGAAAGGAACCACCAGAGGAGCUCCUGUUCUGUCCUGCAUCAAUUGGAGAUUCCGGAAGAGGGACCAAAGGCAUACCCGAAGACAUUCCCCUUUAAUCCUCAUACGCCACCGAAGGUGGUCUGGUUUGCUGAGAGAUGCUCCCACUUGCGGCCUUGCUAAGAGGUUCAGACUCCUCUGAAGGACGACCAGCAUCAGCGCGUUUUGUUCCAGGUCUACCAGGCCUACUAGCCGUUUCACAAUUGUGGCCAAAAAUGCCACAUCCAGCACAGGCAGUGGGUCGCCACUCAAACUCCACUCCUAUUUCACACUUCGUACCAUUAUGGGUUGUCUCAAUCAUUUUACAAUCAGGUUGAUCAGCAGUAAUUUCGAUGCAGACCCUAGCAAAGGUAAGGCUGCUCACCUGCUCUGUUCUCUUAUCCAUAUAAAGGGGUUUGCCAAGCGCACUUGCAACCCUCCCGAUGAAGUGGGCGGACCAGCACGAAAAGGGAAUAUUCGAUAGUCUAACCCAAACAAGAACCGUACGGUGGGUCUCCCUUCUCAGCUCAAGACCAGGGGACCAUUGUUGCAGGACAAGUGGUAUUCUAGCAACCGUCAUCCGACCACUUUCAAGCACACUUCGGCGGAAUUCCCUAUCAGGAAUGUGAAACAUAAAAAGACCUUUGCCAUUUGACAUGAAUUCAACAACGUUCGGCCCCCACACUUUCUUCAUAGCCUCCUCAACUACCUUAAAAGGCAUUCGGCGACCAAUGAAGUAGCCCAUUAAACAUUCAAACAUCUUGGGAUCUGCAGCUUCCAGAUCUUGAUCAGUGAUCUCAAUCACAGGUCUAUUGUUAACCAUAUUCGGUGGGGUAUACACCAGAUCGUAGCCCUUGGCCACGGUUCUUGCCACUACAACCCACGAUUUCCCUGAUGGAUUCUUAGACGCAUCCCUGCCUUGAGGCUUAGCUGAGCGGGACCUUCCUUGCUAGACAGGUCGCGCCCCACCAUUUGGGCGAGGAACUCGCGCUUCGUUCGGACUAGACAUGGUGUCCGAACUCGAAUUUCCUCCCAUAAUAGUUAACAACGAAGGUUCCCUAGUCAGAAUGGGAGGCCCACCAUGGGAACUUGUCCCUUUCUCCUCAUUUCGAGACCUCAUCGACUCCGAUUCCAUCUCAACUAAUGAAUCACAGCAGCAAGCAGGCGGGCGGAACCCUAGCCAUAGAUAGCCAUGCGAAACGAGGAGAGGAGACGUACCAGGAGACGAUGCCGGGGGGUUGAAAGAGAGGCAAGAGGCGCCCCUUUCCCCUAAAAUAUUGGCCUAAACGAACGGGCAACACCCCUGGAAUCAGCAGCUCGAAUUGCAGAAGGAACAGUAUCCAGUCGCCCAAGAAGAGAGAAGCGUGAACAGUUAUAAAAGUUAUUCUUUUAUCCCUAACUUCUAGUAUAAUCCCAAAGGUGACGAUUGCAGUCGCGGUCCUUUUAACAGCAAGUCUCUUCCUAGAACAUUGUGCCUGUGCUAGUACUGCUGUGGGCCUAGACUAUGAACCUUGACUACGUUGGCAUAACCCAUUUGAAGCUUCUUCAAUGUGGCUUCAUUUUUUAAGCAAGAUAUCGAGGAAAGAGUAUCUAGAGAGAAGAGGAACAGUAUCUUGGCGAAUGAUUAAGUAGUAAUUAUUGACAGGAAUGAUUUCCAUGCUACAAAAGAUUAAAUUCCUCAUAGAGGAAUGUCGGGUUUUAAGGAUGAUGUAACAAAUCGUCGAUCACAACCCUUUUGAUGUUUGCUUUACAUUUGUGUAAACAAACAUUUGUGUAAACAAUCUCCAAAGGAUCUGUGGCACCUUGCUACGCUAAUUUCCAAUGUCCAACCAAUUUGCGAGAUAUUUUGGAGAGUUUUGGAUGGGACUUAGUAAUUAUGUCAUUUGUCCUUCUUUAAUAGUUAGAAAUCUAAAUGGUUCAUACUAAAUAUUUCUCUACACUUGAACAUCAAAUAACAUAAUGUCACAAAUUAAAUCAACUGUAGAGCUUGCUAAGUUCUUUCUUGUUAUAACCGUACCUAAUAUAAUUGAUAGAUCUAUUGACCUACCUUCUUGAUGUUUUGGUCCUUUUUGUUGUUAUCGGCAAAGGAAUAAAGUGUUCUACUACUUAACCGGCAAAAAGAGUUACUUUAUUUUAUACUCUUUCACUUGAAUUGAAAUUCACAAUUCGUUUGAUGAAAGAAGCACAAAUAGUAAAAGAGAAAGGGGUUGUCAUAGGACAGUAUCAUAUAAUGUCACAUUUAGAAAUUCUUAUGAAAAGUGAAAAAAUUAGUGGGCCCACAGAAAAGAAACCCAGUCUCUCAUGUCUUGAAUAAUGACACUUCAGUGCCAAGUAAAGACAUAAAGAAGGAAAAUAAAACAAUAAUGAAAGAAAAGAAUAAAGUUAUGUGUGCUUUCCAUUUGUGUAUUUUUUUUUUAAUAAAUGGACAAUAGGGGAGGUUUGUUUCCAUGCUUCUUUUACUUGCCAUAGACAGCAACUACCUAUCUGGAAAAUUUCAAACUAUCGCGUCAUUCAAAUAUUUAAGCAACAAAUCAUUCUCCUAAAUUCUUUGAUUCCUACUACUCAAUUCAUUAGGAAUCUAAAAUACUUCUCCAAAGUACUUUCGUUAGCUGUUUUAACUUACCGUACUUGUUUCUAUCUGGAAUUCGUGAUCUUCCGAUUCGUUAAUUUGGUUACUGCAGUAAAAUCAUUUUGAAUCAGUUGUUGGUUAAACGCCACAAAAAUGACAGAGAUUUUUUUUUUUUUGGAGGGGGUGUGGGGUUGGAGAGAGAAGCCCUAUUGUAUUGUUCAUGUUGCCAUGUUAGACGAAAAAAGUUCUGCAUUGGACUUCUUUUUUAUAAGAAACACCACGUUUUAAUAAAAAUUUCAUAUAAAAAACAUAGAAUAUGUUGGGAUUUACUACUAGAAGCACUUGAGUAAUCAUUUUUCCACCUUGAGUAAUUACUUGAAAAAUUUCGGCACAAAAAAGAUAUGAUAUUUAGUUUUAUUUUCCUACCAAUGCUCUUUGAAAUAGAUAUUGAUAAGGAUUGGUAAAGUAUUUAAGCUAGAUCAUGGUAAAAUGUCCUAAUGGUUUAGAAAGCAUGCGUUUUUAAUGGUUCCAUUCUUUUGAGAAUUAUUUUCUGCACUCAAACCAAUUCCAAAAAUAAGAAUUCGCUUGAGAAGUUGCACGCCCAUAGAUAAAUGAGAAAUUAGGGGAUUGGAAUAUUUUUAACAUUGAUACUGACUUGGACUUAACUGUUCUUUUUUUUUUUUUGGGUCUAUGUCAUUAAAAAAUCGAAACCUGUAUUCACAUAAUAAAUUUAUCCAAACUAGUUUUCGUAUCACAUAAAAACCUUCAACACAUUUUACCCAAACUAAUUUUUGUCUUAUGAAAAAUCCCAAAAUUGAUAAUCUGACCAAAGAUUACCCUGACCGUUUGAUCCUAAACUAUUAAUGGAUGAUAUAUUUGACUUAGGAUUCCGCCUUGGGGCAAAUAUGUUAUGAGGAACUAGAUCAAGAUUGUUUGCAAGAUGAAAAUAGAGUUUAGGAUAAAUAUAUUAUGAGGUAUUGAUUUGAGAUUUUGAUGGUAAUAAACCUAUUUUUGUUGCAUCUUGUAUGGCCAACAAGAUAGAACAUAGAAGUAUUUGAAACAUGUUCUACGCCUUAUAUAUGAAAUUUAACCAUGUUGAAUUUAAGGCAGAGGAUUACGAAAUCGAGAUUGCCGAGCUUCCUCCUCUACAAUCUUAUGGUGCAGGAGUUGUAAACCCAUGACAUGGUCCGCAAUUACAUUGUGCAGUGAUUUAUGAUUGUCAUUUGAUCAUGGAGCACCCAAGUUUUUAAAGUCGGUGAUCUAAUGAAAAUUGCAUUUACACGAGAAAAAUGGAUGUAACAUAACGGAUGAAAAAGCAUAUAAUGAUAUGGUGUCGUCAUUGUGGUGUAAUAUUGCCGUACCAUGCUUUUGCGACUUACUCAAUGCUACCAUUUGCAUCCUUUUUAACCUUUGAUCCAUUGGGAAAAAUAAUAUGAAUGAAUUAACUGAUGCAUUUCCUGCAAUCCAAGCUUUACAUCGAGGAUAGGAUUAGAUUGAAGAACUUGAGUGAAGCUAGGAAAGUCAAAUUCAUCGUCUCUGUGUCGACAUCUCAUUUGAGUCAAUAGUUUAAGUAUUUAUUCUUGUAAAAGUACCCAAAAAAAUAAAAAAUAAAAAAUAAAAAAAACAAGGGAAUAGCAAAAAGAACUAAAACGAUAAAUAGGCAACCAAAUAAUAGUCAAAUCAACAAAUAAAAAAGGGAUCUAAUAUGGUCUUGGUCUUGGUUUAUUUCCUAUAGCCCCGAUCAGCUGGCACGGCCCAUGUCCAAAUUCGCUGAUCACAAGAGAAAAAAGAAUAGAAGCCCUGGAAGAGAAGCUCCGUUCGAGAAGCUUCCGCAUUCUUCCCCCACCACCGUUGGAGAUCGCCCACCUCCUCCGGCUGUCGGACGGUGCUCGCCUCCUCCAGCCGUCGUCGAUCCUCUGUCUCGGGAAGACACUGAUCGGAGAGAAAACCAAUUUUUGAGGCACGCACGCCCGCCUGAGAGAAAAACACCCGGGCAAGGACGAUUGAGCAAAGGGGGAAAAGCUUGCACCCCCGUCAGCACGCGUCUUUGGAGUUUCUUUUUCUUCGGUCAUCCUCAUCCACCGGUGAUCAUCACGGUUUACCAUCGCCGGCCAUCAACUCACGUACGGACUGUAAGAGAACUAGAACAGAAGGCAACGGUUGAAAUCACUCUAGAGGUUUUGGAAGCGUCCAGAAGGCACUCUCUUUCAGUGAUUUCUUCUGAAUCCUUUCCUGCCUCUUCGUUGUCAACCGUGUUUUUGGCCGUGAAGACUUGAAGCAAUUCGCGUUUUUCUGAAAACUUCAUUACCGGUGCUCAUCCUCAGCAGCGACGUUUUCUGGAUCCUCCUCGACUAGAUAACCCAAAUGACGUUUAAGGCCCAGACCUCUAAGGUAUAAGUUUGACCCACAUGCGAACCGGGCCCAUCCUGUGUCCCCCUCAGCGAGGGCUGGACGAGGCUGCCCCUCGCCAAAUCCGACUAGGGGCCUUGCCAACGACCAGUGAGGGAAAAGAGAAAAAAAAAUACAAAAUUCGAAAAUAAAUUUAAAAAUUUUAAUAAUAUCCACAUCAGUGCCAGUCGUAUCACGUAGGACUAUUGAUGUUCACACCAGUAAUUUCCAACUAAAAUUAAUCUAAUUGACUCAAUUGGUAUAAAAGUGAAAAUGUUUAAUUUUAAAUUGAUCCAUUUAUAUGUUUAAGACUAAAUUAAUAUCAAUGUUAUGAAUUUUUUUGGUACUUUUCUCGUUAACAGUUUAUAUCAAUGAAUGGUUAGGCUGCUUGAGGGCCACUGCUCCUCUCUUUGCAUUAGCAAGUGAUGCAUAUAUUCCACACACAAACAUGAAAGACAAAGUGAAAUAAUUGUUUUCAGCAUGAGUGGGUGAUUGAAUUUUGAUAGGCUGAUAUAGUGAUGCAUUUUUGGGCUCGUGUACCUAAUUAUUUGAUGAGGUUAUUCGCUGGAUUGACUUUGAAAGUUUUGAGAUUACACAGAAAAAUGAUACUUGCACUUCCAUGAAGGCUUAUCAAGCUUUUGAAAUAAUAGGAUAGGAAGGAUCUUCCACCACUCGUGACUCUUGCUCUUAACAGAUGCUGAAAAUGUUAUGGCACUUUCUAUGCCGAGAAAGAGAGAUGCAUAGAAGCAAGAAGGCCAAGUCCCAAUUCAACGGCAACUUCAACUAUACGCUACCAGACAACUAAACAUCACAUUCUUUCACAAAACUCCAGGGGCGUACAAACCUUCAUCUUGAGCAUGGCUAUCUAGCAGGUGAUCAAUCCAACGAUUGGCGUUGGCAGUUUUUAAAUUGGACAGAUGACAUAAAAGUGCUCGAAAUCGACGGCUAAGAAAGCAAAAAAGAAAAUUUCCUGUGCCCAAGGUACGGGAAUGUAGAACGGGCCCGUAUCUUUAGCUUGCGUAGCGACCAAGGAAUGGUCCCCGUAAUGAAAAAAGCAACUUGCAUCGGAAGCCCAACCAUAAGCCUUUGGAUGUAUCUCUGGGAGACCUACGUGGCACCGACGAAUGAGCCCCGUGGUCCGGGUAAUCAUAAAAUAAUAAAAGAGUGAAGAGAAGCUUCCUCGCAACAGAAAAAAGGGACGUUUCGCGGGUACUGCCGGUGGGUCUAUGCAAUACACUAUAUAUCCCGAAAACAUAGGAUAGCAUCAUCCCGAUCGUUGCGACUUGAAUGAAACAUCCCACAGUCUGUAUCGGCUCUUGACGCUGCCUGAACAUAGUUCCUUCACAAUGCAAGAAUAUUGCCAUGAUGGAGAAGAAGAACGCCCAAGUGUUACAAUAUACAAAGGCUUUGAAACUUGCCCUCUCACCGAGAAUCGCCAUUCCUCGAUCUGGUCCAUCGUUGUUAUAACCUCCGGGCACUGUGAAGGCCGCAGUGAAGGUUACUGUGGCUAUGAGCCCUGCCACUAGUAGUUGCAUAUCCAUAAUGCCUCUUUUUGACAAACCAAAAUUAUCUCGGUUGGCAAUAUUACUUCCUGUGUUUAUAGACACAGAUGGUUGACCCUGAACGAAUUGCUUAUCUAACCUCUUCUUACCAUGUUCAGUAAACCAAACUUGAAAACUCGGGAUUCCAUAAGAUCCUUUCAACAUUUGACGAGCCAUUUUAGCAGAAAUGCUCGCCUAAAAAUGUACAGAAUGAAUGAAUUAGUGAGUGAAAGUUUCCCGAUGAAAUACUUCCAGACUCUCACUUUACACACUCAAAAUCCAUCUAUAACAAACAGAAUUUCCAACGAGUCCAAAAACGUUAUGAGGAAUUCAUUCAAAUUAUCUCUUUUAGAUCAAAUUAAAUGGUAUAUAACACCUGUAAAUUGAGUUUCAUGGAGUAAACAAUUACAGUUUCGAGUAUGCUAUUUCAGUCAUGAUUUAUUCUCCAUUUUUCUUUUCGUUUUCCUUUCCUUUUCUUUCUUUUUCUGCUUUACGUUAUCAUCUAAUUUUAAAGGAUUCCAACCUUGAAUGUUUUGCAUUGUUUUUUACAUAACCAAGACAGACAAUUGCUUGAGAACUAAUUGAAGGCCAGUUUGUUGAACGGAUUUGAAACUUAUUGAAAUAUUUUGUUCUGCUGAUGAUAUAAUAUGAUCAAACAUAAUAUUUACAAACGUAUAUGUGCUUAUCAACCAAACAAUCGAAUUAACUAACAUUGAAAUUACUUUGCAAACUGAUUGGUCUUAAACUAUACAUUGUUAUUUGGAUAUUUUGUCACUGAAUGAUUAUAUUGAAGCAAAAUAUACAAACUUAAAAUUGUUUUUUGUUAUAUGCAUUUAACUGUUGGCUAUUAGUAUGAUAUUUGGUUUUUUCAUGUAAUCGGAUUGGAAAAAGGGCUUUAAUAUGUGGAAAUGAGUUAGAUGGUUUAAAAAUAUAAGCAUUUGUUGGAUAUAUAAAGACUUCUACUUUUAAAUACGACCUUUAGCUACUGGUAAGAUAAUUAUCGCGUCAAAUAAAAUAUUAUAUGACAAUGCAAAUUCCUGACUAUUUUAUAGAUUACAAAUAAAAUUUUGAAUACGACUUUUUAGCUACAAAUUUUUGUGAUUUUUGCAAUACCCACAUAUAUGGCUUAGAAGAAGAAGAAGAAGAAGAAGAUAUGAUCAUACACAUUUAUUUAAUAAUAAACAAAAACAUUAUGUACCAACUCAUAUAUUGAAAGAACCAUAAAGACUUCAAAUAAUGAUUUUACGUUUAUUGGCUAUUAUAUCAAAUAAUAUUUUAAUCACUAAACUAUGUGAAUUGAUGUUGAUAUUUUGUUGUAGGAAAAUGAUAGAGGAAGCGUUUGUUUUUUUUGUCCAGAUAGUAAUAGUUAAUUUACUAACUAAUAUUAAGUGAAGUGGGAAGGAACGAAGUUUUGAGAAAUGUGGCUCAACCACAAUGUUCAAUUCUGCCUAAUUUUCUUAUUUAUUUAUUAUAAGAUAUGAAGUGUGAAAUCACUUCAUUCCGAGCCCCUUGAGCCCUUAUUUCAUAUGCGUGUCUCACUCAAUAAAGAAAUCUAUGCUACUAUUUGCUACGGAAAUUGAAAAUAUAGUCAAUAUGCUUAAACGUUUGAAUAAGCAAAAGAAAAAGGUUGACGCAAAGACUUCAAUUGGGUAGUUUGUUUGCACCUGAAAGAGCAUUACUUGGGCCAUAGUUUCUAAACGAUACUGAAGAAAUUACUCUACGAGUGAACAAAUCUGGCUCUACAGUGUUCAAGCAAACAUACCUCUUUAUGGGCAGAACAAAUGUCAAGAGCAGUGAAAUAUCCUUAUUUUUGGUCAAAUGGUCCACCCUCUUGUCUUCUCCAAGUAUGAAUAUGAUGCCGUAUUCUUCAUGAAGUGCAGCCAAAUGCAAAGCCGUGUUUCUUCGUUGCCUUGUUCGUUGAUAAGAUUCUCUAGGUUUGGCAUCCCUAGUAUGUACUCGACUACAUUGUUUUGUCCACCGAUAAUAGCUGCAUGAAGAGCCGAUUGCCCUUUGGUGUUUAUCAUGUCACAAGCAUCAGGACAGGAUCUAACAAGCUCAUCAAUGACAUUGAUACAGCCAUAAAAUGCUGCAAGGUGAAGAGCUAAUUCCCCUGCUUUGUCUAAUUCAUAUGCCACAGAAGUAUCGUGUUGCAAGAGUAGUCGAACUGCUUCGACUUUGCCCAAGUAAGCAACGUAAUGAAGAGGCGUCCAUCCCAAAUCAUCUUUUUCUUUGAUCGCUUCUGGUCUCUUCUCCAUGAUUUUCUCCCAACCUUUGCAAAUAAAAUGGGAAAAUUUCAUUAUUUGGUCUGUUUAUAGCAUCUUGACAUACAUAUUAAAGUUGCCCUUCAUCCCAUUAAGUUUUCUCCAUUUUGUCUGUACUAGGAAGGACUAUGUCACGGUAACUGUGAAGUUUUUAUAGCGAUCUUGUGUAAACGUGUAGAACCUAAUUGCCUUCAAUUUAGCAUAAUGCAGAAAUUUAUAAAGUUUAUAAAUUGAUAAGUGAAAUAGUUAGAAAUUCGCGGAGUUAUUUGAGAAGAAGCUUCUCAUAUUUUCGGCAACGCAUCUAGGCUAGAAUAAAAGACCAAGCCUUUUUACUCUGGUGCCAAUAAUUUUAUUGAAAAUAUUGUGCCCAACUCAAUUUUAUAAGAGAAUUUAAAUAUUGAAAGAGGACUAGCACCUUCGACAUUUUCAAAAGUAAAAUCAUUUCAUCCCUUUCCUUUCAAGUCCUCAUAAUUUGCCCUCGAGGGUUAAGAAAUUGAGCAUGUAUACCCUGAUCUUGUGGAAAUGUAUUGCAAUGUGCUCAGUCACCAUUUGUAAACUUAAAAUAGAAAGAAAAAAAAAGCGGUAUAAUUCAGAAAAAUGUAAGAGAACUAGAUCUAGAAAAACAUGUAGAAAGAAAUUAGCGGGUGAGAUAGACUAUUAACAAUACUAUUAUCAAAAUAGCGAUUUUUCUGCAUGAAUGUAUAAUUUUAAAUUGAUACUAUUUUUUUGGUCCACACUCUUAAGAGAAGACGAAUCGGUUUAAACUUAUUUUUAAUAGUCAAUGAAUAAAACAAUAAAAAGAAUGCAAUGAGAUAACAACUCCAAUCUUUUCACAACAUAAACCUCGCAUAUAACAUAAUCAAGAGGCAUGUCUUUGGGAAAAAAGUGUAUGACCUUUCACCAAAACCAAUGGAAAAUAAAUAAAUAAGUUUUGAAUUUACUAUUAUAUUUAUUGAAAGCUAGGAUAGAUGGCGGCUCUCACUGCUGACACCAUCACUCUCAGCUAAGAGAAGCCCUUGCACAAGAGAGAACUCCCGUUAAUUUUUCCUUUAACUAGGCUUCGUAUCUUAUGAUACUUACUGGUCAGUGAGAGAAAAAUUCCGACGUGUAGAGCUGUCAAACCCUUAGGGCCCUUAUGAGAGGAUGACGACAAGAAAGCACUCAAUCAACUCAAUGGUACGAGAAAGUCCUCGAUAUGCCGCAAGAUAAAGUGCAGACUCAUCAGCGGCAUUAGUAAUAUCACAUAGUUGAGGAUCUUCUCCAAUUAGCAACUCCACCGCCAAAUCAUGACCUCCUCUUAUUGCAUAGUGUAGGGCGGUAUCCUUAUAUAAAUUCUGCUUCCGAAAUAGCUCUUUGCAUGCGUCAACUUGUCCAUUCUCAGCGACCCAAUGAAGUGAUUUUGACAAAUCAGUGAACAUUCGAAUCGCUCCACAGCUUCCCACUUUAGCGGCAACGCGUAAGGGAGUGUCUCCUUUAUAGUUACCCUGCCAAAGAAGUGAUGGUCCCAAUGGACAUUGAAGAAGAUGUUCAAUGAAAUUUACCUAUUUGUAUUGAGCCGCAAGAUGAAGAAUGUUGUUCUCCUUUGGUGUUGUUUGAUGGAAAAGGUCCUCUCCAUUUUCCAAAAUUAUUGUGAUCAAGGAACCAAAGUCUCCUGAUUUUGCAGCCUCAUACACUUUAGGAUGCAUUCUCGCUCUUUGUUUGUUGUUUACAGGACACUAAAAGUAGUUGCACAGGAACUUAUCAAUAUAAGCAAUUAGUUCAAGCGAAAAGAACUUCUUUGAGCUUUACAAGAGGAAUCAAUGGAAGGGAGAAUGUUGGGGAGGAAAUAUUUUCAUGCUUCUCAAGUGUAAUUGAAAGGAGACUUAUAUGUAUAUCUAUGAAACGUGAAUAUGCCAGGCGUGUUCCUGUGAAGUUUUUAUUCUCUCGAGAGCAACUCUAUAAUAACGAUAUAGGGCGAUCAAGACAAGUACGGGAAAAAAAAAACAUAAUAAUAAUAACCGACGACUAGGUCUCCCCGACAGCUUCCUUUCCCUUUUUGACUUUGGGACAAUGUGCUCUUCCCUGGAUGGGUGAUAACCUUCUUUGUUAAUAUUCAAAUGAAUCUUCGAGGAUGGUGUCAUCGAAAUAGGAAAAUCCCAAUGAAUUCAUAUUUAAAGGCCGGGAUUAUCCAAUUACUCAACUUGAUCAACUAUUGUCAUCCAAAUAAAAAUAGUUUAUGUACAAUGUCACUCCCUCCACACUUCCCAGGAUAAAGAUUGGUCAAAAGUGAACCUAUGAGUUCAAGUGCGAGGAAUAUAUCUAAUCUUAUCAAGAUGACUUGACUAAAGAAGCGAUGUUGGAUAGGAAAUAUCCUUCAAUUUUUCAAUACAACUUUUUUUAGCUUUCAACUAGACUAAAGGAAAGAUAUUGGGAAAGACAUUUUGUGACAUCCCGAUUUUUCUCAAGUUUAUUUUCAGUCAAUUGAGUUGGGCAAUUCAUCCGUGCAUAUAACUCGUUUCUCAGAGUUGGCCACUCACGAGAGAACUAGUUUAUUGAGCGAAGUAAUUAAGGAAUUGUACCGCGUCAGACUUGGGGACUGUCACCCACGGGUCGGAUGCAAGAAAAUUUCCCCAAAAGCUACUCAGUGGACUAGGCGCGCUAAAAUCGCACCAGAGUGAAAUUAACCGUGAAAUUGAAAUUGAAUUCUGAAAUUUGAAAGUCAAAGGGUGUUGCAAAUCUUAUUAGGAACAUUGGAUUAAUUCAUGGACUUUAAUUUAGACUCAAUUAGAAGAGAAUUGAUGGAAAUUGAAAUAAUUAAAUUUGCAAGAAGUUGGACCCCGGCGGAAAAUGAAUUGGACCUAUUGGAAGAUGUUGUGAAGAUUUGAGUUAGUGGAGAGUGACAUCAGCAGGUGAUGUCAUGGUGGAGGCCAAAAUUAAGGAGAGCUUGACAAGUGUCACAAGCCAAUUGGCUCACCAAAAGUGGGGGUGUCCCAUCCACUUCAUCUUCAACCUCUAGCACCUUGGGAAGGGGAAUUCGAAAUUGGGAGAGGGAGAGAAAGGAUCCGGCGAACUUGCAGCUGGUCCGUCCGCCCUUCGUCGCGUCUCCGUCGCCGCCGUCUCGCCUGCCAUCGCACGCCGUCGCCGUUCGCCGCUCGUUCGCGUGUGAGGCCCCGGGUGCGAGCUCGUCGCGUCUCCGUCGCCGCCGUCUCCUCGCUUGAGCUGCUGGUCGCCGUCCGCCAAAGCUCCCGCCACUGCCGUCCGUCCACUCAAAGCCUCCGCCGGUUGCUGCUCAAGCUGUCGCCGGUUCUCCUCCACCGUUCUCCGCUCGUUCGCCGCCGUUCCGCCGCCCCUUCAAGCCGGUUAGUUGCUGGAAAGAAAACCAGCAAGAUCUAGCAUCCUCGGAGCUCCUUUUGGUCCCCUAUAAGUGCUCAUUUGGUCUUGAUCCAUGUAGGUUUUUCGUCGGCGUCGUCGCGCUCUUCGCCGGAGACCUGUCGGAAAGUGAUUCUGGUGAGUUUACCUCACUAAUCCGCGAUUAGUGAGUUAAUGAUGCCUUAAGUAUGUUUAGUUCAAGUUGAUUGAGAUUAGGUGGAUAGAUUGGCUUAAUUAGACAUGGAUUAUAUUAAGGUGAUUAAUUAAGGUAAAAGGGUGUUUAGUUUAAUGGUUAAGUAUGUUUAUUUUUAAAAUAAACCUUGAUGUGACUUAAAAGAGUUUAUUUAUGAUUUAAAUAAAUGCUUCGAAAUUGUUGGAUUAUUUAAUAAUAUAUCUUAUUCCGAAAUUCAUUAAAAUAUUGUUUUAUAAAAAAAAAACUCGAAAAAUUUAUUUUGACCCUAAUUGCUCAGAAUUUCGUGCCGAUCGCUGCUGUGCAUGUAGAAUUUGAAAUUGAUGAUUGGUUGUGGCGAAUUGAGUGUGAUUGCGAUUUAUGAGGAUUCUUUAGAAAACCCUAAGUGUGGGAAUUGAUGGGAGAUUAGCCGUGAUUAAUCACCUAUUAGAGGUCGUGCCUAGUGAGGCCGUGAUUAACCACCGAUUGGAGGUCAUGCCUAGUGAGGCUGGGAUGGACCACCUAUGAGAGGCCUAAUAAGGCCACGAUGAACCACCUAAGAGGGGUCGUGCCUAAUGGGGCCGUGAUUGACCACCUAUUAGAGGUCGUGCCUAAUGAGGCCGUGAUGGACCACCUACGAGAGGUCAUGCCCAGUGAGGCCGGGAUGGACCACCCAUGAGAGGUCGUGCCCAGUGAGGCCGUGAUGGACCACCUAAUUAAAGGUCGUGCCGAGUGGGGCCGUGAUUGCCACUGGUUAUUAAGCCUUCCUAUAGGGUCGAGAUUGGAAGUAGUAAGUGAUUCACUAGAAUGACAUGUAAUCGACCGAGUCGAUUGAUAGCUGAGACGACCCCAUGAUUGAGCUGUGAUGAUGAUGUGAUUGUAUCUUCGUUGUUGAGUUAUUAGAAUUACACGUGGUUGAAUUAUAUAAACUGUGCUAACUUGCAGAUGAGGGCUAAGACGAGGUAAGUCUUCUUGAUGUUGCGGCUAAGCUGCUUUGGGGCGUAUUUACUUUCUAAUAUGGGUUUAGGAGGGGUGAACUUGCUGAGACAAAGUCUCAUCCCGGUUUGGGGAAAAAUAUUACAGGACCGUAGAUGGUGGGACCCCCAGAGAAGAAUGGCCUCCCAGUGCAGAUCAUCGAGCAUGUGCGCAGCGCCCCUGAUCCUGGGAGCCAUUGGGUCUAUGAGCUGAUCAGGGCUACCGUGUGGAUCCAGGAGACUAAAGAUGUUAGGGUGCCCCAUAGGUAUAGGGCUUGGUUCCGUUUUGGGGCCAAUGGUUUUAGGAUUGGUCCGCUUGACAGUUUUGACAUCCCCCUGGCUGUGAUGGAUGCUCUUCUAGGAGAGGGUGUGGCUGACCUUCCCGAUGGUAGGGUGGACAACCCACCAUCUCCGGACCCUACGCCGUCAGACGUGGAGGAUGUGGGAUCGUCGAACAAGUCCAAUUAGUAGUUACAGGACCAUUCUUCUUUUCGGUGGGCUGAUCCUUGUUGUGUAGGCUAACCCUCUUUUGAUGCACAUAGACUCUGACCCAUUUUUUGUGCAUAGGCCCUGGAUCCAGUUGAUGUAUGUAAGCCCUGAUUUGUUGAUGAUAUAUGAAAGUAUGUUGUUUGAUUUUGAGUUGAUGUUCCUGCUGUCCUAUCCCGUAUGCUUUUGUAAGGGGUUUCUUAGUACGUUCCGCUUGCACAUUAAAAAAGUAAAAUCAAGGUCGGCGACACUACCUGGGAAUGUCGCAUUUGCAUGACCAUGGCGGGUAGUUCACGUGUCUCGGGGUUCGGGGCGUGACACAUUUCUCAUAACUUUUCUAAGGAGCCAACUAAAGACAGGAUAUGGACAAAAAAUUUCUUUGAACUUUCUAAAAGAAUUGGAUUAAAAAGAAGAUGUUCGGGAGCAAAUUCAUUUGAAUUUUUUUAAGGGAAUUGAAAAGGAGAUUGUCAUGUUCGGGAGCAAAUUCUUCCUUGCGGCCUAACUAGCAGCUUAGCUUGCUGUUGUCAGUCUGGUUUGCAUUCUAUUCAAAGCAUUUUUCUUCCUCGCCACCUUCAAGGGCAAGGGAUUAAAUGAAAAAGAAGAUCGCCUAGUGCCCGAGGGGAUAAGGUUGGCCCUUCUAUGAGUAAGACAUACCAGUUAUAUAUAUAAAGUACGACCCUCCUGUAGAAAAAAGGGAAUGAUCAAUCAAUGGUUUAGAUAAAAUAUGAAUUUCUGAGGUGGAAGCAUAGUUUCCGCAAAACCAAGUCGGUCUGUUUCUCUAAAUUUGCCGUUCUGCCUCUCGCUAAUAUAAUAAGAAAGUGGGCAAAUCUUGUUAAACAUAGGAUGGACAAGUAAAAAAAAAAAAAAACCAAAACAAUCAACAGCCCUCCUGCAGAUUCCUAAUUUAUUUCAACUUUUAUUGCACCUGGUCUUCCACUUAUGAGGGCUUCUUAUUUUAUUUUAACUUUUUGACUUUUGUCCCAUCUGCUCUUCCACUUUUGAGUUGUCUUAACUUUUCUUUUUGGACUUUUGAGGCACCUAUUCUUCCAUUUUUCAUCAAAAGCAAAAUCAUUACGCUUCCACGAUAUUUCCUAAAGCGGGGUAACUUUAGACUUCUAUGCCUUCCCAGGGAGUACGUAGCAGUGAGAAUUAUCGUCGAAAGUUCUUCAGCCAAGUGAACAUUCUCUAAAACCUAUAGUGAAUAUAAAAAAUUAAACAAAGGUGAGUCACAUCAGGGACAGAUAUGAUGAAAACACAUAAUAAGGAGUAAAAAAUCGCAGCCCAUUAUUGAAUAUAGUUACUAUUAUAUUUACAAAGUACUAGCGUAGAAGGGGGCAUUGCUGCUACCACUAGCAGUCUCGCCCAAGGGAAGUCUCGCGCUAGGGAGAGAACUUCGGUUACUUGGGUUAUCAUUUGUUUAAAGUGGGUUUAGAAUCUUGUGAUACUUACUUGAUAGUGAGAAGGUCACUGCAGCAUGCAGAGCUGUCAGUCCUUUAGGGCCCUUAUGAGAGGAUGGCCAUGAGGAAGCACAUAAAAUCGGCUCAAUGAUAUCCCAAAAUCUUUGAUGUAUUGUGAGAUAAAGUGGGGACUCAUCAGCAACAUUAAUAAUAUCACAUAGGUGAGGAUCUUCUUCAAUAAGCAAUUCCACGACCCCCUUGCAACGUCUUCUUAUUGCAAAGUGCAAUAAGGUAUCUUCAUCUGAAUUCGGUAUCCUAAGUAGCUCUUUUUAUGCAUCAGGUUGAUGUAUUGCUUUCACUCGAUCGAUAAAAACUCGAACCAUUUCAUGGCUUCCCACUUGGGUAGCAACAUGUAAGGGAGUGUCUCCUUUGUUGUUACCUUGCCAAAGAAGGGAUGAUCUCAAUAGAUCUUGAAGAAAAUCUCGGAUGAAAUUUACCUGCCCGAAUUGAGCUGCAACAUGAAGAACGUUGUUUCCAUUUGGCGUUCUUUGGUGGAAAAGGUCCUCUCCAUUUUCCAAAAUUAUUGUCAUAAAGGAAUGAAAUUCUCCUGACUUUACAGCCUCAUACACUUUAGGAUGUAUACCUAAUCUCUCUUUCAUUCUCAAGACACGCGGUAGCUGCAAGUGAACUUAUCAAUAUAAGCAAUGAGUUCAAGUGGGAGGAAUUUCUUUGAGUUUUUCAAGAGGAUUUGUCAUGCCCCGAUCCUCAUGGCACGCGCACAUCCCUUAUCUUUGGUCAGUUUAAAAUUUGCAAUAACCCAGGAUUAUGUAUCGCCGACCCUUUCAUUUAUAUAUGCACAUGCGGAAGCAGUCAUAAAAUCCCCAGACAAUAAAGCAAUGAGAUAUACAAGUAGGACUAGGAAAUUGAACCUGAAAACCAACACCCUUAUGCUCAUAUACAAGCCAUACUAAAUCGAUUGGUUUCUACUCAAAUUGAUUUUAUAACAAUCGUCAUCAGAAUCCUACUCCGGAUCAUCCUCGGGGUUCUCCUCCACGUACUCCUCUUCGGGUUCCUCAACAAGGAUCUCCUCAUCAGAUUCAUGCUCUUUAGGCUCCUCAUCCAGGUCCUGAAAUGGUUAUUCAAUAACCAUUGAGACAACGUCUCCGCAAGUUCUACCUCCUAAGACCCGAUUAGUAAACUAAUACACCUUAGGGCUGCCUAUGCACAACAUGAGUCAGAGGACUUACCUUGGCCUCAGAUUCCACCUGCAUAUUAGUACAGAUUAAAUAGGCACCCAAGCAAUCCCAUCACAGAUCGAAGCAUCGAUCAAAUCGACCUAGUCGAUUUCACGUCAACAAGACCACUCACGGUCAUUUCCACUAUUCCAACCAAUUUACAACAUCAAUUCAAGGCAAUGAUCAAUCGACCUAGUCGAUUACGUCUCAAUCAACCAUUCACCGAUCAUUUCAUUCAAUCAAUCAAUCCACAACAUCAAAUCAAGACAACGAUCAAUUGACCUAGUCGAUUACAUAUCAACAAGACCACUUUCGAUCAUUUCAACUAUUCCAAUUCAAUUCCCAAUAAUGAAUCACGGUCCUUAGGACACAACUUAAUUAUAGGUGGUAAUCACGGCCCCACCAAGCAAUUUUCUUAGAUUUAGUGGCAUCACGGCCCCACUCGGCAACUUUUAAUAUGUAGUGGCAUCGCGGCCCCACUCAGCAAUGUUAUAUGUAGUGGCAUCACGGCCCCACUCGUCAACUUUUAAUAUGUAGUGGCAUCACGGCCCCACUCGGCAAUGUUAUAUGUAGUGGCAUCACGGCCCCACUUGGCAACUUUCAAUAUGUAGCGGCAUUAUCAACUGAUGCUCGGUUAUUCUUCAAUUAAUAACCAAAGAUGAUUCAAUUUAGGAAUAAAUCCUAAAAUCAUUGAUAAAUCAAUUUAGCACAAAAUCAUGCUCAAUUAAAUAAACAGACUGUACAACGACAAUCAGCACGAAAUUUCGAUCGCUGGCCAUCCUAGUUGAAUUUUCGGAAAAUAAAUAAUUAAAUAAUUAAUUUCGAAAAUUAAAUAAAUACAUACAAUAAAUUCAAUUUAGAAUAAUAUAAAGCUCAAUUAAAUAAACAGACUGCACCACGAUCAUCAGCAUAAAAUUUGGGUCACUGGCCAUCUCAUCCUUAAUUUCCGAAAAUAAAUAAUUAAUUAAUUAAUUUCAAGGAUUAAAUAAUUAAUAUUAAAAACUCAAUUUAACUCAAAAUAAAGCCCAAUUAAAUAAAUGGACUUCACCACAGUUAUCGGCAUAAUUUUCUGGUUCCGGAUCAUCUUAGUUGAAUUUUCGGAAAAUAAAUAAUUAUUUAUUUUAAUUUCGAAAAUUAAUAUUUAAAUACUAAAAAAUCUCAAUUAGGCUCGAAUCGCCUAAUUAACACCCAAUAAGGGACGGGAAAAAUCCCAAGAAUCAUCCAAAAAUACUACAAGCAAUUCUCUAUCUAAUUACACUAAUUAUUUCACUAAUAUGCAAUGAAAUUAACUAAUAAUUGCUAAUCCAUUCAAAUCUAACAACUUAAUUACACUUAAUUAACACUAAUCAACCUUUAAGUGUAAUUAGUAAGCUAAGAAGGCAUUAGUGAGUAAAACUCACUCAAAACGACGGGCUCGACGCGAGGAUCGACUUUCCUCAAAGCGGGCCGAGCAUCCAGGCUUGAGAAGGCGGCCAAAAAGGGCUAAAACCCACUGUCAUACCCAUUUUCUACAACCCUCUGAUCACUGUUGGUCACGGCAGAUUCGGGGCUGGUUGAGGCGGCCAAGGGCGGUUGAGGGCGAGGCAAAGCUCUGGCGAGGUCGACGGUGGCCGGAGGUGUUUGGGUGGCGGCCGUAGGUGGCCGAAUGGGACCGACCAGAGGUGAAACAGAGGCUGGACAGAGGCGGUAGCUCGGCUGGGUGAGGCGAACGGCAUUCGAGCGGGCGAGCGCGAAGCGGACGGGGCGGCGGUGCGGCAGCUUCGGUGCGACGGCGUCCAAGCAGCUGGUCGCGGCUCCUUCCGGCAACGCUAGACUUGCUUCUACUUCUGCUAUUUGGUUCUGUUCGAACCAGAGGGAGGAGAGGGGCGAAGCUAUGCACGGGCAGCAGGACGGCGGACGGCGGCGACUCCGGCUCCAGUUGCUUGCUGCAUCGGCGCCAAGAGAAAUCACUGCUUCGGCUUGCUAGUUUGCUAAUCUUAAGCUUCCAUGGAGUUUUGAAGAAAAAGAAGGAGAUGGGGGAGGAGUUCAGUCGACGAAGGAGAGAGAGGAGAAAGAGAAAUUCAAUUUUUCCUCUUCCUCUCACACACUCUCUCUCUUAGGCCAUCACGCAUGGGCCACCAUGACAUCAUGUGAUGUCACCUUCCACCUACCAUUUCUUGACAAAUUUGCCCCUUCUAGAAGCAUUUGGGUAGGCCAAAAUAUGUGGGUAGAGGUGGCAUACGAAUUUUGCUAAGGUUUGUUUCCAAAUUAAAUCUUAAUCCUACUUGAAUCAAAUCAAAUUGAACCCUAUUAAUUUAUUCAACACCUCAUUAUUCCAAUUGGUAUUUUUCCUUACCAAUGUAGCCCACUUGCAUCCCAAUUUCACAAUCCUUGGCUUCAAUUGAACAAAAACGGCUCUAUUUAUCCAAUCGAAAUUAGAACCCGAAAAUCUGGAUGUCACAGGAUUGGUGAAAAGGGAAAAUGUUGGAGAGGAAAUUGAAUUGAGCUUCCUAGGAGUACUAAAAUGGAGACAUUUAUAUGCAUAUGGUGGUUCUUCAAUUGUUUCGAUGAAAUCGAAAUAAAUUUAGCAGGUUUAGAGAAUAGUUUCCAAAAAGUCUAAUUGGUAUGCGUUUUGGACUUCCUGCUUUCCACUUUUUAUCAAAAUCAAAACAUCCUUCUAGAAGAAUCGGAUAUGAUUUAACUUGUUUAUUAAAGUAAUAAUAUCCGUUCACUUUGAGCUGUAAUUUUUUUUUUUUUUUUAUGAAUUGAAUCGGAUCUGAUUUAACUUAUUUAUUAAAGAAAUGAUUUUCGUGGACCCACUUUUAUCCGUAGUUUUCUUCUUCUUUUUUUAUUUUAUUUGUUCAUCGAAAAGUCCUUUGCUCUUUUUAGUCUUCACGGUCCAAGUUCGUCGUGAGCAUGCAUUCUCAUCAUGGUGCACAAGAUGGACCCUACCCAAGCUUGGUCCCACUCGAAGAUUUACAUAUGUAAUUAUUAUGGAGCACGAACUUAGGUAAAAUUCAACCAAUAAAAAACUUAGGUAAAAAUUAGUUGACGACCAAUUUGAGCUCAUCCAAUAAUCACCUCUACUUCUAUAAUCCAUUGGCAAAAGUUGGAGCUCAUAAUGAUAUGUUUUCUAUUGUAAUGUUUGCACAAUAUUCUAUAACAAAUAAAAAUCUAUCAAAAAUUUAUGAUCGUUCAAUGACUAUCUAUCAUUUUUAAUAUGUGGAAGAGAGACACGACAAAAACUUAAAUUUAAAUAAAUAAAAAAGAGACAGCAAGGCCGAAGUUGUUCUACUUUUUUAACAAGGGCAGUGAACCUUGUCGAGGUCUCAGUGAGGGCCAACAACCCUUGCAGGUCUGUCCAUGGGCAAGGGCUCACAGGCCCUCAUCUACGUCACACACAGUGGUCUUCAUUGUGAAAUAAUAUGUAGAACUAAAUUCUUAAGACUAUUUUCUCAUAUUUGACCUUCAUAGAACAUUAGCCUCAAUUAUGUCUGCGAAUUGGCAAUUAGUGUCCUACCAGAAUCCCAUCGACAUUGUGUAUGUAGAUCUGAAUUCUUUGUUAACAGCAAAACUGCAUUGGCAGUGGGUUAUUUUUUCUUUUUUUAACUCAACCCUUUUUUUAUGUAUGUUGGCCUGGGCUUUUCUCCCACAUCGGUGCCAUGAAUAAUUUUUUAUUAGUUCAUUAGAAAGUGGACUUAUUUUUGUUGAUGGACUCUUUACACCGUCUCUGACUUUGAAGAGAAAUAGGAAACGGCUCAUGGGACUCAUGGACUAUGUCACUUCUAGAGCAGGUAAUUUCUCAUAAGACUAUUGCUUGUUAUUUUUAAUGAUUUGCAUCUGAUGUCCGUGACGAUCUGUUAUGUUCCUUGCCUUCCAAACUGCCGUUGCUUGUGCGAAGGUGUUGACAGUUGCUGGUCAGAUAUAUAGUCUUGUGGUACCUGAAGUGUAUCUAUAAGUCUACACAAAUGCUUUUGAAAGCUUAAAAAAUGAAAGUUAUAGUAGCCAUUAUUUACCUAAAAACGUGGGGUUUAGAUGCUGCAAUGGUCAGCUCUUUAUAAUUGUUCUGUGCCCUUCCAUGUUAUACUCCAGUAAUUCUUGGGUAACAUAACCAGCAUACUAAAUUAAUGUAGCACAUCGACAAAACAUUUAGCUCAAUAAGUGGCGAAUGGAUAAAUGACAAUGCUGUAAUCCAUGUAUUCUUACUGUUGUCUUUGUCCUGUUGCCGUUUACCUAGUUUCUCAUGUUCAUGGUUAGAGUUAUCUGUCUACCAUCAUUGCAACUUACUUGCCUGUCUCAGCAAGCACCGUGAUGAGUCGAGGUGUUGUUGAAUUUCGUGAUGGAGGACCUCUAGUGAGAAAAAGUGCUGCAAUGAGCGAGUUACACAUUUCCGUGUCGUGCCUUCUUUCUUUUUGAUAUUGAGGUGAAAACAUGUGACGAAUCACUUUAUACCAUUCGGAGAUUUUAUUCCCCUUUUUCCUUUCACAAGUUUUAUAGUAUUCUUCUUUAUUAUAUUACCGACCAACUUUUGAGACACACACGUAAAAUUCGCUUUCUUGUUUGUUCUUUCCCUAAACAUUUGGUUGAAGUAUAAUACUUUGAGUCUGCAGAGAAAAUGUGAUUCCGCUUUGCAGCAUGACACUUUGCCAAGCCAUGCUACUAUGAAGUAAAUUUCUGCAACUUCUAGGGAAAAAAAAAAAAGAUAUCAUAAGUAAUAUAACCUUUGUACGGCACUCUUUUUUCUUUUUUUAUCAUUUAAAUGUUAUCACUUAUGUAUGGCACUCUUUUGAGUACUAUAAUUAUUUUCACAAUUACUUUAGUGUUAUAUAACUUUUUAAUCAAUUACUUGAUUGUUAUAAUUUUUUUAAAAACGUUCACUAGAAGUGCUAAACUACAUCAAAUUUAUGGUAUUUGAGUGAACAUUUUUAAAAAAAUUGACACUUAAGUGAUCAACUAAACAUAAUAUUUUUUUAGAAAUAAUGGCAAUUAAGUGAUAAGAAAAAAAAGUUAUAGUACUUAAGCAAACAUCCUAUAAAAGUUAUUCUUUUAUCCCUAACUUCUAGUAUAAUCCCAGAGGUGACGAUUGCAGUCGUGGUCCUUUUAACAGCAAGUCUCUUCCUAGAACAUUGUGCCUGUGCUAGUACUGUUGUGGGCCUAGACUAUGAACCUUGACUACGUUGGCAUAACCCAUCUGAAGCUUCUUCAAUGUGGCUUCAUUUUUUAAGCAAGAUAUCGAGGAAAGAGUAUCUAGAGAGAAGAGGAACAGUAUCUUGGCGAAUGAUUAAGAACUUAGUAGUUAUGUCAUUUUUCCAUCUUUAAUAGUUAGAAAUCUCAAUGGUUCAUACUAAAUAUUUCUCUACACUAUGAACAUCAAAUAACAUAAUGUCACAAAUUAAAUCAACUGCAAAACUUGCUAAGUUCUUUCUUGCUACAACGGUAUCUAAUAUAAUUGAUAGAUUUGUUGACCUACCUUCUUGAUGUUUCGGUCCAGCAAAGGAAUAAAGUAUUCUACUACUUAACCGGCAAAGAGAGUUAUGUUACUUUAUACUCUUUCACUUGAAUUGAAAUUCACAAUUCGUUUGUGAAAGAAGCACAAAUAAUAAAAGAGAAAGGGGUUGUGAUAGGACGGUAUCAUAUAAUGUCACAUUUAGAAAUUCUUAUGAAAAGUGAAAAAUUAGUGGGCCCACAGGAAAAAAAAACCCAGUCUCUUCUGUCUUGAAUAAUGACACUUCAAUUCCAAGUAAAGGCAUAAAGAAGGAGAAGAAAACAAUAAUGAAAGAAAAGAAUAAAGUUAUGUGUGCUUUCCAUUUGUGCAUUUUUUUUUUCAAUAAAUGGAUAAUAGGGGAGGUUUGUUUCCAUGAUUCUUUUACUUGCCAGAGACACCAACUACAUAUCUGGAAAAUUUCAAACUAUUGUGUCAUUCAAAUACUCAAGCAACACAUCAUUCUCCCAAUUUUUUUUAUUCUUAUCACUCAAUUCAUUAGGAAUCUUAAAUUACUUCUCCAAUGUACUUUAGUUAACUGUUUUAACUGACCGUGCUUGUUUCUUUGUUCAUGGAAUAGGUGAAGAACUUCAAAUCAUUAGCAGAUAUUCAAGCUGAAAACCUUUUAAAUCUUGAUGACAUAUGAGUUUAAAGUUUUAGAGCACCUUAGCAAUAGUACCUUGGAAUACAGUUUUCAGUGUCUUCAGCCAUCAAUGCCUGCAACUGCAAAGUGACAAUAUUAUAUUAUAUAAACUCCGAUAUGGCUUGCCAAUAAAAUUAAGUUAGCAAUUAAAUAUCUAAAAGACGUUCAUUUAGAGAUUGAUUGCCCUAAAUUAAGGAAUUGGGGCAAAAUUCAAUGUGUUCUUAAAAAACCCUAGCCCUUAUUCGUCGAAUUGGGGCAAAAUCAUCUUAUCAAAUCUCCUUAUCAAAUCUUGCUCUAAGAAGAGCAAAGUUGGCAAACGUUCAAAACUUGUCCACGAUACGAUUUCACUACAAGGCCUUACUUUCAAUCCUCCACGCAUGGCCUCAUCUUCACUGCAAGUCCUCUUCCUUCUCCAAGCAGAAGAACCGAUCCCUUCUUCACCCAUUCUCCAAUUUCGUCGUCCUGAGCUGUAGCGAAGUAGAAUCGAAGCAUCAGACAAACAAGAAUUGAGAAAGAGGGCUCUGUUCUCUAUCGAGAAAACAGAGCUCUAUUUCGUCAUUGCGUUUGCUCUGUUGUCUCCUCACCGUAUGAGUGCACAAACGCAAGAACAUUGAGAUUAUUUCUUAGUGUUAUUAUUUUUCGUUUGCCCUUUUGCUCGUCACUUAUGCAAACACUAAAAUGUCCAAUAGGUAAUUAUUCUUCUCUUUCAAAACAAGACCGAACCAACCUCCCAAUUUCUUUUACUUCUUCAGCUCCACCUCUGUUUUUACGUAGAACCAAACUCUUCUUCCAGUUUUCUGUCCUGAAUUCGUGAUCUUCCGCUUCGUUUAUUUGGCUACUGCAGUAAAAUCAUUUUGAAUCGGUUGUUGGUUAAACGCCACAAAGAUGACGGAGAAAGUUUUUUUUUUUUUUUGGAGGGGGGUGGGGUUGGAGAGAGAAGCCCUGUUGUACUGUUCACGUUGCCAUGUUAGACGAAAAAAGUUCUGCAUUGGACUUCUUUUUUAUAAGAAAAGCCACGUAUUAAUAAAAAUUUCAUAUAAAAAACAUAGAAUAUGUUUGAAUUUACAACUAGAAGCACUUGAGUAAUGUUUUUCCACCGAUAUAACACUUGAGAAAUUACUCACAAAAUUUCGGCACUAAAAAGAUAUGACAUUUAGUGUUAUUUUCCUACCAAUGCUCUUUGAAAUAGAGAUUGGUAAGGAUUGGUAAAGUAUUUAAGCUAGAUCAUGGUAGACUGUCCUAAUGGUUUAGAAAGCAUGCAUUUUGAAUGGUUCCAUUCUUUUGAGAAUUAUUUUCUGCACUCAAACUAUUUCCAAAAUUAAGAAUUCGCUUGAGAAGUUGCACGCGCAUAGAUAAAUGAGAAUCUAGGGGAUUGGAAUAUUUUUAACAUUGACUUCGGCUUAACUGUUCUAUUUUUUAUUUUGGGUCUAUGUCAUUAAAAAUCCGAAACCUGUAUUUAGGGUUCCGGCUUGGGCCAAAUAUGUUAUGAGGAACUAGUUUUCGUAUCACAUAAAAACCUUCAACACAUUUUACCCCAAACUAAUUUUUGUCUUAUGAAAAAUCCCAAAAGUGAUAACCUAACCAAAGAUUACCCUCAACGUUUGAUCCUAAACUAUUACACUGGAUGAUAUAUUUGAGUUAGGUUUCUGGCUUGGGGCAAAUAUGUUACGGGGAACUAGUUCAAGAUUGUUUGCAAGAUGAAAAUAGAGUUUAGGAUAAAUAUAUUAUAAGGUAUCAAUUUGAGAUUUUGAUGGUAAUAAACCUAUUUUUGUUGCAUCUUGUAUUGCAUAUUGUAUGGCCAACAAGAUAGAACAUAGAAGUAUUUGAAACAUGUUCUAAGCCUUAUAUAUGAAAUUUAACCAUGUUGAAUUUAAGGCUGAGGAUUACGAAAUUGAGUUUGCCAAGCUUCCUCCUCUACAAUCUUAUGGUGCAGGAGGUGUAAAUCCAUGACAUGGUCCGCGAUUACAUUGUGCAGUUAUUUAUGAUUGUCAUUUGAUCAUGGAGCACCCAAGUUUGUAAAGUUGGUGAUCUAAUGAAAAUUGUAUUUACACGAGAAAAAUGGAUGUAACAUAACUUAUGAAAGAGGACAUAAUGAUAUGGUGUCGUCAUUGUGGUGUAAUAUUGUUGUACAAUGCUUUUGCGACUUACUCGAUGCUACCAUUUGCAUCCUUUUUAAUCUUUGAUCCAUUGGGAAAAAUAAUAUGAAUGAAUCUAAUAAAUUCAUUUCUUGCAAAACAAAAGCAAACUCCUCUCAACGCUCGGAGCUCUCUCUCUACCGAAGGUGUAGCAAUGGCAACCCUCCCUCUCACAAACCCUAAUCAUCCACCAUAACCUUGAUUCCCACCACUGUCUCAUCCAUUUCCACGAUCCCAUACCCACAAAAAAACCUAAUCACCCAUCACAACCUUGUUUCACAUUACUGUUUCAUCCAAAACCGAGAACCCAGGGCCACUGUCCUCGUCACCAGCAGGGAUUUCGCUGUUGUUCCAAGAUCCACUCACCGAAGAAGGGAAAACUGACGGCACGUAUGGAUCAGGUGUGACUCCCCUUCGAAUCCUCCAUCCCGCGGCCAAUCCCUAGUAGUAAUGGAAGGGGAAGGAGAGGCUGUGGACCGUCUUGCCCAUCUCUGCAAUAAAUUAGGUAAGAUGAUGUAUGAGAAUGAUAUGGCUAUUCUUGAUGAAGAUUUAUCGGCUGAGAAACUUCAAGAAUGCCGAUUCUCUCUAGUUGGGCAACUCUACAAUAACCCUAUUGUCAACUUUCAAGCACUUACAACAGCUAUGAAAAAGGCGUGGAAAAAUGAAAGUGUAGAGGUAAAACCCUUAGAAAAUGGGAAAAUUAGCUUUGCUUUCAAGAAUGAAGGGGAAAAAAACCGAGCAUUAGAGGGAGGUCCUUGGUCGUUUUCAAAUCAUUUAUUAAUAUUAAGAGCAUGGGAACCGGACACUCCUCUACACUAUUAUGAAUUUAAAACAUGUGCAUUUUGGGUCAGAAUUUAUGGGCUCCCACUGGAAUGGAAUUCUGAAAGCAUGAUAAAGAAGAUUGCAAGUUCAAUGGGGAAAGUUCUGGAGGUGAAAACGGAUGCUAGAGGCCUUGCUUUUCAGAAAAUAAGGAAAGCAAAAGUGGAGUUAGAUGUGGAGGCUGAAUUGCGCGUAGGACAACUGAUGCGACAAGGGAAUAAAAAAGUGUGGCUGGACUUCAACUAUGAGAGACUACCAUUUUUCUGCUUCUCUUGUGGCAAGAUAGGCCAUUAUGCAACUAAUUGUAAAGACAUACCUUAUGAGGAGGAGAAAUUCACAACUGAAUUAGGAGGCUGCUUUGGAGGCUGGUUGAAAGCAGAAACCUCUGACCAUAGCUCAUUCUGGAAAGUAUUCUAUGAUGAAGCUUCACCAACACAAAAUGAAGAAGAGGUUGUUCCUGAAACCCCUGUACAACCGGGGCAAACCGAGAUUAGGGAAGCAAACCAACACCUUCCACUUAUUAACAGCCAAAAUCUGCAGCAGGGAAGUAUGGACCAGAUGCUAAUGGAUCAUUACUCUCACACCACAAAUGAGAUAAUGAUGCAAAAUUUAGGGAAAAGAACGCUUCUACUCACUGGUCCGGAGCACAACAACAAUCUUAACAUCCAGACAUCUACUUCAAUCAGCCUCAAAAAGAAAACCAAAAUGCAACCAAAAACCCCCUCUUUCAAGAAACAAAGGAAAACCCAUGUGCAAGCAACACUAACCCCAGCACAGGGUUGGUUAGAUGAAACUCAGCUCCUUGAAACACCCAUACAGAUGACUAAAGAAGUUGAAGCAUGGGCUGUGGUGGCUAGCCCUAAUAAGCCACCAAAUGACCCAUGAAUAUACUGAGCUGGAACUGUCAAGGGUUGGGCACACCUUUGACAUUCGAGAGUUGAGAGCCUUAACGGCUCAAUAUAGGCCCUGUUUGGUUUUUAUUAUGGAAACAAAAAAUAAGGCUGAGUUUGUGCAAAGAAUCAAAAGAAGACUCCAAUUUCAGAGGUGUGUAGUAGUGGAUCCUGUGGGUACGGCGGGAGGAUUGGCCCUUAUGUGGGAUGAUAGGAUUUCAGUAGAUAUUGACACAAUGACUGAAGACUUUGUGAAUUUAAAGUGUGAAGAAGGGAUUUCAGGUAAAACAAUGCGUAUCACCUUUGUUCAUGCUCCAUAUACCUACUCCAGAAGGCUGCAACUUUGGGAGAACUUAUAACAAAUCAGCUCCUCAAAUACUUUGCCAUGGGUUUGCUUGGGGGAUAUUAAUGAAGUGCGGUUCCAUUGGGAAAAAGUAGGGAAGAGGCUGGCUGAAAAUUUCAGAAUGAGUGCUUUUCGGGAUUGCUUGGAUGCAUGCUCUUUCAUGGACAUAGAUAGUAAGGGAUGUGCUUUUACCUGGGCUAAUAACAGAGAUGGGGAAGAAUAUGUGAAAGAAAGACUAGAUAGGGUGUUGUGCACGAUUGAAUGGAGAUUAAUGUACCCUGAAGCUGAGGCUUUUGCCCUACCUACAGUAGGGUCAGAUCAUAGCCCUCUUAUAUUGUCUCUUCAAACAACUCAAGUUAGAAGAAAACGAAACUUUAAAUUUGAGGCGUUUUAGCUUUCGAAUGCUGACUGUAGGGAAGUGGUGUUGGAAUCAUGGCGUAUGCUUAAUCAAAAUCAAACAAAUCUUGCUGGAAAACUUUCUGCUGUUAAGAACGCUCUAUCCAAAUGGAGUAAAGAGACAUUUGUGCAUGGAAAAAAGAGAAUUCAAGUGCUGAAGAAGGAGCUUGAGUGUCUAACAAAUCAUAUUUCAGGUUCUUUCAACAAGGCACAAUUUCAAAAGAUCUAGAAUUGAGUGGCUGAGAUGGGGAGAUCGGAAUACCAAAUACUUUCAUGCAACAACUAUCCAAAGAAGAUAGAGAAACAGGAUUUCUAUGCUACAAACUGAAGAAAAUACAUGGUUGGUUGAGCCAAAUCAGUUAAAAGAACAUACCGUGCAGUUUUUCAGGAAGUUAUACCAGUCAUAUGGUCCCUGGAACUUCGCCCCAGUGGUAGAGUAAAUAUUUGCAGCAGUGACAGAAGAUAUGAAUAGAAGUUUAAUUGCUGAAGUUACUAUAGAAGAAGUUACUAAAGCAGCAUUUGAAUUGGGCGCAACUAAAGCUCCAGGACCAGAUGGUCUUAGUGGUUUGUUUUAUCAGCAUCAUUGGAAAGACAUCAAAGGGGACAUCUUCAAGGAGGUCAAGAACUUUAUGACCAUUGGUUCCCUCUCAACAGCACUCAACAAAACACAUAUCUCCCUCAUUCCAAAGAUUCCAAACCCAGAAAGACUGGACCAAUAUUGUCCCAUCAGUUUAUGCAAUUUCGCAUACAAAAUUAUCUCAAAAGUGCUAGUAAACGGACUCAAACCCAUAAUAUCAAAAAUUAUAGCACCAGAACAAAGCGCAUUUGUGGGCGGGAGACAAAUCCAGGAUAACAUUUUUAUUGUUCAGGAAGUACUUCAUCAGAUUCGAAUCAGGAGCAGGAAAAAGAAAUUCCAGGCUAUUCUUAAACUAGAUAUGAAGAAGGCCUAUGAUCGUGUGGAAUGGGAUUUUUUAUGGGUGGGAUGGAUAAUGAAGUGUGUUACUACGGUCACAUUUAGUGUUCAAUUUAAUGGAGAACCCCUGCAAUUCUUCCAACCCUCAAGAGGACUCAAGCAAGGGGAUCCUUUAUCUCCUUAUCUAUUUAUUAUUGUGGCUAAUGUAUUAUCUUUAUUGAUGAAGCAAGUUGUGGAAGAUGGGAGUGUUAAAGGAAUUAGACUAAACCGAAGUUGUCCUACCUUAUCUCACCUAUUAUUUGCCGAUGAUUCCAUUUUCUUCUUAAAUGGCACUAUUUUAGAAUGUCAAAUCUUGCCAUGAUCCUCAAUCAAUAUUGUUUCGCAGUUGGACAGGAGAUUAAUUUAAAUAAGUCGGGGAUCUUUUUCAGCAAGGGAUGCCCUCAAACAUUAAAAGAUAAUAUGGCAAGAGUAUUGAGAGUCCCUAUUAUUGAAAAAACAGGGAAAUAUUUGGGUAUCCCUUCUAAUUGGGGAGCAUCCAAAAAACAGAUGUUUGCAUGGGUACUUGGGAGAAUUAGUGCCAAACUAGAAAGCUGGAAGGAAAAAUUACUAUCCAUGGCUGGAAAAGAAGUCCUGCUGAAAACGGUAGUACAAGCUCUACCACAGUUUGCAAUGUCGGUGUUUAAAAUCCCGGUCUCUAUAUGUAAGGCUAUUGAACAUAAAAUUGCAGCCUUCUGGUGGAAGAGUAAUGAAAAGAAGGAAGGUAUUCACUGGAGGAAAUGGGAGCUAUUGAAAACUAGAAAAGACAGAGGUGGAAUGGGGUUUAGAGACCUUCUCUCAUUUAAUAAGGCAAUGUUAGGGAAGCAGGUUUGGAGGUUGGGACAGCAGCCCUCUUCUCUUUGGAGUUCACUGUUUAAAGGGCUACAUUAUCCUCAUACAGAUUUUUGGCAUGCAGCAAAGGGUCUUCGACCUUCAUGGGGAUGGAGAAGCUUGAUUUUAGGAAGGGAUUCAAUUGCACUGCAAGUAAUGUGGCAGGUUGGAGAUGGCUCUAGGAUAAAAAUACGGGAAGAUAAAUGGUUGCAACGAGGAAUCAUUGAGGGACCAGUAAACGCAACUGAACCAUCCUUGGUUUCAGAACUCAUCGAUAAAGAACAAGGAAUAUGGAAAGAAACGACAAUAGCAGCACACUUUGAGGACAGCCUAGUUGAAGAAAUCCUAACCAUUCCAAUCAAGCCUCAAACGGAAACAGAUAAAAUGGUAUGGAUUGGAACUUUGGCAGGCAAGUAUACAGUCAAAAGUGGGUAUAAUCACAUCAAGGAGGACACAGAACAAUGUCAGACAAAUCAUGCCACAACGUCAUUUCAGACUCCCCCCGCACUCUGGACAAACAUUUGGAAGCUACACACUCCUUCUAAGGUUAAAAACUUUAUGUGGUGCUUAUGUCAAAAUGCUUUACCGACGAAGGACAAUUUGUUUAGAAGGAACAUAUUACCUGAUCCAAUAUGUCCUCUAUGCAAUCAUGAAAGAGAAAUGGUGGAACAUCUCUUCUUAUUAUGUCCGUGGACAAGACAGGUAUGGAGCGAUCCUGUGAUGAACAUCAAAAUCUCAAGGCAGGGCUUGACAAGAGUGGAAGAUUGGUUUUGCAGACUCAAAGAAAAGGCCACUUACCCUCCAAACUUGCAAUUGGUAGCUGUUGUGUUGUGGUCUAUAUGGAAAGCGCGAAAUCAAGCUAUUUUUCGGGGUAGAGAACCCGAGGGAUCGGCCAUCAUAGAAUCUGCACAAGCAACAUUGAACAGCUAUCAAAAAUGGAAUCCACAGAUGAGUGGCCAUCAAGUAGGAGCAGGUAAUGAAUCUCAAAAUAGAGCAGAUCCAAUAGAGCAAAAUGAGCAGAUUUGGGAGCUAAAACAGAGGCAUGGAGAGUCGGGUCGAGAGCAACGGGCUAUAAAUAAUGAGCGGGGACUCAGAGUAGCGGCUGAGUAGGCAAGUAGAGAAGAUGACUUGAGAACAGACCUGCGAUUUCAACUCAACGGUGCAUGGAGUGGGCGAACUAAACAGCCUCAUGCAGAGGAGGCACCUAGAUGCUAUAGUAGAAACGGAUCUGGUGCAGGGCCCUCUUCGCUAAGAACCUCAACCGCGCAAUACAAUGAGGGAGAUGAGGACAAAACAGAGAGAUCUGCAGACAGGACAUCAAGUGCAGAGCUGCGUCCUUCAAACCGAGGGAAAGGCACCACCGACGAAGACAAAUCGGAGAACCACCUAGUUGAGCCGCGCCUUCGAAUGAGAGGUGAGCGAGGACAGGAGCUCCACGAGAGGGACGCCGAAAAAGGAAGAAGUGCUGAAACCAUAUCCCAGAACACUUGCUGCGAUGUUGAUUGGAAGACCCAUGAAAAUCCCAGAUCUGAAACCCACGAACUCCAAACACCUCAGCCAUGGAUUCCACCACACAAAGGAGUCUUGAAGAUCAAUCUGGAUGGAACGUACGAAUCUGGGAGGUUGGGGAACUCCAUUGCUUGUGUGUGCAGAGAUUCGGGAGGCAGGCUACUUGAAGGAAUCGCUAAAGGGAUCAGAGCUUCCUCUCCACUUAUGGCCGAAACCCUAGCUUUAUGGGAAGCCAUUGACUUUUUUUACCCUAAAAGACACAAAUCCAUUAUCUUUGAGUCAGACAGUUCAACACUUGUCCAAGCCAUGAAUAGUUUGGAUCAGUUCAGUUGGGAAAUUCAACAUAUUAUCAGCAAAUGCAAGGAAAAGCUACGGGCCUUCACACAUUUCCAUAUAGCCCAUUGCUAUAGAGAGGCUAACAUGGUUGCAGAUUAGGUUGCUAAAGCCCAAAAAAAAAAUCACCUACCUUGGAAUUGGGUCUCAUCCACUCCCCAAACUUUAUUAGACUUAUUAUGUAAUGACGCCCUUUUACCGGGCCUCUCUUAUUUACGUCCUUAAUGAAAUUGACGCAUUUCAGACCCAAAAAAAAAAAAAAAAAUUCAUUUCCUGCAAACCAAGCUUUACAUUGAGGAAAGGAUUAGAUUGAAGAACUUGGGUGAAGCUAGGAAAGUCAAAUUCAUCGCCUCUGUGUUGACACCUCAUUUGAGUCGAUAGUUUUAAGUAUUUAUUCUUGUAAAAGUAACCUCCCCCCCCCCCCCCCCAACCAUAAAAAAAGCAAGGGAAUAGCAAAAAGAACUAAAACAAUUAAUAGGCAAACAAAUAAUAAUCAAAUCAUUAAAUAAAAAAGGGAUCUAAUAUGGUCUUGGUCUAUUUUCUAUAGCCCCGAUCAGCUGGCAUGGCCCAGGUCCAAAUUCACGUUGAUCGCAAGAGAAAAAAGAAUGGGAGAAAAAUUGCCCUGGAAGAGAAGCUCCCCGUUCGAGAAGCUUCCGGAUUCUUCCCCCCACCUCCGUUGGACGUCGCCUACCUCCUCCGGCCGUCGGACGGUGCUCACCUCCUCCAGCCGUCGUCGAUCCUCAGUAUCGGGAAGACACUGAUCGAAGAGAAAACCAAUUUUGAGGCACGCACGCUCACCUGAGAGAAAAACACCCGGGCAAGGACGAUCGAGCAAAGGGGGAAAAGCUUGCACCCCCUCAGCACGCUUCUUUAGAGUUUCUUUUUCUUCGGUCAUCCUCAUCCGCCGGUGAUCAUCACGGUUUACCAUCGCCUGGCCUGCCAUCAACUCACGUACGUACUGUAAGAGAACUAGAACAGAAGGCAACGGUUGAAAUCACUCUGGAGGUUUUUGGAAGCGUCCAGAAGACACUCUCUUUCAGUGAUUUCUUCUGAAUCCUUUCCUGCCUCUUCGUUGUCGAUCGUGUUUUUGGCCGUGAAGACUUGAAGCUGUUUUUCUGAAAACUUCAUUACUGUUGCUCAUCCUCACCAGCGACAUUUUCCGGAUCCUCCUCAACUAAAAAUCCCAAAUGACUUUUGGGGCCUAGAUCCCCAAAGUACAAGUUUGACCCAUAUGCGAACCGGAUUCAUAGGCCCAGCCCACACCCCUUUGGCGAGGGCUGGAUGAGGCCGCCCCUCAUCAAAUUAGACUAGGAGCCCUUACCAGCGGCUAGCGAAGGAAAGAGAAAGAAAAGAAGCAAAAGAGAAGGAAAAGAAAAAGAAAAUAUUUAAAAAAAAAAAUUCAAAAAGUAUUUAAAAUUUUAAAAAAUAUUCACAUCAACGCCAAUUUUGUAACAUUAGAUGGUCGACGUUUAUGCCAGCAAUUUUUUUUUUUAUUUAUUAAAAUUGACUAGAUUGACUCAAUUAAUACCAAAGUGAAAAAAUUUAGGAUUAAAUUGGUCAAUUGAUAUGUUUAAGACUCAAUUGACAUCAAUGCUAUAAUAUUUUUUUUUUUUUGGUACUUGUCUCGUUCACAGUUUGUAUUGAUCAAUGGUUAGGCUGUUCAAGGGCCGCUGCUCCUCUCAUUGCAUUAUAUUCCACACACAAACACGAAAGACAGUGAAAUAAUUGUUUUCAGCAUAAGUGGAUGACUGAAUUUUUAUAGGUUGAUAUGGUGAUACAUCAUUGGCGUCAUGUGCCUAAUUAUUUGAUGAUGUUGCUUACUCACUGGAUUGACAUUCAAAGUUCUAAGUUUACCUAGAAAGACGACAUUCUCAUUUCUAUGAAUGCCUUACGAAGCUUUUGAAAUAAUCGGACAGGAAGGAUCUCACAUCACCCAUGACUCUUGCUCUUAAUAGAUGCUGAAAAUGUUACGGCGCUUUCUGUGGUUUUGCGGAACUAUGCCAAGAAAGAGAGAUGCAUAAAAGUUAGAAGACAAAGUCCCAAUUCAGCGGCAACUUCAAGUAAAAAACUAAACAUCACAUUCUUUGACAAAACUCCAGGGGCGUGCAAACCUUCAUCUUGAGUAUGGCAAUGGAGCAGGUGAUCAAUCCAACAAUGGACGUUGACAGGUUUUACAUCGUACAGAUGACAUGAAAGUGCUCGAAUCUAUGGCUGACAAAGCAAGAAAGAAAAUUUCCCUGUGCACAAGGUCACGGGACCGUAAAACCGGCCCAACUCAUUAGCUUGUCUAGCGACCAAUCGAUGAGCCUCCAAAGGAAAUCAGCCCAUUGCAACGCACACUUAACCAAAAGCCUCUGGAAGUACCUCUUGGGAGAGCUACGUAGCGCCCACGAAUGAGCCUCGUGGUCGGGGAGUUCAUAGGCGAAGAAAAAAGCCAAGAACCAUCCACACCACAUAUGAAAAAUCAUUCCUUCCCCGAUAGUCUCGGUGGGUUUGACCGAUAUAGUAGCCGCCCCGAGAGGAUAGGCUAGCGUGAUCCCGCAUGACGCAACAUAAAUUAAACAUCCCACGGACGAGAUGCGUCUCAGCUCUUGACGAUGGCUGUGCGUAGAACCUAGACAAAUAAAGAGUAUUGCCAUCAUGGAUAAAGUGAACGCCACACCGUUACAUAGCAUAAAGCCUUUGAAAGAUCCCCUGCCAGCAUGAAUCGCAACUCCAUCAUUGUUAUAACCUCCGGGCACUGUGAGAAGGCCGUGUUGGAAAUUUCCUAUAAUAUGGGCUUACAUUAAUUAAUUGAUUUUCUAUUUUAAAUAAUCGGGUUAAUGGAUAUUUCAAUAUUUGUUAAACCCUAAAGUGAUCUGAUUGAAUUGGGUAUUGGCAUUCAUUGUUAACGGGCCUAGUUGAGCAGCAAAGUGUAAGCAAUUGUGUUUGACUGAAGCCUGUAAUGGAAAGGGCCCAGUUGACAAGCUAUUGAUUAGGGUUUGCUAGGUCCCCUCUCUAGCCUAUAAAAGGUAGGUUAUACCUAUCAGUUGCUUUAAUCCCAUUGAAAGUUGCUAUAUCAAAAUAAGUCAUAGAGAGGAAGAUCUGGUAUUGCAAUAGAUCCCUGAUUAUCAGAGUGAUCUAGUUUUCUUAAAGUAAAGCAAUGGCUCAAACAGGUACGCUUUAAUUCCGUUGUAUUUAUUGAUCUUGGUGUUUUACAAUCAUGUAUGAAUCCGUUUGUUCUUAAUUGAUUAAAUAAUAUUCUACAUGUGGUAUCAGAGCAGAUCGUAUAUGAUUGUAGAACCCAAAUUUUCUUUUUAUGGAAAAAUUUGAAACCCUCCUUUUUGAGCCGAAUAUGGGCAUUAUUUUUUCGUAUAGAUUUUUUGCUUGAUUAAUCCUAUAACCAUAGGGCUUUUGUUCUACAUGUUGAGAUCUUUCCAACCAUAUAUAAUUUGCAUAAUUUCAUUGAGAAUUGAGAGAGAAUUUUAGAUUUGAAAUUCUAGGGUUUAUACGUGAAAAAGUUCUAGAAUUUGCAAAUUACUUGCAAUUGAUUGAUGUAUGAUGUAAACCGUUGCAUGGGUAUUGUUAUAUAUUUGUUUUAGUAUCUUUUGUUGUAUUGAAUUGAGUUUUUAGGGUUUAAAUUUAGGAAAUUCGAAAUUCGGACAUGGGAGCUUUAGAUCCGAAACUUUGAGGCUUGUAUGUGGUAGAUUCACUUGGUUUUUCUUCAUUUAAUUCAUUGUAGUUAAUUAUAUUGAUGUUUUAUGCAAGUACCAUGGAGAAAUUUCACCAAAAACCAUGUUAAUUUGUGCCUUUGGAGCUUCGGGUUGAAACCGGGUCAUGCGACCCGGUUUUCUGCAAAUUCAUGACCCGGCUGGAGGUUGAAGAAGACCUCUAGCCGAGCUGGGCCAUCGAAUUGGGCUCACGUCCAUUAUAAAAAAAAAAAAAAAAGGUUCUCGGCGUAAGCCCAGAACCAUAAACAAAUUAAAAGGUUCUGGGCUCACGCCCAUGAACCAAAGUAAAGAGGUUCUGGGCGUGAACCCAGAACCAAAAAAUAAAUGGGACCAUAAACAAAUUAAAAGGUUCUGGGCUCACGCCCAUGAACCAAAGUAAAGAGGUUCUGGGCGUGAACCCAGAACCAAAAAAUAAAUGGGUUUGGCCCAUUUUUUGUUUUAAUUCGUGGCCCACCCGCAUGGUUUGUGUGCGGGCCAGGCGCACGUAUGACACGUGGGUCUGGCCCGCGGUCUGAUAAGGGCUGCUUGCGGGUCCUGGGCCCACGGGAGUCCGAAAUAUUUAAAUAAUAUUAUAAUAAUAUUAUAAUAAAAAUUUUAAAAAUUUUAAAAAAUUUUAAAAAAUUAAAAAAAAAGUGGCAAAAAAUUGUUGUUUGAAAAUGUGCAAUAUGAUCUUUGGAAACACAUGUUGUGAAGUGUUUCAUAUUGUUUGAUGAAUUUUGGGCAUAAAUUUUGGAGUUCCCUAUUGAUAAAAGAUUAAUAUACACAAUUACUCACCCAAAGGGAGUUAUUGUGUAUAUUAAUUUGGAAAAAUAACAUGAAAUUUAUACACAUAUUUAAAAGAUGGGGAUGUAUAAUUGAAAAAUAUUUCUCUGCCCAAAGGGUAAAUGUUUUGAAAAUUAUAUGUAAUUCCCCUCUAUGUUGAUAUUAUGGAGAUGUAUGAUUUAAAGGAUUUGUCUGUCCAAAGGGGAUGGAUCCUUAACAAUUAUAUGUAAUUCUCCUGUUGUUGCUUUAUAAAUUUUAUGCUGGGAAAAAUAAUUGUGCAUUAUACACUCUGCCCAAAUGGGAGUUUAUGAUGUACUAAUUAUUUUUGUUGAGUGCCAUAAUUGAUCUUAUUGCAUCAUGUGUGUCAAACAGUUACCUUUCCUGUAAAUAACAACAAUGCCACGGUUGAAAUAUUAACUGGAUCGAACUUCAAGAGAUGGAAGCAAGAUAUAGAGUUUGCUUUGGGCAUCAUUGAUAUGGACUUGGCUCUACGUGAGGAUGAACCUACCAGGCCCAAUGAUCAAAGUACUGCAGAUCAAAAGGCCCAUUAUGCUCGAUGGGAAAAAUCUAAUCGACUGAGCCUCAUUGCUAUGAAGAGGUCUAUUGCUGAGCAUUUGAUUAGUGGUUUGCCUGAAGAUACGAAUGCCAGACAAUUCCUUGAAGCAGUGGGAGAAAGAUAUAGAGUCUCAAAUAAGGCUGAAGCUGGGAACUUGCUGAGUGAGUUAACGAACAUGAGGUAUGAUGCUGCUAUGGGUGAGAGAAUUUAUACUGAAGAUGGUCCACAUUCAGUCCAAACUUAAGGCCCAUGAAAUUGUUCUUUCUGAAAAUUAUAUUGUGCAUCAAGCCUUAAAUGUUUUGCCAGCUGAAUUUAGCCAGAUUAAGACUGCUUAUAAUGCUCAAAAUGAGACAUGGAGUGUUAAUGCCUUGAUUACUAAGUGUGUGACUGAGGAAGAGAAAUUAAAGAAGGAAAAGUAUGAGUCUGCCCACUUAACUACCAAUGCCAAGUUGAGUUCAUAUAGAGGCAAAUGGAAGCCUAAGGGGUCAAAUGCUCAUGGCCCAAAGAAAUGGCAAGACUUUAGGAAAAAUGAGAACUAUGUGAGGAAUGGAGAUAAGGAUUUUAAAUGUUUUCACUGCAAGAAGCAGGGUCACAAGAGAGCCAAUUGCUACAAAUUUCGAGCUUGGCUAAAAACAAGAAAAGAAAGUCACCAAGGUGAGUUGUUGGUUUGUUUUGAAUCAAAUUUGGUUGAUGUUCCUUUGGAUUCUUGGUGGCUUGAUUCUGGUGCUACUGUUCAUGUGACUACUACCUUACAGGGUCUCACAAAUCUAAGGAGUCCAAGUCUAAGGGAGUCAAAGCUUAAAGUUGGAAACAAUACUGGAGUUGAUGUGGAGCGUAUAGGGACAGUUGUUUUGAAUUUAGAUUCUGGUUUUCAGCUUGUCUUAAACAAUGUCUUUUAUGUUCCUAAUUUUAGGAGAAACUUAGUAUCUCUUUCUUCACUUGACAAAGCUAGAUAUUGUUUUCAUUUUGCGAAUAAAAGAGUGGAUUUGAGUUAUGAUUCCAGAAUUAUUGGGAAUUGUGUUUUGUUUGAUGGAUUAUAUCGAUUAUCCUUAUCUCCCGAUAGACCAUAUUGCUCUUUCAAUGUCGAGAAUGUUGUUGCUAAGAGAUCUUUGAUUAAAGAUAGAUCUUCAUUGCUAUGGCAUAAGCGAUUGGGGCAUAUCUCAAAAGAACGGGUAAAACGACUUAUCAUGGCUGAUAUUCUCCCUCCUCUUGACUCAGAUGAUAUUGAGACUUGUAUUGAUUGUGUAAGGGGAAAAUUAACUAAAACAAAGAAGAAAGGUGCUACUUGUAGUCAAAGUCUAUUGGAGAUAAUUCAUACUGAUAUUAGUGGGCCAUAUUCAACCACCUUGUGUGGAAAUAAAUACUUCAUCACGUUCAUUGACGAUUUCUCCCGUUAUUGUUAUAUUUAUCUAAUUAAGGAGAAGACUGAUGCUCUUGACAUAUUUAAAGUGUUUCGUAUUGAAGUUGAGAAACAAUUAGGAAAAAUUAUCAAAAUUGUCAGAUCUAAUCGUGGUGGUGAGUAUUAUGGGCGAUAUACUGAGGUUGGACAACAAAAGGGACCGUUUGCAAAAUAUUUGCAGGACUGUGGUAUUGUUGCUCAAUAUACAAUGCCUGGGAGUCUUGAGCAAAAUGUGUAGCUGAACGGCGAAAUCGCACACUCAUGGAGAUGAAACGAAGUAUGAUGGGCAGUUCUAAUUUGCCUGAAUACUUAUGGGGUGAUGCGAUUAAAACGGCAACUUAUAUAUUGAAUCCUGUACCUAGUAAAUCGGUGCCGAAAACACCUUUUGAAUUGUGGAUGGGAGGAAACCUAGCUUGAAUCAUUUUCGAGUUUGGGGUUGUCCUGCAGAGGUGAAAAUUUAUGAUCCUUCUCAGAAGAAGACCGAGUCCAGGACUACUAGAUGUUAUUUUAUUGGAUAUCCUGAUCAUUCUAAAGGGUAUAGAUUUUAUUGUUCUGCUCGAGGCACUAGAAUCGUUGAAUCUCAAACUACCAAAUUCCUGGAAUUAGAUGUUGCUGAAAAGAAUUCUUCUCAAUCUUUUGAAAUGGAAGAACCAAAUAAAACGGUCUCUAUUCCAUUGCCUAUAUUACAUGAUGAUUCUAUGCGAGAUCCUUGUCGCGACCUCUUUUUUUUGGCGCUCACAAUUAGGUGCGAGCGCCUAAGGAGGCUAAUGGCUCAGCUGAAAUUAAUUAUGCCCGAACUCUCCCAAGUCCACAAAUUCAUGACUUUAAUAGUUUGAGUUUUUAACCUAUGGAGUGGGUCGAUUAGAAACCCAAGUGAAGUAUCGGGAGAAAUACUUGCUCCUGAGCAACUAGAGAAAUUAGGAUCAGAGACUUGAUUACACUAGUUAAUCACUAAUGCCCUUUCGGUACCUAAUCUUGUUUAAACCCUAAGGCUUUUUUGGAUGUUAGAGAGAUUUUCCAUGCAUUUUUGGGAGGAAAAACAUUUUUUUGAGUCAUUUUCUAAUUUUUUGACGCAAAAGGGAUUUUUUGGGAUUUUUUUUUGGAAAAACACAAGUCUUUUUGGCUUUUCUGAAUUUUUUUUGGCUUUUUCAUGAAUUUUUGGCUUUUUUUUGGAUUUUUGGCAUAUUUUUUAUUUUUUUUGGAAAAUAAAAUAUUUUUUUAAUAUUUUUCAAAAUAUUUUUGGAAAAUAAAUUAUUUUUGAUUUUUCUCGAUUUUUUAGAAAAUAAAACAUUUUUCGACAUUUUUUUAAAUAUUUUUCGAUUUUCUGGAAAUUAAAAAAAAAUUUAAUAUUUUUUUGAAAAUAAAACACUUUUUGAUUUUUUUAAAUAAAAUAUUUAUUUGAAUUAUUUUAUAUUAAAAUAACAAAAUAAAACCGACCCGGGUCGGAUCCACGGGUCGGGUCCAACCUGGGUUGGCGACCCAAACGCGGACAAGCCCGCAUUGCGGGCCCGACUCGGAUUUUUCAUCUUUUUUUUUUAAAUUUUAUUAAAACGAUGCUGUGGUCGGGCGUUUGGGGAUGCUCGGCCCGGCCCGACGACCCAGAUCCAUUGACCCGCUCCGCGACCCGGCUCCCUGCGAACCCUACCCGACCCGGAUCCGAAUCGCGACCCGACUCCUGCCGCCCCCCGAAUCUCGCGAAACCUACCCGGUUCCGAGACCCGGAUCCGACUCGGCGACCUGGAAAAUCGCAAACCCUAGGGUUUGCGAAUCCGUGGCGCCGAGGGGGGGACCAAGGUGCUUAGCGGCGGCGGCGACUACAGCGGCGACGACGAAGGCAACAACGGCGAUGGCAACGCUAACGGCGGCGCUCUUUUUUUUUACCUUCUCUCGAACGAGGACGGCGACGGUAACAAUGCCAGAUCGAAGGCAGCAGCGGCGGAGGCGCUCGGCAGCACGGCGGGGUUUUGCACAGCAGCGGCGUCGGGGGGUGUGACGGGGACGGCACGGCUCAAUGAUGGUGACGGAACCCUGCUCUUCGAAGUUCACUCAGAUUUGGACGACGUCGGGGAAAGCGGCGGCGGCGAGGUGUGAGGACGUCGGCACGGCAAGAUCUGGGGCAGUAGCAGCGUCGGGGCGGGGAACAGCAACGACAGAGCAGUGGUUGCAGGUGGUGGAGAGCUUCCGGCUUCCUAAAUCUGGCCCUCCCUCCUCCGGCUGACCUCGUUCAACCCUUAUUUCACAAAUCCAGGUGCUCGGAUCUACCUUCCUUGGGCUCAAUCUUCUCUCACUCAGGCCAGAUCCGAGCCUCCACCAGCCGGAUCUGACCUUCUCGAAGUCGCUUGCGGUCGGCCUUCCCCGAAGUCUCUCGGUGGAAGGUGGGCUGAGUUUGCAACUCGAGUUCUCUCCCGCGCUUGCCCUUCAAUCCUUCCCGAUGUCUCUCAGUGAAGGAUCUCCGAGCUCGCCCGUGCCGUUCUUCGAUGAAGGUGGUGCCCUUUUAUAGGCGAGGGAAUCCAAUCGACGGAGCUUCGACCGCCGGUCCCCUUCGUGCGCCGAGCGGUUCUCCUCGGCUGAACCGGCGUCCCAUCCGAGCUCAUCCAGCGAAGCAUGCUCGGCAUUGAUGGCGCUCGUGAUCUUAUCUCUCCGGCUGACGUCGGCCUACUCCCCUCGGCCGUAGGCCGUCCUUUGCGCUCGUCAUCGUCUUCUGCGCGUGAACUACAGNNNNNNNNNNNNNNNNNNNNNNNNNNNNNNNNNNNNNNNNNNNNNNNNNNNNNNNNNNNNNNNNNNNNNNNNNNNNNNNNNNNNNNNNNNNNNNNNNNNNNNNNNNNNNNNNNNNNNNNNNNNNNNNNNNNNNNNNNNNNNNNNNNNNNNNNNNNNNNNNNNNNNNNNNNNNNNNNNNNNNNNNNNNNNNNNNNNNNNNNNNNNNNNNNNNNNNNNNNNNNNNNNNNNNNNNNNNNNNNNNNNNNNNNNNNNNNNNNNNNNNNNNNNNNNNNNNNNNNNNNNNNNNNNNNNNNNNNNNNNNNNNNNNNNNNNNNNNNNNNNNNNNNNNNNNNNNNNNNNNNNNNNNNNNNNNNNNNNNNNNNNNNNNNNNNNNNNNNNNNNNNNNNNNNNNNNNNNNNNNNNNNNNNNNNNNNNNNNNNNNNNNNNNNNNNNNNNNNNNNNNNNNNNNNNNNNNNNNNNNNNNNNNNNNNNNNNNNNNNNNNNNNNNNNNNNNNNNNNNNNNNNNNNNNNNNNNNNNNNNNNNNNNNNNNNNNNNNNNNNNNNNNNNNNNNNNNNNNNNNNNNNNNNNNNNNNNNNNNNNNNNNNNNNNNNNNNNNNNNNNNNNNNNNNNNNNNNNNNNNNNNNNNNNNNNNNNNNNNNNNNNNNNNNNNNNNNNNNNNNNNNNNNNNNNNNNNNNNNNNNNNNNNNNNNNNNNNNNNNNNNNNNNNNNNNNNNNNNNNNNNNNNNNNNNNNNNNNNNNNNNNNNNNNNNNNNNNNNNNNNNNNNNNNNNNNNNNNNNNNNNNNNNNNNNNNNNNNNNNNNNNNNNNNNNNNNNNNNNNNNNNNNNNNNNNNNNNNNNNNNNNNNNNNNNNNNNNNNNNNNNNNNNNNNNNNNNNNNNNNNNNNNNNNNNNNNNNNNNNNNNNNNNNNNNNNNNNNNNNNNNNNNNNNNNNNNNNNNNNNNNNNNNNNNNNNNNNNNNNNNNNNNNNNNNNNNNNNNNNNNNNNNNNNNNNNNNNNNNNNNNNNNNNNNNNNNNNNNNNNNNNNNNNNNNNNNNNNNNNNNNNNNNNNNNNNNNNNNNNNNNNNNNNNNNNNNNNNNNNNNNNNNNNNNNNNNNNNNNNNNNNNNNNNNNNNNNNNNNNNNNNNNNNNNNNNNNNNNNNNNNNNNNNNNNNNNNNNNNNNNNNNNNNNNNNNNNNNNNNNNNNNNNNNNNNNNNNNNNNNNNNNNNNNNNNNNNNNNNNNNNNNNNNNNNNNNNNNNNNNNNNNNNNNNNNNNNNNNNNNNNNNNNNNNNNNNNNNNNNNNNNNNNNNNNNNNNNNNNNNNNNNNNNNNNNNNNNNNNNNNNNNNNNNNNNNNNNNNNNNNNNNNNNNNNNNNNNNNNNNNNNNNNNNNNNNNNNNNNNNNNNNNNNNNNNNNNNNNNNNNNNNNNNNNNNNNNNNNNNNNNNNNNNNNNNNNNNNNNNNNNNNNNNNNNNNNNNNNNNNNNNNNNNNNNNNNNNNNNNNNNNNNNNNNNNNNNNNNNNNNNNNNNNNNNNNNNNNNNNNNNNNNNNNNNNNNNNNNNNNNNNNNNNNNNNNNNNNNNNNNNNNNNNNNNNNNNNNNNNNNNNNNNNNNNNNNNNNNNNNNNNNNNNNNNNNNNNNNNNNNNNNNNNNNNNNNNNNNNNNNNNNNNNNNNNNNNNNNNNNNNNNNNNNNNNNNNNNNNNNNNNNNNNNNNNNNNNNNNNNNNNNNNNNNNNNNNNNNNNNNNNNNNNNNNNNNNNNNNNNNNNNNNNNNNNNNNNNNNNNNNNNNNNNNNNNNNNNNNNNNNNNNNNNNNNNNNNNNNNNNNNNNNNNNNNNNNNNNNNNNNNNNNNNNNNNNNNNNNNNNNNNNNNNNNNNNNNNNNNNNNNNNNNNNNNNNNNNNNNNNNNNNNNNNNNNNNNNNNNNNNNNNNNNNNNNNNNNNNNNNNNNNNNNNNNNNNNNNNNNNNNNNNNNNNNNNNNNNNNNNNNNNNNNNNNNNNNNNNNNNNNNNNNNNNNNNNNNNNNNNNNNNNNNNNNNNNNNNNNNNNNNCACUUAAAAGGGUUGGAACACCUGGAUAGCCACAGGUGUACAAAGUACUGGGAUACUUGGAUGAACACAAGUAUUUAAUGAUACAACCUGGGACCACUCAGUUGGUCCAAGUGUAAGAAAGCAUACCUAGGUAGGCGCAAGCACACAAAGCAGUGGAAUGCUUGAACAGCAGCUAUUAUUUGGGGACAACUCACGCAAGUUGAGUGUCAUGAAAAGGAAGUACCUAGACAAGGGUGGGUACUUGAUGAUAUGGGGAUACCUAGAUAGCAGUAGGUAUUCCAAGAGAUACUUGGUCAGUCACAAGUAUCAAUACUCUGGGGACAACUCGUACAGGUCGAGUGUCAGAAAAAGGGAGUAUCCAAAUGGUGACCGGUACUCAAAGACAAUAGGGAUACCUAGACAGCAGUAGAUAUUCAAGGAUAAAGGGAUACUUGGUCAGUCACAAGUAUCAAUACUCUGAGGACAACUCGAAUAGGUCGAGUGUUAAGAAAAAGGAGUAUCCGGAGGGUAGCCGAUACUCAAAGACAAUGGGAUGCUAAGACAGUUGCAAGCAUCGAAACUCAAGAGACAAUUCGAAUAGGUCGAGUGUCAAGAAGAGAGUACCCGGACAGUGAUAGGUACUUUAAGACAAAUGGGGAUAGAGAUAUGCUUACUUGGCAAUAUCUCUGAUCUCUAAGAGUAUGUCUGCUAUUUGCAUAGUAUGCACACAUGAUUGUAUAUGUUGUAAAUUCAUGAGUUCAAAUGAGAUUCAUGCAGGAUAAUUUUGUUAAUUUUGCAUCAUAUGAUUUCCACUGGGGAAGAUUUUGAAAGACAACCCUCAUUUAGAAUGUAGAUGUCUUGAGCAUGCCAGAUGAGGGACUUUAAGUCUGGAAAGACUUUCCGCUCACUCUCAUGGAAAAGGCUAUCCUGACCAUUGAUGUAGGAUUCAUAAGGACCACACUAUCUCACUGUCAUCAUGUCAGUAGGGGUCUGAGUAUUCUCGCAAGUGGUACAACUUUACCAAUGUGAGAGGUCUUUGUCGAAAUUGUGAUGAAGACUUGGUCAACGGCUCAUCAAAUGGGACCGUCAAGGUUAAGGCUUAUGAACAAAGUGCCACACGAUCAUCUCCGAGUUUGCAAGUCAAGAAUCCUGCGAAAAGAGAUAGAGUAAUCUUGCUUGUACUUCUUCGAGCGAUGCUUAUGAACAUAUGAAAUCCUACAUUAAUUGAAGUGCCCUUAGUCUGAAGAGACUUUUACAAUGGGAUAUAAUGUAGGCUUGAUUCAUGUGUGAAAAGGUAGAGCUGGUGAUUGCCUUGACAUUUGUCACCAGUCUUUCUUCUCAUUGUCAAAUGGAGGUUCUAUGGACCACAACAGCAACUUUUUCUUGGCUGUAUUUUUGACUGGGGGGCAUUGGCCUUGCUUUUACCGUGCACACUGCUUUUUCCAUGUCCUUAUUUUUAUUCCAGUUCUUCAUUUAUGGGCAUUUACCUUGCUUUUACUAGGUACAUUGAUUUUUUAUGCCCAUGUUUUUUCAUUCUUGUCGUUGGAGGAACUGGCCUAGGCAAGUUCAAUCGAAGCAUCGUUAUUAGACUCUUGAGUCUUCAUCUUCAGUAGGUGCUUUGGGCUAUGCUGCUUAAAUGGUAGUAACUUCUGUUUUGUCUCAAUGUGAGGGUAAAAUUACAAACUCACUUAGGUUGUACAAUGAAUACAAGUGCAUAGAGAAAGAAAUGCUCUUCGUCAAGAAAUGCUCUUCGUCAUUCUAGGGCACUUAAAUUAAUGUGAGUGUUCAUAUGCAAUAAAGACAUCCAAAGAUUGAUGCAAGUGCGAGCAAGAAAAUUUUUAUCUCUCUUCUCACCUUGUGAUGCUGCUUCGCUUCUAAUCUGCCCCGGUGUAGGGGUUGUUCUUGAUGGGUGUAUGAGAGAAGCUUCACCAAUGUAUGGGGCUCAAUGGGGUGAGUGAUGGAAUGCCUCUCACUAUUUUGGUUAUCAUACCAUUCGCAAGAGAACUCUUUACCUUGCAGCCAUGGAAUCUUCUGCACUCAUCUCACAAGUGUAUAGAUGGGGGACUGUGUAUAGGAUAUGGCUUGCCUUUCAUCAUUCUGACACGCCUCAUCCAACAUGCUCAAUUAAUCUUGUAUUCCUCACUUAGCUGUCUAUUUUAAUAAUCCUUAGUGGAAUCAGUGACUUAGACAGGCAAAAUCAUUAUGCAGAAUUCAUCUGGAAAUGACAUGCAACAUUUCAAAUAUGAUGGAGUUUGAACUCUUCAAAACAAGUGAAUGGUUUUGACUCAAAAAAGACCCAAUUGACAACUUUAGGGGCUAACAUAAUGGUAUUUCCAAAUACAUUAGAUUUUGAACAUCAAAAGGGUUAUUCGCAAAUGGGUGUCGAUAGUUGUCCUUAUUGGUUAGGGAUAUGACACAUGAAGGAUCAGCCAGGGUUGGGAAUCUGAUCGAGCCUCUUUGCUUUUGCCCCUGCAGAAGAGAAGAUGUACAAGUAGAUCAAUUAGUCUGGCCAAAAUUAAAUGUGGGUUGAGGCUUGAAGAUUUUCUGUCAUUUGCUUUGGUGAUUACUGAAGACGCCAUUUCAUUUAGGAGAGUUUGUCAUGCCUCUCAUUGAUUAUUAUCCUUGUCAAGUGAUCCUGCAACAAGACAUGCUUCUCGUUGAUUUGUUAUCCUUGCUUUUGACAGUCAGGUGAUCCUGCAACAAACAAGAGGGAAUGUGUUAGUCAUGAACUCUUUCAAGAGUCGAAUAACUGGAAUCGAUACAACUUUACCCUUCAUUGGCUUGUAGAUGAUUGGGUGAACCUGAAGUGAGAAGGGGGACACGAAGUCCUAUGUCCCUUGUUUCAUUAGGUCAAUUAUUCUCUGAAUUAGCUCCUGGAUAUCAUGUCUUUUUACACGAAGCUAGGUAAAUUUGAUGUAGGUCAUUUCCAUGUACUAGCUUGGCCAAUAUUGAUUUGCCUAACCAUCAAAUUUGGCUCUUGAAUCCUAGCGCUUCCUGCCAAUAGGGGAAAUAUGUCAAAAGUGAAUUCAAAGAGGGGGGAGUAUUGGAAACGAUACCAAAUUAUUCUUCCCCAAAGUUUGUAUUUUGCUAACUCCUGAUGAUGUUUGAAUGUCGAUGACAGCCUUUUCGUCUUGGCAUAGUUUGACAUUUCUUUCGAUUGGCCUUCCUCACUUGUGACCAUGUAUGCAUGAUUGUUGGUCGUUGAUUCAUCUUCGACGCUUUCCUUAUGUGGAAUUUCUCCUCCUGUCUUUAACUAUAGCAUCAUGGGGCAAAAGUCAUGUACCUCAAGCUUCUAUGGAAUCUGAGAUCAAAAGUCUCAAGCUUUCUAAUGGCAAUUACUCCUCAGAAGAAUACACGUCUGGAGUGAAGUUUCUAGAUUCCAACAUCAUUUUCCAGGGUGUGGGGCUAUAGGUCGCUUUGACUGUCUAGAUUUUCUCCCUGUUGACAGUAAUCACUUUAAAGGAAGAGAAGCAAAUCCUUCUUUGUGCUUCUUGGCUCGUUGAAGCUGGAAGUCCUGUCAAUGAACUUGGGACAUCCUGCCUUGAGCUAUCAUGCUAUGCAUGCUUCAAGUUUGAUAAUAUGCCUGUGCCUAUUACAUCCCAUCCUUCGUUUCCUGUAGAUGGAAGAGAGAGGAUGUCAUUUUCGACAUUAUGUUCAGGGAAUAGGACUUACCAUUUUGAAACGUGAUGAUCCUUUAUGUUUGCCCCUACUUUCUUGGGAGGGUGUCAUUGAAUUCGAUGAGUUCACAUAAUGUGCUUGCUUCAAAUGCCCCCUGUCACACUAAGUCAAAGGGGACGGGAAUGAUUUUCUGAGACAUGAAGUGAGUGAGUCAAAAAGACAAACAUGAUUAAAUUUAUCAUCUUUUUUUGAAAUAUUUUGGUGAUGAAGUGUUUUUUGUUUUCAAAAUAUGUAUUCGGGGGAGAAAAAGCAUGGUUGGAUAGCACCAUCAGGCUGGUUUGGAGUACCGCCUCAUGCUCUUAAAACAAAAUAUUAUAACUACACAAUAGAGUACUUGGAAUGGAAUAUACAACCGUAGCACACUAGAUAAGAUAAGAAACAUGAAAUUAUAAAAACAAGUAAAACCCAUGAAAACUCCUAUGUAAAGGAGUGCUUUGAUAGUGUUGGUUCUAAAAUCAAGCGCCUUUGAGUUCCUCGCCUCCAGUAGACUCGAAGUAUUCACAUGAGAGGACCACUUCAUUGAAGCUAUGGAAAUGCAACCCAUACAACCAACAACGAUACUUGCGAGGUAAAGCCCGUAUGAAUAGCUUUAUCAGCUUUAUCAUCUCUUCUUCAACCAACUGAGGGUAAGUUUGCAUCAUAAAAGCCUCCCACCUUCUUGCAUAUGCUCGGAAAUCCUCCAUUGGUCUUUUUCUGAAGUGAACUAAGUUCUGACAAGGCACUUCAGUUCCAAUCUGGCGUUGAUACUGAAGCAGGAAUGCAGAAGACAGCUCAUUCCAAUCUCUCAUGAGGUAGAUAUCUACUGUGAUGAACCAUUGUAAUACAGAUCUCGUAAGACUCUCUUGGAAGGCCUGAGUUGUGAAUGACAUCGGGCCAUAGUACCGACUCAUUUCAGCAUGGAGGUACUGCAAGUGGACCACGGGGCAAGUCGUGCCGUUAUACUUGCGAAGAUUAGGUAUCCACAUCUCUCCAUGGGUCAUGAUCCUAUGAGUGCAAGACGAGUUUGAUGUAUCCUGGUUAGGCCACUGGUUUUUCCAUUGCAUAUCUGUUGUAGUGGUGAAUUUUUCUGUUUCAGGGAAGUUGGAUUCUAUCCAGAUUACCCCAUUGCUUUCUUCUUGGUCAAAAUUUCCAAAUGAGGAUAAAAUAUUGAAGCUAUCCUCAUGGUCAGAGGACAAGCUUAGUACUUCGUUAGGAUCAUAGCGGAUAAAGACGUAUGCUUCCUCUUCUGACGGGCCUUCAUCCCUGGAUGAGAGUAGGAAACAGUUAUAUGAUGAAUCGUCAGUUCAUUGUUAAAAUAACGCUGGAAGUCCUUGGGGUCGUAUUCUAUAGCCUUCAAAGCUGUAUUCUUGGGAAUGCUUGAAGCCUUGGUGCGGUGGCUCGUCAGCAGGUGCUGUAUUGAUUUGCUUAGGCUUUCUUUUCUUGACCUUUAGUCCAGACCUUUUGAGUAAGGCCCUUCAUUUUGCCAGCUCGAUUCUAUCAAGGGAAGUGAGAGACAUUAGAGUUUUACUGUCUGAUUCGCUUUCCAGGUUGAUAAGGGUCGGUAUUUUUUUUGACCCUAGCUCUUGGAGUAAGCUUGGGGAGUCGUCCAGUUGUGCCCCGGUCUUGAACAUGCUCUGUGUCUUUGAUCUCGUACAAAGGCUCCUUGCCUUUCCUAGUGGGAAAUUUUCCAAUAACAGGGUGUUGUUCAGCUGCCCAUUUAUCAUGCAAGGCUUUAUUGACAUGUUCUUCUCCUAACUCAGCAACUAACGGUUCCUCGUGCUUUGCGAUCAUCAGCUCUUCAUAAGGCAAGGCUAUGUCAGGGCUGAUGUUAAUAUCAUAUUCUUGGUGAAAAACAUGAAUUAGUUGCCUCUAGGUUUUAAGGAGACUAAUCUUCCUGACAACGUACCAUCGCAAGGUAGGGGCGGUCAAGCUCGAUUGGUUCGAUUGAAUCAUCCUUCAGAUUAGGUAGGCCUGCAAGUAGGUCUCUGGGUGGGAGGUAUCAACGUUCCUUUCACAUUCAGGUGCUUUGAGCUCUUCAGGAAUCUCAAUGCCGGCGUAAAUGGACAGGUCCAUGGGAUUCUGCUCCUGCAGCUAGCUUAACUUUUUCAUGAUCUUUUCAAACUGUCUAUGGUACUGGCUAUUUACUGGCAAAUUUGUAGGUGUCAUGACGGUGUUUGAGGCAACUAUAAAGUUGGGCUCAGCUUGAGUGAAUUUCAUUUGUCUUGAGAGUUGUUGAAGGACAAUGGACAUCUGUCCUACGCUGUCUUCAAUGUUAAUAAGGCGAUUUUGUACAUCAUUCUGAUCAGGCCCUAUUACUUGAGGCCAUUCGCAGGUGAUUGGUGGCCGGCGAUUCAUAAUUACCUGUUUAUUGAGAAAACAAUAAAUGAGCAUGGAAGUAAACAAAGAUUGACCCAUGGCAAUGGUCUAACUGCUUUUUUUAUUUAUCAAAAGAGGANNNNNNNNNNNNNNNNNNNNNNNNNNNNNNNNNNNNNNNNNNNNNNNNNNNNNNNNNNNNNNNNNNNNNNNNNNNNNNNNNNNNNNNNNNNNNNNNNNNNAAAUGAUAGAAUGAAAUACUAGAUAUUAACCAAAACUAAACAUUGGGACGGAAACUUUCACACUAUUAAUAUUAAGGGGCACAUGAUUGCCAAUUUAUAUGCGACAGGGAGCCUUGUUCUUGCGAGAACGCAUGCUUCCUUGAACUGGCUCUGAGGUGUGCAUCCAGUCCAUUCCCAAAUCCCUAUCCAUGAGCUCUGCUUGCUCGUGCUGGCUGCUCUCGCUGAUUGAGUGAGGGACUGAUGGCUUCCAUUUUUUCGGGAUGCGAUGGUUGUGGAUGUAGGACAUGGAGGCGUGGUGGGCUUUUUCUUCUCCCUCAAGCCCUUUAGGUAUCACAAUCCUUUUGCGAUGGUAGCUGCCCCAGGUUUCCUCAGCGGUAGCAAUUUCGAAUGCAUAGUCACGGCUUGUGUUGAAAAGAACUGGAGGGAUCAUCAUCUUGAAAGGCGAUGGGAUCUCCUAAAGGGAUCCAUAUUGUCAUGCUACUUGAUACGGGUAAUAGGGAAUGGCGCCGGUGAGGCCGAGUAACGGAAUUGGGCGGGUGAGUAUGUAAGCAAAGCGGGCCCUCUUUUCAUGGAACCAACCAGCACACCAUUGGAAUGCCUCAGGAGCUGGGUCUCUUAGGAAGCUUACCCAAUUUAAACAGCUUUGAUUGGGAAUAUACGGUCCUAAAACCAUAAAUUUUUGUAAUGGAUUUUCAAAAGCAUUUGUUUCAGACGAUCGCAUGAAGUCUCGAAAUUCACUUAAGUGAGAAAAGAACUAGACUUGUAAAAUUUCAGGAGAGGCUCGCAUGAUUUUCUCCGAGUCGUCUUUAAAACGAUUAAAGGACAAGAAUGUUUUAGUUAAAAUCAUGUUGACAUAAUUCCCCCCUCUUAAGAUCUAAUUAACUAUCCAUGCCAUCUUGGGAGUUAUGGCAUUUCUUUGAUGGGGGAACAUGAUGAGCCCGAAAAAGGCCAGGAGGAAAAUCUCAAUUUUCUGGGUCAUAGGCUGAUUUUGGAAACAGGCAUUCAUAAAUUCUAGUGGGCAAGUAUUAUGAUUGUCUUCAAGAAUUUGCCUCAUGACAUGGAUUUCAGUUCCUAAAAGUCAUGCUAACCCACGCCAUGGGAGGGCGCCUGUCGAUGGCCUGACAAGCUUUUACUCGAGAGGCAUUCCAGUGAUGAUGUUGUAUUCUUCCAGGGUUGGGGUUAGCUCAAACCUACCGAAUAUAAAAGUAAUUGUCUUCGGGCACCGAAAAUGUGCCAUGGCUUGUAAAACUUCAGGACAAACAGUGAUUUGAAUCAACGAUAGGAGAUGACCGACUUUGGCCUUCACGCACUCUUAGGCAAACUGAUCUAAUUGACCCCACUAUCUGAAGAGCUUCGCCUUGGGAGUAGGAAUGAACUGGAUAUCAUCUUUCCCCAUCGCAUAUAAACUAGGCUUUGAAAGGCUUAUCCUAAAUUGCCAUGGGCCAAAUAAAAAGACUGAGUAACAGUAAAGAAAUUACUUUUGCUUUUUAAAGAAAAAUGGCAAGCACAAAGACAUGCGCGUGAGACGUUCAGCUUGAUUUCUAACUGAGAAGUAUUGUUGAAAUUAAAAAGAUAUCCGCCCGUCGCAGUCUCGCGUUAGCAGCAUACCCUCCUAACCUCAGUUAAGAAAUUCGGGGAAAAGAAAGGCAACCUCUACAUCGCAGUCUCGCGUUCGAGGUUGUAUCAUUCUUAACACCAUCCUAAAAAUCAUAUGGCGGCCCAGGUCUGGCGGCCGGGUUGUGUGUGCCAUGUGUAGUGCUAAAACAUUUAAGGAUGCACAGCAGUUUAUAUUCACAAAACAUUUUAUUUUAACAUAAUAAAAAAACUCUAAGCUAUUACCCUGCACAAAAGAAAAAAAAAAGUCAAUAAAUGGUUUAAACAAGAUAAAAUGGCCUAAGUCCUCAAAUGUCCCCAGCGCAGUCGCCAAGCUGUUGCGACCUCUUUUUUUCGGCGCCCGCAAUCGGGUGUGAGCGCCUAAGGAGGCUAAUGGCCUGGCUAAAAUUAAUUAUAACCGAACUCUCCCAAGUCCACCAAUUCAUGACUUUAAUAGUUUGAGUUUUUAACCUAUAAAUCAAUUUUUAAAAUGGAGUUGCCACUAAUCGAUUUGGAGUGGGUCAAUUAGAAACCCAAGCGAAGUAUCGGGAGAAAUACUUGCUCCUGCGCAACCAGAGAAAUUAGGAUCGGGGACUUGAUUACACUACUUAAUCACUAAUGCCCUUCCGGUACCUAAUCUUGUUUAAACCCGAAGGUUUUUUGGAUGUUUGAGAGAUUUUCCAUGCAUUUUUGGGAGGAAAAACAUUUUUUUUUUAGUCAUUUUCUAAUUUUUGGACGCAAAAGGGAUUUUUUGGGAUUUUUUUUGGAAAAACACAAGUCUUUUUGGCUUUUCUGAAUUUUUUUUGGCUUUUUCAUGAAUUUUUGGCUUUUUUUGAUUUUUGGCUUUUUUUGAUUUUUGGCAUAUUUUUUAUUUUUUUUGGAAACUAAAAUAUUCUUUAAUAUUUUUCAAAAUAUUUUUGGAAAAUAAAUUAUUUUUUAUUUUUCUCAAUUUUUAGAAAAUAAAACAUUUUUCGACAUUUUUUAAAUAUUUUUUGAUUUUUUGGAAAUUAAAACAUUUUUUAAUAUUUUUUUUGAAAAUAAAACACUUUUUGAUUUUUUUAAAUAAAAUAUUUAUUUGAAUUAUUUUAUAUUAAAAUAACAAAAUAAAACCGACCCGGGUCGGUGACCCAAAUGCAGACGCAGGCUCGACUCGAAUUUUUCAUCUUUUUUUUUUUAAUUUUAUUAAAACGAUGCCGUGGCUGCGCAUUUGGGGACGCCCGGCUCGGCUCGACGACCCGGAUCCAUUGACCCACUCCGCGACCCGGCUCCCUACGAACCCUACCCGACCCGAAUCUGCAUUGCGACCCGACUCCCGCCGCCCCCCGAAUCUCGCAAAACCCUACCCGGUUCCGAGACCCGGAUCUGACUCGACGACUCGGAAAAUCGCAAACCCUAGGGUUUGCGAAUCCGCGGCGCCGAGGGGGGGACCAAGGUGCUUGGCGGCGACGGCGACUACGGCGGCGACGACAAAGGCGACAACGGUGACGGCAACACUAACGGUGGCGCUCUUUUUUUUAACCUUCUCUCGAACGGGGACAGCGACGGCAACAAUGCCAGAUCGAAGGCAGCAGUGGUGGAGGCGCUCGGCGGCACGGUGGGGUUUUGCAUAGCUGCGGCGUCGGGGGGUGUGACGGGGACGGCACGGCUCAAUGAUGGCGACGGAACUCUGCUCUCUGAAGUUCACUCAGAUUUGGACGACGUCAGGGAAAGCGACGGCAGCGAGGCGUGAGGACGGCGGCACGGCAAGAUUUGGGGCAGUAGCGGCGUUGGGGCGGGGAACAGCAACAACAGAGCAACGGUCGCAGGUGGCGGAGAGCUUCCGGCUUCCCAGAUCUGGCCCUCCCUCCUCCGGCUGACCUCGUUCAGCCCUUAUUUCACAGAUCCAAGUGCUCGCAUCUACCUUCCUCGGGCUCGAUCUUCUCUCACUCAGGCCAAAUCCUAGCCUCCACUGGCCGGAUCUGACCUUCUCGAAGUCGCUUGCGGCCGGCCUUCCCCGAAGUCUCUCGGUGGAAGGUGGGCUGAGCUCACGACUCGAGUUCUCUCCCGCGCUCGCCCUUCAAUCCUUCCCGAUGUCUCUUAGUGAAGGAUCUCUGAGCUCGCCCGUGCCAUUCUUCGACGAAGGUGGUACCCUUUUAUAAGCGAGGGAAUCCGGUCGACGGAGCUUCGACCGCCGAUCCCCUUCGUGCGCCGAGCGGUUCUCCUUGAUUGAACCGGCGUCCCAUCCGAGCUCAUCCAGUGAAGCAUGCUCGGCAUUGAUGGCACUUGCGAUCUUAUCUUCUCCGGCCGACGUCAGCCUACUCCCCUCGGCCGUAGGCGGUCCUUUACGCGCGUCGUCGUCUUCUGCGCGUGAACUACAGAGGCGAAGAAAGAAGGAGCGAGGAAGAAGAAGAGGGAAGAAGAAGAAGGAAGAAGGAGAAAAGGGGGGUGGGGCCAAGUCGCACGAGCCCACGUGAAGAAAAAAAGGGGGGCUGCUACUUUUUUUCGCUUUUUGCUUUUGUUGUUUUUAUUUGUUUUUAUUUGUUGUUUUUGUUAUUUGUUUUGUUUAUUAUACGAAAAAGGAAAAUAAAUGUAAAAAAAACCUAAUUAAAAAAACGAAAUUUAGGUGUCAACAAUCCUAACAGUGAGGAAAUUCAGCAAGUAAUAAAUACUGAAAAUAUGGCGAUAGAUCAUCCCAUAACAAAUGAAAUUCCCCAGAUGAAUGAUGUAGCUCCAGAAAUGCCUGUGCGAAGAUCACAGCGACAAAGAAGACCAACGCUUUUAAAUGAUUAUUAUGUCUAUCUUGGAGAAGCUGAUUUUGACAUUGGAAGUAUAGUUGACCCGACGACCUUCAAAGAAGCUCUUAAUAGUGAUCAGGCAGAUAAAUGGUUAGGAGCGAUGAAUGACGAGAUGAUGUCCAUGUCAACUAAUCAAGUAUGGAAACUUGUUGAUUUACCUGAUGGGCAUAAACCAAUCGGCUGCAAAUGGGUAUUCAAAACCAAGAAAGACAAUAAGGGUAACAUCGAGAGAUUCAAAGCAAGGUUAGUCGCAAAAGGGUACACACAGAGAGAGUAUUGAUUAUAAUGAAGUCUUUUCCCCAGUAUCUACUAUAGACUCUUUUCGGAUAAUCAUGGCUUUGGUGGCUCAUUUUGAUUUAGAGCUUCACCAAAUGGAUGUCAAGACAGCUUUUCUAAGUAGAGAUCUGAAUGAAGAAGUAUAUAUGCAGCAACCUGAAGGGUUCAAAGAAGCCGGAAAUGAGCAUAUGGUGUGCAAACUUCAAAGAUCCAUCUAUGGUCUCAAACAAGCAUCACGUCAGUGGUACUUAAAAUUUCACAAAGUUGUGAGAUCAUUUGGCUUUGAAGAAAAUAAGUUUGAUCAAUGCAUCUACAUGAAAGUAAGUGGGAGUAAAUAUAUUUUCUUAGUACUUUAUGUAGAUGACAUUUUACUUGCUAGCAGUGAUGUUGAUCUAUUGAAUGACACCAAAAAUUUUAUAUCUACAAAGUUUGAUAUGAAAGAUCUUGGGGAAGCCUCUUUUGUUCUAGGCAUUGAGAUUCAUCGUGACAGAUCUAAGAAAGUUCUGGGGUUAUCUCAGAAAGGUUAUAUAUAUCGUGUUUUGAAAAGAUUCGAUAUGCAAACCUGUAAGUCAGGUGAAGCUCCUGUUGUGAAAGGAGAUAAAUUGAGCAUAGAUCAAUGCCCCAAGAAUGAUGUUGAAAAGGAAGUCAUGAAAAAUGUUCCAUAUGCUAGUGCAGUUGGCAGUCUUAUGUAUGCACAAGUAUGUACCAGACCUGAUAUUGCUUUUGCUGUGAAUACUCUUGGAAGAUAUCUGUAGAAUCCAGGUCAAGAACAUUGGGUUGCAGUUAAGAAGGUGAUGAGAUAUCUACAACGGACAAAGGAUUUCAUGCUCGUUUAUAGCAAAGUUGAGGACCUAAAAGUGAUUGGAUAUUCAGAUGCUGAUUUUGCUAGUUGUUCAGAUGAUAGAAAAUCAACUUCUGGAUAUAUUUUUAUGAUGGCUGGAGGUGCUAUUUCUUGGAAGAGCACAAAGCAAACAUUGAUUACGAACUCUACAAUGUAUGCUGAGUUUGUAGCAUGCUACGACGCGUCGGUUCAAGCAGUUUGGCUCAGAAAUUUGAUCUCAGAAUUGCGUGUUGUGGACUUUAUUGCUAGACCUAUGGUGAUCUACCGUGACAACACUGCAGCUGUGUUUUAUUCCAAGUAUGACAAGAUUAGUAAUGCGUCUAAACACAUGGAGAUCAAAUAUUAUACUAUUAAGGACUUAGUAAAAAAUGGAGACGUUGUAAUUGAAAAUAUCAUAACUGAGUCCAUGUUGGCUGAUCCUCUAACAAAAGGCUUACGACCCAUUUUGUUUAAAGAACGUGUAAAGAAUAUGGGUGUUUUAGAAUCUUUUGAUUUCUUUUGUUAGUGGGAGUUAUAUAUUUUGUAUUUCUGGAUAUUAUAGUUAUAUGCAGACUGAUAAUACUUUUAUAAUGUCUAUUAAAGCAUUUAUUUUCAAUGAUUGUUGUUAUUGAUUCUAUUGUUAUCCUUUCUCCUGUUGAUUGAAAAAUGGAAAUAUAAAACAAUAUCUUUAAACAAAUUUUAGUUUAAAGAUGACUAGAUGUCACUGAUUAUGAGAUCUCAUAUUGGAUUGUGACAUAAUUGUACAAUUUCUUGUUGUUUAGAAAUCGCACUGAGGCAAUUUCAUGUUGUUUAGAAAUUGCGAUAAUGUAAUUUCAUGUCGUUGAGAAAUUGCAUUGAGGACCGAUAAAAAAUAGUGUAUAUCUUGAUCACAUGUUGGCACUAUUUCUUACUACACUACUAGGCCCAUGAUCCAUGAAAAUAUAAUACUUAUUAUAUGUGAUUAUGGAAGGUCUUGUGUUGUGGUAUUUUCUUAACACAUUGAUCUCCAUAGUCCUAUAUUGAGGUUAUAUAGGAUUGGAUUGGUAUUGAGAUGCGAUUAUUGGAAUAUUAUUUUAAAAGUUGUGGCCACAUAAAACAAAAUUUUAGUUAUUAACCCGAUAGUGUCGUUUUCAAUAUAAAAUCUUUUUCAAAAUAAAAUAAGUUAAUUAAUGUAGCCCAAGUGAGAGAAUGUUGGAAAUUUCCUAUAAUAUGGGCUUACAUUAAUUAAUUGAUUCUCUAUUUUAAAUAAUCGGUUUAAUGGAUAUUCCAAUAUUUGUUAAACCCUAAAAUGAUCUGAUUGAAUUGGGUAUUGGCGUCUAUUGUUAACGGGCCUAGUUGAGCAGCAAAGUGUAAGCAAUUGUGUUUAACUGAAGCCUGUAAUGGGAAGGGCCCAGUUGACACUCUAUUGAUUAGGGUUUGCUAGAUCCCCUCUCUAGCCUAUAAAAUGGUAGGUUAUACCAAUCAGUUGCUUUAAUCCUAUUGAAAGCUGCUAUAUCGAAAUAGGUCAUAGAGAGGAAAAUCUGGUAUUCCAAUAGAUCCCUGAUUAUCAAAGUGAUCUAGUUUUCUUAAAGUAAAGCAAUGGCUCAAACAGGUACGCUUUAAUUCUGCUGUAUUUAUUGAUCUUGGUGUUUUACAAUCAUGUAUGGAUCUGUUUGUUCUUAAUUGAUUAAAUAAUAUUCUACAGGCCUGUGAAGCUUAAUGUAGCUAUGAGUCCUCCCACCAGUAGUUGAACAUCCAUAAUUCUUUUUUUCGACAAAUUAAAGUUUUCUCGGUUGGCAAUAUUACUUCCUAUGGUUAUAGAGACAGAUGGUUGCCCCUCAACAAAUUGUUUGUCUAACCUCUUCUUACCAUAUUCAAUAAACCAGCCUUGAAAGCCCGGGAUUCCAUGAGAUCCUUCCAAUGGGGACCAAGCAUUGCAACGGUUGUCCCUCUAAAAAAGCACAUAAUAGAAUGUAUCAAUUAACAAGUGAAAGUUUUCCGAUAAAAUACUUCAAGACCCUCACACCCUCAAAAUCCAUUUAUAACACAUAGAACUUCUGGCAAGUGCUAAGAGGUCAUGGAGAAUUCAUUCAAGUAACAUCUUUUAGAUAAAGGUAAAUGGUAAAUAACACCCGUAAAUAGAGUUUCCUAGAGUAAACAAUUACAGUUAUGGGUAUGCUAUCCCAAUCCUAAUGUAUUAUCCAUUUCCUUCCUUUUAUUUUCUUUCUUUUUCCCCAUUUUGGCAUCGCCUAAUUUUAGAGAAUCCCAACAAAAAAUGUUUUGCAAUGUUUUCGAAUUAACUAAGAUUUAGACAAUUACUUUUGAACUAGUUGAAGACCCUCGUGUUGCCCAGAUUUGAACCUUAUACUUACUGAAAAAUUUUGUUUUGAUACAAUAAUAUGAUAAUAAAACAUAAUAUUUUACAAAAGUAUAUGUAUUUAUUUAUCAACUAGAUUACAAAAUUAACUAAUUUGAAACAUCGUAAAGUAAUAAACAAAAGCAUUGUAUAUCGACGCACAUAUUGGAACAACCAUAAUGACUCCUAUAAUGAGUUUAGAUUUAUUGACUAUUAUAUCCAAUAACAUCCAAGACAUUGAUAUUGAUCGACCAAAAAAAAGAUAUUGAUAUUUUGUUGUAGGAAAGAUUAAUGAUAGAGACAGCCCUCUUGUUUUUGUCCAAUUAGUAAUGGUUAGUUUGAAGCAGCUACAAAAAGAAGUCAAUAGAAUAAAUAAUUCUCAUAAUAGAUAGUGCUUUCAAUUUUUUUUUUAGUAGAUAUAUUAUUUAAUGAAAAUUGGGAAGUCAAUAGAAUUAUGAUGAAUUGAAUAUAUUCAUUGGAUAAUUUCAUCUCCCCCAAUACCACAUCAGAAUGCUUCCUUCUUUCACUAAAUCUAGAUCGGUAUCCUCCAUUUUUUUUUGUCAGUCCUACUCUAUUCCUACUCUACACUCACUCUCAGACUUUUGCCCUGCCUCUUGCAGGGCGUGGGAGUCGAAACCCACUCCUAAAACUUACGCGUCCCCACCCCAUCCCCCCGAGAAGGUAGGGAUUUGAACCCAUCACCUCAUCCUUCCAUGUUGGAAGGGUGGCCACUGGGGUGAAUCCCAGUGGUUCGGUAUCCUCCAUUUGAAACAGUUAUAAUGCAAUCAAUGGAAAGAAUUCUUCUUAGGAAUUAGAUUGAAAAAAAUUUAAGAAAGUCGAGACAAUUUUAGGAUUUCUUAUUCUCCGAAGGACCACUUGAGAAAAGACAAUUUGAAGGACAAAACAAAAUUUUGAUGGAAUAAUCUUGACUUUAAUUCCAUUAAUGGAUUGAUUUUUCGAUCAAAAGUAAUAUGUGAGUGAAAUCUUCCUUUUUUUUCCCUCUUUCUCUAUCCCUAUUCCUAUCCCGUAGGUACACCCUUUGAAUUAAUAGAAAACAUUUUCUUCUAUGUCUGUAUGAAUCGAUAUUUAUAGGGUAGAUAUGUUCCAAGUGCACUAGUUCAAGGGCUUUUAAGGUGUAUUGGAAAGCUUAAGGUGGCUUAUUUAAGAGAGCAUGGUUUAGGAUUUUCCGUAGAUAUUUCUAAAUAUUAUCUAACUAGCUUGACUUUUUGUUUAAGGUAGCUUAUUGUUCAAGGUCUUGAUCUAUUUUCUAUAGCCAAGAAAAGGAGUUUUGUUCGAUUCGCCAAACAUGUAAGCUUCAGCCCGAAUCUGUUCGCACAGCCCAUGUCCAAUUUCAGUGAUCACAAGAGAAAAAGGAUAGAAAAAUUGCUUUGGAAGGAAGCUCCGUUCCAUAAGCUUCUGGAUUCUUCCCCCACCACCAUUAGACGUCGCUUACCUUCUCCAACCGUCGAACGGAACUCAUCCCUUCUAGCGGUCGUCGAUCAUCAUGUAACAGUUUUUCUAAUGUGGACUACAUUAAGCAAGAUUGUGAUUUACCAUUUUUACGAAAUUAAUUUAAUAAGGUAAGAUAGUAAGUUUUUUAAUAGUCGAAUAUGGCCUGGCUUAUGUGAGUCAAAUUGAGCUCAGCCAGUGAUGAGAGGAUCCACCAAAACUCUAUAAAUAGCCUAAGGUCCCUCCACUAAACCUCACUUUUGUCAUUAUAAAAUGUAUACACCUGCUACCUCACAUAAGGAAUGUUUGUGAGGGAUAGUCUCACUGAGCCAAGGUAUCAAGAGAGAGUAUCAAGAGUGAUAGAGGAGAAGGUCUUCAGCAUUGAAGAUUCGAAUUGCUACCGUUGCACUCCAAGAAUCAUGAAUUCCAAAUCAGGCAUGCAAAUCUUCAUCUUCUCCUCCAAUACUUUUGAGUUUCUAACAAUGUCGAUCUUGGAAACCAUAUCGACGGCCAACACAUCAAUCUCAAGAAGACACUGAUCGGAGAGAAAACCAUUUUUGAGGCACGCGUGCGCACCUGAUAGAAAACAGACGGGCAAGGACAAUUGAAAAAGAGGGAAAACUUGCAAUCCCUUAGCGCGCUUCUUUUGAAUUUCUUGUUCUUUGUCAUCCUCAUCUGCCGGUAAUCGCCAUCGGUUUACCAUCACCGGGCACCGACUAACGUAUGUACUGGAAAGAGAACUAGAACAGAAGGCACCGGUUGAAAUCAUUCGUCUUUUGAGAUAUCAGAAGUUACUCUGUCAGAGAUUUCUUUUGAAUCCUUUCAUGCCUCUUCGUCUUCAAUUGUGUUUGAAGCCAUUCGCAUUUGUCUGAAACUUCACUAUCGGUGUUCAUUCACCCAAGCACGUUUUCCAGGUCUUCCUCGUGCAAAAUCGACCAGUAAUUGUGACCAAGAAUUCCUCGUCAACAAGGCUAUCUCUCUUCCCUACUAUACUCUGCUUUCGAUGAAUAAAAGUAACCGAAAUGGCAUGUUCUAGAUUAGGAUAGAAUCGGCUUAACUGCAUAUUCAUACUGAUGAUUGCAUCCUUGGACUAAUUUUGUUUGAACCUGAUCUCUAAUCUGAAGUUAUUGCGCUUUGUUUUGCUUCUCUGCCGAAUACGCAUAACGUGUGCAUCAGUGAGUUUCUGCUAAAUCCGAAGACAAACCAGUUUAGUGUGCAUAUUAUUGAUGUGUAUUGGUGGAUCGAUAAGCAUGAUCUAGUAGAAUACAACGCAUUGNNNNNNNNNNNNNNNNNNNNNNNNNNNNNNNNNNNNNNNNNNNNNNNNNNNNNNNNNNNNNNNNNNNNNNNNNNNNNNNNNNNNNNNNNNNNNNNNNNNNAUUCCCGUGUAUGUUUGGUCUCCCGAGGUGAUGGAUGGGGGGUCAAUGGCGAGUAAAUGGAUUCGAGUUAAGGACUGGAGUGUCGAUCCAUUGAAGCAUUCGUUUGGUUUGUUUCUCCAUUCUUAUGUUCUGUCCGUUUCCUUUACUGUUGCGAUUGCGGAGGAUCGAGUUGAUGGUGACAGAGGACGGCUGUAGGCAGGGAGUCCCUAAAUGAUACUGUUUCACGGAUGUUCUUGAUUUUAUGACAUGUGUGGUAACGUGUCAAACAGUGCCAAAUUCUGAUUUUUUGUUCACAGAAUUAGUUUGGGACGUGAAUCGCAUUUGGUAAAAUUUUUGUUCCCGAGAACAAUUUUGGACAAGAUUUGAGAAUAAAAAAAAUUUUGAUUCUCUGUCCGAGAAUCAGAAAAAGAAUCAAAAUGGUGAAACCCUCACUCUUCCCUUUCGUCAUCCCGGUUGCCGUUCACCACCGCCUGCCACCGUCUGCCACCUUCGGCCGCCGCCGUCCGCUAUUGGUCGCAGAUCCGGUGAGGUCGCCAGAGGCUCGCCAGGCUAGGGCGAGGUCUGGCAAGCUCNNNNNNNNNNNNNNNNNNNNNNNNNNNNNNNNNNNNNNNNNNNNNNNNNNNNNNNNNNNNNNNNNNNNNNNNNNNNNNNNNNNNNNNNNNNNNNNNNNNNGGUGAGGCUGGGCGAGCCUCGCCUAGGAGUGUCGCCGGCCCUCGUUUGGCCGGUCGCCAGUCCAGUGACCAGCCACAUGAAGAAGAAGAAUAGGAAAAAAGGGAAAAAAAAAAGAAAAAAAGUAAAAAUUUUAUUUAAAAAUAAAAAGAAACUAAUUUGGAACAUAAUCAAUUAGCACGGAAUCAAACACAAUUCUAUUCCAGAAUAAAAAAUUUUGGACAGUUACCAAACGCGCUUUUUUACUCAGAAUUAGUUCCUAGGAACAAAAUAAAAAAUAAUCAUUUCUAGUCAGAAUCAGCUCCCAAGAAUAGAAUUGUUACCAAAUGUGCUCUUUGUGUCUCGGGUCUUGAACUUGACAAGAAACGAUUGGGCUGAAUCUGGUUCAAGUGAAUUCGGAUUUGAUGAGUUCUUUUAGGGAAUUUGGGCCCAAUUCAAUUUUUUAGGUGAAGAAUCUAGAUAGAUAUAUAGCCCAAAGGACUUUUACGGCCCCGACCUCAAAAGUAUAAGUUUGACCCAUACAAGAACCGGGCCCAAGGGCCCAGCCAGCGUCUCCUUAUAUCCAAAAUAAAAAAUAAUAAUAUUAAUUUAAAAAUAAAAAUUUGAAAAAAUAGAAAAAUAUAGAAAAAAAAAUGGUUAGAAAUAGGGGCCUUGACUAGGCCGUUAAUUUCCAGUGCUAGAUUUGGCUUAGUUUCAUUUAGUUAGCAUAUAUAUAGUUUAAAGAAUUUAAUAACUUUGAUAUAGUUUAGUUUUCGCAUAUUGAUCUUUUGGACAAGGAAUUGGAUUCAACUCUUAUUUAGCUUAUGGGGAUUGCUGUAUGAGGGACUUAAUGAUGAUCCUUUGCUUGAUACUUUAUUGAGUUUACUUCUUUUUACUUUACUUUAUCAUAUCGAUUGUGAUUGUUUAUUUGCUCUUGAUUUUGCACUUAUGGAUGGAUAUCGUUUAGUGGCAUAGGGCACUAAAAUGGUUAAAAGAUUGCAUGAACAUCUUAGGUACCAAACGAAUCUAGCUAAGGUAUUGAAAAAGCAUUAGGUAGACAAUUAGUGUAAUGAAAUCACCAAUUUUAGAAUAUCUAGUUGCGUAGAAAGUGAGAUAUUUUUCCAUAUCUCAUUUGGGCUAGUGGCAGCUCCUUCUUUUAGGUUAAAUUGCACCAAAACAUUGAAAAUUCUAGUGUCGCGUGAGAUAAGGGUUAGGGAGAACUCGAGCUAUUAGGGAACCACUGGUCCACUGUUGGCAUUAUGUCUAAAUCCGUCUUUCUCUAAACGUGUCGGGAGGGUCACAACACUCUGCAAGCCAUCUUUACAUCUCUCUCUCACAUGCAAGAACAUAUAGUACCGUACUUGGUGGAUGAUGCAACUUUAGCAAAUGCAUGGCAACAGAGACGGUUUCUAGUAGUUGGACCCCUAGGCUUCAAGGUUUGUAUUGAAGAAUGGUUAGGUUGUUCGAGGAUUAGCCGCUACUCCUCUUUGUGCAUUGGCGAGGGAUGCAUGUGUUCUGCGUACGAACACGAAAGAAAAAGCGAGAUGAUUGUUUUUGGCAUCAUUAUAUGAUUAAGUUUUCAUAGGUUGAUAUGGUAAUACAUUCUUAGCUUUGUGUACCUAAUUAUUUGAUGUUGUUACUUACUGGAUUGACUUGUAAGUUCUAAGGUUACACAGAAAUAUGACAUUCCCAUUUCUCUGAAAACUCAUGCAACUUUUGAAAUAAUUGAAAGGGAAGGAUCUUGCGUCAGCCAUGACUUUUGCUCUCGACAGAUGCUGAGAAUAUUAUGAUAUUUCCUGCAGCUUUGCACAACCAUGCCAUUAAAAAGCAGUGCAUAGAAGUCAAAGCCAAGUCCCAAUUUAACGGCAACUUAAAAAUAUAUGGUAGUAAAUAUCACAUUUUUCGGCAAGCCUUCAGCUGUAUACUAACCUUUAUCCGAGCCGACUUGUAAAACUUAAAGAACAAAUUUGGCGUUGGUAAAUGCAUUACAAUAGUGCUAUAUUACUAACUUUUAACUGCGCUCACUUGUAAAAAUUAAAUGGUUUGGUAACUUAAUUCAUUUGACAUUUAUGUCUUCAUUACCAUGUCAGGAACUUAUUAACCUAUUACUCGAUCUGCUCAUAAAUUUAAAAGUUGUUAACUUCCUUACGAUGUCGAUAAUAUAUUAAUCUCUAUCUUGUCCACCUGUAAAAUUUAAAAGAAGUUUGUAACUUACAUAUCAACUUGGUGUUAGUAAAUUCAUUACAAUAUACUGGAAAUUUGCUAACCAAUAACUUGAUUUGGCCAAUCUACCACCGUUGAAGAAUGUUCAAGAAAUUCAUAGAAAUUAUAGUAAUUGUAAUCGACAGUAAAGACAAAUAAAACUCAAUAUAUGCCAUGGAAAUCAUUUUUUUUUAAUUGAAAUUCUGCAAAAUCCGAUACCCUUGCAACCAAACAUCUAUCAACAAACAUUAGACAAUACCAAUAUGGUAGUUAAACCGCAAUCGCUCAGCAGCUGCUAACCCUCUUGGCUUUCAUUUGGUCAACUGAGAAGCCGUCGAGUUGUAUAUCCUUCACAUACACGAAAAGCCUCAACUUGUUGGCCUUUGCUGCUCUCCAGACAUCUUUGAUAGGGUUUAAAUCAGACGGCUGACAUAAAAGUGCUCGAACUGACAUGGCCAGAAGAAAAUCUCCUGGGCACAAAGACAUGGGACUGUAGAACCGGUUCAAUUUAUUAGCAGCUUCCCUAGAGUAUUUUAUAUUUAAACAAUAAGUUUCGGACAUAUCUUCCCGGAUAGUGAGGUGGCCGAUUUAAAAUUACUAUAGGGUCAAGUGAAUUACAGAUAAUGUACAUAAUCACGAUACAUCCGCCAAUGAUAAAAGGAGAGAUUCCAAGCUCGAUGGUUCCGGUCAAUACCACAUACGUACCACAAGCAAAAGCUAGCACCAUUGCCCAUAUCGCAAUGAAAAUGCAAAGUCCCACGGGGUAGGUGUAUCUCACCUCGUAGCGAGGGCCCGGGACCCAAGGAUCAAAUUGUAUGAAUAAUGCCACGACUGAGAAACUGAACGCUGUAAUGUUUAAUAGCACAAAGGCUUGGAAAGCUUCCCUGUCAGCAAGAAUCGCCAUCCCUCGGUUGGGUCCAUCGUUGUUAUAUCCUCCGGGCAUGGUGAAGGUUGCAGCAAAGGUCACCGUGGCUAUGAGCGUUGCCAUUAAUUGUUGAAGGUUGAUCAAGUUUUUCGUUGAUGAAUCAGAAUUUUCUCGGUUGGCGAUAUUACUUCCGGUGAUUAUAGAUGCACCUGGUUGACCCUCAACAAAUUGCUUGUCCAACAUCUUCUUUAUUUUUUCAAUAACCCCACCUUGGAAAUCCGACAUUCCGCAAGAUUCUUUUAAUAGAUAAUUAACUUUGGCAGCACUGCAGCCGACCUAAAAAAUUUACAACAUGUAUUAAUUAAAGGGUGAACUCUUCCGGCGAAAUACCUUUACGCACUCAAAUUUCAUUUAUAAACAACAGAACUCCCGGCGAGUCAUAAAAUAUUAUGAGGCAGAGGGUAGGUUAUCUCUUUUAUCUCAAGAAUUGUUUGAAUGGGGGCAGAAAAAAAAAAAACAGAAGGAUUAUAGCUAAUUAUUGUUAAAAUAUUCCGAUAUUUUCAUGUGAAUGUGACAGAAUAGUUGUUUCACAGUCAGAAGGUGCAGAUAAACUUUUUAAAUUGAGAUCCUCUAAAGCUACAUCUAAUCUAACAUUUAAAGUCACCGCUGUAUGGUUGACACCCUAGCACAUAGGGGUCAUUAGACGGCACAUAUUUAUUCUCCAUUUUUCUUUUGUUCUUUUUUUCCUCCCUCUAGCUUAACUUUGGAGGGUCCCAACCCUAAUGUUUUGCAUUGUUUUCAAGAUAAAUAAGAUGACAACUAUUUGUGAACUCUUUGAUGACCCGAUUCUCGCACGCAUUUGAAAUUUCAUGCUCAAUGAAAGUUUUUUAUUUGAUGAGAUAAUAUGAUUAUAAAAUCCAUAUUUACCAACUUCAUACAUUAUAUUGUACACAAAUAAUAUACAUUUAUCAACCAAACAACAUAAUUAAUUACUAUUGAAUAUUACUUUAUUGAAUUCUUUGUUAUUGAGGUCCACUCUUCCCACAUGGAAAGAGAGAGGUGGGGAGUUUGAUUCCCCACCUUCUCAUAUGGAUAAAAGGUAAGAAGAUUCAGUUUUAAGUGUGGGGUUUGACUCUCACACUUUAUAAAGAAAUAGGACAAAAGUCUGAAAAUAAUUCAAGAGUUAAACUAAGAUAGGCAAAUAUAUAUAUAUAUAUAUAUAAUAAAAAAAAAUCAGACAUAUAUUUGUUUUAAACUAUUUAUUUUUAUAGUGUGCAAUUCAUUGUUGGCUAUUAAUUCAAUAUUUGGCUUUUUUUAUGCAAUUAGGUAUUAAAUAGGGCUUUUACAUGUGCGAAUGAGUUAGAUGAUUUUAGACUAUAAGUAUAAAUUAAAUUAUGAGGGCUUCAAUUUUAAAUUUUACAGUAAUAACUACUGGCAAGAUAAUUAUCUUGUAAGACAUGAUUUCUAUAUGAUGAUGCAAAUUCAUCACCAUGUUAUAAAUCAAAACUAAAAAAUUGAAGACAACUUCUUUAGCUACUGCUUUUUGUUAAUCUUGCAAUACUCAUUAAUACAGUUUAACCAAUUUUUUUCAAUAGUGUAAAAUAGUUAUGCUUUACUUUGUCACUAAAUCGUUUGUGUGCUCAUAUCCAAUUUAUAGAUUAAAUGGUUGUUUGAAAGAAAGAAAUUAUAUCCCUCCACAUUUAGUUUAUAAUAAGUGGAUAUAUGAAAGAACCAUAAAUACUUUAAAUCACGAAUAUAUAUUUAUUGGCUAUUGGACCAAAUUACAUUCAAGUUGUAAGCUAUGGGAAUUGAUGUCGAUAUUUUUCUGUAGGAACAUUAAUGAUAGAUUAGGUGGACAAAAAAGCCUUUUAAUUUUUGCCUAAUUGAUGUAAUAAUUAGUCUAUCGAUUAAUGUCAAGUGAAGCGGGAGGGAAUGAUUGUAAGUGGCUUAACCAUAAAAUUCAAUGCUGCCCAAAUUUCUUAUUUAUGGUUCGAUAUGACAUCACUUCACUCCAAGUCCCUUUUCAAAUGCGUCACGCUUACUAGAGCUAUCUAUGCUACUAUCUGCUCAAACAAUCGACUAAACAAAACAAAGUUGACACACUAAAACUCCAAUUGGGCUGUUUGUUUGCACCGACUAUCACUUGAGCCACCGUUUCUUAACAAUACUGAAGAAAUUACUCUACAAGUGAACAAAUCGAGCUCUAUAGGGUUCAAGCAAGAAAGCAUACCUCAUUAUGAACCAAAAAAAUGUCAAGGGCAGUCAUAUGAUCAUUGUUUGUGAUGAAACGGUCUACCCUCUUGUCUCGUGCAAGUAUAUCUAUGAUGGUGUAGUCCUUAUGAAGUGCUGCCAAAUGCAGAGCCGUGUUUCCGUCAGUAUCUUGUUCCUUGAUAAGAUACUCCAAGUUCGGUCUCCGGAGUAUGUCCUUGACUACAUCCGCUUCUCCACCCAUCACAGCUGCGUGAAGAGCUGUUUACCCUUUGAUGUUUAUGAUGUCCCAAGCACUAGGACAAAAUUUAACAAUCUCAUCAAUGACAAGAGAGUAGCCUAAAAACGCUGCAAUGUGAAGAGCUGAUUGUCCCUCUUUGUCUAAGUCAUAUGCCACGGAAAUAUCGUGCUGUAGUAGUUGUUGAACCGCUUUGAAUUUGCCCUUGGAAGCAACAUAAUGAAUAGGAGUCCAACCCAUUUCAUCUCUUUCUCUGAUCAAUUCCGGUCUGCUAUUCAGGAUUUUCUGCCAGCCUUUGCAAAUACAAUAUGAAUAUGUCAUGAUUCAGGCUGUUUUUAGCAUCUUGACAAAGCUAUUAGAAUUGCAUUGUCUCCCAUGAAGUUUUCCCCUUUUUCUCCUUACUAGGAACGAAUAUGUCAUGGUUAUUACGAAGUUUCUCUAGUUAUCUCGUGUUAACGCACGUAGAAUCUGACCACCUUCAAUCUAGUAUAAUACAGAAAUCUGUAAAGGUUUUCUUUUUGAUAAGUGAAAUUGUUAAUAGUUGGUAAAGUUGAUCGACAAGAAGCUUUUCCUUUUUUCAGGAGGGAAUCUGCUCCGUCAGGGCUAGGAUAAAAGACCAGUGUUUUUUUCUCUGAUGCCAAUCAUAUUGCAGACCAAUCGUGCCCAACUUAAUUUCAUAGAAAUUUCAAUAUCGAAUUAGGACUUAGCGCCUUGUGCAUUUUCAAUGAUCGUUGCACUCCCAUUUUUUCAAGUCAUCAUGAUUUGCCUUCAAGAAUUAAAAAAAUUUGCAUGCAUACCUUGAUCUUUCGGAAAUAUAAAGGGUUAACAUCACAAAAAAUCCAAACUAAUUCACAUAUAACAAAUUCACUGUAAAUUAAUUUUUUGACUAUAAAAAAUUCCAAAUUGAUAUACUUGUCACAAAUUUAUUCCAAAUUAAAUUUUUUACCACAAAAAACCCACAUUCUGAUAUAUCUGUAACCAUUUUAUCCCCCGUUAGUUUCUACUAAAUUGAUUUGAUAUCAUAAAAGAAUAUCCAAAGUGGUACACCUAUCCACUAUCACAUGUCAUACAACUAAUUAAUUUGUAAUAGAUGUACUAGUUUGGAGUAAAAAAAUUAGUUUUGGAUAGAUUUUUCACAAAUGUAUUAAUUUUGAGUUUUUUGUAGUAUUAACCUAUAUUAUAUAUAUAUAUAUAUAUAUAUAUAUAUAUAUAUAUAUUGCAUGCCAUGCCAUUUAUUGUAAACUGAAAGACAAUUAAUCAUAAGCACAAAAUGUCGAAACAAAGAAGGACACAAGAAAAGAUAAUUAAAAAAAAGAAGAAGGUAAAACAACCGAACUGGAGAAGAGAGGAGAGGGAAGAGGCAGUGGUGCUAUGGUAGUGAUGGUGGCUGCUGCCGCUGCCACCGAAGGAGUCAAGUAAGAGUACAAGAUCUAGAAAAACACUUAGAAAGAAUUAAGUGCGUGUACAAGUACUUUCUUAAAAUAAAAUGAUUUUCCUGAAUCGAUACGUAAUCCAGAAUGUAGUUGAAUCCUUUGAAAAACUCCUCUCUUUUUUCCUUAGUCCGUAUGCUAAGAGAAGACAAACCAGUUUGAACUUAAUUAAUAGUCAAUGAAUAUCCGACCACAAAAAACAGUUAAUGAAUAAAACAAUAAAGUCAAAUGCAACAAGAAUAACAAGUUAAAAUUUUAUUCAAAUUAUAACCCCCAUAUAUAAUUGCUCAAGAACCAUGUCCUGGGGAAAAUGUAUGGCCUUUCACCACAAUAAAAGUAGCAAUCAAGAAAUAAAUAAAUAGCGUUGGCGGCCAUCACUGCUAACAUCAUCACGUCUCACCUAAAUGAAGCCUUGCACGAGAGAGAGAACUUUAGUUAAAAUUUGUUUCGGUGAAAAAAACCCGUGAUACUUACCAGCCAGUGGGCGAUGGAUGGCAACAUACAAAGCUGUCAAUCCCUUAGGGCCCUUAUGAGAGGAUGGCAACACGGAAGCAUGUAAAAUCAGCUCCAUGAUAUACAAAUGCCCUCUAUCUGUUGCAAGAUAAAGCGGGGACUCAUCAGCAGCAUUAGUAACACCACCCAACUGAGGAUCCUCUUCAAUCAGCAACUUCACCACUGAUUCAUGGCCUCCUCUUACUGCAUAGUGCAGUGCAGUAUCCUUAUGCAAAUUUGGCUUUCUAAGUAGUUCUCUACAUGCAUCAACUUGUCCGUUUUCAACAAUGCUAUGCAGUUUCACCAUUUUAAUAAGGACUCGAACAGAUUUCAAGCUUCCCAUGGUGGCAGCAAUAUGUAGUGGAGUAUCUUCUUUGAAGUUACCCUGCCAAAGAAGAGGCGGUCCUGAUGGACGUUGAAGAAGAUUUUCGAUGAAAUUUACUUGCUCGUACUGAGCUGCAACGUGAAGAAUGUUGUUCCCAUUUGGCGUUGUUUGGUGAAAAAGAUCCUCUCCGUUUUCUGAAAUUGCUGUGAUCAGGGACUGAAACUCAGGAGAUAGAAAGUCUCCUGACUUUGCAGCCCUAUACACAUCAGGAUGCAUACUUAGGCUCUCUUUCAUUCUCGGGAUAAGCGGUAGUUGCAAGUGAACUUAUCAAUAAAAGAAAUGAGUUCAAAUAUAAUGAACUUCUUUGAGCUUUCUAAGAGUCUUGAGCUUUCUAAGAGGAUUGAUGUAAAUGGAGGAUGUUGGAAAGGGAAAUUUAGUUGAGCUUCCCAGGAGUAGUAGAAAGGAGAUAUUUGUGGUUCUUCAAUUGUUCCUAUGAAAUUGAAAUAAAUUGAUCAGGUUUAGAGAAUAGUUUCCAGAAAGUCUAAUUAGUAUGCGUUUUGGACUUCAUAUUUUACACAUAAGCAAAUAAUAAGGAAGUGGGGCAACUCUUGUUUAAAGGAAGGAGGACGAGUACAAAUCAAAAAUAAUAAUGAUAAAUAAAUUAUAUAAGCAUGAAAUUGAAUUAGCGGGCUGCUUUCCACUUUUCAUCAAAAUCAGGACCAUCGAAACAUGCAUGAUUCAAACAUUCUUACUGAAGAAUCGAAUCUGAUUGAUUAUUAAAGCAAAGACAUUCGUGGGCCCACGUUUAGCUGUAGAUUUCCUUUUGCUCCUUUCCUAUUUUUUAACGACAAGUCCUUAACUCUUUUCAGUCUUUAUGGUCUUAGUCCGUCGUGAAUCGUGCGUUCUCAUCGUGCUCCACGUGAUGGAAGAUUUACAUACGUAAACUUUCCCCACUCGAAGAUUUAUAUACGUAAAUUUUUAUGGGGAUCGAACUUAGGUAAAAAUUAGUUGACGCUCAAUUUGAGGAUCACCUCUACUGCUAUGAUCUAUUGGCAAAAGUCAAAGCUCAUAAUCAUAUGUUAUAUAUUGUAAUGUUUUCAUAAUAUACAAUAACGAAUAAAAAUCUAAAAAAAUUCAUGAUAGAUCAAGGACUAUCUAUUAUUUUUACUAUGUGGAAGAGAGAUGUAAAAGGUUAAUUUUUUUUAUAAAAAAAGAGAAGGCAACACCGAAGCUGUUCUGCUUUGUCAGCAAGGGCCAGUGAUCCUUGUUGGUGUGUUGAUGAGGGCCAUCGACCCUUGUUGGAGUGUCCAUGAACGAGGGUUUACAGGAUCUCGUUUUUGCCAAUUCAGUCCUAAACCUUUUAACUUUGCCAAUUUAGUCCUAAACAUUUUCACUUCUUGUCAAUUCAAUCUAUUCGACCAAUUUUGGCCAGAAAAUUCUGACGUGGACGCCAGCGAUGCCAUGUAGGACAGCCGGCGCUGAUGUUGACAAUUUUUAAUAAUAUUUUUUUAUUUUUUAUAUUUUUUUAUAUUUUUCCCUUUUUUUCUUUCUUUUCUUUUUGGCCUUUUUCGGUGGCCAGCCACUAACCACAACUAGCCAGCUAGCCUCACCCACCACUGGCCAGACCCAACCACGCGAGGAGGAGCCCCAGCGAGGGGAGCCCUCACCUAUGUGCGGCCCAGCGAGGGGAGCCCUCGCCCAAGCGCGGCCCGGCAAGGGUCGGCUGGGCGAGACCGACCCUCACCCAGGCUAGGGCGGCCCCACCGGGCGACGGCGAUGCCGGGCAAGGCCGCCCUAGCCUGGGUGAGGGCUGGCCUCACUAGAUCUGGCGAGGGGAGCCCUUGCCAGGCCUAGCCCUCGCCCAAGCGAGUGUCAGCCUCGCCUAGUCCAGAUCUAGCACGAGCUCUGGCUGACGGCCCCUCAAUCAAUGUCGUCAAGCUAAACCUGGUAAGCCCUUGCUUGUGUUAGGUUUUCGCCCUGUUUAGCGCACGUCAGGCUGGAGCCUGCGGCUGUUCGAGUCACGUGAGCUCCGGUCCCGCUGGUUCCCCGUCAAGUUGUUAUGUGUUCUCAUUCGCUUUUCGAAAGUUCUGGUGUGGACUUGGGUCACAAUCAAGCCGAAAUCCUUCCCAUAGCGUAUACCAAGUGUUCGAUGUAAUGCCACAGUGAGAUUUAGUUUUCUUUCGUUGUCUUGGCCAUAAUCGAGUUGUACGGGUUUUGUCCGGGUGAACCAAGUUUUUUCUUCACAUGAUGGUUAGCGUUCCAAGUGUCUGGUGCCGGUCGAACCGAACGACCGACGUCAGACGGUGGCUCCGGUGCCUCAAAGGUCGGUGAAGGGAUCGUCGUAGUGGUGGCACUGGUUUAAGCAGGGGAGCUACAGGGGAGCUACAGGAGAGCAUUUGGUGAGGAGAGGGGGCUGGUCGAGGAAGAAGACAAGCGUGGAGAACAACAGAAAAAGAAAAAAAAUAAUAUAAAAGGAAAAAAAAAAGGCCAAGAAAAAAGCCAAAAAAAAAAGAAAAGACAAAAGGAAAAAAAAUCAAUAAAAUAAUAAAAUAUUAUUAAAAAUUGUCCACAUCAAAGCCGUCGGUCCUAGGUGGCACUGCCAACGUCCACGUCUGCAUUUUCCAGCCAAAGUUGAUCGGAUGGAUUGAAUCGGUAAAAAGUGAAAAUGUUUAGGACUGAAUUGGCAAAAGUGCAAUAGGUUUAUGACUUUUUGGACAAUUUUCCCAUAAAGAAUGAGUUCAAGUGGGAAGAAUUUAUUUCAUAAUAUAACUUUAAAAAAGCCAUAUUGCUCUAAUUCUUGGAAGUUUCCGUUCUCCCACACCCAAAUUAAAAGGUCUCCCUGCAACUUCUUUUUUCUUUUUUCUAAACUUCUAAGGCAUCUUGUCUUCCACUUUUCCCUAAGAAGCAAAACCAUUUCACAUCCAUCAUACUUCUUGGAACGUGGUAACUUUAGACUUCUACGCCUUCCCCAUGUGAGGUAGGUAGCAACGAGAACCAUCUACCAUAGUUCUUUAGCCAAGUAAAUGUCUCAAGAACCUUCAAGGAUGGAGUCAUCGGAUCGUCAUCAAGGCUGAAUCAACUGCUUAUGAAGUUACCAAUAACUAUCACAACCACUGUUGUCGUUACCAUGCACCAGCCCUACCCCCAUUUCUAACAUCCCAUUAUCAUUCCAAAUCUAACAACAUGCCACCGUUGUCACUAGAUUUAACAUUGACAACUGAAUUAUGAUUUUUUCUAGUCGUUACACUAAAAAUUAGGGCUUGGAUUCAAUCCCUAAACAAAUAAUUUCAACAUAGCAUAGUUUGCAUAAUGGGGAGUGCGUACCAUGGAACAUUACGCAUGCGACUUUUUCUUAUUCAGUGGUGCAACUUAAAAUUGAAGUAAUUUUGUGAAAUCAGUGAAGACUCGAACCACUCGCAACUUAAAAGGUAAGCACAGGUCUUCCUGCAGCUUCUUUUUUCUUUUUUCUAAAUUUCUAAGGCAUCUUGUCUUCCACUUUUCCCUAAGAAGCAAAACCAUUUCACAUCCAGGAUACUUUAGACUUCUACGCCUUCCCCAUGUGAGGUAUGUAGCAACGACAAACACCUUCCAUAGUUCUUCAGCUAAGUAAAUGUGCUAAGGAACCUUCAAGGAUGGACUCAUCGGAUCGUCUCAUCAAGGCUGAAUCAACUGCUUAUGAAGUUACCAAUUACUAUCACAACCACUGUUGUCGUUACCAUGCACCAGCCCUAACCCCAUUUCUAACAUCCCAUUAUCAUUCCAAAUCUAACAACAUGCCACCGUUGUCACUAAAUUUAACAUUGACAACUAAAUUAUGAUUUUUUCUAGUCGUUUAUUACACUAAAAAUUAGGGCUUGGGUUCAAUCCCUAAACAAAUAAUAUCAACAUAGCAUAGUUUGCAUAAUGGGGAGUGCGUACCAUGGAACAUUACGCAUGCGACUUUUUCUUAUUGAGUGGUGCAACAUAAAAUUGAAGUAAUUUUGUGAAAUCAGUGAAGACUCGAACCCCUUCGCAACUUAAAAGGAAAGCACAGGUCUCCCUGCAACUUCUUUUUUCUUUUUUCUAAAUUUCUAAGGCAUCUUGUCUUCCACUUUUCCAUAAGAAGACAAAGCAUUUCACAUCCAAGAUACUUCUUGGAACAUGGUAACUUUAGACUUCUACGCCUUCCCCAUGUGAGGUAUGUAGCUAGGUGAACAACCCUCGAUAGUUCUUCAGCCAAGUAAAUGUCUAAGGAACCCUUCAAGGAUAGAGUCAUUGGAUUGUCUCAUCAAGGCUGAAUCAACUGCUUAUGAAGUUACCUAUUACUAUCACAACCACUGUUGCCGUUACCAUGCACCAGCCCUACCCCCAUUUCUAACAUCCCAUUAUCAUUCCAAAUCUAACAGCAUGCCACCGUUGUCACUAGAUUUAACAUUGACAACUAAAUUAUGAUUUUUUUUCUAGUCGUUCAUUACACUAAAAAUUAGGGCUUGGGUUCAAUCCCUAAACAAAUAAUAUCAACAUAGCAUAGUUUGCAUAAUGGGGAGUGCGUACCAUGAAACAUUACGCAUGCGACUUUUUCUUAUUGAGUGGUGCAACUUAAAAUUGAAGUAAUUUUGUGAAAUCAUUGAAGACUCGAACCACUCGCAACUUAAAAGGUAAGCACAGGUCUUCCUGCAGCUUCUUUUUUCUUUUUUCUAAAUUUCUAAGGCAUCUUGCCUUCCACUUUUCCCUAAGAAGCAAAACCAUGUCACAUCCAUCAUACUUCAUGGAACGUGGUAACUUUAGACUUCUACGCCUUCCCCAUGUGAGGUAGGUAGCAACGACAAACACCUUCCAUAGUUCUUCAGCUAAGUAAAUGUCUAAGGAACCUUCAAGGAUGGACUCAUCGGAUCGUCUCAUCAAGGCUGACAGCCGAGAUCGGCCCACCGAUACCAAUUACUAUCACAACCACUAUUGCCAUUAUCAUCCACCAGCCCUACCCCCAUUUCUAACAUCCCAUUAUCAUUCCAAAUCUAACAACAUGCCACCGUUGUCACUAAAUUUAACAUUGACAACUAAAUUAUGAUUUUUUCUAGUCCUUUGUUACACUAAAAAUUAGGGAUUGGGUUCAAUCCCUAAAAAAAUAAUAUCAACAUAGCAUAGUUUGCAUAAUGGGGAGUGCGUACCAUGGAACAUUACGCGUGCGACUUUUUCUUAUUGAGUGGUGCAACUUAAAAUUGAAGUAAUUUUGUGAAAUCAGUGAAGACUCAAACCACUUCGCAACUCAAAAGGAAAGCACAGGUCUCCCUACAGCUUCUUUUUUUCUUUUUUCUAAAUUUCUAAGGCAUCUUUUCUUCCACUUCUCCAUAAGAAGCAAAACCAUUUCACAUUCGGGAUACUUCUUGGAACGUGGUAACUUUAGACUUCUACGCCUUCCCCAUGUGAGGUAUGUAGCUAGGUGAACAACCCUCGAUAGUUCUUCAGCCAAGUAAAUGUCUAAGGAACCUUCAAGGAUAGAGUCAUUGGAUUGUCUCAUCAACGCUGAAUCAAGUGCUUAUGAAGUUACCAAUUACUAUCACAACCACUGUUGCCGUUACCAUGCACCAGCCCUACCCCCAUUUCUAACAUCCCAUUAUCAUUCCAAAUCUAACAACAUGCCACCUUGUCACUAAAUUUAACAUUGACAACUAAAUUAUGAUUUUUUCUAGUCGUUUAUUACACUAAAAAUUAGGGCUUGGGUUCAAUCCCUAAACAAAUAAUAUCAACAUAGCAUAGUUUGCAUAAUGGGGAGUGCGUACCAUGGAACAUUACGCAUGCGACUUUUUCUUAUUGAGUGGUGCAACAUAAAAUUGAAGUAAUUUUGUGAAAUCAGUGAAGACUCGAACCCCUUCGCAACUUAAAAGGAAAGCACAGGUCUCCCUGCAACUUCUUUUUUCUUUUUUCUAAAUUUCUAAGGCAUCUGGUCUUCCACUUUUCCAUAAGAAGACAAAGCAUUUCACAUCCAAGAUACUUCUUGGAACAUGGUAACUUUAGACUUCUACGCCUUCCCCAUGUGAGGUAUGUAGCUAGGUGAACAACCCUCGAUAGUUCUUCAGCCAAGUAAAUGUCUAAGGAACCUUCAAGGAUAGAGUCAUUGGAUUGUCUCAUCAACGCUGAAUCAACUGCUUAUGAAGUUACCAAUUACUAUCACAACCACUAUUGGUCGUUAUCAUGCACCAGCCCUACCCCCAUUUCUAACAUGCCAUUAUCAUUCCAAAUCUAACAACAUGCCACCAUUGUCACUAAAUUAACAUUGACAGCUAAAUUAUGAUUUUUCCUAGUCGUUUAUUACACUAAAACAUUAGGGAAACAAAUAAUAUCAACAUAGCAUAGUUUGCAUAAUGGGGAGUGCGUACCAUGGAACAUUACACGUGCAACUUUUUCUUAUUGAGUGGUGCAACUUAAAAUUGAAGUAAUUUUGUGAAAUCAGUGAAGACUCGAACCACUUCGCAACUCAAAAGGAAAGCACAGGUCUCCCUGCACCUUCUUUUUUCUUUUUUCUAAAUUUCUAAGGUAUCUUGUCUUCCAGUUUUCCCUAAGAAGCAAAACCAUGCCACAUCCAUGAUACUUCUUGGAACUUGGUAACUUUAGACUUCUACGCCGUCCCCAUGUGCGGUAGGUAGCAACGAGAACCAUCUUCCAUAGUUCUUCAGCCAAGUAAAUGUCUAAGGAACCUUCAAGGAUGGACUCAUCGGAUCGUCUCAUUAAGGUUGAAUCAACUGCUUAUGAAGUUACCAAUUACUAUCACAACCACUGUUGUCGUUACCAUGCACCAGCCCUACCCCCAUUUCUAACAUCCCAUUAUCAUUCCAAAUCUAACAACAUGCCACCGUUGUCACUAAAUUUAACAUUGACAACUAAAUUAUGAUUUUUUCUAGUCCUUUGUUAUACUAAAAAUUAGGGAUUGCGUUCAAUCCCUAAACAAAUAAUAUCAACAUAGCAUAGUUUGCAUAAUGGGGAGUGCGUACCAUGGAACAUUACGCGUGCGACUUUUUCUUAUUGAGUGGUGCAACUUAAAAUUGAAGUAAUUUUGUGAAAUCAGUGAAGACUCGAACCACUUCGCAACUUAAAAGGAAAGCACAGGUCUCGCUGCAACUUCUUUUUGUCUUUUUUUCUAAAAUUCUAAGGCAUCUUGUCUUCCACUUUUCCCUCAGAAGCAAAACCAUGUCACAUCCAGGAUACUUCCUGUAAUGUGGUCACUUUAGACUUCUACACCUCCCCAUGUGAGGUCGGUUAGCAAUGAGUACCACCCUCGAGGGUUCUUAAGCCAAGUGAAUGUCUAAGGAGCCUUCAAGGACGGAGUCAUCAUAUCGUCUCAUCAAGGCUGAAUCAACUGCUUAUGAAGUUACCAAUUACUAUCACAACCACUAUUGCCAUUACCAUGCACCAGCCCUACCCCCAUUUCUAACAUCCCACUAUCAUUACAAAUCUAACAACAUGCCACUGUUGUCACUAAAUUUAACAUUAACACCUAAAUUAUGAUUUUUUUUCUAGUCAUUUAUUACACUAAAAAUUAGGGAUUGGGUUCAAUCUCUAAACAAAUAAUAUCAACAUAGUAUAGUUUGCAUAACAGGGAGUGCGUACCAUGGAAUAUUAUGCAUGCAACUUUUUCUUGUUGUGUGGUGCCCCUUAAAAUAGACGAAUCUUGGCUGAAAGUUCUGAGUUAAUUGCCAAUCCAUGACUGUGGGGGCCCACUUAUGGAUUGUGGAGACUGAGAGAUGAUGAAGCCGUGAUUAUGGGGGCACACUCGAAAGGCUGAGGAGAAUUCGGUGGCUUCUUUUCCGUGAAUGACGGCCUCACAAAUUUAAGGAACGUGUCAUAGGAGACAUGACAAUUUUUUGGGAGCGUGAUUACCUCGGUCCUUGGUGAAAAGUCAAAGGAUUUGGGACAGGGGAACAUAUUGUGACUUAUCUUCUCCAAACGGAGCGUACUGAAGGCAAAAGCAAACUAACAAGGCAAAGUGUUGUAGAGGCCCGUUUACUUAACGAAGGAAAAGAGAAGAAUUCUUUCCAACUAGUGAAUGGCAAAAUCUCAGCAAUAAAGGCACAAAAUUCCAAAAAAUAAGGAGAUAUCGCCAAUAUUCAACGUUCACUAUGCCCUCUUGUUGUCACCAUUACGCCUCGAUGGUCACUGCCCCUGCUGCCCCCGACAUCACCGCUCCACCCAAUCAAGCCAAGUCCUCAUCAUUCCCUUUGGUGCCAUCAAUGUGGCCACCAACGCAGCGACGAGUCCAAACCAUACGCUAGACAUUAGGUUUCCAGCCAAACUAAAGAGACCUGCCAGUCCGGCGAACUCCUACAGCCGUUGUUCGCCACCAACAUUGAUUAACCAGCACCGGCGAGCAUCAAUUCUGCCCUGCAAUCGCGCCGUGAAGCCGCAACUAGGAAACAGACGCGGACGAGCAGGCGAACCAAAGUGCGCUCGCUGACGGUUUGCAACCUGAGCAACGGCCAACAAACUUUCUCCGUCGCAUCAAUUUAGCUGGCUUCCAGGCCCCACUCACAGCAAUCACUAGCCUUGCCGAUGCACGCCAGUAUCCCUGUUGUUGUCGUGUCCAGCCUGUUAGAAAAAUAUUAUAUAACAUGAAAAAUAAGGAUUGUUAGGAAUCUAUUAAAAAUAAUGAGAAAAUAAGAUUAAUUAUCUAAGGCCUGUAAACAUUGUCCUUAAGGACAAUAUCCUUAUAAUUUAUUUUCAUCAUAUCAAUUGUGAUUAUUUACUUACCCUUAAUUAUACCCAUGAAUGGACAUUGUUUAGUGGUAUAGGAUACUAAAAUAAUUAAAAUAUCAAAUGAAUCUUAGGUAAUAAACCAAUCAAGUUAGGGUAUCGAGAGGAGACUAGUUGGAUAAUUAGUGUAAUUAAGUUCCCGAUCUUAAAAUCUCCGGUUGCGUAAAAGGUGAAAUAUUUCCCCUAUCUUACUUGGCUCCUAACCUGCCUUAAUAAGCUAACAUUAGCUCCUUUAUGUAGCGUAAGUCAUACUAUAAUAUUGAAAAUUCUAAUGUCACACUAGUUAAGGGUUUGGGAGGACCCGAACUAUUUGAGAACUAUCGGUCCACUUUUGGCAUUAUCUCUAAACUCAUUUUUCCCCAAAAGUGUUGGGAGGUUGCGACAAGGAGAUUUCUCUUGCUGACAUGGAAAAGUACAUAGUCCCCUAAUUUACAACUCCCAACACAGAUAAUGCAGCUUUAAUGAAGAACAUGGCGAUGGGAAUGGCUUCUUGUAGUUGGACCCCAACGGUUCACGGUUUGUAUUGAUGAAUGGUUAGGUUGUUCGAGGAUUGGCCACUGCUCCUCUCUAUGCAUUAGCGAGUGAUGCAUAUAUUCCACAAGCAAAUAUAAAAGAAGAAGCGAAAUGAUUGUUUUUUGCAUGAGUGGGUGAUUGAAUUUUUAUAGGUUGAUAUGGAGAUACUUUUUUGGCGCUGCCAACCUAAUUAUUUAAUGAUGUUACUCACUCGAUUGACUUUGAACGCUUCGAGAUUACAUAGAAAGAUGACAUUCCCCACUUUUAUGAUGGCUAACGAAGCUGUUGACACUGACAGGUUUUAAAUUUUACAAAUGACAUAAAAGUGCUCGAAAUCGACGACUGGCUGACAAAUCAAAGAGAAAAUUUCCUGUGAGCAAAGGUCACUGGUUUGCAGAACCGGCCCAACCGAAAAUGACAGUAAAAAACUUUCGGAUUUAUCCUCCUCUGGGAGAGCUACCUAGCAGCCACGAAUGAGCCUCGGGGUCGGUGAACUCAUAAAUGAAGCACAAAGUGGACAGAAAUCCAUACGCAAUAUAAGGAGCGACUCUUUCCGCGGUACUCCCGGUGGGCCUGAUUAAUACAGUGAACAUCCCGAAAAUAUAGGCGAGCCCCAUCGCGGCUAUCGCAACUUCAAUGCAACCUCCCACAGUCAGGAUGUAUUUCGGCUCUUGAUGAAAGCUGAACGCACAACUUUGACAAUGUAAGAUUAUUGCCAGGACAGAGAGAAGGAAAGCAAUACUAUUGCAUAGGACAAAGGCUUGGAAAUCUGCCCUGCCAGCAAGAAUCGCCAUUCCCCGGUUGGGUCCAUCGUUGUUAUAACCUCCAGGCAUUGCGACGGCCGCAGUGAAGCUCACUGUGGCUAUGAGUGCUGCCACUAGUAGUUGAACGUCCACGAUGCUUUUUUUUUUGAUAAAUCGAAAUUAUCUCGGUUGGCAAUGUUAUUUCCUAUGAUUGUAGACAAAGAUGGUUGACCCUGAACAAAUUGCUUUUCUAACCUCUUCUUGCCAUGUUCAAUGAACCAGGCUUGAAAGCCCGAUAUUCCAUGAGAUCCUUCCAAUAGGUAAGAAACAUUUCUAGCACUGAAGUCGAUCUAAUGAUGUACAAGAUGUGUCAAUUAAUGAGUGAAAGUUUUCUAGCCAAAUACUUCAAGAUCCUCACUUUACAAACUCAAAAUCUAUUUAUAACAAUCGGAACUUGCAACGAGUGGUGAAACGUCAAGAAAAAUUCAUUGGAAAAAUUGUUCUGAAAGUCAAAAAUCUAUUGAACUUUUGUCAAUUCAGUCAUAAACCUUUUAAUUUUGUCAAUUGAGUCAUGAUUUUUUUCACAUUUUGCAAAUUGAAUCCAUUCAGCCAAAUUUUGUUGGAAGUCACUGACAUAGACGUCAAUCAUCCUAUGUGACAUGACCAGCACUAAUAUGAACAUUUUAAUAUUUUAUUUUUAUUUUUUUCUUUUUCCCUUCUCUAUUCAAUCGCUAGUCUCAAUGACCUCUAGUAAAGCUCCCCACCCUGCCCUCCAACCUAGCCACUAGUGAGGCCAAGCCUUGUCGUCAUUGGAAGAGGUCAAGCCUUGCCAAGGGUAAGCAAGACUUGCCAAUGGUGGGCAAGGUCGACCUCACCCACCCCUAGUGAGGCUCACCCUCGCCAGUGGCUAGUAGGGGUAAGCUUUGCUUGAGGCUAACAAGGUCAACCUUACCAACCCUUGCCUCUAACUAGUUGUUGAGGCUUGGUGACUAGAUAAAGGAGGAAGAAAGGGAAAAAAAUAAAAUAAAAAGAAAAAGGAAAAAGAAAAAAAUAAUAAUAAUUUGAAAUAUAUUAAAAUAUCAAUUACAAAUUAUCCAUGUUACCAUCGGCCGUGCCAUGUAGGUUGACUGAUGUCUAUCUUAGCAACUUUCGAUUAAAAUUGACUAGAUGGACUCAAUUAGUAAAAAGUAAAAAAGUUUAAGACUCAUUUAGUAAAAUUAAAAAGAUUUAUAACUGACUUGCCAAAUAUAUGAUAGGUUUAGGACUCUUUGGAUAAUUUUCUCGAAAUCAUUCAAAUCAUAGCUGAUAAACUAAAUGGUAGAUAACACUCGUUAAUAGAGUUUCCGAUAGCAAACAAUACAGUUACAAGUAUGCUAUCCCAGUCUUGAUUUAUUUUCUAACUUUCUUUUCUUUUUUUCUUUUUAUGCUAUCCCCUAGUAACAAAGAUUUAGACAAUCACUUUUGAAGUAGUUGAAGGCCCUUGUGUUGCCCAAAUUUGAGCUUUAUACUUAUUGAAAAUUUUUGUUCUGAUGAUACAAUAUGGUCAUACAACAUAUGAUUAACAAACGAAUAUGCAUUUAUCAACCAAACAACAAAUUUAAUUAAUACUCAAAUUACUUUACUACGUGAUUUGUUUUAAACUAUACCUUGUUAUUUGAAGACUUUGUCAAUGAAUAAUCUUAAUAAAGCAAAAUAUUCAAACUUAAAUUGUUUUUUAACUAUGUGCAUUCAACUUUUGGCUAUUAAUCUGAUAUUUGGUUUUUUGUUUCAUGCAAUCUGUACCUGGAGCUUUUAUUUGGGAUAAUGAGUUAAAUGUUUUAAAAAUAUAAGCAUUAAUUGGAGCUAUAAAGACUUCUGUUUUAAAUACAACUUUUUAGCUACUGGCAAGAUAAUUAUUUUGUCGUAUGAAAUAUUUAUAGGACAAUGCAAAUUCCUGACUAUGUUAUAGUUUAAAAAUAAAAAUUUGAAUACAACAUUUUAGCUACGAAUUUUGUUAUUUUUGCAAUACUCAUAAAUAUGGCUUAAUCAAAUUUUUAAUUAGUCAAAGAAUAUUUGACAUUUACUUUUCACAAAAUCGUUUCUAUCCAUACAUCUACUUUGUAGAUAAGUUAGCAAUUUUGAGAAAAAAAAAAGAGAGAGAGAGAGAUAUGACCAAACACUUUUAGUUAAUAACAAAUAUAUAUACCAACUCACAUCUUGAAAGAACCAUAAAGACUUCUAUAACGAGUUUAGAUUUAUUGACUAUUAUAUCAAAUCACAUAAAAACUACUAAGCUACGUGAAUUGAUGUUGAUUUUGUUGUAGGAACAAUAAUGUUAGAGAGAGCCUUUUUAUUUUUACAACUAAUAAUAGUUAGUUUGCUAAUUAAUAUAAAGUCAGGGAGGCGAGGAAGGUUUGAUAAUGGCUCAUACUCUCCCCCCAUUUUCUGGGGUGAAGUACACUAGAAGUGCCUUAACUUGUGUACGACACAUACUUUAGUGCCACAACUUUUUUGUAGGCUCACUUAAGUGCCACCUUUAAAAAAAAAAAUGAUUACUUAAGUACUAACUCAAAUCUGAGUGGCCGGAAAUCUAACAUGAUCAUAUUUUAUUAAUUUCUCAAUCCUAUGUGGCUUGCCGCAUGCCCAAUCAUUAUGUAAUCUCUAAAUGAUGCCAUUUAAUAAGUUAAAAAAGUGAUCACUUCAGUACUAAUCAUUAUAAAAAAAAAAUCAUUUCAGUGUCAAUCGUUAUUAAAAAGUGAUCACUUUAAUGUCAAAAAAAUCCUAAAUAGAGUUGUAUAAUAAGUUAAGAAGUGAUCACUUCAGUGCCAAUUUUAAUGAAAAAGUGAUCACUUUAGUCAAAAAAUUCCACCUCAAAUAAAAUUUCUAAUUAUAAAUUUUUUUCAUUGGAAGCACUUAGGUGAUCAUUUUUCUUCAAUCUUGACACUUAAAUGAGCCGGCAAAUAAGUUAUGACACUAAAGUAAACGCAGUAUACAAGUUAAGACACUUCUAGUGUAUUUUUUCCCAAUUUUCUUAUUAUUUGUUGUAAUAUAUGAAGGGUAAAAUCACUUUAUUCCGAACCCUUUUUUAAGUGUGUCACGCUUAAUAAAGAAAUCCAUGGUACUAUUUGCUGCAAAAAUUGAAAAUAUCGUCAAUAGGCUUAAACAAUCAAAUAAGCAUGACAAAGUUGACGCAAAAAGACUUCAAUCGGGUCGUAUGCAUGCACCUGAAAUGAGUAUUUCACUGGGGCCAUAGUUUCUAAAAGAUAAAAGAAGAAAUUACUCUGCCAGUGAACAAAUUGGGCUCUGCAGUAUUCAAACAAGCAUACCUCCUCAUGAGCAGAAAAAAUGUCAAGGGCGGUUAAAUGAUCUUUAUUUUUAGCCAAACGGUCCACCCUCUUGUCUCGUGCAAGUAUGUCUAUAAUGUCAUUUUCUUUAUGAAGUGCGGCCAAAUGCAGAGCCGUGUUCCCAUUAGUGUCUUGUUCGUUGAUAAGAUCCUCCCGAUUUGGCAUCCCUAGUAUGUACUUGACUACACUCACUUGUCCACCCAUAACAGCUACAUGUAGAGCCGUUUGUCCUUUGUUGUUUAUAAUGUCACAAGCAUCAGGACAGGAUGUAAUGAGCCCGUCAAUGGCAUUGAUGUGGCCUCGAAAUGCUGCAAUGUGAAGAGCCGAUUGUCCCUCUGUCUAAAUCAUAUAUUGCAAAAUUAUCGUGUUGCAGGAGUAGUUGAACUGCUUCGACUUUGCCAAAAUAAGCGACAUAAUGAAGAGGUCUCCACCCCGUAUCAUCUCCUUCUCUGAUCGCUUCUGGGCCUCUUCUCCAUGAUUUUCUCCCAAACUUUGCAUAUAAAAUAGGAAAAUGUCAUGAUUUAGUCCGUUUAUAGCAUCUUGACAUACAUAUUAAAGUUGCACUCCAUCCCUGCAAGUUUUUCCCAUUUUGUCUGUACUAGAAAGGACUAUGUCAUGGUAAUUCCGAGGAUUUUCUAGCGAUCUUGUGUAAUAUGCAUGCAACCUAACAGCCUUCAAUCUAGGACAAUGUAGAAAUUUGUUAAAUUUAUCAAUUGAUAAGUGAAAUUGUGAGAAAUUCGUGAAGUUGUUUGAGAAGAAGCUUCUCAUACUUUAAGCAAGGCAUCUGCACUCCCAAGGCUAGAAAAAAAAGAACAAGACUCUUUACUUUGAUGCCAAUCAUUAUACGGAUUAUAUAAGAGAAUAUAAAUAUUGAAUGAGGACUAGCACCUUCUACAGUUUCAAAAGUAAAAUCAUUGUAUCCCUUUCCUUUCAAGUCGUCAUUUUUGGCCCCCGAGGGUUAAGAAACUUAGUAUGCCCUGAUCUUUUGUAAUAUAGUGCCAGAUGCCCUGUCAUCACUUGCAAACUGAAAAAAGUGGUAUAAUUUAGGGAAAAAAUAAGAGAGAAACAAUUAUCAAAAUAACGAUUUUUCUAAAUGAACGUACAAUCUAAAAUGGAUACUAUUUUUCUGUCCGCGUUUUAACAGAAGACCAAUCGGUUGAAACUUAUUUUAUAGUCGAUAAAUAAAACAAUAAAGAGAAUACAAUGAGAAUAACAACUCAAAUCUUUCCAAAAACAUAACCCCACCCCCCCCCCCCCCCCCCCCCCGCGUAUAUAACUAAUCAAGAGUUGUGUUCAAUCUUUCACAAAUAUAAACGUAAUAAUAUACAAAUUAGUUUUGAAUUUACUAUUAUAUUUAUUGAAAGCUAGGAUAGACGGCAACCCUCUUGCUAGCACCAGCACUCUCAUCUAAGAGAAGCAUUGCACAAGAGAGAUAACUUUCGUUGAAAAAAAAUUCAUUGGGCUUAGUAUCUUGCGAUACUUACCAGUUAGUGAGAGAGAGAUUCCAGCAUGCAAAGCUGUCAAACCCUUGGGGCCCUUGUGAGAGGAUGACAAUGAAAAAUGGCCUAAAAUCAGCUCGGUGGUACAAGAAAGUCCUCGAUCUGCUGCAAUAUAAAGUGGGGACUCAUUGGCGGCAUUAGUAAAACUGCAGAGUUAAGAAUCUUCUUUAAUCAUCAACUUCACCACCCAAUGAUGGCCUCCUCUUACGGCAUGGUGCAGUGCAGUAUCCUUAUUCAAAUUCUGCUUUCGAAGUAGCUCUUUGCACGCAUUAACUCGUCCGUUAUUAACAACCCAAUGAAGUGAUUUUGCCAAAUCAAUGAAGGCUCGAACCGCUCUAUAGCUUCCCACUUUAGCAGCUAGGUGUAGGGGAGUGUCCCCUUUGUAGUUACCCUGCCAAAGAAGGGACGGUCCUAAUGGACAAUGAAGAAGACCUUCAAUGAAAUUUACCUGCUUGUAUUGAGCCGCAACAUGAAGAAUGUUGUUCUCCUUUGGUGUUGUUUGGUGGAAAAUGUCCUCUUCAUUUCCUGAUAUUAUUGUCUCAAAGGAAUCAGAGUCUCCCGACUUUGCAGCCUCAUACACUUUAGGAUGCAUUCUCACCGUUUCUCUACCUUUCCCCAGACAAAGAGUAGUUGCGAGUGAACUUGCAUAUAUAAGCAAUGAAUUCAAGCCGUAGGAAGUUCUUUCAGAAAAUAGUUUUCGAAAAGCCAAAUUGCUCUAUUUCUUUGAAGUUUCCGUUCUUCCACACGCAAAUUGGAAGGAAAAAGUCAAGCACGACAAAAAAUUCAACGGCCAGUCUCCCUGCAGCUUACAAAUUUUUUUUUUUUUUUGACUUUUGAACUAUCUUGUCUACCGCUCGUCAUCAAAAGCCAAACCAUUGCACAUCCUCGAUGCUUCCUAGAACAUCAUAACUUUAGACUUCCAUGCCUCCCCCGGGGAGUACACGGCAAUGCGAACCAUCUUCAAUAGUUCUGGCGAAUCAACCCUAAACGGCUUAUGAUGUUAUUAGUUGCUAUCACCCUUGCUGCUACUAAGCACCAGCCGCUACCCCCAUUUCUAACAUCCUACCAUCAUCUCACAUCUAGCAAUAACUUGAGACCGUUGUCACUAAAUUUAACGUGGCCAUAAAUAGUCUCUACCUCAUUUACCUACGGUUUGAUACCUAAAUAUUGAUUUUUCCCAAUCAUUUAUUGCAUGAAAAUUAGGGAUUGGGUUCAAUCCCUAAAAAAAAAAAAAUCAAAAGUACAAAGUUUGCAUAAUGGCCCGCGCUCCAUGAAGUAUCACCCAUGGAGCCAUUUAAAAAUGACAUUUUGGCCAAAAGUUCACGGUUAAUUGUCAAUCCAUAUCGCAAUUCGAAACUGAAAUUUCGUACUAAAUUUUGCAGAGGAAACGGAGAGAUGACCGAGCCAUGAUUGUGGGGGCAUGCUCAAAAGAAGGACUAUUGGGUGAAUUCUUUUCCAUAAAUGAUAGACUCACAUAUUUAACAAAGGAAUCAUUGGACACAAAUAUUUUUCUUGAGAAUAUUGGCUAAAUUUGUAGGCAUAUAAUUACCUCAAUCCUUGGCGAAAGUCAAGGAUUUGGGCAUUAUUGCGUCGAUCUUCUUCAGACGAUCGAGCGUACAUGAGAAGGCUUCAGUAUUGACUAAGGCAAAAGCAAAUUAACAAGGCAGUUCUGUACUGUGUAGGGGUCCGAAGAAAGGCAACUGUGUACCGUGGAGGGGCCAUUUAAUCAAUGAAGGAAAGGAAAGGCAAGUAAAGAGGAAAAUUCUUUCCAACUUUUCAAAGACAACAUCUCAGCAAUUAAGGCACAAAAUUCCAAAACAUGAGAAGAUAUUGCCAAUAUUGGACGUUCACUAUGGCCAGUUGUUACUGCGUUAAGCCUUCAUGGUCAUUGCCCCUGCCCCCACGGCAUCACCGCUCCUCCCAACCAAGCCAAGUCGGCAUCAUUCCCUUCGGUGCCAUCGACACCGCCACUGACGCAGCGAAGAGUCCGACCCACGCCAAACAUAGAUUUCCAGCAGAACCGUAGAGACCCGCCAGUCCAGCCAACUCCUGCAGCUGCUGUUCGCCACCAACAUCAGUUAACCAGCACCUCCGGCGAGCAUCAAUUCUUCCCUGCAGCCGCGCCACGAAGCUGCAACUGGGAAGCAGACGCGGACGAGCCAGCGAACCAAAGCGCCCUCGCUGACGGUCUGCAACCUGAGCAACGGCGAACAAACUUUCUCCGUCCCAUCCGUUUAGCUGGAGCUUCCAGGCCCCACUCAUAGCAAUCACUAGCCUUGCCUACGCGUCCCAGUAUCCCUUUUGUUGUCGUGUCCAGCCCGUUGGAAAAAUAUUAUAUGAAAUGAAAAAUAAGGAUAGUUGGAAAUCUAUUAAAGAUAUGAGAAAAUAAGAUCAUUUUCUGGAUCCUGCAAGUACUGUCAUACUCUGAAUACAAAAUUCGGUGCUAUAGGUUCUAAUCGCUAUCCUCCUAAGAAACAACAAACCUUCUUUUUUAUUAUGUAUAGAAUGAUAGAAGAAAUAAGAAUAAUGUUAUACAACCCAGCAAUGAAGAAAAGAUUUGAGAAAAAAAUGAUAUUCUCUUCAUAAUUCGGCAUAUAUUCAAAAAUGUCUUUUGUAGUUAUUUUAUAUUCAAAAUGAAACCAUUAUAAAGCCGUUGUAAAAUGAUAGAGGGUAUAUGAAAAAAUAAACUAAUCGUUACAAAGUCGUUAAAAAGCUGACCGUUAAAAAGGUACUUAUAUAACCAUUAAUAUAAUCAUGAUUUUCACUUCAGUCAUAACUUCUAUAAAAGUCAUUACUUUAAAAUAUUUCAAAAAGUGUUGCAAUGGCCUUUUUGCACGACAUCACCCUAUAGUCCACGCAGCUUCCAGGUUUUCCCAGUGGGCAAUCAGCAAGCUUUGAGCACACCCAAGUGACCUGGCUCUUCCCCAGACCAGUUCAAGCAAACCCCAUCGAGCUCUUGAUGCGUUAAUUGAGUCCAGUAGCCUCAGUCGAGCUUCCUCCGCGCCUAUAAUUUUCCUGCAGUGUCCAAAGCUAUUCCCGGUGAACCAGCGAAUUUCAGCAAGCCCUGACCUUCAGCCUUGCCUUCUUCGACUUGCUGAGCUCCCUGCGGUCAACUCCAGGUGUCUCCACCAAUCUCCGGCGAUUCCUGCUCAGCCCCGCUGCAUCCCCAGCUACAUUUGGACUUGUUGGCUUUGCUUGGAACCUCUUCCUUGAGUCAACCUAGCUUUUUGGACGUCCCUGCAGGAGCUUCACGAGCGUUGAUUACCUUUGUCGACGCUACUACUAUCACUUAGUUGCCAUUUUGAUUCUACGUAAGCUAAGUCUUUGAUGUGGUGGCUCAAUUUUUAGUAUAUAAUGUUAAGUUCGUGACAUUUAGUAAAGCCUUAGGAUAUCUAAUUCCGCUUUAAAUAUUUUCCUGCAUUAGUCAAGGAAUAUUAGGGCGCCGGACCAUUGGGCCUAGAGGUCAGGUACUUAGUAUCGCCCCUUCAUUAUUCGUGACUAUAACAUAUCUUUUUAUGCGUGAUUGGUUGGAAAAAUUUUACAUGCAUCACAAUAAUGUCUUUGAUUUUUAAUGGUAAACUUUGGUAAAACAUAUACUUUGAUGCUUGACAAUCAUCAUGUAUAAAUUGCAUAUCAUAAUCUCUUAUACAUAUUUAGAGCUUAGGGUGCACUCAUAAUUUCAUAUUUGGGGCAAUGCACUUAAUCUUAAAAUGAACAUAAAUUUAGGAUAACGCCUAGUUUUCAUUAUAACAAAAUGUCAUUAUUAUAUGUAGAUUGCAUGUAAGUUUCGAGUUAAUCAGUCCCAUAGCAUGCGUAUCAUAGAAUACAAGGCUUUUAGAAUUAAUCAUAUGGAUAACGUUAACUAUUAAUGGCAUUACUGCAUCAUCCAUUGCAUAUAAUUCCAUAAUCACUAAAUGUUCGUUAGGUCUCGGAUUUUUAAUAUAAGAAUUGCACUCCAUAUGGUCCUCAUAUAGAAUAGAUUCAUGAUCUCCAUAGACCACUCAUUUUUGAUAAUUAACUAAGAAUAGGGCGUACAUUAUUUAAAAUGUUCCAUAUUGCAUAUAUAAUAGAAAUUGCAUGCUCAUUUAAUUUAUAGACUUUAGGGUCAUCUGUCUUGUUGUUAAUUUAUAAAAGAAAAAAGAAUAAAAAAAGUCAAAUUAGAGAGUCUCACGUAGAUUGCAUUAAUUAGGCUAACUUUUUCUAAAAUUCAUAUCGCCCACUAUUCAGUAGAUCAUUUAGGAUUAAUCUGACUAAUGUCCCACAUAGAUAAUUUUCGGAAUUAAUUCCAUCAUUUGUCAUUUAAAACUAAUCAUGCAUAUCACGUAGCUGCAUCAUUCUUGCAUGUCAUUUAGUUAUUUUAUUAGGUCCUUGGCAUAUCGGUAAAUUUCUUUUAACAUAGAACUCUAGGGUUUAUUUGUGUUUUUCUUAAAUCAUUGUGUUGGUUAAAUAAUAAAAAAAAUUUAAAAAAAUUAGAAUAUAUUGCAUAUUAGUUAGUCAUUAACUCAUGCUAAUCAUAGACACCAUUCAUGCAUUAUGUAUGCAUAUAUUCCUAGCUAAUGGUUUGUAGAAACCACGUGGUGAUGGAUAGUUAUAUGCUUUGCUUUGGCUUGGUGAAUCCAGGUUCUUUAAAAUUUUUACAAUCUAUUUACUACUUUGAUUAUUGAGUGUUACUUUCUUGAUUGCACGCUCACGAAAUCACCAUCACCCAUACUAGCACAUUUGAUAAAAUCAACUAAGAUUGCUUGCAAAAAUAUUUUCAAAAUAAUAAGAAAAGGUACCAAAACGGCGUUGAAUUAAUCUAGUGUAAUUAACUCCUUGAAUCCAUUUGAAUAUCUGAUUCGAAGAAGUAAAAUAUACUCUCACAUUUUACUUGUGUGUCUAAUCGACCCAUGGAGAUUAGCGGUGGCUCCAAAAGGUAAGGUAAAUUACAUAUCUAAUUAAAUACCAAGUUAAGAUUGGUGGGGCUUCUUGGAAAGAGCCCAUGCUAAACACAAACAAUUGCCUCAUGAGGAAACCUUCAUUCCCAGUAAUAAUCCAUUAGCCUUCCCCUAGUGGUUCACUAUUGGGAAGGUCGCAAAACCUACUACCACUUAGCAACUUCACUUUGUUGACACCUAAAUUUUGCCUUGGUAUUUUAAAUUAGGACUUAGUUUUUAUUUGCAUCUAUAUUUAUUUUCUCUUUUCACCUUUUUUGGAUAAAAAUAAUGAUAAUAAUAAUAAAUAAAAAAAAACAACAGCCCAGCCCCUUCCUCUUUUCUUCUUUACCCUCGUGCGGGCCCCCAGGGCCCGGCCCGGCCCUUUUCUCCCCCCAGGCCUGGCCCCCUUCUCCUGUUUGUCUUCUUCCUCACAUUGUCUUCUUCCCCGUUCGGAUGAGCAACACACGCUAGAGGCCGAACGCGCGUGAUGCCGAAAUGGAGGAGGAGACGGCGACGUACCACAUAGCAGGCGGAGGGGAUGCGUCUUCAAUGCGAGGUGGCCUAGCUAAAGCCACCUCGACAGAUGGAACGCCAAUUUGGCCGACGAAGGCCGUUUGGUGUGUGAAGGACGAACGACCGAACCUUCGUCAAUCAGCCUUCCCCUCGCCUAUAAAUAGGGCGUUGGGGAAGGCUAAACCACGGCAAAGAGAGGGAUCACCGACAGCAAGCUUCGAGAACCUUCCCCGAGAGAGAUUCGGGGGAGGCCCGAGGGCUAGCCUCUGGAGAUCUCAGAUUUGACCGGAGAGGGUCAGAUUCUGGGGAUAGACGUCGAGCAAGAGUAGCCAAGGCCAGCCGGAGGAGAGACACCAAGUAGGAGCAAUCGAGGUCAGUCGGAGACAGAGAUCCGAGAGAGGCCAACCAAUCCGAAGGAGGGCGAGAUCCAAGCAAAUCGCACCCCUCCGCCAGACCUCUGCCGUGUCGACGCCUUCCCCGAUCCCUGCCGUGCCCUGCGUUGCCGCCGUGUCAGGUAAGAAUGCUGCAGCUGCCCCUUUUCUUCUUCUUUACAUCUUGUUCGGCCUCACUGCGUCCAAGGUUUCCCGGUGCCGCCGUCACCGUAGCUUAGAAGACGCCGAAGCUUGCACCACCCCCUGUUUGUAUCGCUCCAACCACCAAGCCCCCCACCAUCUGCUGUUAUGGCCUCACCGUCGCACUUGCUAGCGUAAGCUACGGCUGCCCCUGUUAGGGUUCGAAGGUGAGGAGUAAAGAUCCCACGACUGGCUUCGUUGACUGGUUUUCCUAAUUUACCAAAAAACCAAAAAUGAUUAAUAUUUUCAAAAAGAGAUCAAAAUUCCAAAAAUGCUUUUUAUGUUCAAAAAAUAGAAAAAGACCCAAAAAAAUGUUUUUCCUUUGCAAAUGUAUGGAAUACCCCUCAAAAUUCUAAAAAGCCUUCGGAUUUAAACAAAUUAGGUACUUGAAGGGCAUUAAUGAUUAACUAGUGUAAUCAAGUUCCUAAUUUGGUUUCUCUGGUUGCGUAGGAGCGAAUAUUCCUCCCAAUAUUUACCAAUAUAUAUAUAUAUAUUCCUCUCAAUAUUUCGCUUAGAUUUCUAAUCGACCCACCCCAAAUUAAUUAAUGGCGACUCCUUAACUUAUAGGUAAAAAAAUAUCAAACCAUUAAGUCGUGAAUUGGUGGGCUUAGGAGAGCCCGAAUUAAGUCUGAUAGACCUAGUCAAACCAUUAGCCUCCGCAAGCGCUUGCCUUGAUCGAGUGCCGAAAAAAGAGGUCGUGACACACUUCGAUCUCUACUAUAACCCUAUUUUUAUUGUUGAAUAUUAAAGUAGAAAAAUUGUGGAAUCAUGACUAGCUGCAUGGAAAAAUUAAAAUGUUAAAGUAUAAUGUCUCAUAGUAUUAUAAUGCAUGUGUGAAUUGUGCUAAAAAUAUUUACAUUGGAGAAUUGAUUUGUUAUUGAAUAGUUAAUAAUCUUAGUUGACCUAUAACUUAUUAACUUAAGUUUUUUUAGUGAAUAUAGGUAUAACUGAAUAUAUUCAUGAGUUCAGACUUUGAUUCUCUCUUAGCGAUCUUUCCAAAUGAAGGUAUCAAUUUUGACUAAAGAUUGAUCCAACUAAAUAUAUUGAUAAACUUAGACUUAUGCUCGUCAUUGCUAAUCUCCCCUAGAUAAAGGCAUCAUAUGGUGAUUUUAGUGCAAAGAGAGUUUACAUCCAAUUGAGGCAUUUUCUUCUUGGAGACAUGAGUUUUUCAAGCUAUGAGAUAAAUCUCGGUGAUUUCUUUUAUCAAUAUUGAGUAAUUACAUGAAACUAAAUAUUGUAUGUUUGAGUGUAAUCUAGAGUUGGAAAAUACUCAAGCAUAGGAGUAAUUAUAACUCUAUAAUUAUGUAAUUGAUUAAUGGAUUAUUUGCUAUUAACUCUCUCUUGGAGUAGAAUUAGACACUUGGAUUGGAUCAUGUGAAUUUCUCAUUUACUUUUUUGUUUCUCAUUCAUUCCACCGGUAAUUUCAUUCUCUCGUAUUAAUUUAAUUGCAAGAUCCAUUAUCUUUAGCAUAAUUUUACAAUAGAUAGCUUAACAUUUUCAUUGUAUACACCAUAUAAAGAUCUCUUAAUUACUUGUUGAAUAACAUUUCUAGUAAAGUAAGAAUAUAGAUUUAUUCGUAGAUUUAAACCACUCGACUAAGUGAUAUUUUCUUCUUGGUUGUGGAAUAUGAAAUGCUUCGAACUCCGGAGGUAUUUUUUAGCACACUAAAAUAAGGUUAAUCGGAUGAGACCAAAGAAAGCUCUUUUUCGCCCAAAAAAACUUUCUUAGUAGAAAUAUAUCAUUCAAAGUGGAUUUUUUUUUUUUUAAACCUUGGGGUACGGAUGUGAGAUCUAGUUAUUCGGAGGCUCAUAAAAUAUCUCGUAGUCGGUGAGAUUUGAAUAUUUAGUUUCUGAUCUGGAAAUCUCUGUUGCCAUAGCUUUAUGCUGCUAUUGACAAUAUCUCCUCUAGUUGAUCAAUUAUGAGACAAGAAAUAGUUGAAAAAAAAACGCUUUCUCCCCACCAUAUUAUAUCUCUUUAUGUGUGCCAAUUGAUUUCAUUGAUCAAUUUAUUAGAGACUUGAUCAAGAUACCAACUCGAAUAUAUAAUGAACAAUUGGCCUAAAAUUUCUUGUAGUUAUGCGGUAAUCAUCAAAAUCUUUAGGUAUUUGAUUAAUCCCCACUAGAUGAAGGUAGUCGUCACAAACAGACAAUUUAGAUUUUAAUAAACAUUCAACACUACAUGAAAAUUAACACGAAUCAUAAAAUCCGUUACGUGAUAACCUUCAUAGGAUGCUUAAUGCACCUGAAAAUUAAAGACCAUAUGUCUGCUUUUUGACCAAGCAAACAAAGCCAAAACAAAACUUUAGUUGGACAAAUGGACCCUCUAUAAAGAAUAGAUAGACUUGCUUUGAGGUGCAAAAAGAAAGUCAAGCCCUGCCAUGUUCUUUAUUUUUAAAGUUGUCAUAUUUUCUAAGGAUAAGUGUUUUGUAAGUCCUAAAAUUUAUCAUAAAAGUGUAAUUGAGUUCUAAAAUUUUCAAAAAGUGCAAUCGAGUCCUCAAACUUAUUAGUAUUUUCCAUUUGCCAAAUUGGACGAAGUUAAUGAAAUGACUAAAUUGCACCAGUUCAAUAAGUUUUAGGACUAAAUUAGACUUUUUAAAAGUUUAGGACUCAAUCGCUUUUUCAUGACAAGUUUAUAACUUGGUCACACUUUUUGAAAAUUUUUACACUUUCAUGAUAAAUUUUAGAACUUUCAGUACACUUAUCCCAAUAUUUUGAUAUGAAGCAACGUUGCGUGGUAGACAAUUAAGGGUACUUUGUAAUCAGUUUUAAUUUUUCAUAUGCAACUAUUAAUGGACAUGAAGAUAUUAAACUUCAUUUAAAUAGUAUAUGCUUUGUCAAGACACUACUCCAGUUACCACUCCCCCGCUUGUUAAAUUUCGUGGAUAGACAUAUGUAAUGUGUUGACCCAAUAGGUCAUGACUUUUAAUUUAGAUAUGUAGGGUGCUAGAUAUGCCUCUGAUCUCACAUUGCCAUAUAUGAGUUGUAGUUGGUAGAUAAAUCUCACAAAUUCUCAAAUUAAUAUGGUAGGCUCUUCCGCCGUGUUGGCAUGAGUGAGCUAGAGCCAAAGCUAGAACUUUAUGUGUUGGCACGGCGAGCUUGUGUGUCAUUUCCUACAGUGGUAUAGGCAAGUUAGUCAAGAUAGAGAUGUUAGCGAUUGUUUUUAAUUUCACAAUCCCAUGCAUGUAAGACGUGUUGUAUUGGUUAGGAGUAUGCAAUAGGAAUAGUCUAAAUUGGGAACCACCCAGACCAGACUGGAUUGGCUGGUUAUGAGCAAUUCCCAGAGAGGGCGGUCCAGUUCCAAUUCUAAGGUGGGAAUUAGACCGACGGGACUGAUUGAUAUAAAAAAAAAUCGAGAAAAAUCAUUUUGCCCAUUUUAGGUUUUGCUUUCCCCUCCUUCCUUUUUGCUUACUGCUUUCCCCUCCCUUUUGAUUAACACAAGCUGAUAAAAACCCACUGAAAAAACCGAAGCUUUAAGCUUGAUUCUUGAAGACAGAAACGGUCGUUGUGGUCGCAGUCCUCCUGAGGCUGGGCGAAGGACCAUCGUGCAAUCAAAAGACACGCCGAACUACACCAGUUUAGGCGUGCGGUACAUGGACGUGGGAGAAGGAAGGAGGAGAAAUCAUAAGUAAAGGGAGCAAAAGGGAGGACCUGGAGGUGCGCGUCGUAGUCGGAAGGAUUGUUGUAGAGCUGGGACUCUAGGGCUUCAAUCUGGAGCUUGUCCUGAGCCUCGGAGUCGAAGUCGGAGUUGGAAUCGGAAUCGGAAUCGGAAUCAGAGGCAGAAGGGGAAGAAUCGGCAAGGACACCCACGGGCUCGUCUGGAGGUGAAGGCAUGGCUGAAUCUCGACCUUCGUCGGCCAUCUCCUUCUGGUCUGCUUCUCCGACCAUCUCCAUCUCCGUCUUUCUUUCUCUUUCUUCUGGAUUGACGAUGGCGGACGCUUUUUGGAUCAGAGAAAACCCCGCUAGUCAGUAGUCACUGCUCUGUUGGCGAAAAACUGAGAAACGUUGCGACGGGAUCUAUAAAAAGCAAGUUUAUUGGCAUCACACCAACUCCUUUGCAAUUAUGCUGCGGUUUAUGAAGUGACAACAAGGCCAUGCAGCCACUGAACAAAAUUCUUUCUGGAUAAUCUACAGAAAAAGACAGAGCUAUCAACAAAACAGUGCACUCCCGUCAGCCUAUCGACAAGACGGGGUCACUAAAAAAGGACCGAUCCAACUGAAACAACCACUUAUCUCCUCAUCCUUCACUGCAAUAAUUAGAACAUCCUCAAGCCGCGAGCACCAACUCAUCCAACACGGCAACAAACAAACAACAAAUUAUCAAUUCCACCGGACCAAAUCGGACCAAUCAGUCGGUCCAAUUACCAUUUUCAGGACUGGUCGGUCUGAUUUCCUGAUCCUAGAAUCUGGGAAUUGGUCCUCCUAGUCCGAUUCCCGGUUCCACCUCGGAACCAGAUUGGCCUGGGAACCAAUCAGUCCGAGUACAGUUAUAUGACUCUAGCUCAAUGAAGUUAGAAUGAUGCAUUUUAAUGCCGUGUGGAGGUAGAUGAGUCGCAGUUAGAAUGGGCAAUAUCAUGUUCCCGGUAAGGUCGCAAUAUUUGUUGUUUUGGCUAGAAAAUAAAGCAUACAUACAUACUGGAAGACAUCCUUGCAGACACCGCCAAUAAACCCAUUUGCAACUUUGUCCUCUCUCACUUCAUUUUACUAAUCAAAAGAAAUUCUUGCAAACACUAACGUGUUGAAAUUAAUCAAUUUGUAACUUUUCUCUUUAUAUAAUCUAGGGCUACCAAAGUGAGAAAACUCGGUUAUCUGAAGAUUCAUAAAAUAAUCUACAAGUCUUAUAUAUUGAUUAAACUUAUACUUUAGCUUUGCAAAUAGCUAGUACUAAAAAUAACUUGCACACAGUUACAAUAUAGGAGGUUAUAGAUACGAAAGUGGGAUUACAUCCUUUGGAAAGUUAAUUUUUUGACCGAAGUUUUUGAAAUAGCUAGUACGAGUACCUAGAGGGGGGUGAAUAGGUAUACAAAAAUUUCUCGAACUUGGGCAAGCAGCACCCCCACUUCGCGCUAGAUUCGUCCUUGUUAUUGAAUAAAAUACUAAAAUAAUAUGAGUUUGCGAAUUACUCAGUAAAUCAAGAGAAAUUUUUUCAAUAAAUUUUAAACAUGACAUUCCCGUCUAUUUAAGUUGACCACUACUCAGGCCAAAAGAAAAAAAAAAAAAAUUGAUCACUACGUGUUAGUAUUAUUAAAUUUUAUUAUGUUUUUUUUUCAAAAAAUAAUAUAUCACAGUAAUUAAUCUGGGUGAACGAAACAGAAUCAUAGUAUCAAAGAAUCACAAUAAUCUCUCCAUAAAUUAACCUCAAAAAGAUAAAAAGAAAGUAAAACCAGCAACUUUUUGGAAUCUUCUUAGUCACUAGAAGCCAAUGUUAUUGUGUAUAUUUUACUGGUUAAUGAUAAGUAACUGGCAUAUAGCAUUAGGUCUUAAUUUUCUUUUAAUUGAAAGGUAACGUUUCAUUCAUUUCCACAAAAAGACAAUGCAUCCAACUGCAAACCAAAAUAAACCCCAAAUAGUUUCAAAGCAAAACAAAUUCCAAAUAAUAAGAUGAAUCAUCAAAACAAAGUUAAGAGCCACACGUUCAAAGAACAAAUAUGUGAUUUUUUCAAAUCAAAAUCGUCGAUCGAUCACUGAAUCCAUCUUCAAUAAUGAGCACACACCGAGAACUCCAUAAAUUGCUAUGGCUUUGUCUUUCGGUGGUGUGCAUCUAGGUUCGACGUCCUGAGCACAUAUCUGAUUGAAAGAAGCCUUCAUAGAACUGCUACAAUGUGACAUCCCGAUUUUCCAAUUCUAUUUUCAAUAAAUUGAGACGGGCAUUUCGUUGGCACGCAUAUAGUUCUUUUCCUUGGGUCGGCCACUCAUGUAAAAACUAGUCUAUCGGGUGAAGUCGUUAAGAAAUUCUAAUGCAUCACACUCGAGAAUUUGGUCAGGAAGCAACCUUUCAACCGAGCUAAUCUGAAAGGGUCAUUACGACACAAAUGAAAGUCGAUUAGAGACCGGAGAUAGGUCAACUCGACAGAGGCGUGUGAUCGAGUGUGGGUGAUUCCACCGGAUCGCAUAAUCUUUGUCGAUCGACACUGGACCGACUUUUCUAUCGAUUGGGUACCCUGUGUUCGUAUUUGAAACCUUGAGAUUACCCCGACGACCGAAAGUCGCCAAUGUUUCAAAGAUGUACAUUGUGGCUUGACAUGAUCAACCACAGGUCAAAUGCAUAAAAAUCUCUAAGGGCUACCCGGUAGGUUAGGCCGCGCUAGUAUCGUGCCAAAGUGAAAUUAACCGUGGAAUUGAGAUCGAAUUCAGAAAUUGGAAGUCGGGGUGUGUCACAAAUCAUUUCAAGAUCAUUGAAUCAUCUUCGGGAAGAUUUUUUUCAUGCAAGCCGAGCUUUUCAGCAAAAUAAUCAAGAAAUAGCUAAUUUGGCUCGAGAAAUUAGUAGGCCACUUUUGGUCGCGCUUUUGGGACUCAAGUUGAUUUUAUAGACAAGUGAAGAUGUGAAUUGAAGUGUGGUGGCAUUGAAUUUAUUUUAUGGACCUCAACUUGAUUCAAUUGGAAGAGAAUUGAUGAGAAUUGAAGAAAUGGGACGUACAAGAAUUGGACCUCGGCGGAAAAAUAAAAUGGACCCAUUAGAGUAUGGUUGUGGGAGAUAGUGGAGUGUGAUGUCAUGCAUGAGGUUAUGGUGGGGCCAAAGAGAGAGAAAGAGAGAGAGAGAAAGAGAAAAAGAAAGAGAAAGAGAAAGAGAGAGAAACCGGUUUUCUCCCUUUCUCCUCCGUCGAGACCUCCCCUCCAUCUUCUUCUUGUUGCUUGAAGAAACGCAGCAAGCUGAAGAGGCUGAAGACCAGCGAACCAGAGCAGCUCCGCCCGUCGCCGAUCGCCGCCGCUGCACGCCGUCGUAGUCCCGCGCCUCACCACGCGCAACCGGCUCCCUCUCCCUCUUCAGCCGUAGUCGAAGCCCUCUCUUCUCCAUCUCCAGUUGCUGCUCGUGUCCCAGCAGAUCUGGGAAGACGCCGAAGCAGCCAGGAGUCUAGUCAGACCGCCAUCGCGCCCCGCUUGCCGCCGUCCGCCUCUCGCGACACCCUGCCAUCCUCGCGCAACAAGCCUGCUCGUCCCUGCUGUUCCGCGAGUUCAGCAGUCAUUCCAGAUCUGGGGAAGCUCAGCCGGAGCCGCCCAGCUCACCUCUGGCCACCGUGAAGCCCCGCCUAGGUCCAGUUCAGCUCCUCUGCCCAUUCCCGACCCCAACCAUCCCCGGAUCUGCUCAUUUUCGGCCCCAACCAACAGUGAACAGAGAGUUGGAAAAUGGGUAUGCAGUGGACGUUUGGCUCGUUUUGGCCGCCUUCCCGAGCUCGGAUGCUCGGCCCGCUUUGAGGAAAGUUGUUCUCCUCGGCGUCCCCGUCGUUUUGGUCCGCUCAGCUCAAUAAUCCGGUGAGUUUAACUCACUAAACCUCGCUUAGAGGGUUAAUGAUGCUUUAGGUGUGUUUAGUUUAUGUUAAGUGUUUUUAGGUGGUUAGUUUAAUUUAUUUAAGUGUAGAUUAUAUUAAUGUGCUUGAUUAACUUAAAUUGUGUUUAAUUUAAAGUUAAGUGGGUGUUUAUAUUAAUAUAAACAUUGAUGUGACAUAAAUGAAUUUACUUUUGAUUUAUUUAAAUGUCUCGAAAUUAUUAUAUAAUUUAAUAAUAUAUUUUAUUCGAAAGUAAUAAAAUAUUAUUAUUUAAUUAUUUUCGGAAUAAAUUAAAUUAUUUGUUAAAUUCCGAAAAUUUUGUCGAGACCUUAAAUUCUCAGAAUUUCGUGCCGGUCGUUGCUGUGUAGUCGGAUUUUGAAAUUGAUGAUUGGAUAUUAUAAAUUGAGUGUGGAGUUCGAAAACUAUGGAUAUUAUUAUUUAAUUAAUUUUCGGAAUAAAUUUAAUUAUCUAUUAAAUUCCGAAAAUUUUCAUUGGGACCUUAUUUGCUCAGAAUUUCGUGCCGAUCGUUGCUGUGCUAGUAGAAUCUCAAAUUGAUGAUUGGUUGUGAUGAAUUGAGUGUGAUUGCGAUUUAUAGGGAUUCUUUAUGAAAUCCUAAGUGUAGAAAUUGAUGGGAGAUUGGCUGUGAUUGACCACCUAUUAGAGGUCGUGCCCGAUGAGGCCGUGAAAUACCACCUAGGAAAGGUCGUGCCCGAUGAGGCCAUGAAAAACCACCUACGAGAGGUCGUGUCCGAUGAGGCCGUGAAAUACCACCUAUGAGAGGUCGUGCCCAGUGAGGCCGUGAUAAACCACCUAUGAGAGGUCGUGCCCAGUGAGGCCGUGAUAAACCACCUAUUAGAGGUCGUGCCUGAUGAGGCCGUGAAUUGCCACCUGUUAAAGGUCACGCCUGAAAUAGCUAGUACGAGUACCUAGAGGGGGGUGAAUAGGUAUACAAAAGUUUCUCGAAGCUUGCACGAUAUCAAUUAGAGUAUUUGCAACAGUUAAAAAUUCAAUCGCAAGACUGAGUAAGGGAAAGAGAGAAUUGAACACUCGGUUUAUAGUGGUUCGGCUUGAUUCAAGCCUACGUCCACUCUUCUGCACUGACAGCCGAUUGGCUGGAUUCCACUAUGAUCAAAGAGUUGUUACAGUGUUGAUCUUCCUUGAUUUCUAGGUGUAGAUGAUCUACCGCACUCACUCAAGGCGUCACCAAGUAUAAACACUCUCUGUAUACAAUUUCGCUCAGUCUCAACUAACAAUCAAGGAUCUUCAGACUCUGGAAUUUUUCUAUCGAUCACACACUUAAAACAACUAGAACGUCUUCCUUUUAUACUCCUUCAUGCCAUCAUAGCCGUUGGCACUUACCAAAGGAAUUCCUCCAAUCUACCCGUUGGACGGAAUCAAUCAAGAAGAUCAUCCGAGCUAUUUAAGGAAUCUGAUGAUAGCCCAUCAAUCCUGUUCGCCCAUACAAUCAGGAUCUCGGUUUCCAAGAAUAGAAUAAUCCAAAAUUAUUUCGUCGACCAUCGGAUCUUCAAUCGAUCUUAGAUAAGAAUUAAAGAAUCCGAAAUGAUUAUCCAACCAAAGAAUCUAUUCCAGAGGAUAGGAUCGAAUCCUCAACCAUAAACCUCGGCUUUGGAUUUCCUUCAACACUGGAUUAGAAAAGACUGUCAGUGAGAUAAAGUCUUGAGUCCUGAGUCUUAAGACUUGAGACUUGNNNNNNNNNNNNNNNNNNNNNNNNNNNNNNNNNNNNNNNNNNNNNNNNNNNNNNNNNNNNNNNNNNNNNNNNNNNNNNNNNNNNNNNNNNNNNNNNNNNNUUGAGUCUUGAGUCAGUGAGAAUAGACUUAAGUCUUGAGUCCUGAGUCUUAAGUCUUGAGUCUUGAGACUUAAGAGAACAAAGUCUUCAGACUUUAAACUGACGGUCUCCGAACAUGCAGACUUUAGACUGAAAGAAACGUUUUGUCAGCUUCAAAAUAUUCUGGAAAGAUUUCUCCAACAAUCUCCCCAUUUUUGAUGGUGACAAAACUUUCUUGAAGAUUUGAACAACUUUGACCUGCAAAACAUUUCUCAAGCAAUAUGGCUAACUCAUAAAGAUUAAUAAAACAACCAGACUCUGCAUCCACAGAAAAUUGGUUAGUCUUUCAUGAGAAACACCAUAUAACAACACUUGAAUAAAUGCAACCAGUCAAGUUCAUAAUCCACAGCCAAUUCAGUCAAAUUCACACCCAAGUUCAAGUUCUCAAAUUCACACCCAAGUUCAAGUUCUCAAGUCAUACUCAAAACUAAACAUAACCACAAAGGUCAAAGUUUAAAAAAUGAAUGAAAGUUCAAAUUGGUUCUCCCCCUUUUUGUCAGCAUUGAAAAGGGUGAGAAAGGAGUCAUGUCUGCUUGGGAAUGCGCACGAUCUGGAAAUCCCCAAUGGACUGGACUACUCCUUCGAGCUUCUUCAGGUCUUCUCGCAGAUGAGCUACCUCUUCUCUCUUGGCAUUUGCUUAAAGUUGCAGAGCGAGGUCUUUGAAUUUAUCUUCCAGAGAGACUGAAGAUGCUUGUCCAGCAUGCUUCAAAGCUUGGAUUUCACAAUCCAGAACAUAUAUCUGGUUACGCAUUUCCAGAAGAAUAUUCAUGAUACUACGAAAAUCUGCAUAAUCAUCCAUCUGUGUACUGGCAUUAACUUUCUCAGAUGGUGUGUAUGCAGACGAUGGCGCUUCUGUAUGGUCUGGCAGAUUUGGAAUCGAUGUAUCACCUUCUUCAUGCAAUUGAGAGACCUGAACUUCUUCUGGUCUUCUGGAGAUUGUCUUAGAUCUUCAGCAGCAUGANNNNNNNNNNNNNNNNNNNNNNNNNNNNNNNNNNNNNNNNNNNNNNNNNNNNNNNNNNNNNNNNNNNNNNNNNNNNNNNNNNNNNNNNNNNNNNNNNNNNNNNNNNNNNNNNNNNNNNNNNNNNNNNNNNNNNNNNNNNNNNNNNNNNNNNNNNNNNNNNNNNNNNNNNNNNNNNNNNNNNNNNNNNNNNNNNNNNNNNNNNNNNNNNNNNNNNNNNNNCUUGUCGAGGGAGACUCUAAGAUGGGAUCUUCAUCAUCUUCAUCCUCAUCUUCUUCCUCCAGGAUAAAAGUUCUUUUCCUCUUUUUCGAUGAAGCACCAAUGGCCUCCUUUCCUUUCCUUUUUGAAACAGACUGGACUGGAGAUUUCACUUUGAAUUUCUCCAUUGCCUUAGAGAGUUCUUGCAGACACAUCUUCAUUAACAUUUUCAACCCUACCACCAUCUUAUCACACGAUCGAACACAAAAAGUAUGUGGCAGUUCAAUAUUCAGAUGUCUGAAGAUCUUGGUCACCAGACCAGGAUAAGGCAAUUUUCCUUUGUCUUUUGACACUGCUCUGUACAUAUGGAAAAGAAUAGUGUGCGGGAGAGAAAACUUCCGUCCUGAGUUGAUCGCAUACAUCAACUUUGCUUCAGAAAGAGACACAGAAGUCUUUGACGUAGACUUCGGUCUGAGACAAUUGAUCACAAUCUUGUGAAGCACAAUGUUGAUGGCAUUCAUCCUCGAAUAGAUAAUUUUCUUAUCUACAUCCCUAUCUUUGACAAGAUCCAGAGUGGCUCGAGCAGGUGAGACUUUGAUUGGGAGAUAGCGUCCCCGUUCAACUCCAAUUAUGUCCGCCAACAUACUCACAUCUACCACAUAGACUUGGUCUCGAACACUGAAUGAAAUUCUAUUCGCAUCCAAAAAGCUAAGAUUUGAAUAGAAAUAAGCGGUCAGUUGAUCAUACCCGUCUGUAGAGUCAGAGCAGAAAGUCUCAAGUUGAAGCAAAUUCAACUUCUCUCUUAACUUCAAGUUGAUGGAAUCCAGGAAGUCAAAAUCGACACUGCUAGGAUUGAUUAUCCCUCUUUUCAACAGCCUGAAAUACACUUUUUCCUGAUCCUUGGAUUUAAACAAAUCCAUCCGAUUUCCUUUCACCUUUGCUGCCACACCCAUUCUAGGUUUAAAUUCAAGGAACAUUUUGUCAUCAUCGUUCCCGUCAAUCAGAUUUUGUCCUGGCAUACGAGGAUCACUUGGAAUGUUCGCAAGAGCCUGCUCUGCUCUUCCUUUCGAAGCAAUUCCCAACUCUUCCAUUUUCCGCAAAAAAAGAUACUCAUUUCCAUAAUUUUUGUCCUUUAGAAAGUCAUCUAUAUAUUUUAAUGAAGAACCGGUGCUUUUCAACGCACGAUAAAGCUUAUAGAUAACAGAAGGUCUUUGGACUCUUACUGGGUCAGCUUCCUCGAUUAUCUCUUCUUCCAGAUUUUGACUUGCACUUUGUGGGGCAGGAGAUGCUGAAUGACGUGGAGGAGAGCGAAUCGGACUUUGUCGCUAACUUGGUAAGUCUUCUUCCUCAGUGAGAUCGAAGUGAGUCGGUCCCUUCUCCAUUCUUUGUGGUCCCCUGUUUGCGAUUCUUGAUGAUUUCCUCGAAGACGACAUCUUUCUUUGUCUAUUGGAGGAUUCCUUCACUUGCUUUUCCCAAAAAAAAAAAAUGACCACUUUCUCAACAAUGAACAAAGAGUAGAAACAGUAUCGAGAGGAGAGUGCUUUUUAGGGUUUUGAAAAUUGGGGGUAGAAUAACCAUAUAUAUAUACCUCGGAUUUGAAAAGGGAAGUUUAAACGGUACAAGGAAAGUGUACGAACAAUUUUUUUAAAAUCAAUAACUGCCAAAAUUAACUUUCUUUAAAAAAGACAAGUUUUCAAAUUUCACACGAAUUAUAUCUGAAUAAUAGAAAGUACCUUUUAGAUAAAAUAAACGAGAAUUCGUACCUUUUAGAUAAAAUAGCUACUUACAGUCUUUAGCCAUGAAUGCUUGAGUCUCAGGAUUUAGAGUCUAAGAGAUCAGAGUCUUAGAGUUGGUGAGUCUCUAGAUUUUAACUUCUCAAGCUUCAAAAUGUUGAGUCUCGAGCGGAUAAAGUCAAACUGAUUCUUCUCCAAAGGCUUUGUGAAUAUGUCCGCUAGUUGACUUUUUGAAUCAACAAAGUGAUGACGAAUCUCAAUAUGCUUUGCUCUUGAAUGAAGGAUUGGAUUUUUGGUGAGAUUGAUAGCGCUGGUGUUGUCACAUCUGAUUUCUGUGCAUGAGUCUUCAAUGCCAAAGUCUUGUAGCUGUUGUUUUAUCCAUAGAAUUUGCGAACAGCAGCUUCCAAGAGCUACAUACUUUGCUUCUGUUGUUGAGAGAGCUACAGUGCUUUGCUUCCUUGAAAACCAAGACACUGUCCUGUUUCCAAGCAGUUGACAAGUUCCAGAAGUGCUCUUUCUAUCGACUCUGCAACCGGCCAGAUCUGCAUCUGAGUAUCCUAGAAGAUUAAAGUCUCCCCUCUUUGGAUACCAAAGACCGAUGCUUGAAGAUGAAGCAACGUAUUUGAUAAUACGUUUCACGGCAAUGAGAUGUGAUUCUCUAGGAUCUGAUUGAAACCUAGCACAGAUACAAACACUAAACAAAAUAUCAGGUCUAGAAGCAGUAAGAUAAAGAAGUGAACCGAUCAUGCUCCUGUACAGCUUUUGAUCUACUUUCUUCCCUUCUUCAUCCUUGUCUAUCUUCUGAGAACAUGACAUUGGUAUGUCGGUCUUUUUGCACUUUUCCAAUCCAAACCUUUUGACAAGAUCAUUCGCAUAUUUUUCUUGAUGGAUGAAAGUUCCUUCCUUCGUUUGUUUUACUUGGAGUCCAAGAAAGAAUGUUAACUCUCCCAUCAUACUCAUUUCAAAUUCAUCCUGCAUAGACUUAGAAAAUUUCUUGCAAAGACUUUCAUUAGAGGAUCCAAAAAUAAUGUCAUCAACAUAUAUUUGAACAAGUAAAAAGUUUUUGUUUUCCUUUUUGAUAAACAAAGUAGUAUCUACUUUACCUUUGACAAAACCAUUCUGUAAUAAAAACUUACUUAGUCUGUCGUACCAAGCUCGAGGUGCUUGCUUUAGACCAUACAGAGCCUUUUUCAGUCUGAAGACUGAGUCUGGCUUCUUUGGGUCUUCAAAUCCAGGCGGUUGUUCCACAUAAACUUCCUCAUGGAUAAAUCCAUUUAGGAAAGCACUUUUGACGUCCAUUUGGAAUAAUCUGAAAUUUUUGUAACAAGCAAACGCAAGUAAUAGACGAAUAGCUUCUAACCUUGCAACUGGUGCGUAAGUCUCGUCAUAGUCUAUUCCUUCUUCUUGCGUAUAUCCUUUGGCCACGAGUCUUGCUUUGUUUCGUACGACUUUUCCUUUUUCGUUCAUCUUGUUCCUGAAUACCCAUUUGGUUCCAAUAACGGAUUUACCUUUUGGUUUAGAUGUCAAUUCCCAGACAUCAUUGAUGUUGAACUGUCUGAGCUCUUCUUGCAUAGCUUCGAUCCAGCUUUCAUCAGAUAAAGCUUCUUCUAUGCUUUUUGGUUCAAUUUCAGAGAUGAGAGCCACAGCACUAGAUUCUUCAUGCCUUUUUGAUCUGGUGCGGAUUCCUUCAUUAAGUUCACCAAUAAUAAGAUCUUUGGGAUGCCUGGAUUUGUGCUUCCAGUUACCAGGUUGAUGAUCUCUUUCUUUAUUUGAUUCUCCAUGAGCGUCUUGAUGAUGGACUUCCAGAAUCUGAGAUGCUUCUUGAGAUGUAGACAUUUGAAGAUCUAGAGCGGAUUCAGUCUCCUCGUACUGAGUCUGGCUGGAUUCAUCUUGCACUGAGUCUUGGAAUUUGACAUUCAUUGAUUCUUCCACAGACUGGCUUUUUUUUUGUUGUAGACUCUGUAGGCUUUGCUUGAUGUAGAAUAUCCAAGGAAGAUGCCUUCAUCUGAUCUUUCUUCAAACUUACCAACUCGAUCAUUUGCAUUUUUCAAAAUAAAGCAUUUGCAACCGAACACAUGAAAGUAUGAAACAAUAGGCUUCUUACCUUUGAACAAUUCAUAGGGGGUUUUAUCAAGAAUAGGUCUUAGAAAGACUCUGUUUAUAAUAUAGCAAGCAGUUGAAACAGCUUCAGCCCAAAAUCGUGAAGAAAUUUUACUUUCAAUUAAAAGUGUUCUAGCCAUUUCUUGAAGAGAUCUAUUCUUUCUUUCCACAACUCCAUUUUGCUCUGGAGUAUACGGAGAGGAAAACAUGUGAUUAACACCAGAUUUAUCACAGAAUCUCGUAAAAUCUUGAUUUUCAAAUUCACUUCCAUGAUCUGUUCUUAUACUCGAAAUAGCACAUCCUUUUUCAUUUUGAACCUUUUUAGCAAACUUUUCAAAGUACGAAAAGGUUUCUGAUUUAUUUGCAAGAAAAUAUACCCAGGUAAAACGAGAAUAAUCAUCUACAAUUACUAGACAAUAUUUCUUACCUCCAAUGCUCUGGGUUCUUGUUGGUCCGAAGAGAUCCAUAUGAAGCAAUUGCAGUACAUGAUUAGUAGAUACAUGAUUUAUUUGCUUAAAUGAAUUUCUUACUUGCUUUCCCAGAAUGCAUGGAGUGCAUAAGUCAGACUUUUGGUAUGGCAAUUUAGGUAGACCUCGAACAAGCUGCUUUGAAGAGAUUUUGGCUAAUUGCUUCUUGUUGAUAUGGCCAAGUUUUCUGUGCCAUAGAACUGCUUCAUCUUGAAUUGAGAUUAAGCAUUGUUCUUCAUUUGGCUUUACAUCAAGGAGGUAGAUGUUUCCAUGCCUUCGACCCAUAAAAGACUGAGUCGAAUCUUUGCUAAUUCCAGAACAUAUGCCUUCUUGAAAGAAGAUCUUGUAACCAGUAUCACACAAUUGGCUAAUGCUGAGUAGAUUGUAGUUGAGUCCUUCCACUAGAGAAACAUUGCUUAUUGUGAGAUUUCCAAUUUUCACAGUUCCGAAUCCCACAAUACUUCCUUUGCUAUUUCCUCCGAAUGAAACUUUUCCACCAUUUACUUUAAUAAGCUUUAUGAAACAAUUUGAGUCUCCUGUCAUGUGUCUUGAGCAUCCGCUGUCAAGAUACCACUUUACCUUCUUUUUGACAGAGACCUGCAUUCAAAAGAGAGUCUCAAGCUUUCUUUGGUACCCAAAUUUUCUUGGGUCCUUUGGUGUUAGUAGGAUGAGCAUUAUUAGGCCAUACUCUCUUAACAGGCUUCCAAACCAUAGGACACUCUUUUUCAAAAUGAUCCUGACUGUUACACUUAGAACACCUUAAAGCAUUUCGACCUACAGGCUUUACAAAAACUCUUUUGAAAAGAUUUUUAUAAGCCUCUCUCGAUGGUCUUUUCUUAAUUCUUUCUUUUACUUUCGGAAAAUCAAUCAAAGGGAUUAUUUCAGCUGUCAUACCUAGACCCGACCUAUUGAAGUAAGGUCUUUGGAUUGAAAGGACUUUUUCAAGUUUUUCGGAUCCUAUUGAAAAUUUCUUUGAAAUAUUUGAUAAAUCAGUUUUUAAGAAAGCAUUUUCUUUUGAAAGAUUUUCUUCACUCUCUUUAAGAGUAGAAACAUUCAAGUCUAAAUUUUUUACCUUUUCUUCUAAAAUGUUUUCCUUUUGUUUUAAAACUAUGUUUUCCUUUUUAAGUUCGGAAAUCUUUUUAAGAGAAGUCUUAAGACUAAAACAUAACUCAUCAAUAUAUUUAGAGACUUUGACAGGAAUUUUAUAAUCACUUACUUCAAAUUCACUGUCCGAGUCUAAUCCAGAGUCUGAGUCUGAUUGCGCCAUUAGACACAGGUUGGCAUAUUCCUCAUCACUCUCUUCACACUCUGUAUCGCUCCAGGUUUCGGCUUUAAGAGCUUUUCGAGAUUUCUCAGCUUUUCCUCUUUUCUUUUUCAGAAGAGGACAGUUGGGUCUGAUGUGUCCCUUCUUUUUACAUUCGAAGCAAACUACAUCUUUGUUUGGUUCCUCAACAUCAACAGACUUGGUCUGUUGUCUCUGAAAACUUUGUUUCUUUGGGAUGAACCUUCUGCCUUUUCUAUUCAGUUUUCUGAAUCUUCUUAUCAUGAGGGCGAGCUCCUCAUCAUCCAUAUCAUCUUCAGAAUCUGCAUCAUCAGAAUCAUCAUUUGAUUUUAGUGCAAUAGAUUUCUUACCUCUUGGAUCUUCGUCUUCAUUAAUUCGUUCCACUUCGUAAGACUGAAGAGUUCCAAUCAGUUCAUCUACAGAUAAUGGCAUGAUUCUUUGCGUCUCUCUUAUUGAAGUCUUUAUAUGAUUCCAAUCCUUGGAGAGUCCACGUAGAAGCUUGUUCACCUUCAUGGGAUCAGAAAUUUUUUGUCCUUGGUUCUCAAGACCAUUGACAAUAUCUGUAAAACGACUAAACAUGUCAGUUAUAGAUUCUCCUUGUUUCAUUUUGAAGGAUUCAUAUUGACCAAGAAGAAUGUUAAUUCUGGUCUCCUUCACUCGAUCUGUCCCUUCAUAAGUGAUAUGUAACCUGUCCCAGACUUCUUUUGCUGUAACACAAGAAGAUAUUCUGUUAUAUUCAAUUGGUGACAAAGCACAAUAUAAAGAAUAAAUUGCUUUAGCAUCGAGUGCUUGUCUCUUGUUUAUUUCUUCUUGAGACAUUCCGCUGGCUUCAACAGUUUCUUUCCCUCUUUCAGAGAUUGAUGCAGCAGUAGGAGUGAUUCCUCUUUCCACAACGUCCCAUUCCAGAGGAUCCUUUGAUCGUAGGAAAGCUUUCAUCUUGUUCUUCCAGAUGUUGUAAUCCUUUCCAUCGAAGUAGGGAGGUCUGGUAUUGCUUUGCCCCUCCAUCAGCCCCGGUGCUAGCAUACUAGCCAUGGAUCUUUUACUCUGAAGUAAAACACUUCAAACAAAGUAAGAACACGAGCUCUGAUACCAAUUGAAAUAGCUAGUACGAGUACCUAGAGGGGGGUGAAUAGGUAUACAAAAAUUUCUCGAAGUUUGCACGAUAUCAAUUAGAGUAAUUGCAAUAGUUAAAAAUUCAAUCGCAAGACUGAGUAAGGGAAAGAGAGAAUUGAACACUCGGUUUAUAGUGGUUCGGCUUGAUUCAAGCCUACGUCCACUCUUCUGCACUGACAGCCGAUUGGCUGGAUUCCACUAUGAUCAAAGAGUUGUUACAGUGUUGAUCUUCCUUGAUUUCUAGGUGUAGAUGAUCUACCGCACUCACUCAAGGCGUCACCAAGUAUAAACACUCUCUGUAUACAAUUUUGCUCAGUCUCAACUAACAAUCAAGGAUCUUCAGACUCUGGAAUUUUUCUAUCGAUCACACACUUAAAACAACUAGAACGUCUUCCUUUUAUACUCCUUCAUGCCAUCAUAGCCGUUGGCACUUACCAAAGGAAUUCCUCCAAUCUACCCGUUGGACGGAAUCAAUCAAGAAGAUCAUCCGAGCUAUUUAAGGAAUCUGAUGAUAGCUCAUCAAUCCUGUUCGCCCAUACAAUCAGGAUCUCGGUUUCCAAGAAUAGAAUAAUCCAAGAUUAUUUCGUCGACCAUCGGAUCUUCAAUCGAUCUUAGAUAAGAAUUAAAGAAUCCGAAAUGAUUAUCCAACCAAAGAAUCUAUUCCAGAGGAUAGGAUCGAAUCCUCAACCAUAAACCUCGGCUUUGGAUUUCCUUCAACACUGGAUUAGAAAGACUGUCAGUGAGAAUAAAGUCUUGAGUCCUGAGUCUUAAGACUUGAGACUUGAGACUUAAGUCUUGAGUCUUGAGUCUUGAGUCUUGAGACUUAAGUCUUGAGUCUUGAGUCUUGGGUCUCGAGAGAACAAAGUCUUCAGACUUUAAACUGACGGUCUCCAAACAUGCAGACUUUAGACUGAAAGAAACGUUUUGUCAGCUUCAAAAUAUUCUGGAAAGAUUUCUCCAACAGCGCCGAGUGGGGCCGUGAUGCCACUGAUUUAAAUUUGCCGAGUAAGGCCGUAGUUGAGAGCAAUGAUUGAUUUGCUAGAAUGACAUGUAAUCGGCCGAGUCGAUUGAUCGCUGAGACGAUCCAAGUGGUUGAAUUGUUUGAUAAUGCGAUUGUGCCAUGGUUGUUUGGUUAUCAUAAUUGCACGUGGUUGGUUUAUAUAAAUUGUGCUAUCCUGCAGAUAAAGGCUGAAGCGAGGUAAGUCCUCUGUGUGAUGUGGCUAGGCCACCCGGGGCGUAUUUUCUUUCUAAUAGGGGUUUAGGGCGUUGAACUUGCUGAGACAUCGUCUCAUCCCGGUUGUGGGAUUAAAAUUUCAGGUCAUCGGUGGACGGAGUGGCCAGAUAGCUUUGGUUGGCCUUGAGGAGUUGCAGAGGUGAAGUCAUAAGGGUUGGAGAGCGUGUCCUGCUAGUUGGUUGUAGGAUAGUUCCCAUGUUGUCGAGCUGGUCUAUUUUGUAGAAAGUCAAGUGUUGUAUUUAAACCCUUUGUGUUUGUAAAUGGGUGUUUGGUAUUGUGAUUGAUUGCCUGCUUUUCUAUCCCAAGUUAAAUGUUGUCAGGAGAUUUGUUUCACUUUCGCAUGCGUAAAGAUAAUGAAUGGGUCGGCGACAUUUCCUGGGAUGUCGCAUUUUUGAUCGACCGUGGUGGGAUGUGCGCGCGCUCGGGGUUCGGGGCGUGACAUACAAUGUCUUGCAACUCUAGACUUGUACACCAAGUAAAUCCGAGAGAAACGAAAUCUUGAAAAAAUAAAUGCAAAAAUCCUCAGAUCUAAACUAAAUUGGAAUAUAAACCUCCCCAAAUUGGGAGAGAGAAGCUUUUAGAUUUAGAUUAGAUUAGAAGAGAAAAGCCCCUCAAAUGAGAAGGAAACAAGAAAAAAAAAAAACCAAAUCAAUCAAAGAAAAAGGGAGCGAAGAGAGAUCUAGCUCAAGCCCUUCCCUCCAUAGAGGUUGAAGAAGAAAGUUGCAUGGAGAUGACUGGGAGAGGAGAAGAGGAGGCCGGCAGCUAGGGCUUGAUACAAUCUCAUAUUAGGCCUUAAUUAAAUGGUGAUAUAAGUAUGUGGUGACCUAUAGGAUAAGCAAUUACUUUUAAUUUGAGUGGUUCAAACUUUAGAAUUUAUUGUCCCAUCUUUACAGUUGGUGUACUCAUUCAAUUAGGCUUGCCGCUGGGUUGAACAGAAUAUUUGAUAAUAAAACUUGCACCUUUCGGAGUAAUUUUUUUGUUAGUUUUUUUUUCUCAUUUUUAUUAAUUGGAAAAUGAUAAGAAAAAUCAGAAAAUAUCAAUUCACUAGGGAAACUACUUCCCAUGUGGCAUUUUCAGUUUCGGAUUUAUAGGAAAAAAGAGUGGUUCGUAGGAGGAAUUGUCAUGGAAGUUUGCAAUCAAUUAACCUGUCCCAUGCUACCGUCAUCAAAAUCUUUUGGAGCCAAUUCACAUUGUUAUUACUAAAUAUUUUUCUGCCAUUCAGCAAAAGAGAUCGUUCAUGUAUCGCGGAGGAAUUUCUUUUUGGGCUUUCGAAGAGGAAUGGCCAAAAUAGUUGAGUGGGAAUAGGGGCACUGCAGAGCAGUUUCUUCGGGAUUUCCUAGUACAUGAAGAAAUUUCCUUGAGUUUUCCAAGAGAACCGGAAAGGAGGUUAUGACACAGACUACUGUACGAACGGUCCCCCCUUGGACGGUUGGUGAUGCUUUCCUGAUUCUUCGCAGCGAUGAACCGGUGCGGUCUCUCCCUACCUCCGGUUUGAGUGCGCGCCUUUCUGGAUUCAACUGCAUUGUCAAUGCAGCAUGAGAUUUCGGUGUAACUUCUCAAUAUUUAUGGAGCCACUAUCCUUGUUGAUUUCGAUGGGGAUGUUUGCAUGGUGGAUUAAGAGCACAUUGAAUUUUCUCCGAGCAAAAGCUAUGAUCAAAGUGAACGCCAAAAUUAACCACAAUAUAUAUAUAUAUAUAUAUAUAUAUAUAUAUCAUAAAUUUGUUGUACGAAUAUCAAUUCAACCUUAGCAAGAAAAAAAAUUUGCCUAAUCAAAAAAAAAAUUCAAUUCAAUAUUAAAGCUUUCAAUUUGAUUAAUCUAGCUUUAAUGUAGUCAUUCCGGCCAAAGGUGAUGUGGAUGAUAGCCAUCCUACGUAACAUAAUCAGCACUAUUGUAGAUAAUUUUUACAACUUUUUUAAUGAUUUUUACGGAUUUUAUUUUUUCUUUCUUGUUUUAUUUUCCCUUUUACUUCUUUUAUUUUCUUUCUCCAUUUUAUCAAACUCUAACCCGGUAACCCUCGCCAGCCACUAGGUGAGGAGUGUGAAGCCCUUGGUUGCCCAUGCCACGUAGGAAAGCGGUAUCCAUGUCAAUAGUUGCCGACCAAAUUGACGGAAUAGAUAUACUAAUAAAUUGCCAAAAGUUUAGAACAUAAUUAGUCAAAUUAAAAUAUUUAAAACUGAAUUGACCGUGUACAAUAGGUUUAUGAUAAUUAUCCCCAAUUAUAACUAUUGGGGGUUCCAAGAAAUCUUUUUGAUCCUUAUUUUUUUGUGGAUGGAAAUGUGAUUGGUAUAAGCAAUCAAAAUGAUAUAGAAUAUAUCCACAUAUCUAUUCCCACGUAUGUGGAUAUAUUCAAACGUAUUUAGGCAAUUAGGAACAGCUCCUUCUGGAUCUCGCACCAGAUACCCAAGUAACUCAUGCACACGGGGCAUGAAUCAUGAUUACUAUUUUGCAGUGAGAGCUGGUGUUUUGCCUGAUCACUUCUCUCCAUUUAUCUCUCGAUCUACAUGCUUCUUUGGCAGACCUUUCAGCAAAGAAAUCAACAUACAUGAUCAAGGAAGGGAUUCUCAUCACAAAGCUAAUGUAUUAAUCAUGAGGCAUACCUUGUGCAUCAGCUUGAAAGCAUCAUGCAUGAUCGUCCUUACAAAUUCAACAUGCUACUUUCACACAUCAAUUAGCCUCUGCUAAAGAAAAAGGAAAAGCAAAAAGCUUUGGGCCCAUUUUCAUCUCCAUGGGUCUUCGAACUACACCUGAGCCUUUCCAGGGACAAGGGGAAAAAAAACCAGGAUUUUAAUUUUAAGGGUUCUUGGUGAGUUGGGCUUUAGUGAUCGUCGUUGGCACAUCUUUUUUUAGGGUCAAAUUCAUCGUUGUCACUUCAAUUGGCAAACUGUCUCCGCAGUCUCUCUUUCGCUUUUGAUAAAUGGCUCGUGCCCUUACCCUUUCAAACCUUUCCGUGGUCUUCUAUAAGGUGGUCUCCCAUAUGAUCUGUUUUUAUCCAGUGGCCGAGGCUCUUUUUUCUUCUUCUUCUUCUUCUUCUUUGAUUUUUUUUUUUUUUUAUGAUCAAAAAACUGCCGGAGAUCACCCUCUGGGGAUCACACAACCCUCCAGUGCUCGGUAGCACCAAUGGAGUCUCGCUGUAAGCCGUUAUUUAGACGUAAAUCCUCGAGAGGUUGGCUCAGUAAAUCACCCCUAUGACCCCCACUUAAGUCACAAGUAUCUAGAGAUUCGAACUUGUUCCCUCAGCGAUGAGGUAGUAAAGCCCAACCAUCAUGGCUACCUACAAAUGAGUCCCUUACAGCUUCUUUUAUAUAUAUGCAGUCGUUUAAUGUCCUCAGAGGCAUAUCCAUAUCUUUUUGUCUGCAGAUGACUUGCUAUUUUGUUUAUAGCCUACUAGUAGGGCCAUUAACAUUGUCUAAAGCAACAUUACUAUGGCCUCGCAAUGAAGUUACCAAUUUCAUAAUAGAUGAGCUGUUUUUCAACAAUUCACAACGAUCCAAUGUCUAUGAUGGUGUUGAAUUACUGGAGCCAACAGGAGAAUAAAAUUAAGGAUAGGAGGUUGGUCGCCUCUAGAAUCACAUUCAAAUAUGUAAAAGAAGAAGGAAGAAGAAAAAAGAGUCUGAUGAAGUCAGUGUGGAGCCCAGUGUGCACACAUGGCAACUAAUGAAUGGACUACUGUAAAUCCUAUAUGAUAAUACUCGAGCACUCAAUAUUUUCUCAAUCGGAGAGUAGAGACUGUCCUCCCACAAUGGAUAAUUAUGGAAAAGUUCCGAGUAAGUUUGCAACAAAUUUUCAUAAAUGGAACACUUGAAUUUCCUAAUGACCACAGUCACGAUCAUGACCAAUGGAAAAUGGAGAACUUUGGAUGGAACUCGGUAGUUCUGUCAAUUUUCCUUCUUUGCUUGUUGAUAUCUCAAUGAUUUGUAGCCAAUAUUUUCCGACAUUGCAAACAUGAAACAACGUGACGUCACAAAUUAAAUCAGCUGCAGAGCUUGCUAAGUUCUUCUUGCUACAACUAUACCGAAUAUAAUUUAUCAAUUUGCUAACCAACCUUCUCGACAUCGUGGUCCUUUUCGCUGUUAUUGGCAAAGGAAAAGGGUAUCCUAUUGCUUAACCCGCAAAGAGAGCCACGUAAAUUCAUACUAUUUCGCUUGGAUUGAAAUUUGCGAUUCGAUGGAUGAAAGGAAAACCAUAAGGUAAAAGAGAAACGGGGUUGUGAUAGCACAGCAUCAUCCCAUGUCUCAUUUAGAAUUUCUGACGUAAAGUGAAAAAUUAGUGGACUUGUGGAAAAGAAACUCAGUCUCUUACAUUUUGAAUAAUCCUCCGAUCCAUGUAAAUGGGGGAAGAAGGAAAAGAAAAAAAAGAAAAGAACAAAGUUAUGUGUGCUCCGCUUGUCGUCUUCUUCUCCUCCUCCUUUUUUUUUACUUUUUUUUUUUUUGUGGAUUGAAUAGAGGAGGUUUGCCAUGGUUCAGUUUCUUUGCUUUGACAUCAACUACCUAUUUGAUAUUUUUCAUAUUGCUGUGUUAUUCAAAUACCAAGCUGCGAGCCAUUCUCCUAAAUUUUUUUGUCCUUAUCACUCAAUUCAUAAGGAAGCAAAUUGCUCUUCCAGAUUGCUUUUGUUAAUGGUUCUAACAGAGGAGGCUUGUUUCUCUGUUCGUGGAAUAGGUGAAGAACUUCAUAACUAUGGCAGGUAUCCACGCUGAAUUGCAUCUAUACCGUUUUGUGGAGUAAGUACUGCAUUCCUUUCCCGUUUGAUCCAUUCCUUUCACCAAUGAUUAGCAGAGAGAAGGAAGCUUGUUAUGUUUGUGAUCUCAUCAGAGAGAAAGUUAAAUAUCCUUUCACAAAAUGCUCUUGGUAAGUUGAUAUAUUUGAUGAAGAGAUAAUCUGUUUAGCUAUUCUAGAGUAGCCCUCUCUGGUAGAAUCGUACAUGACAAAGGCAAGAAGAAAUUGUCUUCUCAAGUCUUUCCCCUAUUUAUUUCCAAAUAUCACAAAUUGCAUUUGUAGCGUGGUUUUAGAUUGAUUUGGCAUUAGGAUGCACCAUUCUCUAGUGGUCUCUUGGUUGAGGUCAGAGGGGGAUUAGAGUUUGCUUAUAUCAUUGCAGUUUGAUUUUUUUGUCAUCUUUUGCAGUCUGGUAUCUUCUGCGUUCUUGUGGACUAUUUGAUCGGGCUACAAGGGGUCUCCUCUGACUAUGUGCAGAUUUUGCUCGGUCUUCGUAGUUAUUUUCUAAUUUACAUUACCAUUUUGCUAUAUCCAGGCGCCUUUUUCUGCAGCAUCAACAACUAGCUUCUCAACAUGUCCACAUGUAGAAAUACUGCACCAAACUAUUGGAGUCUCUUCGUUAAUACUUCACUAUGUAACUGCGGCUUCUUCUUUUGUUCGGGAACCUUCACACCAUCACAGGAGCACUUGGCACCCGCUGGUUAUGUGAAGAUUCUGACUGUGAGCACGAUUCUGUGUUAAGAGAGCAUAUAUUUAGUGAUAUUGCUAGUACGAGUACCUAGAGGGGGGGUGAAUAGGUUUAUAAAAAUUUUCUUGAAGAUUGCACAAUACUUAGACAGAUGAAGGAUUUGCAAUAAUAAAAAAUCAAUCGUAAAACUGAGUAAAGGAAAGAGAGAAUUAAACACGCGGUUUAUAGUGGUUCGGCUUGAUUCAAGCCUACGUCCACUCUUCUGCACUGACAGCCGAUUGGCUGGAUUCCACUAUGAACAAAGAGAUGUUACAGUGUUGAUCUUCCUUGAUUUCUAGAUGUAGAUGAUCUACUACACUCGCUCAAGGUGUCACCAAGUAUAAACACUCUCUGUGUAUACAAUUUGCUCGAACUGUAUCGACUAACAAUCAAGGUUCUUCAGACUCUGGAAUUUUUCUAUCAAUCACACACUUAAAACAACUAGAACGUCUUCUUUUUAUACUCCUUUAUGCCAUCAUAGCCGUUGGCACUUACCAAAGGAAUUCCUCCAAUCUACCCGUUGGACGGAAUCAAUUAAGAAGAUCAUCCGAGCUAUUUAAGGAAUCUGAUGAUAGCCCAUCAAUCCUGUUCGCCCAUACAAUCAGGAUCUUGGUUUCCAAGAAUAGAACAUUCCAAGAAUGUUUCAUCGAUCAUCGGAUCUUCAAUUGAUCUUAGAUAAGAAUCAAAGAAUCUGAAAUGAUUAUCCAACCAAGGGAUCUUUUCCAGAAGAUAGGAUCGAAUCCUCAACCAUAUACUUCGGCUUUGGAUUUCCUUCGUCACUGGAUUAGAAAGACUGUCAGUGAGAAUAGUCUUGAGUCUUGAGUCUUGAGUCUUGAGUCUUGAGAUUACAAAGUCUUGAGACUUUAAACUGUCGAUAUCCAGACUAGACUAAUAGAAAUGUUUUGUAAGCUUCAAAAUAUUUUGGAAAGAUUUCUCCAACAAUCUCCCCCUUUUUGAUGGUGACAAAACUUUCUUGUAGAUUUGAACAACUUUGACCUGCAAAAACAUUUCUCAAGCAAUAUGACUAACUCAUAAAGAUUAAUAAAACAACCAGACUCUGCAUCCACAGCAAAUUGGUUAGUCUUUCAUGAGUAAUACCAUGUAACAAUACUUGAUAUAAAUGCAACCAGUCAAGCAUCAAAAUCCACAGCCAAUUCAGUCAAAUUUAAAUUCACACCCAAGUUCAAGUUCUCAAGUCAUACUCAAAAAUAAACAUAACCACAAAAGUCAAAGUUUGUUUUAAAAUUUGUUGGUUCAAAUUGGUUCUCCCCCUUUUUGUCAUCAUUAAAAAGGGUGAGAAAUGAGUCAUGUCUGCUUGGGAAUGCGCACGAUCUGGAAAUCUCCCAUUGACUGGACUACGCCUUCUAGCCUCUUCAAGUCCUCCCUUAGAUGAGCUACCUCCUCUCCUUUGGCAUUGGCUUGAAGUUGCAGAGCGAGGUCUUUCAUCUUGUCCUCCAGGGUGACUGAAGAUGCUUGUCCAGCAUUCUUCAUGGCUUGAAUUUCACAAUCCAGAGCAUAUAUCUGGCCACGCAUUUCCAGAAGAAUAUCCAUGAUGCGACGAAAAUCUGCAGAAUUGUCCGUCUAUGUACUGGCAUGAGCUUUCUCAGAUGGAGUAAAUGUAGACGAUGGCACUUCUGUAUAGUCUUGCAGAUUUGGUGUCAACGUAUCACCUUCUUCAGGCAAUUGAGAAGCCUGAAAUUCUUCUGGGUCUGCUGGAGAUUGUCUUGGACCUUCAUUAUCGGCAGCAUGAGGUGUGGACCUUUCUUGCUCGCCAACUCCUCCUGUCUCUAGGACAUCCAAAGGGGAAGAGUGAUGAUCAUGCUCUUGAUUUCCCUUCUCUCUAGAUUCAGCAGCAGACUUUUCUUUCUCUUCUUCAGCUUCUUUCUCCUUCUUUCUCUGCUCUUCUUCUUCUUUGUUCUUGGUUUGCUCUUCUUCUUCUCUCUGUUUCUUCUGAAGUUCUGUCGGCUGAGACACAGAACGUCUGGUUCUUGUCAGUGCAUGGAUAGUAGGAUCUUCAUCCUCUUCAUCUUCAUCCUCCAGGAUGAGAGGUCUUUUCUUCUUUUUUUGAUGGGGCACCAAUGGCCUCCUUUCCUUUUCUCUUUGAAGCAGACUGAACUGGAGAUUUCACUCUGAAUUUCUCCAUUGCCUUGGAAAGUUCUUGCAGGCGCAUCUUCGUUAACAUCUUCAAACCUACCACCAUCUUAUCACACGGUUGAACACAAAGUGUUUGUGGCGGUUCAAUAUUCAUGUGUCUGAAGAUCUUGGUCACCAGACCAGGAUAAGGCAAUUAUCCUUUGUCUUUCAACAUUGCUCUGUACAUAUGGAAGAGAAUAGUGUGCGGGAGAGAGAACUUUCGUCCUGAGUUGAUUGCGUACAUCAACUUUGCUUCAAAAAGAGACACGGAAGUCUUUGACGUAGACUUCGGUCUGAGACAGUUGAUUACAAUCUUAUGAAGCACAAUGUUGAUGGCAUUCAUCCUGGAAUAGGUAACUUUCCUCUCUGCGUCCCUAUCUUUGACAAGUUCCAGAGUAGUACGAGUAGGUGAGACUUUGAUUGGUAGAUAACGUCCUCGUUCAACUCCAACUAUGUCCGCCAACAUAUUCACAUCUACCACGUAGACUUGGUCUCGUACACUGAAUGAAAUUCUAUUCACAUCCAGAAAGCUAAGAUUUGAAUAGAAAUAAGCGGUCAGAUGAGCAUACCCGUCCUUAGAGUCAGAGCAAAAAUUCUCAAGUUGAAACAAAUUCAACUUUUCUCUUAAGUUCAUGUUGAUGGCGUCCAGGAAGUCAAAAUCGACACUUCUAGGGUUUAUCACCCCUCUUUUCAACAGCCUGAAAUACACAUUUUCCUGAUCCUUGGAUUUGAACAAAUCCAUCCGAUUUCCUUUCACCUUUGCUGCCACUCCCAUUUUCGGUUGAAAUUCAAGGAACAUUCUGUCAUCAUCGUUCCCUUCAAUUAAAUUUUGUCCUGGCAUACGAGGAUCACUUGGAAUGUUCGCAAGUGCGUCCUCUGCUUUUCCUUUCGGGGCAACUCCCAAUUCCUCCAUUUUUCUCAGAAAAAGAUACUCAUUCCCAUAAUUUUUGUCCUUAAGAAAGUCAUCUAUAUAUUUCAAUGGAGUACCGGUGCUUUUCAACGCACGAUAAAGUUUAUAGAUACAGGAGGGUUUUUGGACUCUUACUGGGUCAGCAUCCUCGAUUAUCUCUUCUUCCAGAUGAUGACUUGCACCUUGUGGGGCAGGAGGCGUUGAAUGACGUGGAUGAGAGCGAAUCAGACCUUGUCGCUGACUUGUUAAGUCUUCUUCCUCAGUGAGAUCGAAGUGAGUCGGUCCCUUCUCCAUUCUUUGUGGUCCCCUGCUUGCGAUUCUUGAUGAUUUCCUCGAAGAAGACAUCUUUCUUUGUCGAUUAGAAGAUUCCUUCACUUGCUUUCCCAAGAAAAAUGACCACUUUCUCGACGACGAACAAGCAGUAGAAACAGUAUCGGGAGGAGAGUGCCUUUUAGGGUUUUGAAGAUUGGGAAAAGAAAAACUGUAUAUAUAUAACUCAGUUUUGAAAAGGGAAGUUCAAUCGGUGCAAGGAAAGUGAACGAACACUUCUUUUCAAAAUCAAUAACUGCCAAAAUUAUUCCUUUUUAAAAAGACAAGUCUUCAAAUUUCACGCGGAUUAUAGAAUAACUGAACGAAAGAUCGUACCUUUUCGAGUUUGGAUAAAAUAACUAAACGAAAAUUCGUACAUUUUAGAUAAAAUACAACUUACAGUCUAUAGCCACGAAUGUCUGAGUCUGAGGAUUUAAAGUCUAAAAGAUUAGAGUCUUAGAGUUGGUGAGUCUCUAGACUUUAACUUCUUCAAGCUUCAAAAUGUUGAGUCUUGAACGGAUAAAGUCGAAUUGAUUUUUCUCCAAAGGCUUUGUGAAUAUAUCCGCUAGUUGAUUCUUUGAAUCAACAAAUUGAAUCGAGAUUUCUCCAUUUUGAAUAUGAUCUCUAAUGAAGUGAUGUCGAAUCUCAAUAUGCUUUGCUCUUGAAUGAAGGAUUGGAUUUUUGGUGAGAUUGAUCGCAUUGGUGUUGUCACAUCUGAUUUCUGUGCAUGAGUCUUCAAUCCCAAAGUCUUGUAGCUAUUGUUUUAUCCAUAGAAUUUGCGAACAGCAGCUUCCAAGAGCUACAUACUAUGCUUCUGUCGUUGAGAGAGCUACAGUGCUUUGCUUCCUCGAAAACCAAGACACUGUCCUGUUUCCAAGCAGUUGACAAGUUCCAGAAGUGCUUUUUCUAUCGACUAUGUAACCGGCCAGAUCUGCAUCUGAGUAUCCUAGAAGAUUAAAGUCUCCCUUCUUGGGAUACCAGAGACCGAUGCUUGAAGAUGAGGCAACGUAUUUGAUAACACGUUUUGCAGCACUGAGAUGGGAUUCUCUAGGAUCUGAUUGAAACCUAGCACAAAUGCAAACACUCAACAAAAUAUCAGGUCUAGAAGCAGUAAGAUAAAGAAGUGAACCGAUCAUGCUCCUGUACAGCUUUUGAUCUAGUUUCUUCCCUUCUUCAUCCUUGUCUAUCUUCUGAGAACAUGACAUUGGUAUGUCGGUCUUUUUGCACUUUUCCAAUCCAAACCUUUUGACAAGAUCAUUCGCAUAUUUUUCUUGAUGAAUAAAAGUUCCUUCCUUCAUUUGUUUCACUUGGAGUCCAAGAAAGAAUGUUAACUCUCCCAUCAUACUCAUUUCAAACUCAUCCUGCAUAGACUUAGAAAAUUUCUUGCAUAGACUUUCAUUAGGUGAUCCAAAAAUAAUAUCGUCCACAUAUAUUUGAACAAGUAAAAAGCUUUUGUUUUCCUUUUUGAUAAACAAAGUAGUAUCUACUUUACCUUUGACAAAACCAUUCUGUAAUAAAAACUUACUUAGUCUGUCGUACCAAGCUCGAGGUGCUUGCUUUAAACCAUACAAUGCCUUUUUCAGUCUGAAGACUGAGUCUGGCUUCUUUGGGUCUUCAAACCCAGGUGGUUGUUCCACAUAAACUUCCUCAUGGAUGAAUCCAUUUAGGAAUGCACUUUUGACGUCCAUUUGGAAUAACCUGAAAUUUUUAUAACAAGCAAACGCAAGUAAUAGACGAAUAGCUUCUAACCUUGCUACUGGAGCGUAAGUCUCAUCAUAGUCUAUUCCUUCUUCUUGCGUAUAUCCUUUGGCCACGAGUCUUGCUUUGUUUCGUACGACUUUUCCUUCUUCAUUCAUCUUGUUCCUAAAUACCCAUUUGGUUCCAAUAACAGUUUUACCUUUUGGUUUAGAUGUCAAUUCCCAGACAUCAUUGAUGUUGAACUGUCUGAGUUCUUCUUGCAUAGCUUCGAUCCAACUUUCAUCAGAUAAAGCUUCUUCUAUGCUUUUUGGUUCAAUUUCAGAAAUGAGAGCCACGGCACUAGAUUCUUCACGCCUUUUUGAUCUGGUGCGGAUUCCUUCAUUGAUUUCGUCAAUAAUGAGAUCUUUGGGAUGACUGGAUUUAUGCUUCCAGUUACUGCUUGAUCUGCCUGGUUGAUGAUCUCUUUCUUUAUUUGAAUCUUCAUGAGUUUCUUGAUGUUGGACUUCCAAAGACUGAGAUGCUUCUUGAGUUGUAAGCGUUGGAAGGUCUGGAGUGGGUUCAGACUCUUCAUACUGAGUCUGGCUGGAUUCAUCUUGCAUUGAAUCUUGGAAUUUGACAUUCAUUGAUUCCUCCACCGACUGGCUUUUCUUAUUAUAGACUCUGUAGGCUUUGCUUGAUGUAGAAUAUCCAAGGAAGAUGCCUUCAUCUGAUCUUUCUUCAAACUUACCAACUCGAUCAUUUGCAUUUUUCAAAAUAAAGCAUUUGCAACCAAACACAUGAAAGUAUGAAAUAAUAGGCUUCUUACCUUUGAACAAUUCAUAGGGGGUUUUUUCUAAAAUAGGUCUUAAAAAGACUCUAUUUAUAAUAUAGCAUGCUGUUGAAACAGCUUCAGCCCAAAAUCGCGAAGAAAUUUUGCUUUCAAUUAAAAGUGUUCUAGCCAUUUCUUGAAGAGAUCUAUUCUUUCUUUCCACAACUCCAUUUUGCUCUGGAGUAUAUGGAGAGGAAAACAUAUGAUUAAAACCAGAUUUAUCACAAAAUUUCGUAAAAUCUUGAUUUUCAAAUUCACUUCCAUGAUCUGUUCUUAUGCUUGAGAUUGCACAUCCUUUUUCAUUUUGAACCUUUUUGGCAAAUUUUUCAAAAUGCGAAAAGGUUUCUGACUUACUUGCAAGGAAAUAUACCCAAGUAAAGCGGGAGUAAUCAUCCACAAUUACCACCGCAAUAUUUCUUACCUCCAAUGCUCUGGGUUCUAGUCGGUCCGAAGAGAUCCAUAUGAAACAACUGUAGUACAUGAUUAGUAGAGACAUGAUUUAUUGGCUUAAAUGAAUUUCUUACCUGCUUUCCCAGAAUGCAUGGAGUGCAUGAAUCAGACUUUUGGUAUGGCAAUUUAGGUAGACCUCAAACAAGCUUCUUUGAUGGGAUUUUGGCUAAUUGCUUCAUGUUGACAUGGCCAAGCUUUCUGUGCCAUAAGACCGCUUCAUCUUGAAUUGAGAUUAGGCAUUGUGCUUCAUUUGGUUUUACAUCAAGGAGGUAGAUAUUUCCAUGCCUUCGACCCAUGAAAGACUGAGUUGAGUCUUUGCUAAUUCCAGAACAUAUGCCUUCUUGAAAGGAGAUCUUGAAACCAGUAUCACACAAUUGGCUAAUGCUUAGCAGAUUGUAGUUGAGUCCUUCCACUAGAGAGACAUUGCUUAUUGUGAGAUUUCCAAUUUUCACAAUUCCAAAUCCCACAAUGCUUCCUUUGUUGUUUCCUCCAAAUGAAACUUUUCCACUAUUCACUUGAACAAGCUUUAUGAAGCAAUUGGAGUCUCCUGUCAUGUGUCUUGAACAUCCGCUGUCAAGAUACCAUUUAACUUUCUUUUUGACAGAGACCUCAAAUUCACUGUCUGAGUCUGAUCCAGAGUCUGAGUCUGAUUGUGCCAUCAGACACAGGUUGGCAUAUUCCUCGUCACUUUCUUUACACUCUGUGUCGCUUCAAGUUUCGGCUUUGAGAGCUUUUCGAGACUUUUCAGCUUUUCCUCUCUUUUUCUUCAGAAGAUGACAAUUGCGUCUGAUGUGUCCCUUUUUCUUACAUUCGAAGCAAACUACAACUUUGUUUGGUUCCUCAUUAUCAACAAACUUGGUUUGCUGUUUCUGAAAACUUUGUUUCUCUGAGUUGAACCUUCUUCCUUUUCUAUUCAGCUUUCUGAACCUUCUAAUCAUAAGAGCAAGCUCUUCAUCGUCCAGAUCUUCUUCAGAAUCUGUAUCAUCAGAAUCAUCAUUAGAUUUUAAUGCAAUGGAUUUCUUGCCUCUUGGAUCUUCGUCUUCAUUAAUUCGUUCCACUUCGUAAGACUGAAGAGUUCCAAUCAGCUCGUCUACAGAUAAUGGCAUAAUUCUUUGCGUCUCUCUUAUUGAAGUCUUUAUAUGAUUCCAAUCCUUGGAGAGUCCACGCAGUAGCUUGUUCACCUUCAUAGGAUCAGAAAUUUUCUGUCCUUGAUUCUCAAGGCCAUUGACAAUAUCUGUAAAACGGCUAAACAUGUCAGUUAUAGAUUCUCCUGGUUUCAUUUUGAAGGAUUCAUAUUGACCAAGGAGAAUGUUAAUUCUGGUCUCCUUCACUCGGUCUGUCCCUUCAUAAGUGAUAUGUAAUCUGUCCCAGACUUCUUUUGCUGUAUCACAAGAAGAUAUUCUGUUAUAUUCAGUUGGUGAUAAAGCACAAUAUAAAGAGUAAAUUGCUUUUGCAUCGAGUGCUUGUCUCUUGUUUAUCUCUUCUUGAGACAUUCCGCUGGUAUCAACAGUUUCUUUCCCUCUUUCGAAUACUGAUGCAACAGUAGGAGUAAUUCCUCUUUCCACCACAUCCCAUUCUAGAGGAUCCUUUGACCGUAGAAAAGCUUUCAUCUUGUUUUUCCAGAUGUUGUAAUCAUUUCCAUCAAAGUAGGGUGGUCUAGUAUUGCUUUGCCCUUCCACCAGCCCUGGUGCUAGCAUACUAGCCAUGGAUCUUUUACUCUGAAGUAAAACACUUCAAAUAAAGUAAGAACACGAGCUCUGAUACCAAUUGAUAUUGCUAGUACGAGUACCUAGAGGGGGUGAAUAGGUUUAUAAAAAUUUUCUUGAAGAUUGCACAAUACUUAGACAGAUGAAGGAUUUGCAAUAAUAAAAAAUCAAUCAUAAAACUGAGUAAAGGAAAGAGAGAAUUUAACACGCGGUUUAUAGUGGUUCGGCUUGAUUCAAGCCUACGUCCACUCUUCUGCACUGACAGCCGAUUGGCUGGAUUCCACUAUGAACAAAGAGAUGUUACAGUGUUGAUCUUCCUUGAUUUCUAGAUGUAGAUGAUCUACUACACUCGCUCAAGGUGUCACCAAGUAUAAACACUCUCUGUGUAUACAAUUUGCUCAAACUGUAUCGACUAACAAUCAAGGUUCUUCAGACUCUGGAAUUUUUCUAUCAAUCACACACUUAAAACAACUAGAACGUCUUCCUUUUAUACUCCUUUAUGCCAUCAUAACCGUUGGCACUUACCAAAGGAAUUCCUUCAAUCUACCCGUUGGACGGAAUCAAUUAAGAAGAUCAUCCGAGCUAUUUAAGGAAUCUGAUGAUAGCCCAUCAAUNNNNNNNNNNNNNNNNNNNNNNNNNNNNNNNNNNNNNNNNNNNNNNNNNNNNNNNNNNNNNNNNNNNNNNNNNNNNNNNNNNNNNNNNNNNNNNNNNNNNGGAUUGAUGGGCUAUCAUCAGAUUCCUUAAAUAGCUCGGAUGAUCUUCUUGAUUGAUUCCGUCCAACGGGUAGAUUGGAGGAAUUCCUUUGGUAAGUGUCAUCGGCUAUGAUGGCAUGAAGGAGUAUAAAAGGAAGACAUUCUAGUUGUUUUAAGUGUGUGAUCGAUAGAAAAAUUCCAGAGUCUGAAGAUCCUUGAUUGUUAGUUGAGACUGAGCGAAAUUGUAUACAGAGAGUGUUUAUACUUGGUGACGCCUUGAGUGAGUGUGGUAGAUCAUCUACACCUAGAAAUCAAGGAAGAUCAACACUGUAACAACUCUUUGAUCAUAGUGGAAUCCAGCCAAUCGGCUGUCAGUGCAGAAGAGUGGACGUAGGCUUGAAUCAAGCCGAACCACUAUAAUCCGAGUGUUCAAUUCUCUCUUUCCCUUACUCAGUCUUGCGAUUGAAUUUUUAACUGUUGCAAAUACUCUAACUGAUAUCGUGCAAGCUUCGAGAAAUUUUUGUAUACCUAUUCACCCCCCUCUAGGUACUCGUACUAGCUAUUUCACUGGUAUCUUCUGCGUUCUUGUGGACUAUUUGAUCGGGCUACAAGGGGUCUCCUCUGACUAUGUGCAGAUUUUGCUCGGUCUUCGUAGUUAUUUUCUAAUUUACAUUACCAUUUUGCUAUAUCCAGGCGCCUUUUUCUGCAACAUCAACAACUAGCUUCUCUACAUGUCCACAUGUAGAAAUACUGCACCAAACUAUUGGAGUCUCUUCGUUAAUACUUCACUAUGUAACUGCGGCUUCUUCUUUUGUUCAGGAACCUUCACACCAUCACAGGAGCACUUGGCACCCGCUGGUUAUGUGAAGAUUCUGACUGUGAGCACGAUUCUGUGUUAAGAGAGCAUAUAUUUAGAUAGGAUGAUUUAUUGUUUAUAUCUUCUUGAGGGUCCUAAUUUCGUACAUUUUACCAUAUUAUCCAAUGAAGAAAUUGUAUAACCAUUCCAAAAUAGGUGUCGCCCACGAUACUCUUCGUAUAAGAUAGGAGCUAUGCAUGUGUUCAUAAUUCCCUGCUUUUAGCUUCAUGUGUUUGAUUUGCCAGUGAUUUUUCUCAAUGCAAUGUUCUUUCAAUUAAGCACGGUGUGAAUUGUUUUUUGUUUCUGAUUGCUAACCAAAAGUUUGUAGAUUUCUCCUAGAAUUAAAACAAUGAACACGUCCAUCACAGAAGAUUUGCUAGUUUGCAGAACCUAGUCCUUAUUAUGGUGAUUUUUUCUUUUUUUUUUGGCACUUUGCACGGUAGGAAUAGAGAACAAGUUGAAACAUUUUCCAAGCCCUAUAUAUGAAUGAUUAACCAUGUUGAAAGUAAUAACAGAGGAUUAGGAAAGCAAUAUCUUUACCGAGCUCUUCCUCUACAAUCUUAUGGUGUAGGAGGUGUAUAUCCACGACAUGGUCUGCAAUUACGUUUGGUACUGAUUAAUGAUUUUCAUUUGAUCACUGCGCAUUCACCUUAGAAAAGUCGAUAAUCUAAGCAAUAUUUCAUUUACAUGAGACAAAUGAACUGAACUGAAUGGACAAGAGAAUAUAUUGUAAAAUGGUAUUGUUGUUGUGGGGUAAAAAUGUCUUAAUAUGCUCUUGCCCAUUAAUCCAAUGGGAAAAAAAGAUGGAUGUGUCUUACCGAUCCAUUUCCUGUAGACUGAGCUUUUACAUCUAGGACUGGAUUGGGCACUUUGGAUGAUGCUGGGAAAGUGAUAUUCAUCAACUUCUUAUUAUAGAUGAAGUCAAAUAUUUGUUUUUAGGAGUUUUUUUUGUCUUUUCUAUCAUAUUUGCUUUUAGGUUAAAAGUGAUAUCUUUAUAUUAGUGAUGACAAGACCCUAGCCGUCAAGACGCUGAAAAAUGAUAUAGAGAGGCAAGAAAAAGAUAGAAGAAAAAAGUGAGUUUUUUUUCUUGAUGAGGGUUUUCAAUCUCUUUGUACCCUGAUCUUAAGAGAAAAUUGUCGUUGUAUUCCAACUUUUUCGAAGUCUAGUGGAUUCGCAGAGUGCCUCUGCGCGGAGACGUAGCCCAGGUUUGAGUGAACUUCGAUAACAAAUUUUCUGGCGUAUUCAUCUGAUUCUAUUCUUUCAUUACUAUAUCAUAUCUAGUGAAUUGUUUGCAAGCGUUAUUUUUGUGGAAUCUGUUGGAGAAAUCUUCUUAAAGUGUUUUGAAGCUGACAAAACGUUUCCAUCAGUCUAGUCUGAAGGUUUGCAAGACUCUGAUAUUUAAAGUCUGAAGACCUCCGGACAGCCAGACUCAAGACUCAAAGUCUAUCGUCAUUGAUAGUCUCUAAUCCGUUGAAGAAAGGUUAUCCAGAACUAGAUGUUUCGUUAAGGAUUCAACCUUAUCAACUUGAGAAGACCUCGUGGCUGGAAAAGACGUAGCGGAAUCCUUUGAUUGAUCGAGAUUGAUUUCGAUGAUUGAAGAUUCGAUGAUUGCCUAAAUAUUCUUGGAAGGUUUUUCUUAUGGAAACCGAGAUCCUGAUUGUAUGGGCGAACAUGAUUUAUGGGUUAUUGACACGUUCCUUUAAUAGCUCAAACAAUCUUCCUAAUUGAUUCCGUCUAACGGGUAGAUUGGAGGAAUUCCUUUGGUAAGUGCUAAUGGGUAUAAUGGCAUAAAGGAGUAUAUAAGGAAGACGUUCUUAGUUGUUCGAGGUGUGCGCGAUAGAAGAAUUCCAAAGUCUGAAGCUUCUUGUUGUUUAGACAAUCACUUUGAGCGAAUACUUGUAUACAAAAGAAAGUCUAUAUUUGUAAGAAACCUUGAGGGGGUGUGGGAGAACAUCUAUACUGUGGAAUCAAGGCAAAGCUGUGCUGUAACUUCUCUUUUGAUCAUAGUGAAAUCCAGCCGGUGGGCUGUUAGUGCGGAAGAGUGGACGUAGGCUUGGAAUAAGCCGAACCACUAUAAAUCCUGUGUUCAAUUUUCUCUUCCUUACUCUCUUUACCUUGAUCGUAUUUCAUUUUGUUAAUCAAUAGAGAAUUUCCUUUCUAUCGAUUGCCAAGAAUCGCUUCCGUAUCUCGAUAAAUUGUUUGUGCACCUAUUCACCCCCCCUCUAGGUGCUUGUACUAGCUAUCUCAGAAUCGACGUGCGAUUUCGUAACACUUCUCUGGAAACCAUCUCCGGAUUUCUCUCACUAGCAUGCAAAGUACCUUACUUGGUGGAUGAUGCAGCUUCACUAAAGAAUGUGGCAACAGGAACGGCUUAAAGUAGCCAUGGGUUCAGGGUUUGUAUCAAAGAAUGUUUAGGAUGUUCGAGGAUCAGCCGCUGCUCCUCUCUGGACAUUAGCAAGCGAUGCAUGUAUUCCAUGCAUGAACACAAAAGAUGAAGCGAAAUGAUUGUUUUUAGCGUGAGUGGGUGAUUAUAUUUUUUUCCUCUGAUUUGGUGAUACAGUCUUGGCCUUGUGUAUCUGAUUAUUUGAUGAUAUUACUCACUAGAUUGACUUGAAAGUUCUAAUAUUACCUAAUCGGAAAUGAAGAAUCUUGCAUCAGCCAUGACUCUUGCUCUUAGUAGAUGUUGAAAAUAUUAUGGUACUUCCUGCAGCUUUGCGCAACUAUGCCAUUAAAGUCGAAGGCAAGUCCCACUUUCAUGGCAACUUCAUCUCCACGCUAGUAAACAUCACAUUCUCUGGCAAAUUAAUUAUCACGUCCAUAACUUACCAACCUCUUACCCAAUCAACUUCUAAAAUUUAGAAGCUGUUAACUUACCAAAAAAUUUGACAUGGGUAAGUUUAUUCAACGUCUGCAACUUAUUAACCUUUAUCCUGUCCACCUGUGAAAUUUGGAAAAAAGUUGGUAAUUUACAGAUCAAUUUGGUUUUUGUAAAUUUUUUACAAUCCGGUCGACUUGCUAACCAGUAACUUGAAUUUGCGAAUUUACAUCAUAAAUUUCUUUAAACGUGGACUGAGGUCAAAGAAUGUCAAGCGAAUUUAUGGAAAUUGAAGUAAUGGCAAUCAAUAGGUAGAAGCAUAUAAAACUCAUUAAUGCUACGAAGAGCAUUUUGUUUAAUUAAAANNNNNNNNNNNNNNNNNNNNNNNNNNNNNNNNNNNNNNNNNNNNNNNNNNNNNNNNNNNNNNNNNNNNNNNNNNNNNNNNNNNNNNNNNNNNNNNNNNNNCCUCGGCAGUUCAACUGCAAUAGCUCAGCACUGAUAAUAUAAUUUAAGUUAACCCGGACGCAGUAGAGAUGUACGUCCUUCCACAUACACGAAAAGUCUCGACUUGUUGACCUCGGUUGCGCUCCAGUCAUCUGGAGCACGACAAAUUCUGCUGGCGCCUCAAUCCAACGGGUCGACGUUGACAGGUUUUGAAUCGGACAGCUGAUGACUGACAAAGCAGAAAGAAGAUUUCCCCGUGCACAAGCUCACGGUACUAUUAAACCAGCCCAGCUAUUAGCAGCUUUCUUAGGGUAUCCCAUGAUAACGGCUUGGCUUUUUUUAGGAGAUCAUCGGGACCUGCCCAGUGUGAACAUGAAGAGAACAGAAACGAAGAAGAAGAGAACAGAGACGAAGGAAUAGAGAAGAAAGAACAGAGAUGAGAGAAAAAUAUGAAGUUUCUGUAUUCAACCAGGAUCGAAGAAAAUUCUCGUCUGAGAGCAUUACAUCUCGUUUUCUCUUCAACUCUAUUUGUAUUACAAGUUAAAACUAAGAACAAACAGACGAACAACAGACUAACAGAAACACCAACAGAAAUUAUUCAGUUACAACUCAAAACUGAAUAUUGAUUCUGCAAUGAACACGUGCUGGUGCGCAGAUCCCAUCAUUGACUUUAUUCCAUUUGUCUUUGUUCACAACAGCAGAACCAAGCUUAUUGUCUUCAAUUCUGACUCAACUCAGCAGGCUGCCUUACUUUAUUUCCUCUGUUUUCAUCAGAACCAAAUUCUCCAAUAGCAGCAGCAUGUGCGUUCAUUAUAUAUCCUAUAACCAGAGCAAUGCCAGACGACCGUCGGGGUCCCAGAAAACACCUGUGAGGUAAUGAAUCCCGAGACAUGCACAUAUAACCCAAGGAACGAUUGCGAGCCCAAUGGUUCUGGUCAACACUACAAACGUACCAGACGCAAAAGCUAGCACCAUCCCCAACAUCGCAAUGUAAAUGCAACCCGCGGCUCUGAUGGUGAAACCUGCCUUUGCACGAACGCUUAACACAGAACUAUCAUAUUGUAAGAACAAUGCCAUGGUGGAGAAAGUGAACGCCAUAGUGUUGGUUAUCACAAAGGUUUUGAAAGCUACCCUGCCAGCAAGAGUCGCCAUUCCUUGGUUGGGUCCGUCAUUGCUAUAACCUCCUGGCAUCGUGAAGGCUGCGGCAAAGGUCGCUGUAGCUAUGAACGCUGCCAUUAGUAGUUCAAGCUCAAUAAUUCUUUUCAAUGACGAAUCGCUUCUUGUGGUUGUAGACGCAGCUGGUUGAUCCUCAAGAAAUUGCUUGUCUAGCCUCUUUUUAAUAUCUUUCACAGCCCACUGUUGAAUAGACGGGAUUCCACUAGGUCCUUUCAAUGCACGAAUAGCUCGAUGUCUUGAGAAAGUCAUCUGAAAAAUAUACAGAAAGAAUCAAUUAACCCGUGGUUUUCCUGGCAAAAUACUUCAAGACCCUCACUUUAUUCGCUCAAAAUCCAUCUGGCCAAGUCCUAAAUUAUUAUUUUUCAAUCAAUUCAUCUCCUUUAGAUGAGGUAGCUGGUAAAUGAAACCAGCAAAUAGAGUUUUUCUGGAGUAAACAAUUACAUCUUGGGCUAUGCCAUAGCUAAAUGAAAUUAUCUAGGAAUUGUUUGAAGCCCUUUUCUCAAAUUGGGCAGAGUGCAGGUUGUCUCUUUUAUCUCAAAACUUAUUUGAAGGGAGGCAGAAAUAAAACAGAAGGAUUUUGGCUGACAUUGUACAAAUCAUUCUGCUUCUCUUAUAUGAAUGGGGCAGAAUAGUUGUUUUUGGAUUGAGGUCCUCUCAAGUUCCGGCUCACUAUACAAGAUAGUGGUUGACAUCUCGGCACAAGGGCCAUUAAACAGGCCGGAUUUAUUCUCCAUUUUUCUUUUAUUUCUUUUUCCCCCUUUACCUUAUCCCCUACAUAAGAAGCUCCCAAUCCUUAGAGUUUUGCAUUGGUUUCAAGAUAAACAGGUCCCACAUUCUGCAUAAUUUUUAAUAAAACAAAAUAUUAGACCUUAAAAUUGCUUUAUACUAUUUUCAUUGUAAGCAAUCUGUUGACUAUCGAUACCAUAUAAAUGUUUUUUUUUAUUAGUUUGUUUGUUUGCACGUGAAAUGAGUAUCAAUUGAGCCGCAGUUUCUUAACGAUAUUGAAGAAAUUACUUUGCGAGUGAACAAAUUGGGCUCUUGUAGUGUGCAAGCAAGCAUACCUUAUCCUGAGCAUAUAUAAUGUCAAGAGCGAUCAAACCAUUUUUAUUUGUGGCAAAGCGGUCCACCCUCUUGUCUAUGGCAAUUAUCCGCGUGCUUUUGUAUUCUCUAAGAUGCACAGACAAAUGCAAAGCCGUGUUUCCAUCAAUGUCUUUUUCGUUGAUAAGAUCCUCCCGGUUUGGCAUCCCUAAUAUGUACUUGACUACCUUUACCUUUCCUCCGAUAACAGCUGCAUGAAGAGCUGUUUGCCUUUUAAAGUUUAUUAUGUCCCAAGCAUCAGGAUAGGAUGUAACAAGCUUGUCAAUGACAUUGAUGUGGCCUUGAAACGCUGCAAUGUGAAGAGCUGAAUCCCCCUCUUUGUCUAACUCAUAUGCAACGGAAGUAUCAUGUUGCAAGAGCAGUUGAACUGCAUCAACUUUGCCAAAGUGAGCGACAUAAUGAAGAGGAGUCCACCCUCUAUUAUUGUCCUUUUCUCUGAUCAGUUCUGGUCUCUUCUCCAAGAUUUUCUUGCAACCUUUGCAAAUACAAUAGGAAUAUGUCAUGAUUUAGAUCGGUUUUAGCAUUUUGACAUUGAUAUCUUAACAUUGCAUUUCAUCCCAUUUAGCUUUCCCCUCCUUUUUCUCUGUACUAGGGAGGAAUAUGUCAUGGUUAUUAUGAAGUUUCUCUAUUGAUCUUGUGUAACACAUGUAGAAUCUAACUACCUUGAAUCUAGCAUAAUGUAGGAAUUCCUGAAGUUUUUCAUUUUGAUAAGUGAAUUUGUCAGAAAUUCGUGAAGUUGACUAAGAAGAAACUUCUUUUCUAUUCAGCAAGGCAUCUGCUCUGUCUAAGGCUAGAAUAAAAGACUAGGGUUUUUUUCACUCUGAUGCCAAUCAUUUUACAGGAAUAUCGUGUCCAGCUAAUUUUAUAAAAAAAUUAAUCUAAACGAGGGCCUAGCACCUUCUACAUUUUCCAAUGGUAAAGUCAUUUUACCCCCCUUUUUCCAAGUCAUCAUUAUUUUUCCCUCGGGGGUUAAAAAAGUUUUGCAUCGAUUUUUUGGAAAUAUAUUGCAAUGUGCCCUAUCAUCAAUUGUAAACUGAAAAGCAAGUAAUCAUAAGGAGAAAAUGACGAAAAAAAAGAGGAAUACCAAAAAAAAAAAAAAAACGAACUGGAUGAGAGAGGAAAGGGAAGACGUUGGGGUAUGAUGGUGAUGGUGGUUGCUACCACUGCCACCACAGGAGACAGGAGGGUUUGAUGAUGGUGGUGCCAGGAGAACAAGAUCCAGAAAAAUGUGAAGAAAGAAAUUAAGUACAAGCGAAAUAUGCACUCCGUGUCACAGUGUUUUUAAUCAUAACGUCCUGUAUGUGGCCGGUCAAAUGUGCUGUCCUUUUUGUUUUUAAUCUUUUCUUUCCCGGCGGGGGUCACUCUCCUUCUACCUCUUUAUCUUUCCAAGCCUCUAGUGUCCCUCUCUAUUCCCUCUUUUCCAUUUUUGGCUUCCGACACGCCAUUGGAGCAAGUAUUGACUCUAGAAGGAGCAUUGAUGGAAGAGAGAUUGGGCCAAAGGUUCCAGAACUUUGAUGAGAAGUCGAGGUAGAGAAGGCGUUGCACUCUAGCUGGCAAAGGAAUUCACGGAAGCAAAGGAAAAAGGGCCACCAAACAACAUUUAUCAUUUGCUAGUUCCUAUAAUCAGAUAACUGAGGAAUCAGCCGCUGAAGCAGCUCGCAAACGCAGAGUUGAACGACCAUGAGGCAGAUCGAACUUGCAGGAGGCUGACUUACCGUCCUCAAACAACACGAUGUCUACAAUUUGAUCACCGGUCGUCCCCUCACUGGAUCUUGGCUCUAGGACUCCUCUCUCAUCCUCUCCGAUUGGCUCUCCAUCGAAAGUCACUUCCUAUUGUUCCCUCUAACUGGCAAGAGCGUCAUCGAGUUCAACCCUGAAUCCGCGGGCAUCCUGGGGUUCACAGCGGCUUGGCUUGGGGGCCAGCCGUGUUGUCCUCAGUGUCGUCGCGCCGACGUCGGUGAGAGAAAAUUGGGAGAGAAAAACAAAACAUGAGACCCGAAAGGCAUGUCUGAAGAAGAAAAAAAAUGGAAAAAAGGAAUAGAGAGGGACACUGUAGGUGGUAAGACGCUAAAGGCCGAAAAGAUACGAAGAAGGAAAGCGGGACCUACGGGGAAAGAAAAAGAGGGACUCCGCAUUUGACCAUAUAAAAAAUUAAACUAAGGAGAGUAAUGCUAAAAGGUGAGUCACAUCGGGGACGAUAUGAUGAAAACACUAUAAUAUUUUUACUAUUAUAUUUACAAAGUACUAGUCUAGAAGGGGGGCAUCGCUGCUACCACCAGCAUUCUCGCCCAAGGGAAGUCUCGCGCUAGGGAGAGAACUUCGGUUACUUCGGUUAUCAUUUGUUCAAGUGGGUUUAGAAUCUUGUGACUGGUAGUUCGAAGUGCACUGCAGCAUGCAGAGCUGUCAGUCCCUCAGGGCCCUUAUGAGAGGCUGGCGACGAGGAAGCACAUAAAAUUAGCUCAUUGAUAUCUGAAAAUCUUUGAUGUAUUGCGAGAUAAAGCGGGGACUCAUCAGCAGCAUUAAUAAUAUCACAUAGGUGAGGAUCUUCUUCAAUAAGUAAUUCCACGAACUCCUUGCAACGUCCUCUUAUUGCAGAGUGCAACAAGGUAUCCUCAUCUGAAUUCGGUAUCCUAAGUAGCUCUUUAUAUGCAUCAGGUUGAUGUAUUUCUUGCCAAAGAAGUAACGAUCUUGAUAGAUCUUGAAGAAAAUCUCGGACGAAAUUUACCUGCCUGAAUUGAGCCGCAAUGUGAAGAACGUUGUUCCCCUUUGGCGUUGUUUGGUGGAAAAGGUCCUCUCCAUUUUCCAAAUUUAUUGUCAUCAGGGAAUGAAAUUCUCCCGACUUUGCAGCCCCAUACACUUCAGGAUGCAUACCCAGUCUCUCUUUCAUUCUCAGGACACGCGAUAGUUGCAAGUGAACUUAUCAAUAUAAGCAAUGAGUUCAAGUAGGAGGAAUUUCUUUGAGUUUUUCAAGAGGAUUGGUGAAAAGGGAAAAUGCUGGAGAGGAAAUUUAGUUGAGCUUCCUAGGAGUACUAAAAUGGAGACAUUUAUAUGCAUAUGGUGGCUCUUCAAUUGUUCCUAUGAAAUCGAAAUAAAUUUAGCAGGUCUAAAGAAUAGUUUCUAAAAAGUCUAAUUGGUGUGCGUUUUGGACUUCCUGAUUUUACAUAAACGAUAAUAAGUGGGGCAACUCUUGUUAGAAUGAAGGAGGACAAUUACAAACCGAAAAUAAUAAUGAUAAAUAAAUUAUAUAAGCAUGAAAUUGAGUUAACGGACUGCUUUUCACUUUUUAUCAAAAUCAGAACAUCCUUCUAGAAGAAUCGGAUAUGAUUUAACUUGUUUAUUAAAGUAAUACUAUUCGUUCACUUUGAGCUGUAAUUUUUUUUUUUUUUUUUAGGACUUGAAUCGGAUCUGAUUUAACUUAUUUAUUAAAGAAAUGAUUUUCGUGGGCCCACUUUUAGCCGUAGUUUUCUUCUUCUUUUUUUAUUUUAUUUGUUCAUCGAAAAGUCCUUUGCUCUUUUUAGUCGGUCCAAGUUCGUCGUAAGCAUGCAUUCUCAUCACGGUGCACAUGAUGGAGCCUACCCAAGCCUGGUCCCACUCGAAGAUUUACAUAUGUAAUUAUUAUGGAGCACGAACUAAGGUAAAAUUCAACCAAUAAAAAACUUAGGUAAAAAUUAGUUGACGACCAAUUUGAGCUCAUCCAAUAAUCACCUCCACUUCUAUGAUCCAUUGGCAAAAGUUGGAGCACAUAAUGAUAUGUUUUCUAUUGUAAUGUUUGCGCAAUAUUCUAUAACAAAUAAAAAUCUAUGAAAAUUUUAUGAUCAUUCAAUGACUAUCUAUCAUUUUUAAUAUGUGGAAGAGGGACAUGACAAAAGCUUAAAUUUAUAUAAAUAAAAAAUAGAAGGCAAGGCCGAAGUUGUUCUACUUUUUUAGCAAGGGCCAGUGAACCUUGUCGAGGUCUUAGUGAGGGCCAACAACCUUUGCAAGUCUGUCUAUGGCCAAGGGCUCGCAGGCCUUCAUCUGCAUCACAAACAGUGGUCUUCAUUGUGAAAUAAUAUGUAGAACUAAAUUCUUAAGACUAUUUUCUAUAUUUGACCUUCAUAGAACAUUAGCCUCAAUUAUGUCUGCGAAUUGGCAAUUAGUGUCCUACCAGAAUCCCAUGGACAUUAUGUGUAUGUAGAUCUGAAUUCUUUGUUAACAGCAAAACUGCAUUGGCAAUGGGUUAUUUUUUCUUUUUUUAACUCAACCCUUUUUAUGUAUGUUGGCCUAGGCUUUGCUCCCACAUUGGUGCCAUGAAUAUUUUUUUAUUAGUUCAUUAGAAAGUGGACUUAUUUUUGUUGAUAGACUCUUUCCACUGUCUCUGACUUUGUAAGAAAUAGGAAACGGCUCAUGGGACUCAUGGACUAUGUCAUUUCUAGAGCAGGUAAUUUCUCAUACGACUAUUGCUUGUUAUUUUUAAUGAUUUGCAUCUGAUGUCCGUGACAAUCUGUUAUGUUCCUUGCCUUCCAAACUGCGGUUGCUUGUGCGGAGGUGUUGACAGUUGCUGGUGAGAUAUAUAGUCUUGUGGUACCUGAAUUGUAUCUAUAAGUCUCCACAAAUGCCUUUGAAAGCUUAAAAAGUGAAAGUUAUAGUAGCCAUUACUUACCUAAAAACAUGGGGUUUAGAUGCUGCAAUGGUCAGCUCUUUAUAAUUAUUCUGUGCCCUUCCAUGUUAUACUCCAGUAAUUCUUGGGUAACAUAACCAGCAUACUAAAUUAAUGUAGUACAUCAACAAAACAUUUAGCUCAAUAAGUGGUGAAUGGAUAAAUGACAAUGCUGUAAUCCAUGUAUUCUUACUAUUGUCUUUGUCCUGUUGCCGUUUACCUAGUUUCUCAUAUUCAUGAUUAGAGUUAUCUGUCUACCAUCAUUGCAACUUACCUGCCUGUCUCAGCAAGCACCGUGAUUGGUCGAGGUGUUGUUGAAUUUCGUGAGGGAGGACCUCUAGUGAGAAAAAGUGCUGCAAUGAGUGAGUUACAAAUUUCCGUGUCAUGCCUUCUUUCUUUUCGAUAUUGAGAUGAAAACAUGCGACGAAUCACUUUAUACCGUUCGGAGAUUUUGUUCCCCUUUUUCCUUUCACAAGUCUUAUAGUAUUCUUCUUUAUUAUAUUACUGACCAACUUUUGAGACACGCACAUAAAAUUCUCUUUCUUGUCUGUUGCUUCCCUAAACAUGUGGUUGAAGUAUAAUACUUUGAGUCUGCAGAGAAAAUGUGAUUCCGCUUUGCAGCAUGACACUUUGCCGAGCCAUGCUACGAUGGUGUAAAUAUCUGCAACUUCUAGGAAUCAAGAAAAGAUAUCAUAAGUGCUAUAACCUUCGUACGGCACUCUUUUUCUCUUUCUUUUUCUUUUAUCAUUUAAAUAUGGCACUCUUUUGAGUACCAUACAAUCACUUGAGUGCUAUAUAACUUUUUAAUCAAUUACUUGAUAGUUAUAAUUUUUUUAAAAACGUUCACUAUAAGCACUAAACUACAUCAAAUUUCUAGUAUUUGAGUGAACGUUUUUAAAAAAUUAUGACACUUAAGUGAUCGAUUAAACAUAAUUUUUUUUAGAAAUAAUGGCAAUUAAGUGAUAGGAAAAAAAAGUUAUAGCACUUAAGCAAACGUCGUAUAAAAAUUAUGAUAUGUAUAGUGUAUUUUAUCCCUAUCUUCUAGUAUAAUCCUAGAGGCGACACUUGAUUGCAGUCAAGGGCCUUUCAAUAGCAAGUCUCUUCCAAGAACAUUGUGCCUUUGCUAGUACUGCUGUGGGCGUAGACUAUGAACCUUGACUACAUUGGCAUAACCCAUCUGAAGCUUCUUCAAUGUGGCUUCAUUUUUUAAGCAAGAUAUCGAGGAAAGAGUAUCAAGAGAGAAGAGGAACAGUAUCUUGGUGAAUGAUUAAGUAGUAAUUAUUGACAGGAAUGAUUUCCAUGCUACAAAAGAUUAAAUUCCUCAUAGAAGAAUGUUGGGUUUUAAGGAUGAUGUAACAAAUCGUCGAUCACAACCCUUUUGAUGUUUGCUUUACAUUUGUGUAAACAAACAUUUGUGUAAACAAUCUCCAAAGGAUCUGUGACACCUUGCUACGCUAAUUUCCAAUCUCCAACCAAUUUGCGAGAUAUUUUGGAGAGUUUGGAUGGGACUUAGUAGUUAUUCAUUUGUCCUUCUUUAAUAGUCAGAAAUCUAAAUGGUUCAUACUAAAUAUUUAUCUACCCUUGAACAUCAAAUAACAUAAUGUCACAAAUUAAAUCAACUGUAGAGCUUGCUAAGUUCUUUCUUGCUAUAACCGUACCUAAUAUAAUUGAUAGAUCUAUUGAUGUUUUGGUCCUUUUUGUUGUUAUCGGCAAAGGAAUAAAGUGUUCUACUACUUAACCGGCAAAGAGAGUUGCUUUAUUUUAUACUCUUUCACUUGAAUUGAAAUUCACAAUUCGUUUGAUGAAAGAAGCACAAAUAGUAAAAGAGAAAGGGGGCUGUCAUAGGACAGUAUCAUAUAAUGUCAUAUUUAGAAAUUCUUAUGAAAAGUGAAAAAAUUAGUGGGCCCACAGAAAAGAAACCCAGUCUCUCCUGUCUUGAAUAAUGACACUUCAGUGCCAAGUAAAGGCAUAAAGAAGGAAAAGAAAACAAUAAUGAAAGAAAAGAAUAAAGUUAUGUGUGCUUUCCAUUUGUGUAUUUUUUUUUUUAAUAAAUGGACAAUAGGGGAGGUUUGUUUCCAUGCUUCUUUUACUUGCCAUAGACACCAACUACCUAUCUGGAAAAUUUCAAACUAUCGUGUCAUUCAAAUAUUUAAGCAACAAAUCAUUCUCCUAAAUUCUUUGAUUCUUAUUACUCAAUUCAUUAGGAAUCUAAAAUACUUCUCCAAAGUACUUUAGUUAGCUGUUUUAACUGACCGUACUUGUUUCUAUCCUGAAUUCGUAAUCUUCCGAUUCGUUAAUUUGGUUACUGCAGUAAAAUCAUUUUGAAUAAGUUGUUGGUUAAAUGCCACAAAGAUGAAGGAGAAUUUUUAUUUUUUAUUUUUUGGAGGGGGUGUGGGGUUGGAGGGAGAAGCCCUGUUGUAUUGUUCACGUUGCCAUGUUAGACGAAAAAAGUUCUGCAUUGGACUCAUUUUUAUAAGAAAAGCCACGUAUUAAUAAAAAUUUCAUAUACAAAACAUAGAAUAUGUUGGAAUUUACAACUAGAAGCACUUGAGUAAUCGUUUUUCCACCGAUAUAACACUUGAGUAAUUACUCGAAAAAUUUCGGCACUAAAAAGAUAUGAUUUUUAGUGUUAUUUUCCUACCAAUGCUCUUUAAAAUAGAGAUUGAUAAGGAUUGGUAAAGUAUUAAAGCUAGAUCAUGGUAGAAUGUCCUAAUGGUUUAGAAAGCAUGCAUUUUUAAUGGUUCCAUUCUUUUGAGAAUUAUUUUCUGCACUCAAACCAAUUCCAAAAAUAAGAAUUCACUUGAGAAGUUGCACGCCCAUAGAUAAAUGAGAAAUUAGGGGAUUGGAAUAUUUUUAACAUUGACAUUGACUUGGACUUAACUGUUCUAUUUUUUAUUUUGGGUCUAUGUCAUUAAAAAUUCGAAACCUAUAUUCACAUAAUAAAUUUAUCCAAACUAGUUUUCGUAUCACAUAAAAACCUUCAACACAUUUUACCCCAAACUAAUUUUUGUCUUAUGAAAAAUCCCAAAACAAAGAUUACCCUCAACGUUUGAUCCUAAACUAUUAAUGGAUGCUAUAUUUGAGUUAGGAUUCCGGCUUGGGGCAAAUAUGUUAUGAGGAACUAGUUCAAGAUUGUUUGCGAGAUGAAAAUAGAGUUUAGGAUAAAUAUAUUAUGAAUUAUCAAUUUGAGAUUUUAAUGGUAAUAAACCUAUUUUUGUUGCAUCUUGUAUGGCCAACAAGAUAGAACAUAGAAGUAUUUGAAACAUGUUCUAAGCCUUAUAGAUGAAAUUUAACCAUGUUGAAUUUAAGGCUGAGGAUUACGAAAUCGAGUUUGCUGAGCUUCCUCCUCUACAAUCUUAUGGUGCAGGAGUUGUAAAUCCAUGACAUGGUCUGCGAUUACAUUGUGCAGUGAUUUAUGAUUGUCGUUUGAUCAUGGAGCACCCAAGUUUGUAAAGUCGGUGAUCUAAUGAAAAUUGCAUUUACACAAGAAAAAUGUAUGUAACAUAACGGAUGAAAGAGCAUAUAAUGAUAUGGUGUCGUCAUUGUAGUGUAGUAUUGUCAUACCAUGCUUUUGCGACUUACUCGAUGCUACCAUUUGCAUCCUUUUUAACCUUUGAUCCAUUGGGAAAAAUAAUAUGAAUGAAUCUAACUGAUGCAUUUCCUGCAAACCAAACUUUACAUCGAGGAUAGGAUUAGAUUGAAGAACUUGGGUGAAGCUAGGAAAGUCAAAUUCAUCGUCUCUGUGUUGACACCUCAUUUGAGUCGAUAGUUUAAGUAUUUAUUCUUGUAAAAGUACCCCCAAAGAAAAAAAGCAAGGGAAUAGCAAAAAGAACUAAAACGAUAAAUAGGCAAACAAAUAAUUAUCAAAUCAACAAAUAAGAAAGGGAUCUAAUAUGGUCUUGGUCUAUUUUCUAUAGCCCCGAUCAGCUGGCACGGCCCAUGUCCAAAUUCGUUGAUCACGAGAGAAAAAAGAAUAGGAGAAAAAUUGCCCCUGGAAGAGAAGCUCCGUUGGAGAAGCUUCCGGAUUCUUCCCCCACCACCGUUGGACGUCGCCGACCUCCUCCGGCCAUCGGACGGUGCUCGCCUCCUCCAGCCGUCGUCGAUCCUCAGUCUCAGGAAGACACUGAUCGGAGAGAAAACCAUAUUUGAGGCACGCAUGCACGCCUGAGAGCAAAACACCCGGGCAAGGACGAUCGAGCAAAGGGGGAAAAGCUUGCGCCCCCUCGGCACGGGUCUUUGGAGUUUCUUUUUCUUCGGUCAUCUUCAUCCACCGGUGAUCAUCACGGUUUACCAUCGCCGGCCAUCAACUCACGUACAAACUUCAUUAGAUCGUCCUUUGGUAAGAGAACUAGAACAGAAGGCGAAGGUUGAAAUCACUCUAGAGGUUUUGGAAGCGUCCAGAAGACACUCUCUUCCAGUGAUUUCUUCUGAAUCCUUUCCUGCCUCUUCGUUGUCAACCGUGUUUUUGGCCGUGAAGACUUGAAGCAAUUCGCGUUUUUCUGAAAACUUCAUUACCGUUGCUCAUCUUCAGCAGCGACGUUUUCUGGAUCCUCCUCGACUGAAUAACCCAAAUGACGUUUAAGGCCCAGACCCCUAAAGUAUAAGUUUGACCCACAUGCGAACCGGGCCCAUCCCGUGUCCCCUUCAGCGAGGCCUGGACGAGGCUGCCCCUCGCCAAAUCCGACUAGGGGCCUUGCCAAGGACCAGCGAGGGAAAAGAGACAAAAAAAUAAAACAAAAUUCGAAAAUAAAUUUAAAAAUUUUAGCAAUGUCAAUAUCAGUGCUAGUCGUAUCAUGUAGGACAGUUAAUGUUUACACCGGUAAUUUCCAACUAAAAUUGAUCCGAUUGACUCAAUUGGUAUAAAGUGAAAAUGUUUAAUUUUAAAUUGAUCCAUUCCUAUGUUUAAGACUAAAUUAAUAUCAAUAUUAUGACUUUUUUUGGUACUUUUCUCGUUUACAGUUUGUAUCAAUGAAUGGUUAGGCUGCUCGAGGGCCACUGCUCCUCUCUUUGCAUUAGCAAGUGAUGAAUAUAUUCCACACACAAACACGAAAGACAAAGUGAAAUAAUUGUUUUUAGCAUGAGUGGGUGAUUGAAUUUUUAUAGGUUGAUAUAGGCAUUUUUGGGCUCGUGUGCCUAAUUAUUGGGUGAUGUUAUUCGCUGGAUUGACUUUGAAAGUGUUGACACCUAAAUUUUUGGGGUUAAUUUUUGCUAAAUAAUGUAUAAAAAAAAGAAGAAAAAAAUCAAAUCACAUGGCAUAUAGUUUAGGCAAGUUUUAUAUUCCAUUAAGAUUUAAGGUAAUAUACACUCGGAUGUGUUUUUGCGCAAAAGGGGAAUUUUUUGGAUAGAAUAUGUGAAAAAUACAAAAGAAAAUAUCACAUGUGGUGCAAUGAUAUAUUCAGAGAAUUGUGCACGAGUGAAAUUGGAAAUAAAAUACGCUUCAAAGAUCUAAAAUUUUCCCCUAUAAAAGGCGUUGCGCACGUACGAACAAGGGGAGGUGGAAUUUCGAAAUUUUUGAGAGCAAUUACAUGAGGAGUUCUUGGGGUUUGGUGAGCAGGGAUUCGAAAGAAAAAUCAAUAAAAGAAUUGUUUUCUUCCGUUUGUCUUCGGUUUGUCUUGAAAAGAAAAAAGUCAAAAAAAGAAAAGUCAUGACUGCGGAAGGGAAACAGUAGAGAGAAAGUACAGCAGAAGAGAGAGAGAGCAGAGAAUAGACGUGAGAGAUUGAGAAAAAAGAAAAGAAGUGACGUGAAAAAAAAAAAAAAAAAAAAGCCCCCCCCCCACGCGACUGUUCAUCUUCCUCGCGGGGGGGUGGAUCUUCGCCGGCGCCAUCAUCGUCCGCUCCCUCCGGCGUCCGACCGCGCCAUCCCCGCUCGCCCGUGCCGGCAUCCGCCCCGACGCUCCACCGCCUCCGAGCAGCAACGCCGCCCCGCCUUAGCCGGUGAUCCGCAGCUAGCCCCCGACGCCGGAGCCAUUCGGCGAUCCGUCUCCACCACGGUCGCACACCUCCGCACGCAGUACCGCCGCGCCACGAUCCGAUGUUGCAGCAACUCAGACGCCCGCGACGCUCGCUCCCGGUGCCGUGACACCGCCGCGCCGAUCCCCGAAACGUUGUGCUACCAUCGCGCCGCUCCCGGUGCCCUCGCCGGAACCCUAGUCGGACAUCUCCCCUCGCCAGACCGGCCACCAGCUUUAUUUUCCUUUUUCUUUUCAGAAAAAAAAGAAAAGAAAAAAAGAAAAAAGCAAAAGAAAUUUAGGUAUUUUCUUUAUCUUAUUUUUGUUUUAUUAUUUUUAUUUUAUUUUAUCUUUUUGGUGUAUUAUCCUCUUAUGUGAAAUUGAUAAUUCCAUGAUGUAAGAUUGCCUUGAAAUUAGUGAUUGUCAGUCCGAUUUUCGCGCCCGAAAUCCGACUCGCAAUCACUUAAAAAAUUGCCAAUCCGAUCUCCCGCUCGAGAUCCGAUUCGUGAUUUAUGUGAAAUUGGCCAACCCGAUCUCAUGCUCGAGAUAUGGUUCGUCAAUUUGGGUAUCAAUAUGGCUUGAUUUGUUGUGAUGUUGCUUAAAUUAAUUUUCUUAAAAAAAAUAAAAAAAUGUAGCUUUAGGGUUUGCAUGUUCAUAAUAGGUAUUUUAUUUCGAAUUUUCAAGAAAAAUAAGAAAAUCAAAUCAAUUAAUUUAGGUUGUUAGUUUUCUUUAAAACUUGGAUUGCAUGUUAAUUAUUAAUUUCGAAAUUUUAAAAAAAAAGGAAAAAAGGAAAAACAUAAAAAAUCAUCAUGCAUAAUUCAUGUAGAAUUAGGGUACAUUUUGCACGUCAUUGCAUAUUAGGAUAGAAAUUUCACUUAAGUUAAUUUAGAUAAUUUCUUAAUUUACUAUAGGUUUAGGUAUUUUAUUAAAUGGAUUGCAUUUUAGGAUUAUCUAGGUUAAGAUAAUAUUUUAGUUUAAAUUAGGAUGUGGCUCAACCUAAUUCCUAAUAUAAAUUAAAUAGGAUCUGAAUCUAAUUAGGUAAUUUUCAUAUUUCACCUAAUUUCGAAUUUCAUAAAAAAAUAAAAAAUGCCAUAGGUUGAUUUGUCUUUAUUUUUUAGGAUAAAAAAUGUAUUCUUUUAGGAAAAAGAAAAAUUGUCAUAUGCACGUCAUUAGGGUUAGAAUUCAUUGAGAUGCAUGUCAUUUAGUAUUUUUGCUAGGCCCAUUCAAAUUACAUGUUAUUAGAAUUAGGUCAUUUAGUUAAUAUUGCAUUGCAUAUUGCAUGAUUUUCAUUAAAAAGUGAAAAAAAAAUAAAAAUUGUGUGUUAAUUAGAAACUAUAUCUAGGGUUGUUGAUGUGGAUUUUAAUUUAACAUUGCAGAUGCUUUCGUUGCUUUGAGGUAAGUCCUGCAAUUUAUUCAUUUGCUUUCUUGAGUGUUAAAUUGGUGGUUUGCGCACCUGCAUGGUCACCUCACAUGUUAGAAUUUAAAAUCAAUUCAAGCUGCCUGCAAAAACAUUUUCAAAAUAAAAAGAAAGGUACCGAAAGGGCGUUAGAGAAUUCUAGCGUAACCAAGUCCACGAACUCAUAAAUCUCUGGUUCGUAGGAGUAAAGUAAAUCUCCCGUUACUUUACUAGGGUUGCUAAUCGACCCACCAAAAAUAGAUUAGUGGCGACUCCUAAUUUAAAAUCAUUGCAUGUUAAGAACUUGAACCUAAGUCGUGAAUUGGUAUGGGCUUGAGAGAACCCGAGCUAAGUCUAGGCUUAGUAAUUCAUUAGCCAAACCCUAGGCGGUUCACACCCGAAAAAUUGGUCGCGACAGAAAGUUUUGAGAUUACACAGAAAAAUGAUACUUGCACUUCCAUGAAGGCUUAUCAAGCUUUUGAAAUAAUAGGAUAGGAAGGAUCUUCCACCACCCGUGACUCUUGCUCUUAACAGAUGCUGAAAAUGUUAUGGCACUUUCUGUGGUUUUGCGCUACUAUGCCGAGAAAGAGAGAUGCAUAGAAGUAAGAAGGCAAAGUCCCAAUUCAACGGCAACUUCAACUAUACGCUACCAGACAACUAAAUAUCACAUUCUUUCACAAAACUCCAGGGGCGUACAAACCUUCAUCUUGAGCAUGGCUAUCUAGCAGGCGAUCAAUCCAACGAUUGGCGUUGACAGUUUUUAAAUUGGACAGAUGACAUAAAAGUGCUCGAAAUCGACGGCUAAGAAAGCAAAAAAGAAAAUUUCCUGUGCCCAAGGUACGGGAAUGUAGAACGGGCCCAUAUCUUUAGCUUGCGGAGCGACCAAUGAAUGGUCCUUGUAAUGAACAAAGCAACUUGCAUUGGAAGCCCAACCAUAAGCCUUUGGAUGUAUCUUUUGGGAACCUACGUAGCACCGACGAAUGAGCCCCGUGGUCCGGGUAAUCAUAAGCUAAUAAAAGAAAGAAGAGAAGAUUCCUCGCAAGAGAAAAAACGGACGUUUCGCGGGUACUGCCGGUGGGUCUAUGCAAUACACUAUAUAUCCCGAAAACAUAGGAUAGCAUCAUCCCGAUUGUUGCGACUUGAAUGAAACAUCCCACAGUCUGUAUCAGCUCUUGACGCUGCCUGAACAUAGUUCCUUCACAAUGCAAGAAUAUUGCCAUGAUGGAGAAGAAAAACGCCCAAGUGUUACAAUAUACAAAGGCUUUGAAACUUGCCCUCUCACCGAGAAUCGCCAUUCCUCGAUCUGGUCCAUCAUUGUUAUAACCUCCGGGCACUGUGAAGGCCGCAGUGAAGGUUACUGUUGUCACGCCCCGAACCUCGAGCGCGCGCACAUCCCACUGCGGUCGAUCAAAUAUGCGACAUCCCAGGAUACGUCGCCGACCCAUUCAUUUUGUUACGCAUGCGGAAGCGAAUCAAAUCCCCUGACAACAUUUAACUUGGGAUAGAAAAGCAGGCAAUCAAUUACAAUACCAAACACUCAUUCACAAACACAUGGGUUUAAAUAUAACUCUGGACUGUCUACAAAAUAGACCAGCUCAACGAAUGGGGAACUAUCCUAAAGCCAACUAGCAGGACACGUUCACCGAUACUUCAGUCACCACCUUUCCAGACUUAGGGCUUCGAGUCCACCACGACCGCCAUCUAGGGACCUGAAAUUUUAAUCCCACAACCGGGAUGAGACGAUGUCUCAGCAAGUUCAACCCCCUAAACCCCUAUUAGAAAGAAAAUACACCCCGGGUGGCCUAGCCACAUCACACAGAGGACUUACCUCGCCUCAGUUCCUUCCUGCAGGUUAGCACAAUUUCAAAUCACUCAAUCACAGAUAGUAAUAAGAACUUAAACAACCGGAACGCAUUCUUUUUCAUAUAACCAACAACCCCGGGAGUCCCGAUUAUGAGACUAAAUCGUUAUGACACGUCCCAUUCCAUGCCACACAAUUCCGUCCCAUAAUCCGACACAUCAACAACACUCAACAUGCAUCCCAAUUGUUAAUCACUGCCACACAAGGGCAUAGCCUACUCGCAGUUCGGCUAUCUACUGACACUAAUGCCAGGCAUCGCCUCCCCCCAUGGAGCGCGGCUUCGUCAGUAUGUCGACGGCAUUCCCGAAGGAGCAUCGUCUCCCCCCUUGGAGCACGGCUUCGUCACUACGUCGACGGCAUUCCCGAAGGAGCAUGGGCCCAGAAUCUACUGCGACCCGCAUCCACCGCGUGGGCAUCCCAUAUAGGGGCAAGUCCGGCUCAACAGCCCAGGACGCUUCCUCAUAGUUAUCACACAACCAAAGCAUACUCGGCCCCAGGACACUUUGUAAUUCAAUCAAUGCUUCCACUUAAAAUAGUGAUCCCGGCCAUUUUUCUCCAUAUUAAAAAUAUUCCAGAAAUUACUCACGUGUGUGGGGACACGCUAAUUUCGAAUCAAAAAGCCAAUAUCUCACUUUUUCAAACCCCACUAUUUAAUAUAAUCAUUAAAAUCCAAUUUUUGCAUCAAAACCCGACAUUUGGGUUUUUAUGAACAAAAUCCUUAUUUAUCACAAUCAACAGUCGAUUUGCCACAAUCAAUCAUCAAAUUCAAAUUCUAAAUACACAACAGCGAUCGGCACGAAAUUCUGAGAGUAUAAGGUCCCGACGAAAUUUUCGAAUUUUAAUAAAUAAUUAAAUUAAUUCCGAAAAUUAAUUAAAUAAUAAUAUUCACAUUUUUCGCAAUCCACAUUCAAUUUAUAUUAUCCGACCAAAAUCCGAACACACAGCAGCGAUCGGCACGAAAUUCUGAGAGUAUAAGGUCCCGACGAAAUUUUCGGAAUUUAAUAAAUAAUUAAAUUUAUUCCGAAAAUAAUUAAAUAAUCAUAUUUUAAUAAUUUCGAAUAAUGAUAUAUUAUUAAAUUAUUAAAUAAUUUCGAAAUGUUUAAAUAAAUCAAAAGUAAAUUCCUUUAUGUCACAUCAAUGUUUAUUUUAAAAAUAAACCUACUUAACCCUUAAACUAAACAUGUUUAACUUUAAUUAAACAAAUUAAUCUAAUCCAUAAUUAAAUAAACUAAUCUACCAACCUAAUCUUACUUAACUUAGACUAAGCACACUUAGGGCAUCAUUAACCCUCUAAUCAAGAUUUAGUGAGUUAAACUCACCGGAUUAGCGAGCCGAGCGGAUCAAAACGACGAGGACGCCGAGGAGAACAACUUUCCUCAAGCACGGCUCGGAUUCGGGGCGCGGAAACGGCCCAAAACGGGCCUUGAACAGGGCUGGAAACCCAUUUUUCCAGCCACUGUUCGUGGCCAAACGAAGCUGCUCCGGCGGCUAGGGCGGCGAGGAGAGGCCGCCGGAGGGCGAGGGGGACGUCGGGGGAGGUCCGGCGGUGCUGGGCGGUGGCCGGAGCUGGCUGGACAGGGCGGAACGGGCUGGGUCGCGCGGCUGGGAGAACGCCAGGCGCGAGGGACGACGACUGGCGGAGCUCGCGGCGAGCUGCGGGCGCGCGGGCGGCGCGGGGCGGUGGCGACGAGCGGACGGGCAGGCGGUGAAAGGCUGCUUCGGCUUCUCCUCUGCAAAUUUUUCUGGUCUUCACGCACCAUCCAUGGAGGAGAGAGGCAUCGGGGGAGAGAGGAAGAAGAGAGGGAGGAGAGAGAAGGAGGGGGGCUUUUUCUUUUCUUUUUCUCUUUCUUUUAUCCCUCACACAUGGCCCACCAUGACCUCACAUGAGGUCAUCUUCCACUAUCUCCCACAACCUUUCUCCAAUGGGUUCAUUUUACUUUUCCGCCGGGGCAUGAAACUUUGUACAACAAAUUCUUCAAUUCCACUUGAUUUUCUUCCAAUUGAAUCAAAUUGAAGUCCAUAAAAUUAAUCCAAUGUCACCACACUUCAAUUCACAUCUUCACUUGUCUGUAGAACCAACUUAAGUCCCAAAAGUACGACCGAAAGCGGGCCUACUAAUUUCUCGAGCCAAAUUAGCCAUUUUCUGAUUUAAUUGCUGAAAAACUCUGAUUGCAUGAAAAAUCUUCCGAAGAUGAUUCAAUGAUCCUUAAUGAUUUGUGACACACCCAGACUUCCAAUUUCUGAAUUCGAUCUAAAUUCCACGGUUAAUUUCACUUUGGCACGAUACUAGCGCGGCCCAACCUACCGGGUAGCCUUUAGAAAUUUUCACGCAUUUGACCUGUGGCUGAUCAUCUCAAGCCACAAUGUACAUCUUUGAGACAUUGGCGACUUUCGGUUGUCGGGGAAAUCUCAAGGUUUCAAAUACGAACACAGGGUACCCAAUCGAUAGAAAAGUCGGUCCAGUGUCGAUCGACAAGGAUUAUGUGCUUCGGUGGAAUCACCCACACUCGAUCACAUGCCUCUGUCGAGUCGACCUAUCUCCGGUCUCUAAUCGACUUUUAUUUGUGCCGUAAUGACCAUUGCAGAUUAGCUCGGUCGAAAGGUCGCUUCCUGGCCAAAUUCUCGAGUCUAAUGCAUUAGAAACUCUUAACAGCUUCACCCGAUAGACUGGUUUUCACAUGAGUGGUCGACUCAAGGAAAAGAACUAUAUACGUGCCAACGAAAUGCCCGUCUCAAUUUAUUGAAAAUAGAACCGGAAAAUCGGGAUGUCACAACCCUUCCCCUCUUAUAAAAAUUUCGUCCUCGAAAUUUAAACCUUUACCGAUUCUUAACAAAAAGAUUAUCUCGGUUGGCAAUAUUAUUUCCUGUGUUUAUAGACACAGAUGGUUGACCCUGAACGAAUUGUUUAUCUAACCUCUUCUUACCUUGUUCAGUAAACCAAACUUGAAAACUCGGGAUUCCAUAAGAUCCUUUCAACAUUUGACGAGCCAUUUUAGCAGAAAUGCUCACCUAAAAAUGUACAGAAUGAAUGAAUUAGUGAGUGAAAGUUUCCCGAUGAAAUACUUCCAGACUCUCACUUUACACACUCAAAAUCCAUCUAUAACAAACAGAAUUUCCAACGAGUCCAAAAACGUUAUGAGGAAUUCAUUCAAACCAUCUCUUUUAGAUCAAAUUAAAUGGUAUAUAACACCUGUAAAUAGAGUUUCAUGGAGUAAACAAUUACAGUUUCGAGUAUGCUAUUUCAGUCAUGAUUUAUUCUCCAUUUUUCUUUUCAUUUUCCUUUCCUUUUCUUUCUUUUUCUGCUUUACGUUAUCAUCUAAUUUUAAAGGAUUCCAACCUUGAAUGUUUUGCAUUGUUUUUGACAUAACCAAGACAGACAAUUGCUUGAGAACUAAUUGAUCAAACAUAAUAUUUACAAACGUAUAUGUGCUUAUCAACCAAACAAUCGAAUUAACUAAUAUUGAAAUUACUUUGCAAACUGAUUUGUCUUAAACUAUACAUUGUUAUUUGGAUAUUUUGUCACUGAAUGAUUAUAUUGAAGCAAAAUAUACAAACUUAAAAUUGUUUUUUGUUAUAUGCAUUUAAACGUUGGCCAUUAGUAUGAUAUUUGGUUUUUUCAUGUAAUCGGAUUGGAAAAAGGGCUUUAAUAUGUGGAAAUGAUUUAGAUGGUUUAAAAAUAUAAGCAUUUGUUGGAUAUAUAAAGACUUUAAUUUUUCCUUUAACUAGGCUUCGUAUCUUAUGAUACUUACUGGUCAGUGAGAGAGAAAUUCCGACGUGUAGAGCUGUCAAACCCUUAGGACCCUUAUGAGAGGAUGAUGACAAGAAAGUACUCAAAAUCAACUCAAUGGUAAGAGAAAGUCCUCGAUCUGCCGCAAGAUAAAGCGGAGACUCAUCAGCAGCAUUAGUAAUAUCACAUAGUUGAGGAUCUUCUCCAAUUAGCAACUCCACCGCCAAAUCAUGACCUCCUCUUAUUGCAUAGUGCAGGGCGGUAUCCUUAUGUAAAUUCUGCUUCCGAAGUAGCUCUUUGCAUGCGUCAACUUAUCCGUUCUCAGCGACCCAAUGAAGUGAUUUUGACAAAUCAGUGAACAUUCGAAUCGCUCCAUAGCUUCCCACUUUAGCGGCAACGUGUAAGGGAGUGUCUCCUUUAUAGUUACCCUGCCAAAGAAGCGAUGGUCCCAAUGGACAUUGAAGAAGAUGUUCAAUGAAAUUUACCUGUUUGUAUUGAGCCGCAAGAUGAAGAAUGUUGUUCCCCUUUGGUGUUGUUUGAUGGAAAAGGUCCUCUCCAUUUCCCAAAAUUAUUGUGAUCAAGGAACCAAAGUCUCCUGAUUUUGCAGUCUCAUACACUUUAGGAUGCAUUCUCGCUCUUUGUUUGUUGUUUACAGGACACUAAAAGUAGUUGCACAGGAACUUAUCAAUAUAAGCAAUUAGUUCAAGCGAAAAGAACUUCUUUGAGCUUUACAAGAGGAAUCAAUGGAAGGGAGAAUGUUGGGGAGGAAAUAUUUUCAUGCUUCCCAAGAGUAAUUGAAAGGAGACUUAUAUGUAUAUCUAUGAAAUGUGAAUAUGCCAGGCGUGUUCCUGUGAAGUUUUUAUUCUCUCGAGAGCAACUUUAUAAUAACGAUAUGGGGGGAUCAAGACAAGUACGGGAAAAAAAAAAAAACAUAAUAAUAAUAACCGACGCUAGGUCUCCCCGGCAGCUUCUUUGUCCUUUUUGACUUUGGGACAAUGUGCUCUUCCCUGGAUGGGUGAUAACCUUCUUUGUUAAUAUUCAAAUGAAUCUUCAAGGAUGGUGUCGUCGAAAUAGGAAAAUCCCAAUGAAUCCAUAUUUAAAGGUCGGGAUUAUCCAAUUACUCAACUUGAUCAACUAUUGUCAUCCAAAUAAAAAUAGUUUAUGUACAAUGUCACUCCCUCCACAGUUCCCACGACAAAGAUUGGUCAAAAGUGAACCUAUGAGUUCAAGUGUGAGGAAUAUAUUUAAUCUUAUCAAGAUGACUUGACUAAAGAAGCGACGUUGGAUAGGAAAUAUCCUUCAAUUUUUCAAUAGAACUUUUUUUAGCUUUCAACUAGACUAAAGGAAAGAUAUUGGGAAAGACAUUUCUCAUUACUUUUCUAAGGAGCCAACUAAAGACAGGAUAUGGACAAGAAAUUUCUUUGAACUUUCUAAAAGAAUUGGAUUAAAAAGAAGAUGUUCGGGAGCAAAUUCAUUUGAAUUUUUUAAGGGAAUUGCAAAGGAGAUUGUCAUGUGCAUAUGAAUGAUCUAUCAAUGGUUUAGAUAAAAUAGGAAUUUCUGAGGUGGAAGAAUAGUUUCCGCAAAACCAAGUCGGUCUGUUUCUCUAAAUUUGCCGUUCUGCCUCCCGCUAAUAUAAUAAGAAAGUGGGCAAAUCUUGUUAAACAUAAGAUGGACAAGUAAAAAAAAAAAAACCAAAACAAUCAACAGCCCUCCUGCAGAUUCCUAAUUUAUUUCGACUUUUAUUCGACCUGGUCUUCCACUUAUGAGGGCUUCUUAUUUUAUUUUAACUUUUUGACUUUUGUCCCAUCUGCUCUUCCACUUUUGAGUUGUCUUAACUUUUUCUUUUUGGACUUUUGAGGCACCUGUUCUUCCACUUUUCAUCGAAAGCAAAACCAUUACGCUCCCACGAUACUUCCUAAAGCGGGGUAACUUUAGACUUCUAUGCCUUCCCAGGGAGUACGUAGCAGUGAGAAUAAUCGUCGAAAGUUCUUCAGCCAAGUGAACAUUCUCUAAAACCUAUAGUGAAUAUAAAAAAUUAAACAAAGGUGAGUCACAUCAGGGACGAUAUGAUGAAAACACUAUAAUAAGGAGUAAAAAAUCGCAGCCCAUUAGUGAAUAUAUUUACUAUUAUAUUUACAAAGUACUAGUGUAGAAGGGGGCAUCGCUGCUACCACCAGCAGUCUCGCCCAAGGGAAGUCUCGCGCUAGGGAGAGAACUUCGGUUACUUGGGUUAUCAUUUGUUUAAAGUGGGUUUAGAAUCUUGUGAUACUUACUUGAUAGUGGGAAGAGCCCUGCAGCAUGCAGAGCUAUCAGUCCUUUAGGGCCCUUACGAGAGGAUGGCGACGAGGAAGCACAUAAAAUCGGCUCAAUGAUAUCCUGAAAUCUUCGAUGUAUUGCGAGAUAAAGCGGGGAUUCAUCAGCAGCAUUAAUAAUAUCACAUAGGUGGGGAUCUUCUUCAAUAAGCAACUCCACGACCCCCUUGCAAUGUCCUCUUAUUGCAGAGUGCAACAAGGUAUCCUCAUCUGAAUUUGGUAUCCUAAGUAGCUCUUUGUAUGUGUCAGGUUGAUGUAUUGUUUUCGCCAUAUUGAUGAAAACUCGAACCAUUUCAUGGCUUCCCACUUGAGUAGCAACGUGUAAGGGAGUGUCUCCUUUAUAGUUACCUUGCCAAAGAAGGGAUGAUCUUGAUAGAUCUUGAAGAAAAUCUCGGAUGAAAUUUACCUGCCCAAAUUGAGCUGCAAUGUGAAGAACAUUGUUUCCCUUUGGCAUUGUUUGGUGGAAAAGGUCCUCUCCAUUUUCCAAAUUUAUUGUCAUCAGGGAAUGAAAUUCUCCCGACUUUGCAGCCCCAUACACUUCAGGAUGCAUACCCAGUCUCUCUUUCAUUCUCAAGACACGCGGUAGUUGCAAGUGAACUUAUCAAUAUAAGCAAUGAGUUCAAGUGGGAGGAAUUUCUUUGAGUUUUUCAAGAGGAUUGGUGAAAAGGGAAAAUGCUGGAGAGGAAAUUGAAUUGAGCUUCCUAGGAGUACUAAAAUGGAGACAUUUAUAUGCAUAUGGUGGUUCUUCAAUUGUUUCCAUGAAAUCGAAAUAAAUUUAGUAGGUUUAGAGAAUAGUUUCCAAAAAGUCUGAUUGGUAUGCGUUUUGGACUUCCUGCUUUCCACUUUUUUAUCAAAAUCAGAACAUCCUUCUAGAAGAAGAAUCGGAUAUGAUUUAACUUUUUUAUUAAAGUAAUAAUAUCCGUUCACUUUGAGCUGUAAUUUUUUUUUUUAAUUGAAUCGGAUCUGAUUUAACUUAUUUAUUAAAGAAAUGAUUUUCGUGGGCCCACUUUUAGACGUAGUCUUCUUUUUUUUUUUUUUUUUUGUUCAUCGAAAAGUCCUUUGCUCUUUUUAGUCUUCACGGUCCAAGUUCGUCGUGAGCAUGCAUUCUCAUCAUGGUGCACAUGGUGGACCCUACCCAAGCUUGGUCCCACUCGAAGAUUUACAUAUGUAAUUAUUAUGGAGCACGAACUUAGGUAAAAUUCAACCAAUAAAAACUUAGGUAAAAAUCAGUUGACGACCAAUUUGAGCUCAUCCAAUAAUCACCUCUACUUCUAUAAUCCAUUGACAAAAGUUGGAGCUCAUAAUGAUAUGUUUUCUAUUGUAAUGUUUGCACAAUAUUCUAUAACAAAUAAAAAUAUAUCAAAAAUUUAUGAUCGUUCAAUGACUAUCUAUCAUUUUUAAUAUGUGGAAGAGAGACACGACAAAAGCUUAAAUUUAAAUAAAUAAAAAAGAGAAGGCAAGGCCGAAGUUGUUCUACUUUUUUAGCAAGGGCCAAUGAACUUUGUCGAGAUCUCAGUGAGGGCCAACAACCCUUGCAGGUCUGUCCAUGGGCAAGGGCUCGCAAGCCCUCAUCUGCGUCACACAUAGUGGUCUUCAUUGUGAAAUAAUAUGUAGAACUAAAUUCUUAAGACUAUUUUCUCAUAUUUGACCUUCAUAGAACAUUAGCCUCAAUUAUGUCUGCAAAUUGGCAAUUAGUGUCCUACCAGAAACCCAUCAACAUUAUGUGUAUGUAGAUCUGAAUUCUUUGUUAACAGCAAAACUGCAUUGGCAAUGGGUUAUUUUUUCCUUUUUUAACUCAACCCUUUUUUAUGUAUGUUGGCCUAGGCUCUGCUCCCACAUUGGUGCCAUGAAUAAUUUUUUAUUAGUUCAUUAGAAAGUGGACUUAUUUUUGUUGAUGGACUCUUUACACCGUCUCUGACUUUGAAGAGAAAUAGGAAACGGCUCAUGGGACUCAUGGACCAUGUCACUUCUAGAGCAGGUAAUUUCUCAUACGACUAUUGCUUGUUAUUUUUAAUGAUUUGCAUCUGAUGUCCGUGACAAUCUGUUAUGUUCCUUGCCUUCCAAACUGCCGUUGCUUGUGCGAAGGUGUUGACAGUUGCUGGUGAGAUAUAUAGUCUUGUGGUACCUGAAGUGUAUCUAUAAGUCUACACAAAUGCUUUUGAAAGCUUAAAAAAUGAAAGUUAUAGUAGCCAUUAUUUACCUAAAAACAUGGGGUUUAGAUGCUGCAAUGGUCAGCUCUUUAUGCUGUAAUCCAUGUAUUCUUACCGUUGUCUUUGUCCUAUUGCCAUUUACCUAGUUUCUCAUGUUCAUGGUUAGAGUUAUCUGUCUACCAUUAUUGCAACUUACCUGCCUGUCUCAGCAAGCACCGUGAUUGGUCGAGGUGUUGUUGAAUUUUGUGAUGGAGGACCUCUAGUGAGAAAAAGUGCUGCAAUGAGUGAGUUAAACAUUUCCGUGUCAUGCCUUCUAUCUUUUCAAUAUUGAGGUGAAAACAUGUGACGAAUCACUUUAUACCGUUCCGAGAUUUUGUUCCUCUUUUUCCUUUCACAAGUCUUAUAGUAUUCUUCUUUAUUAUAUUACCGACCAACUUUUGAGACACACAAAUAAAAUUCUCUUUCUUGUCUAUUCUUUCCCUAAACAUGUGGUUGAAGUAUAAUACUUUGAGUCUGCAGAGAAAAUGUGAUUCUGCUUUGCAGCAUGACACUUUGCCAAGCCAUGCUACUAUGAAGUAAAUUUCUGCAACUUCUAGGGGAAAAAAAAAAAGAUAUCAUAAGUGAUAUAACCUUUGUACGGCACUCUUUUUUUUUUUUUUAUCAUUUAAAUGUUAUCACUUAUGUAUGGCACUCUUUUGAGUACUAUAAUUCUUUUCACAAUUACUUUAGUGUUAUAUAACUUUUUAAUCGAUUACUUGAUUGUUAUAAUUUUUUUAAAAACGUUCACUAUAAGCGCUAAACUACAUCAAAUUUCUGGUAUUUGAGUGAACAUUUUUAAAAAAAUUUGACACUUAAGUGAUCAACUAAACAUAAUAUUUUUUAGAAAUAAUGGCAAUUAAGUGAUAAGAAAAAAAGUUAUAGUACUUAAGCAAACAUCCUAUAAAAGUUAUUACUUUAUCCCUAACUUCUAGUAUAAUCCCAGAGCUGACGAUUGCAGUCGUGGUCCUUUUAACAGCAAGUCUCUUCCUAGAACAUUGUGCUUGUGCUAGUACUGCUGUGGGCCUAGACUAUGAACCUUGACUACGUUGGCAUAACCCAUCUGAAGCUUCUUCAAUGUGGCUUCAUUUUUUAAGCAAGAUAUCGAGGAAAGAGUAUCUAGAGAGAAGAGGAACAGUAUCUUGGCGAAUGAUUAAGUAGUAAUUAUUGAUAGGAAUGAUUUCCAUGCUAGAAAAGAUUAAAUUCCUCAUAGAGGAAUGUCGGGUUUUAAGGAUGAUGCAACAAAUCAUCGAUCACAACCCUUUUGAUGUUUGCUUUACAUUUGUGUAAACAAUCUCCAAAGGAUCUGUGGCACCUUAUUGCCCUAAUUUUGCAAUCUCCAACCAAUUUGCGAGAUAUUUUGGAGAGUUUUGGAUGGAACUUAGUAGUUAUGUCAUUUUUCCAUCUUUAAUAGUCAAAAAUCUCAAUGGUUCAUACUAAAUAUUUCUCUACACUGUGAACAUCAAAUAACAUAAUGUCACAAAUUAAAUCAACUGCAAAGCUUGCUAAGUUCUUUCUUGCUACAACAGUAUCUAAAAUAAUUGAUAGAUUUGUUGACCUACCUUCUUGAUGUUUCAGUCCAGCAAACGAAUAAAGUACUCUACUACUUAACCGACAAAGAGAGUUACGUUACUUUAUACUCUUUCACUUGAAUUGAAAUUGACAAUUCGUUUGUGAAAGAAGCACAAAUAAUAAAAGAGAAAGGGGGUUGUGAUAGGACGGUAUCAUAUAAUGUCACAUUUAGAAAUUCUUAUGAAAAGUGAAAAAUUAGUGGGCCCACAGGAAAAAAAAAACCCAGUCUCUUCUGUCUUGAAUAAUGACACUUCAGUUCCAAGUAAAGGCAUAAAGAAGGAGAAGAAAACAAUAAUGAAAGAAAAGAAUAAAGUUAUGUGUGCUUUCCAUUUGUGCAUUUUUUUUUAAUAAAUGGAUAAUAGGGGAGGUUUGUUUCCAUGAUUCUUUUACUUGCCAGAGACACCAACUACAUAUCUGGAAAAUUUCAAACUAUUGUGUCAUUCAAAUACUCAAGCAACACAUCAUUCUCCCAAAUUUUUUUAUUCUUAUCACUCAAUUCAUUAGGAAUCUUAAAUUACUUCUCCAAUGUACUUUAGUUAACUGUUUUAACUGACCGUGCUUGUUUCUUUGUUCAUGGAAUAGGUGAAGAACUUCAAAUCAUUAGCAGAUAUUCAAGCUGAAAACCUUUUAAAUCUUGAUGACAUAUGAGUUUAAAGUUUUAGAGGACCUUAGCAAUAGUACCUUGGAAUACAGUUUUCAGUGUCUUCAGCCAUCAAUGCCUGCAAAUGCAAAGUGACAAUAUUAUAUUAUAUAAACUCCGAUAUGGCUUGCCAAUAAAAUUAAGUUAGCAAUUAAAUAUCUAAAAGACGUUCAUUUAGAGAUUGAUUGCCCCAAAUUAAGGAAUUGGGGCAAAAUUCAAUGUGUUCUUAAAAAACCCUAGCCCUUAUUCGUCGAAUUGGGGCAAAAUCAUCUUAUCAAAUCUCCUUAUCAAAUCUUGCUCUAAGAAGAGCAAAGUUGGCAAACGUUCAAAACUUGUCCAUGAUACGAUUUCACUACAAGGCCUUACUUUCAAUCCUCCACUCAUGGCCUCAUCUUCACUGCAAGUCCUCCUCUUCCUUCUCCAAGCAGAAGAACCGAUCCUUCUUCACCCAUUCUCCAAUUUCGUCGUCCCGAGCUGUAGCGAGGUAGAAUCGAAGCAUCAGACAAACAAGAGGUGAGAAAGAGGGCUCUGUUCUCUAUCGAGAAAACAGAGCUCUAUUUCGUCAUUGCGUUUGCUCUGUUGUCUCCUCACCGUAUGAGUGCACAAACGCAAGAACAUUGAGAUUAUUUCUUAGUAUUUUGCGUUUGCCCUUUUGCUCGUCACUUAUGCAAAUACUAGAAUGAGUUUAUCCAAACCAAAUGUCCAACAGGUAAUUAUUCUUCUCUUUCAAAACAAGACCGAACCAACCUCCCAAUUUCUUUUACUUCUUCAGCUCCACCCCUGUUUUUACGUAAAACCAAACUCUUCUUCCAGUUUUCUGUCCUGAAUUCGUGAUCUUCCGCUUCGUUUAUUUGGUUACUGCAGUAAAAUCAUUUUGAAUCGGUUGUUGGUUAAACGCCACAAAGAUGACAGAGAAUUUUUUUAUUUUUAUUUUUUUGGAGGGGGGGUGGGGUUGGAGAGAGAAGCCCUGUUGUACUGUUCACGUUGCCAUGUUAGACGAAAAAAGUUCUGCAUUGGACUUCUUUUUUAUAAGAAAAGCCACGUAUUAAUAAAAAAUUCAUAUAAAAAACGUAGAAUAUGUUGGAAUUUACAACUAGAAGCACUUGAGUAAUGGUUUUUCUACCGAUAAAACACUUGAGAAAUUACUCGAAAAAUUUCGGCACUAAAAAGAUAUGACAUUUAGUGUUAUUUUCCUACCAAUGCUCUUUGAAAUAGAGAUUGAUAAAGAUUGGUAAAGUAUUUAAGCUAGAUCAUGGUAGAGUGUCCUAAUGGUUUAGAAAGCAUGCAUUUUGGAUGGUUCCAUUCUUUUGAGAAUUAUUUUCUGCACUCAAACCAAUUCCAAAAAUAAGAAUUCGCUUGAGAAGUUGCACGCGCAUAGAUAAAUGAGAAACUAGGGGAUUGGAAUAUUUUUAACAUUGACUUGGACUUAACUGUUCUAUUUUUUAUUUUGGGUCUAUGUCAUUAAAAAUUCGAAACCUGUAUUUAGGGUUCCAGCUUGGGCCAAAUAUGUUACGAGGAACUAGUUUUCGUAUCACAUAAAAACCUUCAACACAUUUUGACCCCAAACUAAUUUUUGUCUUGUGAAAAAUCCCAAAAUUGAUAACCUAACCAAAAGAUUACCCUCAAUGUUUGAUCCUAAACUAUUACUGGAUGAUCUAUUUGAGUUAGGUUUCUGGCUUGGGGCAAAUAUGUUACGAGGAACUAGUUCAAGAUUGUUUGCAAGAUGAAAAUAGAGUUUAGGAUAAAUAUAUUAUGAGGUAUCAAUUUGAGAUUUUGAUGGUAAUAAACCUAUUUCUGUUGCAUCUUGUAUUGCAUAACAAUAUAGAACAUAGAAGUAUUUGAAACAUGUUCUAAGCCUUAUAUAUGAAAUUUAACCAUGUUGAAUUUAAGGCUGAGGAUUAUGAAAUCAAGUUUGCCGAGCUUCCUCCUCAACAAUCUUAUGGUGCAGGAGUUGUAAAUCCAUGACAUGGUCCGCAAUUACAUUGUGUAGUGAUUUAUGAUUGUCAUUUGAUCAUGGAGCACCCAAGUUUGUAAAGUCAGUGAUAUAAUGAAAAUUGCAUUUACACGAGAAAAAUGGAUGUAACAUAACGGAUGAAAGAGCAUAUAAUGAUAUGGUGUCGUCAUUGUGGUGUAAUAUUGUCAUACCAUGCUUUUGCGACUUACUCAAUGCUACCAUUUGCAUCCUUUUUAACCUAUGAUCCAUUGGGAAAAAUAAUAUGAAUGAAUCUAACUGAUGCAUUUCCUACAAUCCAAGCUUUACAUGAAGGAUAGGAUUAGAUUGAAGAACUUGGGUGAAGCUGGGAAAGUCAAAUUCAUCGUCUCUUUGUUGACACCUCAUUUGAGUCGAUAGUUUAAGUAUUUAUUCUUGUAAAAGUACCCAAAAAAAAAAGCAAGGGAAUAGUAAAAAGAACUAAAAUGAUAAAUAGGCAAAUCAACAAAUAAAAAAGGGAUCUAAUAUGGUCUUGGUCUAUUUUCUAUAGCCCCGGUCAGCUGGCACGGCACAUGUCCAAAUUCGUUGAUCACGAGAGAAAAAAGAACAGGAGAAAAAUUGCCCUGGAAGAGAAGCUCCGUUGGAGAAGCUUCCGGAUUCUUCCCCCACCACCGUUGGACGUCGCCUACCUCCUCCGGCCGUCGGACGGUGCUCGCCUCCUCCAGCCGUCGUCGAUCUUCAGUCUCGGGAAGACACUGAUCGGAGAGAAAACCAAUUUUGAGGCACGCACGCUCACCUGAGAGAAAACACACCCGGGGCAAGGACGAUCGAGCAAAGGGGGAAAAGCUUGCACCCCCUCAACACGGGUCCAGAAGACACUCUCUUCCAGUGAUUUCUUCUGAAUCCUUUCCUGCCUCUUCGUUGUCGAUCGUGUUUUUGGCCGUGAAGACUUGAAGCCGUUUUUCUGAAAACUUCAUUACCGUUGCUCAUCCUCACCAACGACGUUUUCCGGAUCCUCCUCGACUAAAAAUCUUAAAUGACUUUUGGGGCCUGGAUCCCUAAAGUACAAGUUUGACCCAUAUGCGAACCGGAUUCAAAGGCCCAGCUCACACCCCUUUGGCGAGGGCUGGAUGAGGCCGCCCCUCAUUAGGGGCCCUUACCAGCGGCUAGCGAAGAAAAGAGAAAAAGGAAAGAAGCAAAAGAGAGGGAAAAGAAAAAGAAAAAAUUCAAAAAAAAUUCAAAAAAAUUAUUUAAAAUUUUGAAAAACAUUCAACUCAACGCUAAUCAUGUCAUAUAAGAUGGUUGACGUUUAUGCCAGCAAAUUUUUUACUAAAAUUGACCGGAUUGACUCAAUGAGUACCAUAGUGAAAAAGUUCAGGAUUAAAUUGGUUAAUCAAUAUGUUUAAGACUCAAUUGGCAUUAAUGCUAUAACCUUUUUUUUUUUAGUACUUUUCCCGUUCACAGUUUGUAUUGAUCAAUGUGAUGGAUUUAUGAGGUGGGCUUAAGGCACAUCCGCUCAAAUUGGGCCCAAAGGGCCCGGCCCACGGGAAUAGGGCCCGUGGAGGGGGAAGGUAUAAAAGGGAGGAGAGAGAGAGAGAAGAAAAAGUUGAGGAACAGAACGUACGUCUUUUCUCUUCUCACGCUCUCUCUCUCCCAAAAAGAAAAGGCAGUAAGCAAACGGCGCGCUUUCCUUCCCUUCAAGUCGUCAUUGGAUCAAACGGGGCCAGAAUUUCUUCCUCUUCUUCAGCAUUAGUGUUUAAUCUGUGGCUAAUGAGGUACGCUCGAAUCCGUGGUGUGCUUUACGAUCGGUGAUGCGUGUUUUUCCCGGGCUUCGUCUUCCGCAUUGAUUUAGGGGUUCGAUUUAGUGUCGAAUCUGGUUUUCGGGGAUCAGUCAUUCCCAACAUUGGUAUCAGAGCCCUGUUUCACAUUUUUCCCGAUCAAUUCUAAUGUUUUUGAUUGAUUUUUCGCGAAANNNNNNNNNNNNNNNNNNNNNNNNNNNNNNNNNNNNNNNNNNNNNNNNNNNNNNNNNNNNNNNNNNNNNNNNNNNNNNNNNNNNNNNNNNNNNNNNNNNNAUGGCCCAUAGCUGCUAUUGAGAUUUACCUUGAUUCGCAUAAUUCUGGCAAUAGUGUUUGGUAUGGAUCUUGAGUUACGUCAAAUGGAUGUAAAGACUGCUUUCCUCAAUGGAGACUUAGAGGAUGAAAUAUAUAUGGAACAACCUGUUGGUUUCAUAGUGAAAGGCCAAGAAGAAAAGGUAUGUCGACUUUGGGGGUCGAUAUAUGGCCUUAAGCAGUCGUCAAGACAAUGAUAUAUACGUUUUCAUAAUGCCAUAAUGGCAUAUGACUUUACAAUGAUAGAUGAGGAUCAUUGUGUAUAUAUCAAAAGAUCCAAGGAUCAAUUUGUGAUCAUAUCAUUAUAUGUUGAUGAUAUACUAAUUGCCGGAAGCAAUAUGGAGCUAGUCAAUACUGUCAAAAGUUGGUUGUCUUCCAAAAUUUUGAAUUGAAUGAUAUGGGAUUGUAAACCCAUUGACGCUCCUAUUGCAAAAGGUGAAUGAUUGAACCAUAGACUGUGUCCAAGGACUCCACAAGAGAAGGAACAAAUGAAACAUGUUCCUUAUGCUAGUGCUGUUAGAAGCUUGUUGUACGCUAUGAUGUGUACAAGACCUGACAUAUGUUUUGCAGUUGGAAUGGUGAGUAGAUACUAAUCCAAUCCAGGUCAAGCACGUUGGAAAGCCGUUAAGUGAAUACUGAGGUAUCUAAAAGGGACUGCUGAUUAUACGUUGAGUUAUUAAGGAAAUGAUCUGCAACUCAAAGGCUAUUCUGAUGCUGAUUGGAGAGGAGAUUUAAAUGAAAGGAAAUCUACCUCUGGUUUUGUUUUCUUACCGAAUGAUGGCACCAUAUGUUGGAGCAGUAAGAAACAAAAGUGUAUAGUCUUGUCAUGAUGGAAUUGAGCUUCGUGGCAUUAUCAGCAGCAGUAUAAGAAGAUGUUUGGCUUAAGAGAUUAUUGGAUCAUUUAGGUGUUAUUGAAAGUGCUGCAGAUUUGUUAUUAGUUAACUAUGAUAAUCAAGCAGCAAAAGUGCACACCAAAGAUCCAAAAUAUCAUGGCAAGACCAAACAUAUAGAUACCAAGUAUAACUUUGUCAAGGAUAUGGUUGCACGAAAGGAUGUGAACUUAGAGUACAUACUACGCAUAGAAUGGUAGCAGAUCCUAUAACAAAGCCAAUACCUAGAGAUGUGUUUUGUGGCCAUGUGAAAUCUCUAGGAUUGCGUAGAGGAUGAUGUACUGAAUAUUAUAAUUUCCCUAAGAGUUCACAUUUGAUGAAUUUGUGUUUUCAUCAUUAAUGCCUAUGAAUCUUUGUUUGAUCUUUAUGCAUCUUAAUGCUCAGUGCAUUACUUUAAGUUAGAAGAAGUAUGUCGGACAGAUGAGAUUAGCCCACUCACACGGGUAAUCGCCUCUAUUUACUGUGUGAUAAAUAGAGAUGAGACUGUUUUUAAGCUUAUUAUCUAGGUGAUAAUCGAGAGCUCAAGCUUAAAAUACGUAUGUUGCCUUAACUAAGUGUUAAGAUGAGGACAUAAUACUUCCUAUGUCCGAGAGUAAAAUACCCCACAUAUUUUACUUUAUCUGUCUAUGAUGCCAGAUGUGAGUUCUGAUGAAUUUAGUGAAUGAGUAGAUACGUGAACUCAAGUUAAACAUUGGGUAUGUCUGAACUAUCAUCUGUACGGUAUUGAAAAGUGUACACAUACGCUCCAUGGGAAAGGACUUAAUACCGUAAUACGUAUUUUAUACUACGUAUGCAUGAGACGACCAAUAAGAGUGGCAAAAGUUUGAUCUCAACUUUUAUGUCGUGUGAGACUCUUGAGGAAAAGAGUUCCUCAAUUUCUUAGUCCCCUCAUGACUCUUACUUAUUCUCAAGAUUUCUAUUUAGUGUUUGCUAUCUUAGGAUGUUGCCAAUGGUCAUGAGUUUGAUUCGAUCUAAUGGGGCAUUUCUAGAAAAGCAAGCUGGACUGAAAUUGAGAGUUUGAAGGAAAGAGGAAGAUCGAUUUUGGAGAAUCACAUUAUAGUUUUGUAUUCACCGGUUAACCAAUUAUGACUGUCUUUGUGAUAAUCAUAAUUGUGAAUAUAAUAUAUAUAUCAUUAUUUAAAAGAGAUCAAGAGAGAUAUAAAUGUGAUCAAUCGAUCUAGGGUACUGCAUACUAAAUCUACUCAGAGUGUGAUGCCCAUUAUGAGCUGCUAUAUAUUCCUAACAGAUGUAUGGCAACGGGCUCUCAAAGUAUGCUAGUCGCACGGAUUAUUCACCGGUAUGAAUGUUGAAGAGAGGAAAAGAGGAUUAUGUUCGGCCCACCAUGUUAAGUAAGAGUCUAUGAUGGAUUUUUCUCUGAUGGGGCUGAGUAGGGCCUGUCCGCCCAUGUUGGUUUUGGACCACCAUGUGCGAGUGGGAGAUGAUGGAUUUAUGAGGUGGGCUUAAGGCCCAUCCGCUCAAAUUGGGCCCAAAGGGCCCAACCCACGGGAAUAGGGCCCGUGGAGGGGGAAGGUAUAAAAGGGAGGAGAGAGAGAGAGAAGAAAAAGUUGAGGAACAGAACGUACGUCUUUUCUCUUCUCACGCUCUCUCUCUCCCAAAAAGAAAAGGCAGUAAGCAAACGGCGCGCUUUCCUUCCCUUCAAGUCGUCAUCGGAUCGAACGGGGCCAGAAUUUCUUCCUCUUCUUCAGCGUUGGUGUUUAAUCUGUGGCUAACAAGGUACGCUCGAAUCCGUGGUGUGCUUUACGAUCGGUGAUGCGUGUUUUUCCCGGGCUUCGUCUUCCGCAUUGAUUUAGGGGUUCGAUUUAGUGUCGAAUCCGGUUUUCGGGGAUCAGUCAUUCCCAACACAAUGGUUAGGCUGUUCAAGGGCCGCUACUCCUCUCAUUGCAUUAUAUUCCACACACAAACAGGAAAGACAAAGUGAAAUAAUUGUUUUCAGCGUGAGUGGAUGACUGAAUUUUUGUAGGUUGAUAUGGUGAUACGCCUUUGGCCUCGUGUGCCUAAUUAUUUGAUGAUGUUGCGUACUCACUGGAUUGGCAUUCAAAGUUCUAAGAUUACCUAGAAAGAUGACAUUCUCAUUUCUAUGAAUGCUUAUGAAGCUUUUCAAAUAAUCCAACAGGAAGGAUCUCACAUCACCUAUGACUCUUGCUCUUAACAGAUGCUGAAAAUGUUACAGCACUUUCUGUGGUUUUGCGGAACUAUGCCAAGAAAGAGAGAUGCAUAGAAGUUAGAAGGCAAAGUUCCAAUUCAGCGGUAACUUCAAGUAAACAACUAAACAUCACAUUCUUUGACAAAACUCCAGGGGUGUGCAAACCUUCAUCCGGAGUGUGGCAAUCGAGCAGGUGAUCAAUCCAACGAUGGACGUUGACAGGUUUUACAUCGGACAGAUGACAUGAAAGUGCUCGAAAUCUAUGGCUGACAAAGCAAAAAAGAAAAUUUCCCUGUGCACAAGGUCACGGGACCGUAAAACCGGCCCAACUCAUUAGCUUGUCUAGCGACCAAUCGAUGAGCCUCCAAAGGAAAUCAGCCCAUUGCAACGCACACUUAACCAAAAGCCUCUGGAAGCACCUCUUGGGAGAGCUACGUAGCGCCCACGAAUGAGCCUCGUGGUCGGGGAGUUCAUAGGCGAAGAAAAAAAGCCAAGAACCAUCCACACAACAUAUGAAAAAUCAUUCCUUCCCCGAUAGUCUCGGUGGGUUUGACCGAUAUAGUAGCCGCCCCGAGAGGAUAGGCUAGCGUGAUCCCGCAUGACGCAACAUAAAUUAAACAUCCCACGGACGGGAUGCGUCUCAGCUCUUGACGAUGGCUGUGCGUAGAACCUAAGACAAAUAAAGAGUAUUGCCAUCAUGGAUAAAGUGAACGCCACACCGUUACAUAGCAUAAAGCCUUUGAAAGAUCCCCUGCCAGCAUGAAUCGCAACUCCAUCAUUGUUAUAACCUCCGGGCACUGUGAGAAGGCCGGUGAAGCUUAAUAUAGUUAUAAGUCCUCCCACCAGUAGUUGAACAUCCAUAAUUCUUUUUUUUUUUCGACAAAUUAAAGUUAUCUCGGUUGGCAAUAUUACUUCCUGUGGUUAUAGAGACAGAUGGUUGUCCCUCAACAAAUUGCUUGUCUAACCUCUUGUUACCAUAUUCAAUAAACCAGCCUUGAAAGCCCGGGAUUCCAUGAGAUCCUUCCAACGGGGACCAAGCAUUCCAACAGUUGUCCCUCUAAUAAAGCACAUAAUAGAAUGUAUCAAUUAACGAGUGAAAGUUUUCCGAUAAAAUACUUCCAGACCCUCACACCCUCAAAAUCCAUUUAUAACACAGAACUUCUGGCAAGUGCUAAGAGGUCAUGGAGAAUUCAUUCAAGUAACAUAUUUUAGAUAAAGGUAAAUGGUAAAUAACACCCGUAAAUAGAGUUUCCUAAGUAAACAAUUACAGUUACGGGCAUGCUAUCCCAAUCCUAAUGUAUUCUCCAUUUCCUUCCUUUUAUUUUCUUUCUUUUUUCCCCAUUUUGGCAUUGCCUAAUUUUAGAGAAUCCCAACAAAAACUGUUUUGCAAUGUUUUCAAAUUAACUAAGAUUUAGACAAUUACUUUUGAACUAGUUGAAGACCCGCGCGUUGCCCAGAUUUGAACCUUAUACUUACUGAAAAAUUUUGUUUUGAUAUGAUGAUAUGAUGAUAAAACAUAAUAUUUACAAAGUACUUAUUUAUCGACCAGAUAACAAAAUUAACUAAUUUGAAACAUCGUAAAGUAAUAAACAGGAGCAUUGUAUAUUGACGCACAUAUUGGAACAACCAUAAUGACUCCUAUAAUGAGUUUAGAUUUAUUGACUAUUAUAUCCAAUAACAUCCAAGAGAUGUUGAUCGACCAAAAAAAAAGAUUUGAUAUUUUGUUGUAGGAAAGAUUAAUGAUAAAGACAGCCCUCUUGUUUUUGUCCAAUUAGUAAUGGUUAGUUUGAAGUAGCUACAAAAAGAAGUCAAUAAAAUAAAAUAUUCUCAUAAUGGAUAAUGCUUUCAAUUUUUUUUUUUUGUGAGUAGAUAUAUUAUUUGAUGAAAAUUGGGAAGUCAAUAGAAUUAUGAUGAAUUGAAUAUAUUCAUUGGAUAAUUUCAUCUCUCCCAAUACCACAUCAGAAUGCUUCCUUCUUUCACUAAAUCUAGAUCGGUAUCCUCCAUUUGAAAUAGUUAUAAUGCAAUCAAUGGAAAGAAUUCUUCUUAGGGACUAGAUUGAAAAAAAAAAUUAAGAAAGUCGAGACAAUUUUAGGAUUUCUUAUUCUCCGAAGGACCAAUUCAGAAAAGACAAUUUGAAGGACAAAACAAAAUUUUGAUGGAAUAAUCUUGACUUUAACUCCGUUAAUGGAUUGAUUUUUCGAUCAAAAGUAAUAUGUGAGUGAAAUCUUCCAUUUUUUCUUCUUUCUCUAUCCUUAUCCCUAUCCCUACCUCGUAGGUACAACCAUUGAAUCAAGAGGGAACCUUUUCUUAAUAGUCUAAUGGCCCUGGCUUAUGUGGGUCGAAUUGAGCUCAGCCAGUGAUGAGAGGGUCCACCAAAACUCUAUAAAUAACCUAAGGUCCCUCCUCUAAACCUCACUUUUGCCAUUCUAAAAUGUAUACAUCCGCUACCUCACAUAAGGAACGUUUGUGAGGGAUAGUCUCAUUGAGGGACAGCCUCAUUAAGUCAUCGAGAGUGAUAGAGGAGAAGAUCUUCAGCGUCGAAGCUUUGGAUUGCUGCCAUUCCGCUCCAAGAAUCGUGAAUUCCAAAUCAGGUAUGCAAACCUUCAUCUUCUCCUCCAAUACGUUCGAGUUUCUAACAAUGUCGAUCUUGGAAACUGUAUCAACGGCCAACACAUCAGUCUCAAGAAGACACUGAUCGGAGAGAAUACCAUUUUUGAGGCACGCAUGCGCACCUGAUAGAAAACAGACGGGCAAGGACAAUCGAAAAGAGGGAAAACUUGCACUCCCUUAGCGUGCUUCUUUUGAAUUUCUUUUUCUUUGUCAUCCUCAUCUGCCGGUAAUUGCCAUCGGUUUACCAUCACUGGGCACCGACUAAUGUACGUACUGGAAAGAGAACUAGAACAGAAGGCACCGGAUGAAAUCAUUCGUCUUUUGAGAUAUCAGAAGUUACUCUAUCAGAGAUUUCUUUUGAAUCCUUUCAUGCCUCUUCGUCUUCAAUAGUGUUUGAAGCCAUUCGCAUUUGUCUGAAACUUCACUAUCGGUGCUCAUUCACCCAAGCACGUUUUCCAGAUCUUCCUCGUGCAAAAUCGACCAGUAAUUGUGACCAAGAAUUCCUCGUCAACAAGGCUAUAUCUCUUCCCUACUAUACUCUGCUUUCGAUGAAUAAAAGUAACUGAAAUGGCACGUUCUAGAUUAGGAUAGAAUCGGCUUAACUGCAUAUUCAUACUGAUGAUUGCAUCCUUGGACUAAUUUUGUUUGAACCUGAUCUCUAAUCCGAAGUUAUUGCGCUUUGUUUUGCUUCUCUGCCGAAUACGCAUAACGUGUGCAUCAGUGAGUUUCUGCUAAAUCCGAAGACAAACCAGUUUAGUGUGCAUAUUAUUGAUUGAUUGGUUGGUCGGUAAGCAUGAUUUAGUAGAAUUUUACACAUUGACCCAGACUGACACACCUAUUCUUGUUCUAUUCCCGUGUAUGUUUGUCUCCGAGGUGAUGGAUGGGGGUCAAUGGUGAGUAAAUGGAUUCGAGUUAAGGACUGGAGUGUCGAUCCAUUGAAGCAUUCGUUUCGGUUUGUUUCUCCAUUCUUAUGUUCUGUCCAUUUCCUUUACUGUUGCGAUUGCGGAUAAUCGAGUUGAUGGUGACAGAGGACGGCCGUAGGCAGGGAGUCUCUGAAUGGUACUGUUUCACAGAUGUUCUUGAUUUUAGUGUUUCAGGUCUUGAACUUGACAAGAAACGAUUGGGCUGAAUCUGGUUCAAGUGAAUUCGGAUUAUUUGAUGAGUUCUUUUAGGGAAUUUGGGCUUAAUUCGACUAGUUAAGCCCAAUUCGAUUUUUUAGGGGAAGAAUCUAGAUAGAUAUAUAGCCCAAAGGACUUUUACGGCCUGAACCGGGAACCGACCGGACCGGACCGAACUGGUCGGUUUUGGGUGGUUCCCAUGGUCGGCGGUCCGGUCCCCGAUUCCUAAUCUUGGAACCGAUGGCCGGUUGGUCCGGUUCCCGGUUUCAAGGUGGGAACUGGACCGAAUUGGACCGACCGGACCGAACCAAAUCUUUUUAUAUAUAAUUUAUAUACAUAUAAUUAAUAAAACAUAUAAACAUGAUAACUUAUUGCAACCAAAGUUGCAAUUUGAGGUAGCAACCUCUUAUGUGGUCAAGAGACCAUUAAAACCCUUUUUGUUACUCUUUUAUUUAUAGAAAAAAUCUCCUUGUUAGUUUCGAUGUGAGAUUAAGACUUCAAGAGAUCCCGUGAAUCACACGAGUGAAGUUUGAAUAUUUUGCACGUAAAACACGUGUGAUUAGCUUUGUUGAAUUGCCCAAGAAUCGAAUUGGAUUGAUCGGUCAAGAGCGCGGUCACUCUUUAGUUCUUUAGUGCAAAAAAGUAGAGUUGAUUUUUUUGGACCGGACCGGACCGGACCGGAGCCGAUGGUCCGGUCCGGUUCCCGGUCCUAGGACCAAACGGUCCGGUCCACGGUUCGCAAUUUUGGGAACCGGUGCUCCCGGUCCGGUUCUUGGUUCCAAGGUGGAACCGGACCGAACUGGGAACCAAUCACCCUUAAGGAUUAGCCGCUACUCCUCUUUGUGCAUUGGCGAGCGAUGCAUGUGUUCUAUGUACGAACACGAAAGACAAAGCGAGAUGAUUGUUUUUGGCAUCACUGUGUGAUUGGAUUUUCAUAGGUUGAUAUGGUGGUACAUUCUUAACCUUGUAUACCUAAUUAUUUGAUGUUGUUACUUACUGGAUUGACUUGUAAGUUCUAAGGUUACACUAAAAGAUGACAUUCCCAUUUCUCUGAAAACUUAUGAAACUUUUGAAAUAAUUGGAAGGGAAGGAUCUUGCUUCAGCCAUGACUUUUGCUCUCGACAGAUGCUGAGAAUAUUAUGAUAUUUCCUGCAGUUUUGCACAACCAUGCCAUUAAAAAGCAGUGCAUAGAAGUCAAAGCCAAGUCCCAAUUUAACGGCAACUUAAAAAUAUAUGGUAGUAAAUAUCACAUUUUUCGGCAAGCCUUCAGCUGUAUACUAACUUUUAUCCGAGCCGACUUGUAGAACUUAAGAAGAAAUUUGGCGUUGGUAAAUGCAUUACAAUAGUGCUAUCUUACUAACUUUUAAUUGCGCCCACUUCUAAAAAUUAAAUGGGUUUGGUAACUUUAAUUCAUUUGACAUUGAUGUCUUCAUUACCAUGUCAGGAACUUAUUAACCUAUUACUCAAUCUGCUAAAAAAUUUAAAAGUUGUUAACUGCCUUACGAUGUUGAUAAUUUAUUAAUCUCUACCUUGUCCACCUGUAGAAUUUAGAAAGAAGUUUGUAACUUACAUAUCAACUUGGUGUUAGUAAAUUCAUUACACUAUACUGGUAAUUUGCUAACUAGUAACUUGAUUUGGCGGAUCUACCACCGUUGAAAAAUGUUCAAGGAAUUCCUAGAAAUUAUAGUAAUUGUAAUCGACGGUGAAGACAAAUAAAACUCAAUAUAUGACAUGAAAAUCAAUUUUUUUAAUUGAAAUUCUAUAAAACCCGAUACCCUCGCAACCAAACAUCUAUCGACAAACAUUAGUCAAUACCAAUAUGGCAGUUCAACCGCAAUCCCUCAGCAGCUGCUAACCCUCUUGGCUCUCAUUUGGUCAACUGAGAAGCCGUCGAGUUGUAUAUCCUUCACGUACACGGAAAGCCUCAACUUGUUGGCCUUUGCUGCUCUCCAGGCAUCUUUGAUAGGGUUUAAAUCAGACGGCUGACAUAAAAGUGCUCGAACUGACAUGGCAAGAAGAAAAUCUCCUGGGCACAAAGACAUGGGACUGUAGAGCCGGUUCAAUUUAUUAGCAGCUUCCCUAGAGUAUAUUAUAUUUAAACAUUAAGUUUCGGACAUAUCUUCCCCGAUACUGAGGUGGGCGAUUUAGUAUAGGGUCAAGUGAAAUACCGAUAAUGUACAUAAUCACGAUACAUCCGCCAAUGAUAAAAGGAGAGAUUCCAAGCCCGAUGGUUCCGGUCAAUACCGCAAACGUACCACAAGCAAAGGCUAGCACCAUUGCCCAUAUCGCAAUGAAAAUGCAAAGUCCCACGGGGUAGGUGUAUCUCACCUCGUAGCGAGGGCCCGGGACCCAAGGAUCAAAUUGUAUGAAUAAUGCCACGACUGAGAAACUGAACGCUGUAACGUUUAAUAGCACAAAGGCUUGGAAAGCUGCCCUGUCAGCAAGAAUCGCCAUCCCUCGGUUGGGUCCAUCGUUGUUAUAUCCUCCGGGCAUGGUGAAGGUUGCAGCAAAGGUCACCGUGGCUAUGAGCGUUGCCAUUAAUUGUUGAAGGUUGAUCAAGUUUCUUGUUGAUGAAUCGGAAUUUUCUCGGUUGGCGAUAUUACUUCCGGUGAUUAUAGAUGCACCUGGUUGACCCUCAACAAAUUGCUUGUCCAACAUCUUCUUUAUUUUUUCAAUAAUCCCACCUUGGAAAUCCGACAUUCCGCAAGAUUCUUUUAAUAGAUAAUUAACUUUGGCAGCACUGUAGCCGACCUAAAAAAUUUACAAUAUGUAUUAAUUAAAGGGUGAACUCUUCCGGCGAAAUACCUUUACGCACUCAAAUUUCAUUUAUAAACAACAGAACUCCCGGCGAGUCAUAAAAUAUUAUGAGGCAGAGUGUAGGUUAUCUCUUUUAUCUCAAGAAUUGUUUGAAUGGGGGCAGGGAAAAAAAAAAACAGAAGGAUUAUAGCUUGUAGCUAAUUAUUGUUAAAAUAUUCCGAUAUUUUCAUGUGAAUGUAACAGAAUAGUUGUUUCAAAGUCAGAAGUGCAAAUAAACUUUUUAAAUUGAGAUCCUCUAAAGCUACAUCUAAUCUAACAUUUAAAGUCACCGAUGUAUGGUUGACACCUAGCACAUAGGGGUCAUUAGACGGCACAUAUUUAUUCUCCAUUUUUCUUUGUUCUUUUUUUCCUCCCUCUAGCUUAUCCCUUAACUCUGGAGGGUCCCAACCCUAAUGUUUUGCAUUGUUUUCAAGAUAAAUAAGAUGACAACUAUUUGUGAACUCUUUGGUGACCCGAUUGUCGCACCCAUUUGAAAUUUAUGCUCAAUGAAAGUUUUUUAUUUGAUGAGAUAAUAUGAUUAUAAAAUCCAUAUUUACCAACUUCAUACAUUAUAUUGUACACAAAUAAUAUACAUUUAUCAACCAAACAACAUAAUUAAUUAAUAUUGAAUAUUACUUUAUUGAAUUCUUUGUUACUGAGGUCCACUCUUCCCACAUGGAAAGAGAGAGGUGAGGAGUUUGAUUCCCUACCUUCUCAUAUGGAUAAGAGGUAAGAACAUUUAGUUUUAAGUGUGGGGUUUGACUCUGACACUUUACAAAGAAAUAGGACAAAAGUCUGAAAAUGAUUCAAGAGUUAAACUAAGUCUGAAAAGGAGUAAAGAGUUAAACUAAGAUAGGCAAAUAUAUAUAUAUAUAUAUAUAUAUAUAUAAAAUAAAAAAAAUCAGACAUAUAUUUAUUUUAAACUAUUUAUUUUUAUAGUGUGCAGUUCAUUGUUGGCUAUUAAUUCAAUAUUUAGCUUUUUUUUAUGCAAUUAGAUAUUAAAUAGGGCUUUUACAUGUGCGAAUGAGUUAGAUGAUUUCCAGACUAUAAGUAUAAAUUAAAUUAUGAGGACUUCAAUUUUAAAUUUUACAGUAAUAACUACUGGCAAGAUAAUUAUCUUGUAAGACAUAAUUUCUAUAUGAUGAUGCAAAUUCAUCACCAUGUUAUAGAUCAAAACUAAAAAAAUGAAGACAACUUCUUUAGCUACUGCUUUUUGUUAAUUUUGCAAUACUCAUUAAUACAGUUUAACCAAUUUUUUUCAAUAGUCUAAAAUAUUUAUGCUUUACUUUGUCACUAAAUCGUUUGUAUGCUCAUAUCCAAUUUAUAGAUUAAAUGGUUGUUUGAAAGAAAGAAAUUAUAUCCCUCCACAUUUAGUUUAUAAUAAGUGGAUAUAUGAAAGAACCAUAAAUACUUUAAAUCACAAAUAUAGAUUUAUUGGCUAUUGGACCAAAUUACAUUCAAGUUGUAAGCUAUGGGAAUUGAUGUCGAUAUUUUGUUGUAUGAAUAUUAAUGAUAGAUUAGGUGGACAAAAAAGCCUUUUAAUUUUUGCCUAAUUGAUGUAAUAAUUAGUGUAUCGAUUAAUGUCAAGUGAAGUGGGAGGGAAUGAUUGUAAGUAGCUUAACCACAAAAUUCAAUGCUGCCCAAAUUUCUUAUUUAUGGUUCGAUAUGACAUCACUUCACUCCAAGUCCCUUUUCAAAUGCGUCACGCUUACUAGAGCUAUCUAUGCUACUAUCUGCUCAAACAAUCGACUAAGCAAAACAAAGUUGACACACUAAAACUCCAAUUGGGCUGUUUGUUUGCACCGACUAUCACCUGAGCCACCGUUUCUAAACAAUACUGAAGAAAUUACUCUACAAGUGAACAAAUCGAGCUCUAUAGGGUUCAAGCAAGAAAGCAUACCUCGUUAUGAGCCAAAAAAAUGUCAAGGCGGNNNNNNNNNNNNNNNNNNNNNNNNNNNNNNNNNNNNNNNNNNNNNNNNNNNNNNNNNNNNNNNNNNNNNNNNNNNNNNNNNNNNNNNNNNNNNNNNNNNNNNNNNNNNNNNNNNNNNNNNNNNNNNNNNNNNNNNNNNNNNNNNNNNNNNNNNNNNNNNNNNNNNNNNNNNNNNNNNNNNNNNNNNNNNNNNNNNNNNNNNNNNNNNNNNNNNNNNNNNNNNNNNNNNNNNNNNNNNNNNNNNNNNNNNNNNNNNNNNNNNNNNNNNNNNNNNNNNNNNNNNNNNNNNNNNNNNNNNNNNNNNNNNNNNNNNNNNNNNNNNNNNNNNNNNNNNNNNNNNNNNNNNNNNNNNNNNNNNNNNNNNNNNNNNNNNNNNNNNNNNNNNNNNNNNNNNNNNNNNNNNNNNNNNNNNNNNNNNNNNNNNNNNNNNNNNNNNNNNNNNNNNNNNNNNNNNNNNNNNNNNNNNNNNNNNNNNNNNNNNNNNNNNNNNNNNNNNNNNNNNNNNNNNNNNNNNNNNNNNNNNNNNNNNNNNNNNNNNNNNNNNNNNNNNNNNNNNNNNNNNNNNNNNNNNNNNNNNNNNNNNNNNNNNNNNNNNNNNNNNNNNNNNNNNNNNNNNNNNNNNNNNNNNNNNNNNNNNNNNNNNNNNNNNNNNNNNNNNNNNNNNNNNNNNNNNNNNNNNNNNNNNNNNNNNNNNNNNNNNNNNNNNNNNNNNNNNNNNNNNNNNNNNNNNNNNNNNNNNNNNNNNNNNNNNNNNNNNNNNNNNNNNNNNNNNNNNNNNNNNNNNNNNNNNNNNNNNNNNNNNNNNNNNNNNNNNNNNNNNNNNNNNNNNNNNNNNNNNNNNNNNNNNNNNNNNNNNNNNNNNNNNNNNNNNNNNNNNNNNNNNNNNNNNNNNNNNNNNNNNNNNNNNNNNNNNNNNNNNNNNNNNNNNNNNNNNNNNNNNNNNNNNNNNNNNNNNNNNNNNNNNNNNNNNNNNNNNNNNNNNNNNNNNNNNNNNNNNNNNNNNNNNNNNNNNNNNNNNNNNNNNNNNNNNNNNNNNNNNNNNNNNNNNNNNNNNNNNNNNNNNNNNNNNNNNNNNNNNNNNNNNNNNNNNNNNNNNNNNNNNNNNNNNNNNNNNNNNNNNNNNNNNNNNNNNNNNNNNNNNNNNNNNNNNNNNNNNNNNNNNNNNNNNNNNNNNNNNNNNNNNNNNNNNNNNNNNNNNNNNNNNNNNNNNNNNNNNNNNNNNNNNNNNNNNNNNNNNNNNNNNNNNNNNNNNNNNNNNNNNNNNNNNNNNNNNNNNNNNNNNNNNNNNNNNNNNNNNNNNNNNNNNNNNNNNNNNNNNNNNNNNNNNNNNNNNNNNNNNNNNNNNNNNNNNNNNNNNNNNNNNNNNNNNNNNNNNNNNNNNNNNNNNNNNNNNNNNNNNNNNNNNNNNNNNNNNNNNNNNNNNNNNNNNNNNNNNNNNNNNNNNNNNNNNNNNNNNNNNNNNNNNNNNNNNNNNNNNNNNNNNNNNNNNNNNNNNNNNNNNNNNNNNNNNNNNNNNNNNNNNNNNNNNNNNNNNNNNNNNNNNNNNNNNNNNNNNNNNNNNNNNNNNNNNNNNNNNNNNNNNNNNNNNNNNNNNNNNNNNNNNNNNNNNNNNNNNNNNNNNNNNNNNNNNNNNNNNNNNNNNNNNNNNNNNNNNNNNNNNNNNNNNNNNNNNNNNNNNNNNNNNNNNNNNNNNNNNNNNNNNNNNNNNNNNNNNNNNNNNNNNNNNNNNNNNNNNNNNNNNNNNNNNNNNNNNNNNNNNNNNNNNNNNNNNNNNNNNNNNNNNNNNNNNNNNNNNNNNNNNNNNNNNNNNNNNNNNNNNNNNNNNNNNNNNNNNNNNNNNNNNNNNNNNNNNNNNNNNNNNNNNNNNNNNNNNNNNNNNNNNNNNNNNNNNNNNNNNNNNNNNNNNNNNNNNNNNNNNNNNNNNNNNNNNNNNNNNNNNNNNNNNNNNNNNNNNNNNNNNNNNNNNNNNNNNNNNNNNNNNNNNNNNNNNNNNNNNNNNNNNNNNNNNNNNNNNNNNNNNNNNNNNNNNNNNNNNNNNNNNNNNNNNNNNNNNNNNNNNNNNNNNNNNNNNNNNNNNNNNNNNNNNNNNNNNNNNNNNNNNNNNNNNNNNNNNNNNNNNNNNNNNNNNNNNNNNNNNNNNNNNNNNNNNNNNNNNNNNNNNNNNNNNNNNNNNNNNNNNNNNNNNNNNNNNNNNNNNNNNNNNNNNNNNNNNNNNNNNNNNNNNNNNNNNNNNNNNNNNNNNNNNNNNNNNNNNNNNNNNNNNNNNNNNNNNNNNNNNNNNNNNNNNNNNNNNNNNNNNNNNNNNNNNNNNNNNNNNNNNNNNNNNNNNNNNNNNNNNNNNNNNNNNNNNNNNNNNNNNNNNNNNNNNNNNNNNNNNNNNNNNNNNNNNNNNNNNNNNNNNNNNNNNNNNNNNNNNNNNNNNNNNNNNNNNNNNNNNNNNNNNNNNNNNNNNNNNNNNNNNNNNNNNNNNNNNNNNNNNNNNNNNNNNNNNNNNNNNNNNNNNNNNNNNNNNNNNNNNNNNNNNNNNNNNNNNNNNNNNNNNNNNNNNNNNNNNNNNNNNNNNNNNNNNNNNNNNNNNNNNNNNNNNNNNNNNNNNNNNNNNNNNNNNNNNNNNNNNNNNNNNNNNNNNNNNNNNNNNNNNNNNNNNNNNNNNNNNNNNNNNNNNNNNNNNNNNNNNNNNNNNNNNNNNNNNNNNNNNNNNNNNNNNNNNNNNNNNNNNNNNNNNNNNNNNNNNNNNNNNNNNNNNNNNNNNNNNNNNNNNNNNNNNNNNNNNNNNNNNNNNNNNNNNNNNNNNNNNNNNNNNNNNNNNNNNNNNNNNNNNNNNNNNNNNNNNNNNNNNNNNNNNNNNNNNNNNNNNNNNNNNNNNNNNNNNNNNNNNNNNCUUUCUUUGAUCAAUUCCAGUAUGCUAUUCAGGAUUUUCUGCCAGCCUUUGCAAAUACAAUAUGAAUAUGUCAUGAUUCAGACUGUUUUUAGUAUCUUGACAUAGAUAUUAGAAUUGCAUUGUCUCCCAUGAAGUUUUCCCCUUUUUCUCCUUACUAGGAACGAAUAUGUCAUGGUUAUUACGAAGUUUCUCUAGUUAUCUCGUGUUAACGCGCGUAGAAUCUAACCACCUUCAAUUCAGUAUAAUACAGAAAUCUGUAAAGGUUUUCUUUUUGAUAAGUGAAAUUGUUAAUAGUUGGUCAAGUUGAUCGACAAGAAGCUUUUCCUGUUUUCAGGAGGGAAUCUGCUCCGUCAGGGCUAGGAUAAAAGACCAAUGUUUUUUUCUCUGAUGCCAAUCAUAUUGCAGACCAAUCGUGCCCAACUCAAUUUCAUAGAAAUUUCAAUAUCGAAUUAGGACUUAGCGCCUUGUGCAUUUUCAAUGAUCGUUGCACUCCCAUUUUUUCAAGUCAUCAUGAUUUGCCUUCAAGAAUUAAAAAAAUUUGCAUGCAUACCUUGAUCUUUCGGAAAUAUAAAGGGUUAACAUCACAAAAAAUCCAAACUGAUUCACAUAUAACAAAUUCACCAUAAAUUAAUUUUUUGACUUUAAAAAAUUCCAAAUUGAUAUACUUGUGACAAAUUUAUUUUAAAUUAAAUUUUUUACUACAAAAACCCCACAUUUUGAUAUAUCCGUAACCAUUUUAUCCCCCAUUAGUUUCUACUAAAUUGAUUUGAUAUCACAAAAGAAUAUCCAAAGUGGUACACCUAUCCACUAUCACAUGUCAUACAACUAAUUAAUUUGCAAUAAAUGUACUAGUUUGGAGUCAAAAAAUUAGUUUUGGAUAGAUUUUUCACAAAUGUAUCAAUUUCGAGUUUUUUGUAGUAUUAACCUAUAUUAUAUUUAUUGCAUGCCAUGCCAUUUAUUGUAAACUGAAAGACAAUUAAUCAUAAGCACAAAAUGUCGAAACAAAGAAGGACACAAGAAAAAAUAAUUUAAAAAAAGAAGAAGGUAAAACAACCGAACUGGAGAAGAGAGGAGAGGGAAGAGGCAGUGGUGCUAUGGUAGUGAUGGUGGCUGCUGCCGCUGCCACCGAAGGAGUCAAGCAAGAGUACAAGAUCCAGAAAAACACUUAGAAAGAAAUUAAGUGCGUGUACAAAGUACUUUCUUAAAAUACAAUGAUUUUCCUGAAUGGAUACGUAAUCCAGAAUGUAGUUGAAUCCUUUGAAAAACUCUACUCUUUUUUCCUUAGUCCGUAUGCUAAGAGAAGACAAACCAGUUUGAACUUAAUUAAUGGUCAAUGAAUAUCCGGCCACAAAAAACAAUUAAUGAAUAAAACAAUAAAGUCAAAUGCAACGAGAAUAACAAGUUAAAAUUUUAUUCAAAUUAUAACCCCCAUAUAUAAUUGCUCAAGAGCCAUGUCCUUGGGAAAAUGUAUGGCCUUUCACCACAAUAAAAGUAGCAAUCAAGAAAUAAAUAAAUAGCGUUGGCGGCCAUCACUGCUAACAUCAUCACGUCUCACCUAAAUGAAGCCUUGCACGAGAGAGAGAACUUUAGUUAAAAUUUGUUUCGGUGGAAAAAACCUGUGAUACUUACCAGCCAGUGGGCGAUGGAUGGCAACAUGCAAAGCUGUCAAUCCCUUAGGGCCCUUAUGAGAGGAUGGCAACACGGAAGCAUGUAAAAUCAGCUCCAUGAUAUACAAAUGCCCUCUAUCUGUUGCAAGAUAAAGCGGGGACUCAUCAGCAGCAUUAGUAACACCACCCAAUUGAGGAUCUUCUUCAAUCAGCAACUUCACCACUGAUUCAUGGCCUCCUCUUACUGCAUAGUGCAGUGCAGUAUCCUUAUGCAAAUUUGGCUUUCUAAGUAGUUCUCUACAUGCAUCAACUUGUCCGUUUUCAACAAUGCUAUGCAGUUUCACCAUUUUAAUAAGGACUCGAACAGAUUUCAAGCUUCCCAUGGUGGCAGCAAUAUGUAGUGGAGUAUCUUCUUUGAAGUUACCCUGCCAAAGAAGAGGCGUUUAGAGAUGAUGUCUCCCGCCCGCAGCGAAUAUAAAAUUGAAAUUUUCCCCCUGCCGUCUUGAGCUGCAACGUGAAGAAUGUUGUUCCCAUCUCUUCUUCGUUUGGUGAAAAAGAUCCUCUCCGUUUUCCGAAAUUGCUGUGAUCAGGGACUGAAACUCAGGAGACUGAAAGUCUCCUGACUUUGCAGCCCUAUACACAUUAGGAUGCAUACUUAGGCUCUCUUUCAUUCUCGGGAUAAGCGGUAGUUGCAAGUGAACUUAUCAAUAAAAGAAAUGAGUUCAAAUAUAAUGAACUUCUUUGAGCUUUCUAAGAGGAUUGAUGUAAAUGGAGGAUGUUGGAAAGGAAAUUUAGUUGAGCUUUCCAGGAGUAGUAGAAAGGAGAUAUUUAUAUGCAUAUGGUGGUUCUUCAAUUGUUCCUAUGAAAUUGAAAUAAAUUUAUUAGGUUUAGAGAAUAGUUUCCAGAAAGUCUAAUUAGUAUGCGUUUUGGACUUCAUACUUUACACAUAAGCAAAUAAUAAGGAAGUGGGGCAACUCUUGUUUAAAGGAAGGAGGACGAGUACAAAUAAAAAAUAAUAAUGAUAAAUAAAUUAUAUAAGCAUGAAAUUGAAUUAGCGGGCUGCUUUCCACUUUUCAUCAAAAUCAGGACCAUCGAAACAUGCAUGAUUCAAACAUUCUUACUGAAGAAUCGAAUCUGAUUGAACUUAUUUAUUAAAGCAAAGACAUUCGUGGGCCCACGUUUAGCUGUAGAUUUCCUUUUGCUCCUUUCCUAUUUUUUAACGACAAGUCCUUAACUCUUUUCAGUCUUUAUGGUCUUUAGUCCGUCGUGAGUCGUGCGUUCUCAUCAUGCUCCACAUGAUGGAAGAUUUACAUACGUAAACUUUCCCCACUCGAAGAUUUAUAUACGUAAAUUUUUAUGGGGAUCGAACUUAGGUAAAAAUUAGUUGACGCUCAAUUUGAGGAUCACCUUUACUGCUAUGAUCUAUUGGCAAAAGUCAAAGCUCAUAAUCAUAUGUUAUAUAUUGUAAUGUUUUCAUAAUAUACUAUAACGAAUAAAAAUCUAAAAAAAUUCAUGAUAGAUCAAGGACUAUCUAUUAUUUUUACUAUGUGGAAGAGAGAUGUAAAAGCUUAAUUUUUUUUUUAAAAAAAAAAGAGAAGGCAACACCGAAGCUGUUCUGCUUUGUCAGCAAGGGCCAGUGAUCCUUGUUGGUGUGUUGAUGAGGGCCAUCGACCCUUGUUGGAGUGUCCAUGAACGAGGGUUUGCAGGAUCUCGUUUGUGUCACAUAGUAAAGACAACUGUGAAUUUAUAUGUAGAACUGAAUUCGUAAGACAAUUCUUUUGAUGUUCUGAACUUGUAUCUCUAUGGAACAUUAGCUACAAUUAUGUUUGUUUAUGGAAUUGGCAAUUAGUAUCCUAUCUGAACCCCAGUGACAUUAUGUGUAUGUAGAACUGAAUACUCUGUUAGCGGCAAAACUGCAUUGGCAAUGGGUUAUUUUGUUUAACUUAACUUCUUCUUCUUUUUCCCAUUUAUGUUGGUCUAGACUUUGCUCCCAAAUUGGUGCCAUCAUUAAUCUUUUUUCAUUCAUUAGAAAAUGGAAUUAUUUUUGUUGAUUUACACUUUCCACUGUCUCUUGCUGUGUAGAGAAAUAGGAGACGGCUCAUGGGACUCGUGGACUGUGUCAUUUCUAGAGCGGGCAAGCUGUCGACUAUUGCCUGUUAUCCAUGAUGAUUUGUAUCUGAUGAAUCCGUGACAAUCUGUUAUGUUCCUUGCCUUUCAGACUGACACUGCUUGCGAGAAGGUGUAGACAGUUUCUGGUGAGAUACAUCGUCUUCUGGUAUCCUGUAUCUGAAGUUCACUUUCAGUGGAACAAUUUUGAUAUCACAGGUGAAGAACAUGAGCGGACUUAGCGAUGGCUUCGACAUAGUCGGGCUUUCUCAAGUAAUGACGUUG